rnacentral:lncRNA from 1 species
UUUCGCAGUCUAUCUUAGCAUUAACAGUGUUCAAGAAGGGUCUACCAAAUAUAAUGGGACAAAAGCUAUCUUGUGGGGAACCAAGAACAAGAAAAUCAGCAGGAUAUUUAGCCUUCCCACACAAGACCUCAACAUCUCUAACAAUCCCAAUUGGUAAAAUAGUAUCUCUAUUGGCAACCUUAAUGGUAACAUCGAUAUCUUCUAUCUCAGCCGGUGCAAUAUCAUGCAUAAUUUCUUUGUAUAAGUAAAUAGGUAUUGCACUAGCACUAGCACCCAUAUCACACAAGCCAUGAUAACAAUGAUCUCCUAUUUUAACAGAAAUAACAGGCAUGCCUACCACAGGUCUAUGUUUAUCUUUAGCACCAGGUUUAGCAAUUCUAGCAGUAUCAUCACAGAAGUAUAUAACAUGCCCAUCGAUAUUAUCAGACAAGAGAUCUUUAACAAUAGCAAUAUUAGGUUCAACUUUAACUUGCUCAGGAGGUGUAUAAGUUCUAAUAUUACUUUUACGAACCACAGUUGAAGCUUUAGCAUGAUCCUUUAUACUAACAGGAAAAGGUGGUUUCUCAACUUAAGCAGUAGGAACAAUAGGAUCAUUAUAAGUGAUAGUCUUUUCUUCAACUUUAAUAGGUUCAACUACUUUUACUUCUAUGGGAGGAUGAUAUUUAAACCACUCUCCUUAGGGAGAUCAACAUGAGCAGCAAAAGAUUCACAGAAAGAAGCUACUAUCUCAUAGUCAAGUCCAUAUUUAGUGCUAAUAAAUUUACGGAAAACAUCGGUAUCCAUAAAAGAUUUAACACAAUCAAACUUAGGUGUUAUACCCGACUCCUUACCUUCGUCGAGAUCCCAAUCUUCAGAGUUGCGUUUAAUUCUUUCCAGUAAAUUCCAUUUGAAUUCAAUAGUCUUCAUCAUAAAAGAGCCAGUACAUGAAGUAUUGAGCAUGGAGCGAUUAUUGUGAGAAAGCCGAGCAUAAAAAUUAAUAAUCAUUUCUCUUGAGAGUACAUGAUUGGGGCAUGAAUAUUACAUUGACUUAAGCCUCCCCCAAGCUUGAGCGAUGCUUUCUCCUUCGCGAGGCCAAAAAUUAUAUAUAUAAUUACGAUCACGAUGAACAAGAUGCAUAGGAUAAAACUUCUGAUGGAAUUCCAAUUUCAACCGUUUGUAGUCCCAUGAUCCCAUAUCAUCACAUAGCCGAUACCAUGUCAAUGCAUCUCCCUUCAAAUAUAAAGGGAAGACCUUCUUAUUGAUAACAUCAUCGGGCACACCUGCAAGCUUAAAUAAUCCACGAACUUCAUCCACAUAGAUUAAGUGUAAAUCGGGACGCAAUGUUCCAUCUCCUGCAAAAGGAUUAGCCAGUAGUUUCUCUAUCAUACCCGAAGGAAUUUAGAAGUAAACAUUUUCAUUUUCAGUAGGUUCAGUAGGUUGAGGAGCAACUCUUUGCUCUACUGGUCGAGGUGAAGAUACCCCGAACAAGCCCCUCAAAUGAUUACUUUCCAUAGUAACAAGUGACAGUAAAUUUCAGCACACUAUAUAAAAUUUUCAUUACCAAAUUCCACCUACCAAAGGCGCUUCACUCCCCGGCAACGGCGCCAGAAAAGAGUCUUGAUGACCCACAAGUUUAGGGGAUCUCUCGUAGUCCUUUCGGUUAGUAAGAGUGUUGAACCCAACGAGGAGCAAAAGGAAAUGACAAGCGGUUUUCAGCAAGGUAUUCUCUGCAAGCACUGAAAUAUAGGUAACAGAUAGUUUUGUGAUAAGAUAAUUUGUAACGGGUAACAAGUAAUGAAAGUAAAUAAGGUGCAGAAAGGUAACAAGUAAUAGAGAAAAGCGCUCCCUGAGGACACAUGGGAAUUAUCGUCAAGCUAGUUUUCAUCACGUUCAUAUGAUUCGCGUUCGGUACUUUGAUAAUUUGAUAUGUGGGUGGACCGGUGCUUGGGUGCUGUCCUUACUUGGAAAAAUAUCCCACUUAUGAUUAACUCCUAUUGCAAGCAUCCGCAACUACAAAAGAAGUAUUAAGGUAAGCCUAACCAUAGCAUGAAACAUAUGGAUCCAAAUCAGCCCCUUACGAACCAACGCAUAAACUAGGGUUUAAGCUUCUGUCACUCUAGCAACCCAUCAUCUACUUAUUACUUCCCAAUGCCUUCCUCUAGGCCCAAACAAUGGUGAAGUGUCAUGUAGUCGACGUUCACAUGACACCACUAGAGGAGAGACAACAUACAUCUCAUCAAAAUAUCGAACAAAUACCAAAUUCACAUGACUACUAAUAGCAAGGCUUCUCCCAUGUCCUCAGGAACAAACGUAACUACUCACAAAGCAUAUUCAUGUUCAUAAUCAGAGGGGUAUUAAUAUGCAUAAUGGAUCUGAACAUAUGAUCUUCCACCAAGUAAACCAACUAGCAUCAACUACAGGAGUAAUCAACACUACUAGUAAUCCCAGGCUAUGAGAAAAAGAUUGGAUACAAGAGAUAAACUAGGGUUUGAGAGGAGAUGGUGCUUGUGAAGAUGUUGAUGGAGAUUGGCCCCCUCCCGAUGAGAGGAGCGUUGGUGAUGACGAUGGCGAUGAUUUCCCCCUCCUGGAGGGAAGUGUCCCCGGCAGAACAGCUCUGCCAGAGCCCUAGAUUGGUUCCGCCAAGGUUCCGCCUCGUGGCGGUGGAGUCUCGUCUUGAAAGCUUGCUUAUGAUUUUUUCUCGGACAAAAGACUUCAUAUAGUAGAAGAUGGGCACCGGAGGGCCACCAGGGGGCCCACGAGGCAGGGGCGCGCCCAGGGGGUAGGGCGCGCCCCCCACCCUCGUGGCCAGGGUGUGGGCCCCCUCUGGUAUUUUCUUCACUCAGUAUUUUUUAUUAUUUCCAAAAAUAACUUCCGUGGAGUUUCAGGACUUUUGGAGUUGUGCAAAAUAGGUCUCUAAUAUUUGCUCCUUUUCCAGCCCAGAAUUCCAGCUGCCGACAUUCUCCCUCUUUAUGUAAACCUUGUCAAAUAAGAGAGAAUAAGCAUAAGUAUUGUGACAUAAUGUGUAAUAACAGCCCAUAAUGCAAUAAAUAUCGAUAUAAAAGCAUGAUGCAAAAUGGGCGUAUCAACGACCGCCCGUCCCCGUCGGCCCGCCGCCACCCAUUGCUUCCCCUUUCCCCAUUCUUCCUCUUCUCUGGCGAGCUGGUGCAGAUGUCCACCUCCUCCGCCACGCACUGAAAAUGGCGUCAGUAUGGUCCAGUGCCGCUCACAAGGUGCCCUGACUGCCCACGCCCAGAGCCUCUAAAACGGUGGGUCAGUAGAACUGAUGAGAAUGGAAAUCUUGGGCGGGAAUUUGUGAAGUGCUUGAGCAAAACAAUGGCAGAAAGGGAUGGCAAGGUUAGAUCUCAGUUCUUAGCCCAUUCUUUCACUGUCGUUUGCUCUGAUUUAUCCAUAUUUUGUUUUUUUCCUCGAAUUUGGAAUUUAGGGUUCAUGUUGUUGUUUUUUCCUCGAAUUUGGAAUUUAGGGUUCAUGUUGUUGAUUUAUCCAUAUUUCAUGUUGUUGAGAGGAUUCAGUUCGAGGGCUACAUUGAUUCGAGCGGGGCCGCAACCUGGGAGCUCAAUUUGGGGGGAGGGGUGCCGCAGAUGGAGAAUUUGGGGUCGAGCUUGGACAGAGGGGCGGGCAGAGUCGUGUCGAUGGCUAGGUAUGCGCGCAAUGCUGAACUGCACUUGGAGUCUGAACUAACCGAGGAACUGAAGAUAAUCAAGAAAUCAAAUGGAGAUGAUCAAUCUGCAGAAGCAAGCAAAUAUCAUGGCAGGGGGGGUUCUAUUGUUGUGUCAUUGCUCUGUUUUUGUUUUACUUGUUGUUCAUCCGUCAUUAGAGGGAGCAUUUAGGUCUAUCAGGGCAGAGGAUGCGAUCUGUGCGCCAUGCCAAGUUCAUGUAACUGAAUCGAAGCAGAAAUAUUCUAUGUUGAUGCUUUGUUCUUGUUCUUCAGUUAACAGAGUGCACACCCCCCAAAUUCAGUUUCUAGUAAGAAAAUCUUGCUGCCGAAUAGAUGUUGGGCCAUGAAAAAACAACGAGGCCCAAAUAGAGACAAGCCCACCCGCGUAGGGGCACCAGCCCAGUUUUAUAGCAUAGAGGCACCCAUGUUUAAAAAAAAUGUUCGACUAAAAACUCAAAAUAAAAUAUUGCUUCGGCAAAUAAACCUUUAACAAACAUAUACUUCUUUACAUAUUUGUUGCUUGUCCACGCUUGCACAAAAUAUUGGCCAGAGGUAAAAUUCAAACUAAUAUUUUUAGGAGCACAGAAAUAUUUCUUUUGUGACCAAUAAUUGUUUGCAUGAACUAAAAUAGUUGCAUUUCCAUGGUUGCAAAAAAAAUUGCACCGUACACCUAAUAGCUAGGGUGAUCCUAUUUGCAUGAACUAAAUUAGUUGCAUGUCCAUGGUUGCACAAAAAUUAUCACCGUACACCUACUAGCCAGGGCCUAGAUACAUGCAAGCACACAUGCAUCACACCAAGAUAUGAAAAAAAAUUGCAAAAAAAUUUGGGUACCCAUACACUUGCAUGUCCGUAGUGGAAGCUACCUUUUAUUAGUAAGACAUAGAUCAAAUAGGGAUCCAAUCAACUAGAUAUAACAUGGGUACCCAUAGAACAUCAAGCACCAUAUAUAUCAACUAACCAAUAUCAACUAGAUAGAAAAAAAUAACAGAUAGAACAUAGUAGCAUAAGUAGUAGCAUUGCAUAGAUAAGGGUAGCACGACAUAUAUAGUACCACUACAACAUAGAUAAUUCAUAGUUCAACCCAACACGACAAUAAUAAAACACCACCAGCUUGUUUGCUUGCUUGCUCAAAGGCCAAAUCCUCCAUGGCCAACUCCUUCACUCGUCGCCGUUGGUGGGGUACGGGAGGGUGUGCAUGCGCUCAUCGGCGGGGAAGGCACUGUCGAAGUCCGUGAAGAUGUUGUACAUGGUGAAUGCGAUGAACUCGCAUCCACAUCAAAAAACACGACCGAGGAGGUAGUAGGCGUCGAAGGGGUUGGUGAACCUCACGAUGAGCCCGAUAGGAUGGCCACUGCUACUGACCUCUUUGACACGGAACAUGGCCGGAGAGCCCCUCGGGAGGUGCCGGUAGCCGGCGGAGAGGAAGAACUCGGUCAGCCCCCUUGCCCCCCUCCACCUCGAGAUCGCCCACACCCGUAGGGUGUUCUCCACCCGGACUCCGGUAGGGUAGAGCCUCUCAGGGAAGGUGCGCGGCACACGGUAGGUAGCCCCGGUGAACUGCAUCUUGCUUGCUAGCUUUGAGUGGAUCUUGGAAGAUGGGAGAUGAAGGAGAGUGAGAGGAAGAUGUGGGUAGAGGAAGAUGUAGGCUUGGGUGUGCUUAAAUAGCCGAGGUGCAGUGUUUUAACGUUUUGUUUUCCUCUCCCUCGUAAUGGCAUGGGAAACGAGCAAUGUGGCAUCGAGUCACCCGAGCCAACCCGUGUGUACACGCGCAUGCAUUGUGGUAGUAAUGCCAAUGACCCGCGUAGCACUCUAGCAAUAAAAAUGCGUCGAGAGAUGAGCUCGAUGCCAUGCAUGCAGCGGCUAGCGGUCGGGCAUCUAGACCCAUCUAGAAUGGGUAAAUAGCCAUAAUGCUACGAGGGUGUCGGCGGGCAUGCUCGCCCGCGAUGCCAUCCAUGCAACGUCGAACGCUGAGAGGGCGGCCGCAGGAGGGCUACACGCGCGUGCAUGCUUUUCAGGCCGAAUGCAGCGUCGUGUCCAUCGGUCCAAUGGGUGGGCCGCUUUAAUUAAGCCCAACAACACAUGGCAGGCCUGCUUAGUCUUACAAUGUAAAAAAUGGGCUAAAACGACCAGCCAAUGAAAGCGCAACACGCGGAUCUGUGACGUGGCUCCUAAUCCAGACUGUUGCUUAUGUUCACAUCCAUCCAAUGGUCCAGAAUGCUACGUGUUAUAAUAUUCAGCAUCUUCGAAUCAGCCAAUCAGAGUGCUGCCUGCAGAUCGCUGACGUAGCCCUGGUGCCUGAUCCAGACCGUCCAUUCAUAGCGAUCCAAUGGCCGAGAGGAGUGUGGGGUUUCAAUGGGGUUUUGAGUGGUUUUCAGCGGUUAGGGUUGAGCAUAACUAAUUCAAAAAAAUCAAAAAAACUAUAAAACUUGUGUCGAUCAUCGUUCUAUGUGACUAAGUAUCUAGGAAAAAUAAGAAACUUGUACUACGGAUAUUUUCAUGAAAAAACCUUCACAAAAGAUGGCUAUCAAGAACGACCUUGUAGGGUUUUGAAGAGAAGUGAGCUAGGGUUUAGUGUCAAACAUGUCAUACUUUAUCGAAACAAUCCAAUAUCAGGAAGGACUCUUAUAUACACACACUAGAUGUCAAGUUUCCUUUUUGGGCUCAUUUAGAGAAGGUCGAAAAAAGCUUGCUUACAAAUGGGUCUGUUUUCCCUAGCUUUGGAGGGGUUUUGGAGGUCAUGUGGAGCACAUUUUUCAUGUCCAGAGUUUUACAUAAUAAAAGUGCUCCGAUUAAUCAACUAACAUGCAUAAUAGUCCAGAAAUCAUUGUAACACCAACACCACAGACCAAAUAACUUCAAAUUUGAAUUUUGUCUCAAAUUUGAAUUUUGUCUCAAAUUUGAAUAGUAUUACACAAAUACACAUCAUAUCAAAGUACAAAUAUCAUUACACAAAUUCAGGCAAGGUUUUAUUACUACAACAUACUAGCAAUACACAAGUUUCAACAAAUUUUCACUUCUGCUUCUUCCUACCACUCGAUUUGUUCUUCUUCUUUUUACCAAUGCUUGUUUUUGGUUGUACAACACCCAGUUCACUCAAGCUCUUGAUUUUCUUCACUGGACUUCCUGGAACACAAGCUUCAUUUCGCACCACAACAGUUGCAGUAUCAUCGGACCCAAUAUCACCAGUUGGCAACACAACUUCCAAUAUAGGCUCAGUUGGCACCACAUCAACUGGAAUAUCUUUAGUUGGCAACUCAACUUCCAACAUAGGCUCAGCUUGCACAGCAUCAGCUGGAAUAUCUUCAGAGGUACCCAUAGCUUCAGUUGGCACCAGAACAUCAAAAUCUUGCUCAUCUUGCAGCAGCACAUCCAAGUCUUGCUCAUUUUGCACCACACCAUCCAAGUCUGGUUGAAUGUGUAUUGUUUCACCAAAACUUCUCUUUCUUCUAGAGCCAUUGCCUCUUGCUUUUUUCUUUGGCCAGCACACUUCAACAACAAGGGGCUCACCUGCACGCUUCCUCCUAAAAAGAUAAAGCAUGUCAACUGGUUAGUAAUUGAAAAAUGCAACAAAAUAGUAAACAAUGCAAACAUAUGCCCACAUACUUUGGCCAUUCAUGAGUGUAACAACAUUUGGGAGAUCCAACUCGGUGCCCAAGUUCCUGGCACAACUUGCCUCUAUUUUUUUUUACCUUUUUGGGACCUUUUUGGCUUUGCAUUCUUCUUUCCCUUGCCCUUUUUACUACUCCCACCUUUCUCAAACCAUGCCUUGAAUCUACUUUCUUUAGGCCUGCCAGCCUUUCUUUUUGUUAGGGGAGGACCCAUGGAAAAUUCAAUUUCAACUUCAGGCCACUGAGACUGAUCUGUAAGUGCUAGAAUUGGAGUUGCAUAUGCAGCCUUGAAUCUUGCUACUAAGUAAUAUUCGUGCAAAUAUGGGUGCAUGUUUAUCUUCGGUCGGGAGGCCAAGAAAAGUAUGGCAUGACUCACAUGGUUUCCCAGUGUGCUGCCACUCCAAACAAGUGCAAUCAUGCAUUUCAGUGUUAACAACAUGCCUUCUACCAGUUUUGGUAUCUCUAACUUCAACACCCCACACAGAAGAUUUUUCAACAGAUAAAUGUGUAAGAUUUAUGCUCCUGUUGACCACCUGGUGUACCACUGCAGGAAGCUUAUCCCCUUGUAGACAAUCACCAAUCCUUCUUCUCAAUUCCCACAAGCGCAUGAUCAUGAUCCUGAUUUGGUCAACCAUGUCAUGCACAGGAAAAAAAUUUAACUGCUUCACCCUGUUGUUAAAACUUUCUGCCAAGUUGUUGUUGAUAUGAUCACACUUGAUGGCAGUGUUAAAUCCCGACCUAUACCAUAAUAGAGAAUGGUACGUGUUCACCCAUGGACCAAACUCAGGACAUGAUGUCAUUAUCAUACCAAGAUGAUAUUAAUGUGUUUGUUUAGUGUAAGAUCUUGCUGCUGGCCACAUACGACCAAAUUCUUCCCCUUUGAAUUUUUUGAUCAAAUUCAUCCACAUAUGGCCGAAGCACUCCCUCUGCUCACAAUGGGGGAAAACAUUCUUCACUGCGUUUUCUAGCCCUUUGCAUGCAUCUGUGUGGACUGCCAAAGGUGACACUGGACCUAUGCAUCUUUUCAACUGCACCAUGAACCAUGUCCACGAGACCUCUAUCUGUGACUGAAAUAAGCCAAUAGCAAUAGGGAACAUCCAGUUGUAUCGAUCCAAAGCAUUGCAAGCUGCCAAUUGACCAAUUGAAAGUGCACCUAUGCCUAGGUGGUUUUGGUAAUUCCUAACAACAUAUAGCUCAUUGAGCUAAUGAUAUCUCAAGAUAAAUAUUUCAGGAAAGCACAAUGAUUGGCAUGGCAUGGAUUAGAAAUGUGACCCCUCAGAAUACCAAGGACAAAAGAAUGGCUCAAGCUCUAAAGCUCAAGACUCUACAUUUUACUUUUAGUGAUCCAAGAUCACAUUGAGUCCAUAGGAAAAGCAAAUACUAUUAAAAGGGGAUGAGGUGUUGCUUAAUGGGUUGCUUGCUCAAAAUGCUUAGUGAUAUGCUCCAAAAACCCUCAACUACUUUCUCAUAUCCACAUAUGUCCCAAACCAGAAGUCAAACUCGGCCCCACCAAAACAUCCUAUCUGGCACCACCGAGUUCUCUUGACAUAGCCACUGCCACAAACCCUAGUCACUUUGGUCUCACCGAUAGGGAUCUCGGUAUCACCGAGAUGGGAUUGCAAACAUCUGUUUCCCUUCCUAACGUUUCGGUCCAACCGAGAUGAGCGAUCGGUCCCACCGAGUUUGCAAUGCAAACUCUCUGUUUCCCCUUCGUAACGUUUCGGUCUCACCGAGAUGAGCAAAUCGGUCCCACCGAGUCUGCCUCAUCAACUCUCUGGUUAGCUUAUCACCAAAAUCAGUCCCACCGAGUUUGUGUAAUCAGUCUCACCGAGAUUACGUUAUGCCCUAACCCUAAUGAAAUCGGUCCCACCGAGUUGACAUGUCGGUCCCAUCGAAUAUCCUAACGUUCACAUUUUGAACUAAAUCGGUCCGACCGAGUUUCAUUAUUCGGUCCCACCGAGUUUGAUGAUUUGUGUGUAACGGUUAGAUUUUGUGUGGAGGCUAUAUAUACCCCUCCACCCACUCUUUAUUCGUGGAGAGAGCCAUCAUAACAUGCCUACACUUCCAGCAUACAUUUUCUGAGAGAGAACCACCUACUCAUGUGUUGAGGUCAAGAUAUUCCAUUCCAACCACAUAAAUCUUGAUCUCUAGCCUUCUCCAAGUUGCUUUCCACUCAAAUCGUCUUUCCACCAAAUCCAAAUCUGUGAGAGAGAGUUGAGUGUUGGGGAGACUAUCAUUUGAAGCACAAGAGCAAGGAGUUCAUCAUCAACACACCAUCUAUUACCUUUUGGAGAGUGGUGUCUCCUAGAUUGGUUAGGUGUCACUUGGGAGCCUCCGUCAAGAUUGUGGAGUUGAACCAAGGAGUUUGUACGGGCAAGGAGAUCGCCUACUUCGUGAAGAUCUACCCUAGUGAGGCAAGUCCUUCGUGGGCGAUGGCCAUGGUGGGAUAGACAAGGUUGCUUCUUCGUGGAACCUUCAUGGGUGGAGCCCUCCGUGGACUCGCGCAACCGUUACCCUUCGUGGGUUGAAGUCUCCAUCAACGUGGAUGUACGAUAGCACCACCUAUCAGAACCACGCCAAAAAUCUCCGUGUUUAUAUUGCGUUUGCUCCCUCCAAACUCCUCCCUUUACCUUCAUGUGCAAUGUUUUACAUUCCGCUACUAUACUCUUAGACUUGCAUGUGUAGGUUGAUUUCUUGACUAGUGCUAAGUUGCUAAAAUCUGCCAAGACUUAAAAUUGGGGAAAGGCUAGAUUUUUAUUUGGUCAAGUAGUCUAAUCACCCCCCCUCUAGACAUAAUUUCGAUCCUACAAGUGGUAUCAGAGCUACGGUCUCCAUUUGCCUUGAUUUCCAUAGCUUUUGGUGAUCAUAGCCUUGGUUUCACAACCUAGGAGACUAUGGCGUCUAGCAAGGGAAAUUACCACCAUAGAGGUCCUUACUUUGAUGGUACUAAUUUUGCUACUUGGAAGCACAAGAUGAAAAUGCAUAUUCUUGGACAUAACCCCGCCGUUUGGGCUAUUGUGUGUAUUGUCUUGCAAGGUGAAUUCUUUGAUGGGAGAGAACCGAACCGUGAAGCUACUGCGGAAGAGUUGAAGAUGCUACAAUACAAUGCUCAAGCUUGUGAUAUUCUCUUCAACGGAUUGUGCCUCGAAGAAUUCAACAAAAUCAGCCGUCUUGAGAAUGCAAAGGAAAUUUGGGAUACUUUGAUUGAUAUGCAUGAGGGUACCGACUCCGUCAAGGAAUCCAAAUUGGAUGUGCUUCAAAGUCAAAUUGAGAAGUUCAAAAUGAAGGAUGGUGAAGGUGUCACUGAAAUGUACUCUAGGCUUGCUCUCAUCACAAAUGAGAUUGCCGGCUUAGGAAGUGAAGAGAUGACCGAUAGAUUCAUCAUCAAGAAGAUCCUAAGAGCCUUGGAUGGAAAAUAUGAUACCGUGUGCACAUUGAUCCAAAUGAUGCCCAAUUACAAAGAUCUCAAGCCAAAGGAAGUCAUUGGAAGAAUUGUUGCUCAUGAGAUGUCACUUAAGGAUAAGGAAGAGCUCCACAACAAGUCAAGUGGUGCUUACAAAGCCUCAUGUGAUGCUCCUACACCAUCAAGUGAGAAACAAACCUUUAAUGAAGAAUUGAGCCUAAUGGUGAAGAAUUUCAGCAAGUUCUACAAGAGUAGAAGCAAGGAAAGAAGUUCCAAGUCAAGAUCCUACAAUGACAAAAGAUCUUCAAGUCGUGAACGAAAUUGCUACAAUUGUGGAAGACCCGGACACUACUCCAAUGAGUGUACGGCUCCCUACAAAAGAAGAGGAGAUUCUCCCAAAAGACGAAGUAGAAGAGAAGAAUCAGCACCAAGAGAGAGAAGGAGUAGAGAUGAUUGUUAUGAACGAAGAACCUCUCGGAGAAGCAAGGAUUCGGAAAGGAAGGACAAAUCAUCAAAGAGCUACACAAAACGAAGACAUCAAUCUCACGUUGGUGAAUGGGUAUCCGGCUCCGACUCCGACCAUUACUCCGAAAGAAGUUAUCACUCCGACUCCGACUAUACUCAAGAAGAAGGUGUUGCCGGUCUAGCACUUGCGUCAACCAACUCCUACAACAUAUUUGACUCACCAAAUGAAGGAAUUGGAAGAUGCUUCAUGGCUAAAGGCCCCAAGGUAUCACACCCCGAGUUUGUUGAUUUCAAUAGUGAUGAAGAUGAUUUGCUAGGAGAUGAUGAUUUACUUGUUGACAACUCCAGUUAUGAAAACUAUGAUGAACUUGCUAUUAGUCAUGCUAAUCAAGAUAAAACGAAUGACGAUGAUAAGAAGGAGAUUGAGCGUCUAACUAAAGAAUUAAACACUCUUAAAUUAGCUCAUGAAACUACCAUGGAAGAUCAUCGAGAACUUUUAAAGACUCAUGAGAAGCUACGCUUUGAAAGGCUCAACCUUGAGCAAGAGCAUGGGUUCUUAAAAGCAAUCAAUGAUGAUCUUCGCAGGAAAAAUUCUUCUUACAUUGCCAAGCGUUUACUCUUGUCUACUUACAUGCCACAAGUAGAAUCUAGCAACAAGAGUAAGAAAGAUUCUUCAUCUAGUAGUAACAAUAAUCAUGCUAAAUCCAAUGUUGUUGCUUCUAGUAGUUCUCUUGAUUCCACUAAUGAUUCUCUUAGCCAAGUUACAAUUGAGCAAGAAAAUAGCUUAUUGAAGGGAAUUAUAGAGAAAGGUGUUUACAAGAGCCUUGUCGGAAGUAAGCAAUUUGAGGAAAUUGUACGCAACCAAGGAAGGCACCGGAAAAAUCAAGGUGUUGGUUUUGAACGAAAGUUCAAUGCCAAUGGAGUUGAGUGGGAAGAAGAUCAAUACCCCAAGACGAAGUUUGUUCCUCAACAAGAGAAGUAUGAUCCUACUUCCUUCCAAGGAACACAAGCUCAAGAUGAUCUUCCACCACAAGACCACAAGCAAAAAGGCAAGGACAAGCUUCAAGAGGAGAUUGAUGCAUUUUAAGAAGCUCCCAAGGCCUUGGUCGAGUGGGUUCCCAAGACUACAUCAAAUACGACUACAACUCCAAGGAUUCCCAUCAAGAUGAUGUGGAUCCCGAAGAAGAAGAACUAGAGAGUUCUUGAGGGUGACUCCGCCAACAUACUUCACUCAUAUCUUUUGGCAAGGACAUGUGAGAACAACUUCCACAUAUUGCACUAGUUCAAGGAGUCACAAACCCUCUUGUUUGUAAGACAAGGGACAAGGUAACCUAAUGCUUUCAUGGACAUCAUCUUGUGUGUACAUCACUCUAUGUCUAUGGAUAUCCUUGUUUGUUCCUUGUGGGACUAACCAGUGUAGGUAUUGGAAGUGCAACUCACUCCAAUGGAUUGCUCCGAAUGAUCUACAUCAACAUUGAGCAUCCACAUCUUCAACACCUACAUGAAGUCAUCAUCGACAAAACCCAAGGUUAGUUCAUCCCUCUUAGGGGGAUAUCACAUCUAGGGGGAGCUUUACUCUAAUAAAUUGAGCUAAAGCAACUCUAAUGGUGUGAACACAACAAUGCUUUAUGUGAAAGUGGUAACCCCACUUAUGCUUAAACGAUGAGUAUGACCUAUGAUCAAAUGUUCUCAUUUGACUCCUAAGUCAAUAUACUCAUAUAUAGAUGACCUAGUCAUCGCCAAUUGCUUGAUAGAUGCUAGAGUCUUUGUGCAUGCUUUGUCACAUAUUUCGUUUGCCAUUUUAUUGUGUGAGCAUGUUAAUUGCAUAUUUUACUCAUUCGAGGACAUCCAUUUGUUGCUUUGAUUGUUUGGCUUUUUCUCUUUUGCCAAAUGGAUGGACAAGAAUGCCUAAGAACUCCCUCUAGCUAUCUAUGCUUUUCUCGUCUCAAACUCUAUUCAUGCUACAUCACAAAGUUUGAUCAAGUCAGGUUCGAACCACUCUGUGUGAGGAGCACUCGGAGUCCCCGAUUCGUCAUAGACUUAAACUUCCAAAACCUCUUUGUGCAUUUCGGUAUGACCGAUUCAUCCAUUUUGGUCACACUGAGUUCACUAAGUUGAUCUAGGUUUUCCAUCUCGGUGCAACCAAUUUGAACUUUUCGGUCACAUCGAGUUGCAGUAACCGCUUGCGAUUCUGCAUCUCGGUGCCACCGAGUUGUUCCACUCGGUAACAUCGAUAGGGUCGGGAUAUAUAAACCCACAGGUGAGAUUUUGGAAAUUUCUUCAAACUCCUCAGCCCGCGUGUGUCCUGCUCUGCCUCCUCGGGUCUCCGGAUCGUCUCCUCGCCGCCAGCGACCUCCCGCCGCUGGUUUCCGUUGCUGUCAACGGAAUUCUCCUCUGCCGUUGUCGCCAUAGCGAACUCCCGCCGAACUAGGGUAUGGGUUCGACUCUUUGUGCUAUUUCCCUACUCCAAUUUGUAGCACAUUUCUUUUCCAUGAUCUUUACCACGUAUGAAAAUAAUCUAUCGAGAGAAAACAUCCUUUAGGUUAGAUUUGAUUCAAAAAUUUAGGGUUAGGUCUCCGCCGAACUCAUCUCAGACCAACCGAGUUGUAGAAAUCGGUCUCACCGAUUUGGCUUAGGCCAUUGCACAUGCUUUUUGGUCUGACUGAAAACGGCAAAUUGGUGCGACCGAUUUCGAAUCUCUGUGAAACCCUAGCAAUCUCGGUGCCACCGAACUGUGACUCGGUCUGACCAAGUUCACUAGUUUAGGUUCCAAAAGUUGCUUCGGUAUCACCGAGUUUAACAAAUCGGUAGCUCCGAAAUGCUUUCUGUGGAGAACUAUAACUAAGUUUUUGAGUCAUCUGUUUUGCAAAAGCUCUGCACUUUGUGAUGCUCAUCCACUCUACCUCAUCUAUAUCUAUUCACAGGGUUUGCUGUCAGUGUGAUUGCCAAGAUGUCUGAUCAAAGUGACAGCCAGAACAGAUCUGAAGAGCAAGUGCAUAUGAGUGAGGGCACUAAUCCCUCAAGCAGCUAUGAUGAGGGCAGCAGAAGCACACCAAGUAACUUGCCCAAGGUAGCCACUAGAACAAGGAAGAAGAGAACCUCAGACUCCGAGGAUGAGGACUAUGUGGCCAUUGAGGAUGAGGCCACCUCAAGGAAGAAAGUGCUGAAGAAAGAGUAUGGCAUAGCUGCUGCAACUAAGCCAGGGUUGCAUAAGAAGGCAACAGCAAAGAGAGUCCCAAUGUCAAAGCCAACGAAAGUUCCAACAGGAGAAACCAUGAAAUUCACAAUAUAAUCAGAUGAUGGUGAGGCAGUUGGUGAUGGCAAGAAGAAGAAGAGGGCAAGAACCACAUCUGCAAAAGUUCUUGGAAAAUCAACUAUGGUAAGAGAUUCAGAAGAAGAGGAAGAGGAAGAGGAUGCUGCACCAGCACCCAAGUCUCAGAAGCUUAUGGGAGAUGCUAUCAAGUCAGGGGCUGCUCCAUCAAAGCCCAAGACUGCUCCCAAAGCAACAGCUCAAACUCAGAAGCCCUCUAAGCCCAAGAGAAGCACCAGAAACAUUCCUGCAGAAGAGAGGAACAAGGCCUCAGUGCCUAAGGUUGAAGAAGAGGAUGAUGAAGCCCUAGUGCUAAGAAAACUGAAACCCAAGAUUCCAGACCACAAUGACACUCAUCCAGUGGCUGAGGACAUGCACAUCAGGAAAGAUGCAGGAUUGAGACUUUGGAGACAGUCUGAUCCUUAUGCUGCGACAAGGAGAACUGUUGUGGACUACAUGUUCCACACCAAAGAACAACAAGACUUCUAUGAGACUAUUCUGCUUGACAAGAAGCCAAUUGUCUGUGAAAUGAGAUGGGUUGAUUGGGAAUACAUCAAAGAGAAUGAAGAUCACUUCCCAGGUGUACCAGACAGCUUCAAAGCAAGUGGAGUUGAUAAGUUUGUAGGUCAGAAGCCCACCAAAUGGAAUGAUGAGCUAAUCAUGCAGUUUUACUCCACUGCUCAUUUCUAUCCAGAUGGGAGAUAGUGGGGAUGUCUGAAGGUACAAGGUACCAAUCAACUGUAGAAAAAUGGGCCAAGUUGAUCAAUGCCCCAGAAGAGUAUGAGGAUGAUUUGGAUGUGUAUGCCAAGAAGAAGAAAGACCACAACUCUAUGGCAAAUAUGUACAAAGAGAUCCCUGAUAAAGCUUUGGAGACACACAAGCUUGGAUCUGUGCACUAUUUGUUGUCUGGUCUACCCACUAUCAACACUAUCUUAAGGCAUACUCUGGUACCCAAAUCUGGAGAUCACAAGAUGAUCAGAGGACAUUCCAUCAACUUGCUGCAAAUCUUUGAUGUCCCUUAAAAAUUCAAGGUCGUGAGUCUGAUUGUUGAGACAAUCAAGAGGACAGCUGCUGACCAGAAGAGAUCUUGUGGGUAUGCUCCACACAUUCAGGUGGUCAUCAACUCAAAGAUGGGCACAGGGACUUACAUGUUGGACAAAGAACAUUUACCCUUGUAUCCAGAUUUUGAAGAUAAUGAAGUUGUCAUGAAUGAGAAUGAACCUUCAUCAGCACAAGCACAAGAGAAGAGAGCUAAAGCAAAGGCAGAAAAGGCUGCAAGGAUGCCAAGUGCCGAGGAAGCAUCUCAGGUGUCCCUGAAGAGCAAGAAAGAUCAGCUUAUAUCUGAUUCAAGCUACAUUGAGGAUUGAGAAGGGCUUGGCCACCCUGACUCAGAAUCAGGAGAGCUUGGAGAGGAUCAUAGAGACAAAAUAUUAUGAUCUUGAUCUGAAGGUCACUGAGAUACAGAGAGCAGUUGAGCAGCUCCAGGAGGAAGCAGGAGAGAGGAAAGGGAAGGCAACUACAGAUGCUUUUCGGCGAGUGCCAAGAGGUCAGAGGUCUGCUGCAGUGCCAGUAUCAGAUACUAGAGCUACAUCGUCAGCACCAAUAGCUACAGCUUCAGUGCCACCUCCAGCAGCCACUCCACCAGCUCCAGCUACAUCCACUGAUGCCUUCGUCCUUGGAGUUCUCUCUACUCCACCUCCUGAAGACCAAGCCUGAGAGACGCAUAGCACUAUGCAUUUUCGAACUUUUUGAUAACUUGUUGCCAAAGGGGGAGAAAUGUAUAGAUCAUAGGCUUCGAGAGAGAGUGUUUUGCUUCUUUGUCUCUCUUGAUUUUGGUUGAACUUUAUGGUGUUCUUGGUUGAUACUCUAUGUCUGUGUGAGAUACUUGUUUGAUCAUGGGUUUGAUCAUAUGCUACUUUAAUGCUUGCUUGGAUGGUAUUAUCUCUUAUAUCCCAUAUAUGUUCAUUCACUUUGCUUGGUGAUGAAUGCUUUCUUUUAAUUUCCACGAUCCUAAUUGAUUGUGCAUUUGCAUUCAAAAGAUGUAUGUGACAUGGAAGAGUAACCCAUGAUCCUAAUCGAUUGUGCAUUUGCAUUCAAAAGCCUAUUUUUAAUAAUGCACAAAUUUAGGGGGAGCUCUUGCUUAUCACAUACUUCUCAAAGCGACGAUGUAUUUCAAUCUUAUGAUCAUUUGUCAAAGCUUUGAUCUAUAUGUUUUCAUCAAUUAUCAAAAAGGGGGAGAUUGAAAGUGCAACUAUCCCUGGGUGGUUUUGGUAAUUCCUAACAACAUAUAGCUCAUUGAGCUAAUGAUAUCUCAACAUAAAUAUUUCAGGAAAGCUCAAUGAUUAGCAUCGCAUGGAUUAGAAAUGUGGACCCCUCAAAAUGCUAAGGACAAAAUAUUGGCUCAAGCUCUAAAGCUCAAGACUCUACAUUUUACUUUUAGUGAUCCAAGAUCACAUUGAGUCCAUAGGAAAAGCCAAUACUAUUAAAAGGGGAUGAGGUGUUGCUUAAUGGGUUGCUUGCUCAAAAUGCUUAGUGAUAUGCUCCAAACCAAAAGUCAAACUCGGCCCCACCGAAACAUUCUAUCCGGCGCCACCGAGUUCUCUUGACAUAGCCACUGUCACAAACCCUAGUCACUUCCGGUCUCACCGAUAGGGACUCGGUCUCACCGAGAUGGGAUUGCAAAAUCUUUGUUUCCCUUCGUACAUUUCGGUCCAACCGAGAUGAGCGAUCGGUCCCACCGAGUUUGCAAUGCAAACUCUCUGUUUCCCCUUCGUAACGUUUCGGUCUCACCGAGAUGAGUGAAUCGGUCCCACCGAGUUUGCCUGACCAACUCUCUGGUUAGCUUAUUACCAAAAUCAGUCCCACCGAGUUCGUGUAAUCGGUCUCAUCGAGAUUACGUUAUGCCCUAACCCUAACGAAAUCGGUCCCACCGAGUUGAAAUGUCGAUCCCACCGAAUAUCCUAACAUUCACAUUUUGAACUAAAUCGGUCUGACCGAGUUUCAUUAUUCGGUCCCACCGAGUUUGAUGAUUUGUGUGUAACAGUUAGAUUUUUUGUGGAGGCUAUAUAUACCCCUCCACCCACUCUUCAUUUGUGGAGAGAGCCAUCAGAACAUGCCUACACUUCCAGCAUACAUUUUCUAAGAGAGAACCACCUACUCAUGUGUUGAGGUCAAGAUAUUCCAUUCCAACCACAUAAAUCUUGAUCUCUAGCCUUCUCCAAGUUGUUUUCCACUCAAAUCAUCUUUCCACCAAAUCCAAAUCUGUGAGAUAGAGUUGAGUGUUGGGGAGACUAUCAUUUGAAGCACAAGAGCAAGGAGUUCAUCAUGAACACACCAUCUAUUACCUUUUGGAGAAUGGUGUCUCCUAGAUUGGUUAGGUGUCACUUGGGAGCCUCCGUCAAGAUUGUGGAGUUGAACCAAGGAGUUUGUACGGGCAAGGAGAUAGCCUACUUCGUGUAGAUCUACCCUAGUGAGGCAAGUCCUUCGUGGGCGAUGGCCAUGGUGGGAUAGACAAGGUUGCUUCUUCGUGGACCCUUCGAGGGUGGAGCCCUCCGUGGACUCGCGCAACCGUUACCCUUCGUGGGUUGAAGUCUCCAUCAACGUGGAUGUAUGAUAGCACCAUCUAUCGGAACCACGCCAAAAAUCUCCAUGUCUACAUUGCGUUUGCUCCCUCCAAACUCCUCCAUUUACCUUCAUGUGCAAUGUUUUACAUUCCGCUGCUAUACUCUUAGACUUGCAUGUGUAGGUUGAUUGCUUGACUAGUGCUAAGUUGCUAAAAUCUGCCAAGACUUAAAAUUGGGAAAAGGCUUGAUUUUUAUUUGGUCAAGUAGUCUAAUUACCCCCCCCCCUCUAGACAUACUUUCGAUCCUACACCAUUCCACUUGCCAGUCAAAAAUGAUGAGUCUAUGCUCAAAUAUGGACGACACCCUACCUUGAAGCCAUCAAUGCUAGGCUUCAAAGCCAUAAUAAACGUAUAGAAAAGUACUCUUCCAUCCUCUGUUACCUCAGUAUCUAUCUCCACAACACUCCCAGGUGACCUCUUCUCCACCUCUGCUUUGAAAUUAUAAAGCAUCCUAAAAGUAUUUGCCCAGUCACCAUAUAAUUGUUUCAUUGCCCUUUGUUUUGCCUUCCACACCGUGUUAUACUUCUCCUUAAUGGGGUAUUGCUUUCCAAGUAUACUUUAAGUUUCUUUGCAGUGGUGUUUGGUUUCUUGGCUAGAAUAGGAGUGAUCUUUUCUGCAAUCCAAAGCUGUGAUGUCAUGGUUGAUACUCUCGGUGAACUUGUAAUACAAGUAUGUUGGUGAGGGAUUUGAUUCACCCUAAUGGUACUUCCAUCAGGUUGGCGUCUAGCAGAUAUGUACUACUUGCAAGGCUUGACACUUCCAUCAAAACCUCUACACCUUGCAUAAAACUUCUUUCUAUCAGUCCACUUAGUCUUGGCACCAAACUCAUGUUUGACUGCAUAUGUCUUGAAACACAUCCUAAACUCAUCCAUGUUUGGGAACAACAUCCCCACUUCAAUAACAGGGUUUUCCUUGUCAUACACAUUUACCAACUCAUCAUCAUGUGCAUCAUCUACAUCAUCUGCAGCAUCUUCCAUCAGCUAUCCAUCCAGAUCUUCAGUUCUAUCUUUGUUAGCAUCAGUAUCAGUAGGCAUACUAGAUUCACCAUCCUUCUCCUCCUUAUCUUCAUCAGCUACUGGAAUGCCAAAUUUUUUGGCCAUCUCAGUGUCAUCCAUUGGUGCAAUGACUAAAUCAGUUGGGUCAUUUAAUUCUACUGAAUUCCAAUCAACAUAAACAACCCUUCCAACACCCUCAGAGCCAUCUUCUGCAUCACCCCCCUCAGGUAAUACUGUCACUUCACCUGUACACAUGGGCAUUAUCUGCCUCUCUGAAGCCCAAUCAUCAUCUACCAUUUGUGAAGCUAACUUUGAGGGCACAUAUCCAACCUUAGAAUCUGAUUUCAGAUCAACAAGCUAUGCAUGAAACAUAGUUUGUUUGGUUGUCCAGCCAUCUUGUUGAUCAAUUUCAUCAACCAUGUCUUCACCAUCCUCAAUUCUCACAUACUCUCCUUUCCAAUUAUCAAACCGUAACAAUGCUACCUCUUGCUCUGGACCCCAAAAAAUGCUCUCCCCAAUUUUUUUCCACCACAUUCUUCAUGGCCUUCUCUUCCAUGCUCUGUAGUUCUUGUGGAUCAAUCUCUGCAAAAUCAAUCUCCGGAUGCUACCAUCACCUAUGUCCCGCAUGCUACCAUCACCUAGCUUCGCCUUAGAAGGAAGGAAUUCCGCAGUGAAUUUGAACGUCCGAGCAACAUCCCCCCUAUUUCGGGGCAGUGUGAGGUGAGCUACCGGAAGCAGACGAGGCACAAAUCGCAUUCCUUGGAAAGGAUGCACAUUAAGGGAUUACCUUCUAGAUGUUGUUGUCUCUGGCGGCUCCAUCGCGUGCAGGCCCCCCUCCCACCCACCCAAAUCUGGAUCAAAUUGACCAAAAACACCAAAAAACAGAGGGAAAGAGAGGCGGUGAGAUCUAGCUCGACACGGAGGGGAACGGGAUAGGGUUCCUGAUUCACUCAACACAGCCGCCGCCGUCGCCGAGAACGAAAGCUCCUCUGCGCUGCUAUCACCGAGAACAAAAUCUCCGGCGCCGGCGCCGGCUCACCGCCAAGAACAAAGAGGGGGGGUACACGUUCAGAUAGGCAUGGGGACACGUUUCACCUGAUGCACUGCCAAGUGGGGCCCGCAACUAGAUGCACUGCCAAGUGGGAUCCACAUGUCUUAAACAUAACCUCACUCCCGUUGACGACCAGUUUAAUCGCCCGAGUGGACCUUGGCUAUUUGGGCCUCUGAAACAUAGUACUACAGUUAUUUUCGUCAACUAUGUCGCUUUCCUUCCAUUGCACCUCAAAUAUGUCGCACAGGAGCUAUUGACCCCUUGACUUGUUGCAGCUGGCCAUUUUCUACUACGAAACCAAUUUUCUAGGAGUAAAUAAAUAAAUGAACAACUACAGCAUACAUCAUAUGAGUUUCAGACUUUAUGAAGCCUGAAUGUUGAAAAAAUAAGAAAAAGAGACAACGUAAGGACCUCUGCUCUGUCGUGCCGAUGGAUGACAGAAGCUAAUUGCAGAUGGCCGGAGUUGCGACAUCAGCCUCUUCGAGACACGCGGAGACCUCCGUAUCUCCUCGAGCUCUCCUGCCGCGCGGGGCCGUCAGCGCCCAACAACCUAUGCGGUGCCGCCGCCGUCUGUCUCAUAGGGAACAGCAGAAAGGCCAUUUUCUUUCGGGUGCUUUGAUAAAAAAAAUCAUAUAUUACAGGUGGGUCCAGGACUACUUAUCAACAAUACAUCUCCUUCUCAAUGUAUCCGAAAUGGGGAUUUUGAAAUAUAUUAACCGGAGUCUCUGAAAUCUAACACACUAAAAUUCAGGAACCUAUGAAAACUGGUACAUUUCUUCAUCAACCAUCCUUCGAACCUCAUGUGGCAACGCAGAUAUCAGAGCAUGUGUGUCUUCCUUCUAAGACUUUUGCAUGUUGCCCCUCUAUGCUCCUUUUUUACGGCCAAUGUGUGGAAGGUCAUGUCCAUAACCUCAUUGAUAGUCAAAACAUAGACGAUGAUGAUUGUGAACAUCCGCUGUGGCUUCAGAUUGCGAUGAUGUUGCCUCAUCCCCCAAUUGUGUAGACACAGGCUCCCAUUACACAAAGGGAAUGGUGGGGCGAAUAGACUCGUACCUCUGAAGAGCGAGGAGAAGAUACAUGUAUUUGUUUUCCUCCAAUAUUUUAGAUGGGCCUAGGACAGAUUGAGAGGGGAGCAAAUCCGAAUUUAUACCACACUCACAUUGACAUCCCAAGAUGGUGGAGUAUAUAUAGAACUUCUAUACAUCUUGUUUUUAAUAGCUCAUUUUUAGGAAGGAAAAAAAUAAAUUGUUAUCAUGGGAUAUGUGUUGAGCAGGUCAUUCAAAAAUGUUUAUUUAAUCAUGUGACUGAAUACACCAGAAUCAUGUGAUCAUCCUACUUGCAUGUUUAUGUUAGUCUCCAACUUCCAAAGUAGAACCUAGUAUACAUGGUAUUCUAGUUCUCUCCUGUGUACCAUCACUCCAAGUCCAUUGCAUCAUGAAAGACGUGUGAAACGUGAGAACUGGCAUUGCAUGAUUCUUCUCCAUCUCUAUGUUUCAUCUGGAUAAAGGGUGUCAGAGUAGAUGAUGGGUUUAAUGGCAGAGAGGGGGGGGAGAGGGAGAGGGAGAGAUCUCAUUCUUGUAAAAUGUAAAAAAAAGGAAUGGAAGGAAAGGUCCACACUUAGACAAACUGAUUAGAUCCGUAAACUAAUUAGACCCGCAAAAAAAGAUGACGCUAUAAAUAUCUCAUAACAACAGAGGGAGAGGAAGGCCAUAGCUUUUAUUGUGUAUGGUGAGACCGGCUUUUCAACACCCGGGUGUCAGACACCCGGCUAUCAGGCCGUUCAGGCAAUACCUCUCAUUGGGAUAUGUGUCUGGUCCUGCACCACCAUUUUCAUUAGCAGGCAAGGUGAAUAGUAAAUGGAUGUGACAACAGAGAACGGCCAUAGAGCGGACGAGCUCGCCUGUGUUGAACAGCCUGUCACGUUACACAAGGUGCACCGAAGCAGGAGUAUUGAGCCGCACCAGAAGUCCCAAUAUAUUGGUAGAGAUAAGCUAGGUAGUUAGUUCAUAUCUAUCCUUUGUAACCUAUUCUAUCUCUUCUCCUUCAAGUCUCCUGUAAUAUCUCAACUUCUAACUUGUAUGUGCUUCAGGGAUUGCGCCCCUGCCUAUAACAUGCAACGCGUCCCCUCGCACCGAGGUAAAGACGUUUCCGCAUCUCGCACAUGGUAAUCAGAGCCAUCCUACUUCCCAUCUAGUUUUCUCUCGAUUCCAAUCGUGUCCAAAAAUCAUGUCUUCCUCCUCCGGCAUCUCUCACCCUAGCCUCAGUGGGCAGGUCAUUGAGAAACUCUCCCGCACGAACUACGUGCUAUGGCGCACACAGAUCACGCCACAAUUGCGUGGCGCCGAUGUCUUCAGCUAUGUUCAUGGCACCUCGCCGGAGCCGGCCAAGCUCCUCGCCGCCAAGGACAAGGACGGCAAGGAGACCUUCCAGCCCAACCCUCUCCACCCCAUCUGGGUCAGGGAGGACCAGCAGGUUCUCGGCUACCUGCUGAGCAACCUCUCCAAAGAGGUGCUCCUCAUGGUGACCACGAUCACCACGGCGCAGCCGCUCUGGACGACGCUGGCGGGCAUGUACUCGUCGCAGUCGCUUAGCCGCAUCAACAACAUCCGUACCUCGCUCAUCAAUGCGCAGAAGGGCAACCAGUCCGCCACCGCCUACUUUGCCUCCAUGCGCGGUCUCGCGGACGAGCUGGCAGCGGCCCGCAAACCCAUCCAGGAUGACGAACUCAUCUCGUACAUCCUCCACGGGAUGGAUCUGGAGUACCAGCCCCUCGUCUCCGCCCUCGACACCCGUGUUAGCCCCGCCUCCCUCGACGAAAUCUUCUCCAUGCUCAGCAACUUUGACCAGCGCAUGGCGCGGUUCCAUAGCUCGGGCGGCGGCAGAUUCAAGUCCUCCGCAAACGUCGCUACCCGUGGACGUGGCGACGGCUCUCGCUACCGCGGUCCUUCCCGUGGCAAGGGGAGGUCUGGUGGCGCCAGGACUAGCAGCGGUGGUGGGAUCAGUGGCGGUGGCAGGCGUGGCAACAAGGGUCGCCGUGGUGGCGACUCUGGUAGAACCCGCCCGGACACGCCGCGCUGUCAGAUUUGUGGCAAGCCGGGGCACACUGCCAAAGACUGUUGGUACCGCUAUGAUGAAGACGAGGACGACUCUCAAGAUGAUGGAAAGGUCGCUACGGCGGCUGAUGGCUCCUACGGUGUUGAUACCAACUGGUACCUCAACAGCAGCGCCACUAAUCAUCUCACCGGUGAGCUUGAAAAGGUGACUCUCCGUGAGAAGUACCACGGCAAGGAUGAGAUUCACACCGCCGAUGGUGCAGGUAUGAGAAUCAGUCACAUUGGUCAUUCGGUUAUACAUACCCCUCGUCGUAAAAUUCAUCUUAGGAAAAUUUUGCAUGUUCCUAGUGCCAACAAAAACCUCCUUUCCGUUCAUAGAAUUGCACUUGACAACCAUGUCUUCAUUGAAUUUCAUCCCUUUUUCUUCUUGAUCAAGGAUCAGGCCACGAGGAAAACCCUAUAUCGAGGUAGAUGUGUUCGAGGACUCUACCCGUUGCUUCCGGAGUUUAGAAGACACAAUAAACAAGCCUAUGCUGUUGUCAAGCUUUCUUCAACAUGGUGGCAUGAUCGUCUAGGAUAUGCUUCUUUUUCUUUAGUUGAACAUUUGCUUAGGAAGAAUAAGCUCAUGUUUGUUGGUGAGCGUCAUGUUGAAACUGUUUGUGAUUCAUGCCAAAGAGCAAAAAGUCAUCAAUUGCCUUAUCCUGUUUCUACUAGUGUUUCUACUCAACCUUUGUAAUUAAUCUUUUCGGAUGUCUGGGGUCCUGCUCCUUGUUCGGUUGGUAGACACACAUAUUACGUAAGCUUCAUUGAUGACUAUACCAAGUUCUCAUGGAUCUACCUUCUCAAGAAACGAUCCGAUGUUUUUCAAGUUUUUCAAAACUUCCAAGCACUCGUUGAAAGAAAUUUGACAGCAAGAUCAUUGCAGUCCAAUCUGACUGGGGGGGAUACGAAAAAUUAAAUUCCUUCUUCCAAACCCUUGGCAUACCCCAUCAUGUUUCAUGCCCUCACCCUCACCAACAAAACGGCUCUGCCGAACGCAAGCACCAACACAUAGUUGAAGUUGGUCUAGCUCUCCUAGCCGGUGCUUCCAUGCCCCUCAAGUUUCGGGACAAAGCCUUUCUUACCAUCGUCCACAUAAUCAACAUGCUUCCUAGUCGUGUCAUCAACAACGAAACUCCCAUGGAAAAACUCCUUCACAUCAAACCAGACUACAAGUCUCUCCGUGUGUUUGGUUGUGCUUGUUGGCCCAACCUUCGUCCAUACAACAAUUGAAAGCUCAUAUUUCGAUAAAAACAGUGUGUUUUUCUUGGGUAUAGUGCCCAACACAAGGGUGUCAAAUGUCUAUAUGUAUCCACUGGUCGCAUCUAUAUUUCACGUGAUGUUGUUUUUUACGAGACCAAGUUCCCAUUUGUUGACCUUCACCCCAAUGCUGGUGCACUCCUUCGCAAAGAGAUCCUACUUCUCCCUUCUCAUCUCACUAGUUUUGAUCAAGGGGGCGAUAAUUGUAAUGAUCAAGUGUUGACUGGCCCUCUUAAUACCACAUAUGAGCCUGGUGAUGAUGCAGGAGAAGGCACAGAAAAAAACAGCAGUCAAGAUGGUGAAGAAAUGCGCUCUACAGAGCCAUAUUUCAUGUGUCCAGGUGAAGGGAACAAGUCCCCUUCGGGAUCCGUGCUGCCAGGCGUGUCAGCCGCAUCAUCCUCAGGAGACCGCGCAGACGCGUCAGGGCGGCCACGCGAAUCUGCACCAGAAUCCGCGCCAGCCUCGUCAGGCGUGGUCGGGAGCGAGCCAUCGAGCGGCGACUCCGAGCCAGCCACGCGGCGCCCUGUGGCUGGGGAACACGCCUCCUCUGCUCCGCGCCAAUCACGCAUUUGAAUAUUCAAGCGUUUGAAUAUUUUUAAUAAAGUAUUGCAAAUGUUAAUCAAGCAAUUGAAACUUGUUAAGGCCUUGUUCGGUUUGGCAGGGUUUGAAGAGGUUUGAAAGGAUUGAAGGGGAUUAAAUCUCUUGCAAGUCAAAAUCCUUCUCAAACCUCGCCAAUCCCCUUCAAUCCAUGUGGCAAGGGGAUUAACCGAACAUGGCCUCAAUGUGUAUAGAAAAAAUGGUUGCCAUGUAAACAAAUAAUUAAUAAAAAAUAUACAAUGUGUAGGAAACGAAUGUUGAUGGUGUAUUUAAAAAUGUUGAUAAAUAAUUAUAAAUUUAUCAAUGUAACAAAAUAAAUUUCUCAUGUGUUCAACAUUUGUUAGUGGUCAUAAUACUUUUUGCGCGCACAAUGCACAUUUCUUUUAUAAAUCAAGAACAUUUUUUUACAUUCUUAAUAUUAUAAAAAUACAUAAUUACCUUUCUUAAAUACAUUUUUAUGGUGUCUACUUUUACUUAAUGUGCAUAUUACAUUUUUGUAUAACUGAUCAGCAUUUUUAUAUACACGUUUAACAUUUUAAAAAAUAUGAUCAAUAUUUUUCCAUAUGAACAAAGCAAAGGCAAUAAAAACCAACUAAAACCUAAAUAGAAACAAAUGAAAUAAAAAUAAAAAAUAAAAAAACACCGCAGAAAGAAUAGAAAACAGCAAAAAUCGAGAAAAAAGGAAAAAUGAAAAAAGAAAGACACAAAUAGAAAAUAAAGAAGAAGAAGAAGAAGAAGAAGAGAAAUAAAAGAAAAAACAUCUAAAAACCAAUAAAGAAACAGAAACAGAUCAAAGAAAACAAAGAAAGCUAAAAGAAAUGAAGAAAUACACAUUCACCAGUGACGCGAUCAUGAGCGGGCAUUUUUUUGUUUUGUUUUGAGAAAUGGACCUCCUAGUUGCUACACGAGAGAGUUAUUCCUUCCGGGUAAAGAAGCUACGAACUCGGGUGAAGCAAGACAUAGCUCUCGCGGGAAAAGAGAGCUCCUCGUUGGCGCGUUAAGCGAGGCGCACCUAUGUAUCGCUUGAUACGAGAUGAAACAUGCGACCGCUUAGGGGUCGCAAUACAUGGUUCGGCCCAGAUAGGUUCCAGGUUAGGUCAUCCUUUUUCAUGUGUUUCUACUUUUUUCGAAAAUAUUGUAAACAAAUAUAUACAAAAACAUAAAAAUUGUUACUAAAAAUAGGAGCUGCAAUUUGAAAAUGUUAAUGAAAUGUAUGUUAGCUUAAUUAAAAGAAAUAUUGGUAGCGUACAAAAAAUAUGACAUUUAACAAAUAUUCACGUGUUUCAAAAGUAGUAUGUGACUUUAUAACCAUGUAUUUCAAAAAUCUUAAAUUUGUAUGUAGACUCUUCUUUAUUUACACAAAAAAUGUACAAAUGUGUACGUAAAAAGUAGACAUAAAUGACAUAUAUUUGGAAAAUGACACUUCUGUAUUAGAAAAAUAUUAAAUAUGCAUCCAAAAUGUUCUUGAUGUAUAAUAAAUUGUACAAUACGUAUAAAAAUCUACAUAUAAACAAUUAUUUGAAACAAAAAAAUUAAUCAUGUAAAUUUGCCCGUCUCCGCGAGAUCAAUUUGUGGUUCCGAACAACGAGCUCGCUCAACGCAGAAGCCAUGGCGGUGGUUGAGGCGCUAGACAAGGAGGUAGUGUCAAGGUGUUUCCCUGGUAACAAGAGCAACCAUGGUGGUUCUCUAAAUAAUGGAGGAGGCAGAGUCAACAGAUCCCUCCAAGCAAUUCAAGUGGGCGGUGUUCAGGUCCCUUACCACAAUUUUCCUUGCGUCUGUGGAGGUGGUAAGGGUGUUACCGACAUCAAGAAGCAGUUCGAUGCUGAUUGUGAUUUCAGAUGAGGAGCUUGAGCUGCAGCGGGUGAAGAAGAAGGGCAUGGUGGUGAGUUUCCCACACGGCUCCGCCAGGCUCCAUGCCCUCUCCGCGCAGAGUAGGUGUCUCCCCGGAUGGUAGCUGCUUCUAGUUGGUGGCCGCGGAGGAUUGCGACUAGGCUGAUGCUGGAGAGGGUUGCCCGCCGGAUAUCUCAGGCAUAUUUCUAUCUGCUAAAUAUUUGCAUUCUGCUUCACAUAUUAGUGAUGGUAGAAAUGUUUUGGGUUGGAAUAAAAUUCAAUUGAAACUGAAAAAGAAACAACAUAAAUAAACACGUCCAGCUACAUGAUUCUAGAGUUUGUGAUUGGGAAAAUAAAGUUGAUGAAAAUUCGUCUUCUGUUUGUUAACCAUGUAUAAAAAUAUGCUUAUCAUGUGUAAAACAUUAUUUAGUGGCGCUAAUUGCUUUUGCACGCACAAUGCACAUUUUUUGUACAUCAAGUACAUUUUUUCUUAACAUUUUAUAAAUACAGAAUCAAUUGUUUAAAAAAUAUGCCGUCUACUUUUAUUUAAUGUACAUAGUAUAUUUUUGGUGCAAAUGAUCAGCAUUUUAAUAUAUACAUUUAACAUUUUUUAAACAUGUUCAAUGUUUUCCAUAAGGACGAAAAAGACAAAGAAACCACCUAAAACUGAAAAAGAAUCAAAUGAAAAAAUAAAAAUAAAAAAGAAAGAAAACCACCUCAAAAAGCAUAGAAAACAGGGAAAACCAUGAAAAAAAUGAAAACAGUGAAAACGAAAGAUACACAAAAAAUGAAAAAAAGGAUGAAUAAAUAAAAUAAAAAACAACUGAAAACCAAGAAAGAAACAAAAAAACAUGAAAGAAAACAAACAAGAAUAAUAAUAAAUCGAAUGGAGAAAAAAAUAAAAAUCGAUGGAAAAUAAAUAAACAAGGAAAACAGGCGAAGAAACAAAGAAAAAAAGAAGUAAACGGACCUUGCCAGUUGCUACGCGAGAGAUCUAUUUGUUCAGGCAAGAGAAGCUACGAACUGAAGUGAAGCGAGAUAUAGCUCUCGUCGCACACGAGAGUUCUUGGUCGGCGGAUUAAGCAAGACGGAGCGUGCAAUAGCUUUGGUGUCAGCUAUACAUGGUUCGGCCCAGAUAAGUUCCAGGUUAGUUCGUCCUUUUUAUGUGUUUCUCCUUUCUUUUGUUCUUAUUUUGAAAAAUGUUGUAAAUAAAUAUAUACCAGAACAUAAAAUUUAUUUAAAAAUAUAAAAAUGUUGAAUGUGAAUGUACUAAAUAUGUUAGCUUAAUUCAAAAAAAUAUAGGUAGCGCACAAAACAAUUGUGACAUUUAACAGAUAUUCACGCGGUUCAAAAAAAGUAUGCAACUUUAUAACCAUGUAUUUCCUAAAUGUUAAACGUCUAUAAAAAAACUCUUCUUUAGUUACGCAAAAAAUGUAGAAUUGUGUAUGAAAAAAGUAGACAUCAAUAACAUAUAUUUGAAUUAUGUUACUUUUGCAUUUAAAAAAUGUUAAACAUGCCUAAAAUAUGUUCGUGAUGCCUAAAAAAUGUUGCGAUGAGGAUGGCUGUCAUCUCGCACCCGCCGACUGCUUGAACAGCUAGCGUCGCUGAGCUUGAGGAACCCCUUGUAGGGACCAAAGCAGACAACCUUGACGUUGCUGGCCUCCGUCGGCAUAUCAACAAAGCGCGACGCUUUCACUGUCGGACCAAAUCAGAGAUGGAUUAGGUCUAAAAUAUAUAUUUCUUGGUUAAAGGAAAAACAUGUAAUAACUGAACUCGCACUUAAGAAUUAAUCAACAUGUUGAUUCCACCGAAGCAUGCAUGCCUCCUGGAUGCUGAAACACGACUCACUGACUAUAAAAGCAGAGGACUCACUGACUAAGUACAGGAGCGAGUGACCGACUCUCGGCUCGGGUGAGGAUAAAAAAGAUCACCUGCUGCUGCUGGUUAUUGGUAAAAUCCAUGUGAGUGCUUGAUAAAAAAUUAUGGAACAUUGUAUAUGUUGUUACACAUAAAUGUUGGGAUAAAAAGAAUCAUCUUGGUACACUGCCUAGUCUUUUGGUGGACAGAAGAUUGUAUGGUGCAAGAAGCUAUUCAGAUACAACAACACUGGGCUACAUGACAGGAAUGGUGUACACGCCCCAAGGGCCAGCAGGCAGCAGCAAACCAGGUCAAGAUGAGAUGGUCUGGGCCUAGGAUGUUGAUUCAGAGAUGCCUGACUCGACGCCAAGCAGCAGCCACCCUACACCGCAGGCCCCGGCAGUUCUCGACCGAGAGCGACUGCGGCACAGUUCAGUUGUAGAAGCAAUCACAUGCCAUUCCCCCAGCAGAGCAGAACAGAGCAGAGCAACAAUCAGGGAUCAGGCCUGUCAUUGAAUAGAAGCUGAAUGACCUUCAGCUUCAGCUCCGGCAGGCCUGCCUCCGCUCACGGACUAGCCUCGGUAUUUCCUUCCAUGUCUUCGGUUUCAAUGGUUUGAAUUCCGUUACUGCACAUACCAAAAACGAUGUCAGAAAAAGCUUGCACAAAUUAAUGUGUUAUAUCAAAAUAUAUAGCAUGAUGGCAUUCAAAUAAUGGAGAAGAAACUUCUGCAAACGUGUUAGACCAUUAUGUACAAGGGAUGGAACGGAUGACUGCAUCUGUUUGUUAAAUGUGGCAAAGAUAGAAGGACGUGCUGCAAGCAUACCUUCAUAGCAGGCAUCUAGUCGUUUGCGGCUGAUGCUGCCCAGUUGCUGCUGCAGGCAUCUAGGGAGCUUCUUUAUAGCAGGGCAGCCUCUAAUUUGAAGAUACACGAGAGACCUGUAUACUUGCAGCUCAUUCGGCAGGGAUGCCAGGGUACUGCAUCUGUCAAGAUAAAGGACAUCCAGCGAUGGGGGGUGCUCUCCCGACAGACACUCCAGCGAUGUCAGCCCACUGUUUCCCAUAAUCUGCGGUCCCUUGAGGGGUGCAGGUAGACGGAGAGUCCCACCCAACAUGCCAGCACAGUCCACUAUUACUAGAGAUUCGAGAUGGGGAGGAAGUAAAUGCUCUCUUGCAGUUGGUGUUGCUGCUGCUGGUGGCUGUGGCAUGAUAGGACUUCUGCUUAUGGAGGUAGUGACUUCUGGUUUCUGGAGCCCACCCAGCUGGCAUGAUAGGACUUGAAUACUACUACAGCUAGCAAUACGAAUGUACUUUAAAGACGGAGGAAGGUUCAGAACCGCUGGUAAGCUUCCACAUCCAGAUAAAAGUAGAUCUUCUAGGCAUGGACAAAAGUGAUUCAUGGGUGAGGAUGGCAACUCUGAUACAGCUGCAGCCCUGAUUGCCUCACUGCUAGAAGAUACUUGGACUAACUCUGCCAUGCCCUGCUGCUUGCUGAAUAUGGAGUCAAGCUUAAUGCACCUAUCAAAAUUCAUUUUCUUGAGAGAUGCCGGGACGUUGAACAUCUCUACUAAACUUGGGCAGUUUUCUAAGCAAAGAGACUCUAGACCUCUCAGGUGCUGACUCCUUUCGGACGCCAAUGGCUCAAGAGGAGCUUGUGCAUAUCCAAUCAGAUUUUCACAGUUUGUAAUCGCCAAGCUCCUCAAGGACACCAAGCUUUGGAACACUUUCUCUGGCCAGUGGACGAGCACAUCGCAUCUAUCAAUUUCCAACUUUUCAAGAUCUACAAAAUACUCACACGGCUCUAAUGCACCCGAUCCAAAGAACAAGUUGCAGCAUCUUAGCUCCAUAACUGUAAGAGGGGAUUUCUGGUUCCAUUUCUCCUUGCUGUCCACCAAUACAAUUGAAGUGCACUCAACCUCUGAUGUUGUUUCUGUGUUUUCUAGCUUCAGUAUCAGAUUGGUCAAUGAGGGCAAAUAUCUAUCUACAGAAUCGGAGAUCUCUUGCUUGCCAUCUUCAAUUUCUAAUACACUGAGUUUUGGUGCUUCAGGCAAUGCUACCAGUUUUGGGCAUUUCUGGACUGACAAUUUCUCAAGGUGGGGAAACAAUGUACCUUCGACUGCAUCCCAUCUCUGAAAGCUCCCCAACCAUUUCAUUUUGAGCACCUUUAAGGCAGGAAAGGCUGAACGUACCAAUCUAUAACCACCUUCACUACAUGGUUCUUGAAGCAAUGGUGCUUCAGGUAACGCUGUCAGCUUUGGACAUUUCUCAAUUGAUAGUUCCUCCAGACAAGGAAACACUAUCUGUUCUCCUUGAGUCUCUUCGACUGCAUCCCAUCUCCGAAAGCUCUCCAACUCUUUCAUUUUGAGUACCUUUAGGGCAGGAAACGCUGAGCGUACCAAUGUAUAACCACCUUCACCACAAGGUCCUUGCAGCAAUGGUGCUUCAGGUAAUGCUACCAACUUUCCACAAUUACUAAUAAACAACUUCUCAAGCACAGGAAAUAUUGUUUGUUCUUCUUGCCUCUCAUCUAUUUCCCACCAUCUUACAAAACCCAACAAACGUUCUAGCAUUAGUACCUUCAGUUUUGGAAAAGUGAAGCUUGCACUGCAUCUGAACAAAACUUGCAAUCUUUCACAAUGGAAAAGAUGGAUCUCAACCAUGUUUUGCAGCAUACCCAUGCACUCUCCUCCAUAGGAAUAUAUCUUCAGAACCUGCAACCCACCAUGUGGUUCGAAAUUGUCGAGCACCAUGCUGUCACAAACAGAAUUCCAUCUUAAUGUCAGUUCUCUGAGAUCCUUCUUGUUUCCAAGGUUUGCCACUUUUGCCUCUGCCUCUAUAACAUUCUCUAUCUGACAUAGCUCUAACUGACCACCAAGGUUUAAAUGCUGCAGCUCUGCAACAUCACUGCAAUCAGUGCCAGUAACUGCUGCUGCAAAAAAUGUAAGCGUCUGCAGCUUAGUGAGUUUUCCUAGUUCUGGUGGCAUGCUCUUCAAGUUGCGACAUCCAAGAGUGUAGAGGUGACGGAGGGAAGUCAUAUACUUCAUUUGCCUCGGAAGUCGAUCAAGAUGAUAGCAGUUGGAAAGGUCUAACGUUUGCAGGUUAUAUAGAAUACUUAUAUCUUCAGGAAGUGCUUUGAUAUCACUGUCUGAGAGAUCAAGGUACCUCAGGUGAUACAGAUACAUUGAUUUCAGAAGAAAUGAUUCUGUGCCUCUAAUACAGAGCUUUAAGGCAUGCAAAGAGCUAUAUUUUGAUAGAUGCUUCAAUGAGCUUCGCACAUGGCUAUCACAUAUCAGUGUUUGAAUGGCAGGGGAUUUUUUCUCCAGAGCAUCAUUCAAAAUACCUUCUGUUUCUUCACAUGACAAGAACAAAUGCCGAGCAGUAUCUGGAAGCCACUCGGUUUGCCUUGGUUCCAUAGUUGCAACAACUCAUUCCUCUUCCAUAACAGACAUUGCAAUAUCAUGCAUAAGAUCAUGGAUUUUACAUGUAUUUCUGGAAUAAUACUCCCAGUCUUCUUUACUCUUCUCUAUAUCCAGAAAGAAUGACCUUGAAGCAAGCUCAUCAAAAAUAAGUUGUCCAAUGGUUUCAAGACUAUCUUCCUUGUGUUCAGGGAUAAAGCCAUUUGUGAUCCAUAGUUGGAUCAGCUUUGCUACAUCAAUCUUGUAAUCCUUUGGAAAUACAGCACAAAAAGCAAAGCACUGCUUCAUGUGCGAUGACAAGUCAUUGUAGCUAAGCUUCAAUAUUGGCAAGAUUCCAGUUUCCUCAGUGCAAAUGCUGCUUCUAGAUGCUAUAGCCUUCCAUUCUUUCACGGUGGUCUUGGUACGAAGUACAGAGCCCAGUGCACUUGCAGCUAAAGGAGAGCCACGACAUCUGUUCACAAUCUGAUCAACCAUCUUGACUAGCUCAACAGGCUUUUUUUUUCCGGAACUGAAUGCUCGAGCCUCAAUAAUUUCCUUUAAGAAUAUAUCAUCCAAACGACCGAGAAUGUGGGUAUCUGCACCCAUAAUUUCAGCAACUCCUUUAUCACGAGUUGUUGUCAGCACCGCACUACCCAUGACACCAUGCUUAAGAUGGUCCUUCAGCCUUUCCCACUUAUGGACUUCUCUGUUCCAGACAUCAUCUAAUACAAGGAGAUACCUCUGCCCGGUGACCAAUUUCUGAAGUCUCUCUAGUUGUGGUUUGUUUGUAUGAUAAUUUUUCUUGGGAGAUGCUUCAACUAUACUCUUGGCUAGGGAGUUCACAUCAAAGAUAUCCGAGACACAGACCCACAGCAACAACUGGAAAUGCUUCUGAAUUCUAGGUUCAUUGUAUAUGAGCUGUGCUAAUGUGGUCUUACCAAAGCCCCCCAUUCCAACGAUGGCAACCACUGCGAGAUCAGCACUAUUAGCUUGGCGAAGUAGUCUACCAACAACUUCCACCUUAUCUUUGUCUCUGGAUCUGCUAGCAAUGUCUUGCAGGUCGGUGAUAACAGAAUCCGUCUGCCUCCACUGCUUGGACACGGGUGGCUGUGGUCGGUACUUGAACCUAAAGGCAUGCAUCUCUGCUAUGAGCACAUCAAUGGCCUUCAGGAUCCGGCAAAGCUUGCGACCCAUUUUGUAACGGAACACAAUACAGUUGUGAGUAGGGAAGAGUUUAAUUACAUCGAAGCCGAGCUUGCUGUAGUGCCCCUUCUUCCUGGCUUCACGACGGAGUGCUUCGUACUUGAAUUCGUCAAACACUUCAUUUGCCUCAUAUGCCACCGUCUUGAGCUCCUGGAGCCAGGUUUUGGCCCCAUCUCUAUGCUCCGUCGCCUGCUUCUCGGCGUCGGUCAUGACGUCGAGGAUGGCCGGAAGCUUGCGUUUGAGAAUCUUGUGCUGCUCCUCCAUUCCCUCCAUCACCUUGUACUGGUCCAGGAGGGAGUUGCCCGCCUUGUUCACCAGCAUGGACACCAGCGGCCGGAUGGCCAUGGCGGCCACCACCUCCGCCAUUGGAACGCCCACACGAUUGGCACAGCAACACGAAGCAGUGUGGAAUGGAGAAUGGAAUGGUGUGAGCAAGACGUGCUUGCUUUGCUAGUAAUGAAACUGGAAGCCAAGGUGAGUAUUGACUUUCUGGGAGCGAAGUGGAUGAGCUCGCGUUACGGGAACCAAUCACAACUAUCCAAUCCUGAACAGCUCAGCACUGGGCAUUGUUUUUGGGCUGAUGCAUAAUAGGACAAUCAGCAUACCACAUUAACAGCUGGGGGCAUCUUCAUUUCUUAAUGAGACACAACCAGAGUGCAAGACGACGCGGGCAACCAUAAUAUUGCAAGUAGAUCAUUGUAUUAGGUAUUUGUGUCAGUACAUCCAAUCCAGUUUUUCAAAAGUGACGUUUCACUGGCUGUGACCUUAGCAGAUGGUACGAAUUUCCUUAACAAAUACAAAGAGUUGCAGGAAUGCAAAUUAAAUAAUUACUUCCACUGGCUAGACGUGUGACAGCACACCUACUGCCUAACUACAGCAUAUACUUAUCUCAAGUGCCUGCCGCCCAGGGAGACCAGAAUAAUGGUGUUCUUGGAUUAGUUGAACCUUCAAUGCAUCACUACUUAUCACCGAAGCAUUAUUUUAUUGUUCUUUUUUUUUUGGAAUGGCCUCUAAGUAUGAUUGAGUACAGGAUUGAUCUCAGAGCAAACAUAAUCGGCUGGCAGAGAAUUAUGUCUUGUUCAUAUAGUCUGAUGCAAUUUUGUGGUUACACACUCCUCAGUUUUUAUAACUAAAUACAGAAUUUUAAUCUGUUGACAGAUCAGACAAACGUAGAAACAGUUAGCAAGAGCCCCAAUGAGAUUAUAUGCAGCAUCAUUUUAAUCGGAAAGCAAUUGCCCUCAUGAGAUCAGCAACCAUACACAGUGCCAAUAAAAAAAGGUGGCUCGUACUAACGACGCAGGUUUCAAAUUAAUCAAGUGGCUAAACCGAGGCAUCGACAGCCAUAUGGGACAAUGUGCACUUCAGUUAGAAAAUGAACACUUGCAGGCAGUAAAAUAAUUUAUGUCAGUACACCCACGAUAUUGCAAAUAGAGUAUUAAUUACGUAUUUGUGUCAGUACAUCCAAUGCAGUUUUUCAAAAGUGACGUCCCAUUGGCUGUGACCUUAGCAAAUGGUACGAAUUUUCGUUCUAAGUACUACAAAAAGUUGCAGGAAUGCAAAUUAAACAAUUACCUCCCAUGUCUAGACGUGUGAGAGCACACCUACUGUGCAACAACAAAAUAUAUUUCAUCUCGGGCACUUACCGCACAGGGAGGACCACAAUAUUGGUUUUCGUGAAUCUAAAAUACAUCACAUGCUUCCUGCUGAAGAGGGAAGACCCGGUGGCAAGUGGUUAAUUUCUUGUCCUUUUUUAAUGACACCUCUAACUAACAUUGAAGGGGCAUGAUUGAUCUCAGAGAUGAGCAUAAUAAGCUGGCAGAUGACCAUCCCUUGCUCAUAUGGACAAAUGAUACACUUAAUAUACUGAUAUGAUAAAAUACAACUUGACAAUCUCCUGAUAUUCGACGAUGAAAGAUAUGUAUGAGUAUGCGAUUCAAUUUGGUGGGCUUAAUAUGUUCCGUUAUUGAGAGACAGUGAAAAGCGGAAUAAAGGGCAGGGUGGAAUUCUCUAUAUCAGGUUAAGGAGAUCGUCUUAACUAACUAAAAUCAGAUGAAGCCUAACUUUGCAACCAUACGACGGAAGCAACAAAAAUAAAGACAGGGAGCCAGAACAGAACAAAGAUAAAUUCCAGUGCCCUUUUAUUGAUCACUGCCUAUGGCCAUAUAGAUGAGAUCUGGGACUCGGCCAGCUGAAACAUUCCUCUAGAAAGCACAUUUCCGCUGAUGCACAUAUGAAAUACGACAGUACAAAGCAGAAUAAACACUGAGAUUAUACAGAUGAUUGGACGCUGUAACUAAGUUGGAUAUCGCGGCGCGCAUAGGCGGAAAUGAGAGAGAAACGGAAUGUCCAAAGCCACAAAUGUACAUCGCUGUCAGGCUACCCAGCUGAAUCCUGCUUCCUGCUGACCCUCCUGAUUCACGCAGACGCAGCUAGCAUGGAGAUGGGCACGCCUCUCGAAUUCAUGUGAAUCGAAUCGCUGGAAGAGACGGACGGACAGGAUCAAUACCUUUGUGUCGACGGGGAGGGGAGGCCGGAGUGGCUGCCGUCGACGUACGGCGCGCAGCCGACGGGGGAGCUCCGGGACCUUCUUGUCGACACCAUCUGCAAUGGAAGUAAAAAAGAGCUGUUAGAAGAGGAUACGAGAGAGGCUCACGGUAGGAAGGAAUGGGGAAGGGGGAUGAGUGAGUACCUCGAGCGGCCGCGGUGGUGGUGGGCGGGCGGAUGCGGAGGGUGGGAGGGAGGCUGACACCUCCGCCGCCACAGACGUACGUGGAGCGGCCACGGGCGUUGCGUUCUGGUAGAGGCCACGGGCAGUGGGGUCCGGGAGACGUCGUGCGCCGGCGAGGAGGACGGGGAAGGGGAGACGAAGACGACGCGGAUCGGCGGAGUGUGGGCUGGGCUUGUGACGUUGGGGCCUCCGAAAACUAUAGCCCAGUUCGAAUUGGUGCCCUAACACACACAGCGCUUACGUCGGCUAAAUCCUAUUUGGCGCCUUCAGCGCCCGCUAUAGGUCUUUCGGCCGGCCCAGUUUCGACAUUUUUUCUGUGUUUCCAAAAGGCAAAAAGGGCGCUAGAGCUGGGUAUCGAAAACGCUACAACCACUCAACCACACCCCUUGGUGUGAUUGGUUACAUGUUUUCUCGUCUUUUCUUAUGCUUCUUUUCCUUUUUAUUCCUUUUUUUCUUUCUUUUUUCAAAUUCGCAAAACUGUUUCUUCAUGAAUAUUUUCUGCAAAUCGAUGAACUUUUCUCUUUGAAUUUGAUGAUUUUUUUCGAAAAAUUUGAUGAACGUUUUUUCAGAUCCGAUGAACUUUUUUUUGAAUUCCAUGAACUUUUUUCAAAUUCGAUGAACUAUUUUUCGAAUUCAAUGAACUUUUUCUGAAUUCGAUGAACUUUAUUUCGAAUUCAAUGAACUUUUGAUCGAAUUCGAUGAACUUUUUUAAAUUUGAUGAACUUUUUCAAAUUCUGAUGAACUUUUUGAAAGGACAAGAGUACAUACCGUAGCAAAACGGUUUGUUUUUUCCAAGAAAAUCAGUACACACUGUAGCAUUUUUUGAGCGAGAGAAAUAAAAAAGUGAUCGAGCGGUAGCUAGCGACCGAGCGGCGACAGCAGCGAGCGUUGCUGGGCCAGGCCCAUGCAAGCGACGCAGUGGGCGCCGUGUUCACUCGCUCCACCUCUGCAUUGAUGUCUCUAGCUUGUAGCAAUUGCCAUCCUUUACAUGUAAAGAGGAUUUGAUGAGUCAUGUCAUGCUCUAUAGGCGUCAGUUCAUCUUAUCACCUUAGAGGAAAAUACAAAGUUAGUUUUUCGAAAAGCAACCGAGCCUAGAAGAACCGUACCCUCGACACGCAAGGCUUUAGCAUAUCUUAAUAGCCGAGACACGAUUGCGACUUGGUUCCACACAAGUUUCGUCUUUCUUGUUAAUGGCUGACAGCCCAUACAAGAUUCCAAACUCGGUUGCAAAAGUGAUACUAUCCUGAUAAGUGCGUGACAUGUAAAGUGAAUAAGGUGAUUCAUCUAUAGCAAACUUUAGGAUUUCUAUACUUUGUGUAUAAUCAUAUGCACAACUAAAAAGCAACUUUGAUGAUCAAUCCAAAAGUACGCUUGUAGCUAGUGCAACCUAACACAAUGUACCAAAAAUCCAUUUCAGAAACAUCCAAACAUAAUUAUUAAAGCUGAUGGAAAGAAGGAAAGAGAUGGUGCCCGGGCUACUAUAAAUAGGCAUGAAGUAUCAAGAUCAUCACAGGCACAAUCAUCAAAACCAAGCAAUACUAGUUAACACCAAUCCACCAUGAAGACCUUCCUCAUCUUUGCUCUCCUUGCCAUUGCGGCGACAAGUGCCAUUGCACAAAUGGAGACUAGCCGCGUCCCUGGUUUGGAGAAACCAUGGCAGCAACAACCAUUACCACCACAACAACAACCACCAUGUUCACAGCAACAACAACCAUUUCCACAGCAACAACAACCAAUUAUUAUACUGCAACAAUCACCAUUUUCGCAGCAACAACAACCAGUUCUGCCGCAACAGCAACCAGUUAUUAUACUGCAACAACCACCAUUUUCGCAGCAACAACAACCAGUUCUACCACAACAACCACCAUUUUCACAACAACAACAACAACAACAACAACAACAACCACCAUUUUCGCAGCAACAACAACCAGUUCUACCACAACAACCACCAUUUUCACAACAACAACAACCACCAUUUUCGCAGCAGCAACAACCAUCUUCACAACAACCACCUUUUCCACAACAACACCAACAGUUUCCACAACAACAAAUCCCUGUUGUUCAACCAUCCGUUUUGCAGCAGCUAAACCCAUGCAAGGUGUUCCUCCAACAGCAGUGUAGCCAUGUGGCAAUGUCGCAACGUCUUGCUAGGUCACAAAUGUGGCAACAGAGUAGUUGCCAUGUGAUGCAACAACAAUGUUGCCAACAGCUGCCGCAAAUCCCCGAACAAUCCCGCUCUGAGGCAAUCCGUGCCAUCGUCUACUCCAUCAUCCUGCAAGAACAACAACAGGGUUUUGUCCAACCUCAGCAGCAACAACCCCAACAGUCGGGCCAAGGUGUCUCCCAACACCAACAGCAGUCGCAGCAGCAGCAGCAACUCGGACAGUGUUCUUUCCAACAACCUCAACAACUACAACAAUUGGGUCAGCAGCCUCAACAACAACAGAUACCACAGGGUAUAUUCUUGCAGCCACACCAGAUAUCUCAACUUGAGGUGAUGACUUCCAUUGCACUCCGUACCUUGCCAACGAUGUGCGGUGUCAACGUGCCGUUGUACAGCUCGACCACUAUUAUGCCAUUCAGCAUUGGCACUGGAGUUGGUGGCUACUGAUAAGAAAAGAUUUCUAGUAAUAUAUAGUCGUUAGAUCACCGUUGUUUAGUCGAUGGAUAUGUCGAUGUAGCGGUGACAAAUAAAGUGUCACACAAACGUCAUGUGUGACCCGCAAACUAGUAGUUAAAUUCUGGAAUAAAAUACAAAUAAAGUUUUCUCUAGACAAUGUUCAUACCGGCGUUCUGUGGACGUCGAUGUGACUACCAUGCUUGCAAGUUCAUAAGUUCGUCUUGUCUGGUCACAAACCUGGUGCGUUAAUUUAUUAUUCAUGUAUAGAAAUAAUCAAAAUUUAAAUAUAAUAGUGUUAUUGUAAAAUUUUGGUUGAGUUGAAGCAAGGACUAACAUACAACUCUUUAAUGGUUGGAGAUUCAAGAUCUUAUUUUUAUUGGUUUGUAUCUGGUUCCAACUACCACCAUGGUCUACAGUGACAACCACAACUGGUUUGAUCGUUAACUCUCUUUGCUUGGUUUUUUUGCAAAUAUGUUCAUUGAUUCUUUGCACAAUUUUUUUGUCAAGAAAAAGGUCAGCUUUUGCUUGAACUUCACACACACACACCACUACAUAGUUAAUUCGAAAUAAGUUGCUGGUGAUGUCCUAGACCAGCUAGCACAGUCAGUGUGUGUGGGGAGGGGGAGUUGUUGCAUGCGUAUUCUUCGCGCAUUAUUUUAUUUUGUUCUUUUGAUGCUCUUACACCAUACCACAUUUUUACUUGAUGGAAAGCAAAAUAAACAACGCAGCUAGAAACCAUAGAACUUGAUACUGGGUGUGUGUCAACUUCACAUCCUCCUCCUUACGUCAUUUCAAUUGGAAAGCAAUAGCCCUCAUGAGAUCAGAUAUCCAUACAUAAUGCCAAAAUAAACAAGGUGAUGGCAUUAACGAUGCAAGUUUUAAAUUAGUCAAAUGGCUAAACUGAGGCACCGGCAGCCAUAUGAGACAUCCACGAGCAUGUAAUCCAUCUUAUUGCAAGUAGAGCACUGUAUUAUGUAUUUAUGUCAGAACAUCCAGUGCAGUUUUUCAAAAUGACGUUCCAUUGGCUGCAACUAGCAAAUGAUACGAAUUUUCUUUCCAAAUACUACAAAAAGUUGCAGGAUUGCAAAUUAAACAAUUACCUCGACUGACUAGACGUGAAACAACACACCUGCUGUGCAGCAACAACAGAUAAUUCAUCUCAAGCACCUACCCAGCAGGGAUUAGUUCUCGUGAAUUCAUGGAAUUUAGAAUGCAUCACAUGCUUACUGCUGAAGAGACAAGACCCAGAAGCAAGUGGUCACUUUCUUGUCCUCUUUAAAUGACACCUGUAAUUAAGAUUGAGUACAUCAUCGAACUCAGAAGUGACCAUAAUCUGCUGGUAGACCAUUAUUUCUUGUUCAUAUGAACAUACAUAAUACUUAAUAUACUGACAUGAUACAAGGCAACUUGACAAUCUCCUGUUAUUCGAAGAUGAAAGAUAUAUAUGAGUAUGCGAUUCAAUUUGGUGAGCUUAAUAUGUGCCGUUAUUGUGAAACAGUGAAAGACUGAAUAAAGGGACAUAUGGAAUUCUUUUUAUCAUAAUAACGAGUUUCUAAACACAGAACGAAAGCAACAAAAAAUAAAGACAGAGCGCUAAAAUUUCAGAGAAGUUUUUGAAGAUAUAAAAUGCAGUGCCCUUUUAUUGAUCACUGCCUAUAGCCAUAUAAAUAAGGUCUGGGACUCGGUUCGCUGCAACAAGCCUCUAGAAAGCACAUUUCCUCUGAUGCACAUAUGAAAUUUGAGAGUAAAACAUAAAAACGCCGAGAUAUACGGAUGAUUUAAUGAUGUAACUAACUUGGAUAUCCUUCUAGUGACCACGGAAUGGACAAAUUUUCUUCCGAGACGUCGAAAAGGGAUGGAACCUCCACACCCACUGCUUCUCCUUCACCUGCAUAGCGUGCGUAGGCGGAAAUUUGAUGAGUAUUUGAAGUGACAUCCACAUAGAGCAGGAGUUAUUCGGCUAGCAAAGUGCAAAUGUACAUCACUCUCAGGCUACAAGACUGAAUUCUGCUCGAUGAUCUUCCUGAUUCAUGCAGCGGAUAUGCAAAUGGGCGUGCCCCUUAAAUUCAUGUGAAUCAAAUUGCAGAAGAGACGGACAAACAGGGUUAAUAUAUACCUUAUUUCUUGUGUUGACGGGAUGGCUGGAGUGGCUGUCGUCGAUGUACGGCCCGCACUCGACGAAGAGCUUGAAGACCCUCUUGCGAAGACCAUCUGCGAGAGGAAGCAAGAGUUGAGGUCAGAAGAGGGUACAGUAGAGGUUGAGGGUGGGAAGGAAGGCAUCAACACUAGUAGAAAAAGGGCCUAAUGUGAAGCACAUUAGUCCCGGUUUGUAACAAAACCGGCACUAAUGUGUCCAUUAGUGCCGGUUCCAACGGCUAGGCGGGUGGAGCUAAAUUAGACUGAAUUGAACUUGUUCUUUAUAACUAGCUUGGGACAGAAAAAUUACUAUGAAAUGCACUUGAUUAUACUUGAUUUUAUGGGCUACAAAAAAUAUCAUCCAAAAAUGCUCUAAAAAACACGUUCUAAAGUAGGUUUGGCAGGAGAUGCGGCACAUUAUCAUUCAGAAAUUAGACCAAGAUAAAUGUGGAGUUGGCGGCUCAACACUCUAUAAGACUGUAACAGGUUGUCCCAGUGUCUCAGUCCUUUAGGACAUAGAUCCAGAAAAUGUAGAACUAACAUAUUAGCGGUUAGGAUCAUAUUUGCAAUGUGGGAACUUGGUGCGCUCGCUCCAACAUGCCUAGUGGAAGCAUGUGUCCUCUGAUGCACAUAUGAAAUAUGACUGGUACAAAACAUAAGAAACACUGAGAUUAUACGGAUGAUUGGAUGCUGUGGCUAACUUGUGCGUCGCUCCAGUCAACUGAGUGGACGAACUCGCUAAGAGCUUUCUUCUCGGAGAUCAAAGGGGACGGAACUUCCUAAGAGCUUUUGAUUCAACCUCCAUGCUAACUAACUACUUCUCCACCUGUUUAGUGGGCGUAGGAGAAAAUUUGAUGAGUAUUUGAAGUGACGUCCACAUAGAGCACAUAGCUAUAUUCAGUUAGAAAAGCCACAAAUGUACAUCACAUCCAGAUUAAUGGAGGUGGAAUGUGAAUGUGUGUGCCCUUAAAUUCAGGUGAAUCAAAUCGCAGAAGAGCCAGACGAAUAGGAUAGAUACCUUGAGUGGACGUGGAGGACGGAGUGUCUGCAGACAAUGUAUGGCCCACACCUGAAGGAGACCUUCUUGCCGAAAGCAUCUGCAAGAGGAAGUAAGAACAUGGUUGUUGACAUCAGAUUUUGGCAUGGUACAAAAAGCAAUUAAGAUUGCCCCAAAUGGAGAAGUGAUUUACAUGAAAAAGUUCCAUUUUGUCGACCUGAACAUCUUUGAAGUUUGUGCCAUCGCCAUCUAAUCUCAUCUCGAAGGCCAAAGUUAUGUUCGAAAUACUGAGAUUUUGUAUCCAGAGCACUGUUCGGCCGAUUAUGCCUCAAGGGAUGGUCACUUUCUACAUGAAUUGUCUUCGUCUCAUCAAAACGGUCGAUUUUGAUAAAAAUUCAUGUCAAUCCGAGGUUGUAUGUAAAAGUUAGAGCCACCCGAGUGCGGUCAUGAGCCAAAAGUGGCGAGUAAUAGUCUAUUUUGCACGAGCAAUUCGUCCCUGAAGUUGGCAUCUAUUCGAAACAUGUUUAACAUGAAUGUUGUUCGUCUCGGUGAAACGGUUAAAUUUGGUUCUUACACGAUUUUGAUCUGAGGUCAUUUACUACCCAAAAAAUGACCCGCAAGGUGAAGCCAAUUUUUAGAUCGAAUAGUUUUGGGAAGUUCGGAUCGAACAAUCCGAAUAGGAAUCAAAUUAGGGUUUUGGACAUGAAUUCUAACCUUUCCUUGCACGGGAAGUCCAUCCACCUCUUAUAUACAUGAGGGGUGACGGCCGAUUGAGAAACAACACACAAUCGCAAAACCCAUCUACAAACUUUCAUCUCCUAUCCUACUUUUCUGCUUCUCGUUCAUCAGUGUUCUUUGCUUCGGAGAGCUCUGAUCUAUGAAGUCCUAGGGGUGGGCGAACCAACCUAGGGCAGCCCAGCACUGUCGUGCGGCCAGACAGGGUCUCUUCCGACCGCGUGGGGUUUCGGGUCUUCAAAAGCGCUCGCCGGAUUGUAUUGCGUACCACUCUUCCGGUGAGCCUCCUUCGGCGAUGUGUCUUGCGUAUCGCGCUCGACGCCGAGGGUACACGGUGACGUGUUUGUGUGUGAACACACUUUUUGGCGACUCCGCUGGGGACCAAAGAGCAAUCAUCAUCAUCCAUCAUGGUCAAUCUUCCCAAGCCAUCUGAAGUGGAUGCCGAUAACAUCAACAAGCCCAAUUUUGAGGAAUUAUCGGCAGAACAUCGCCAAGCUUGUGAGUAGUACAAGAAGGCACGUGAAGGGAAGGAGAUGCAGGAGUUCCUUGCUAAGUUCAAAAAGGAUCGCCAAGGCAACAUCACUUCAAUUGAAGAAAUCAAGUUUCCUCCUCUUCACAAUGAGUAGGUAGAGUCGGCUGAAAUCACUACUCUUAUUGCUCAGAAUAAUGAUCGAAAAAAUACUCCUCAAUCAUCUAAUGGUAGAAAAUAAUACUGAUCGAAAAAAUACUCCUCAAUCAUCUAAUGGUAGUGGUAGUAUGUCUGCUGGUGUGGAAAACUUUAGUCCAAAUUUACCUAUUCCAGCGGUGCUGCCCAUGCCAUUGAAUUCUUAUCCCAGUCAGACAAACCAACUUGUUGCUCCACCAUUUAAUCCAGCCAGGAAUAUGCCAAGUUCAGUGAAUCCAACUGCAUUGCUAGGUUAUGGUUCGGCAAGUCCAAGUGGAUUGCUGCCGAACUAUGGUAUAACAUACACACCACCAUCUCUUCCGACUAGCACUAUACCAACUAGUAGAAAUCAUAUUCACCAUGCGCCACAACCACACGCAACGCCGCUCAAUACGAGUGAUAUUUUGGCUAAUGUCAGAGAGGAGAUGUCGAGGGUGUUCCGAGAGCAUUGCGGGAUUGAACUACCUCAACCACGAAUUUCUAGGAAACCAUAGCUAGAAAUUUUUGAUGUCGUGCCAUGUCCUCCCGGAUAUAAAGUUCCAGAUUUUGUUAAAUUUAGCGUAGAGGGAAGAAAGACUACAUGGGAGCAUGUUAGUCGGUACUUGGCACAAUUAGGUGAGGCAAGUUCACGAGACGAGUGGAAAGUACGUUAUUUUCCUUUAUCUUUAACCGGUACUGCUUUCCCGUGGUUUUCUGCAUUACCACCCGGUUCUAUUACUGCAUGGUUUCACUUGGAGCAAAAGUUUCAUGACCACUUCCAGAGUGGUGACAAUGAGCUUAAACUAUCCCAUCUUACAUCGGUUAAGCAAAAGCAUGAUGAAUCAGUCUUCGAUUAUGUCAAAAGAUUUAGAGAUACAAAAAACCGGUGCUAUAGUUUGGUGAUAACCGAGAGAGAUGUGGCUGAUCUCGUGCUUAGUAGUUUGAGAACUCACAUUAGAGAGAAGCUGGAAGGCUAUGAGUUUUCAAGUAUCAACCAUGUCUUAGAAAAGGGCUUUGGCUCAAGAAAGCCAAAGCAAAGAGUUUAAAGAGGUGCAUAGGUAUAACACUGAUCAUCCUAAGAUAAAUAUGAUUGAGUAUGAUGGUGAGCACUCGGAUGAUGAGGGUGAUAUUUAUGAUACUGAAUUUGUUUGGCCAUCUAAGGCCAAACCAUUUACUUGCAAUGAUAUAAAGCCAAUUUCAUAAGAAUCGUGAUGAAGAGAUGAAAAUUACUUUCAACAUUACUAAGUGUGAUAGAAUAUUUGAUGCUUUGUUGCAAGCGAACAUUAUUAGAAUAUCUCAUACUUUACCGCCGUUUCAAGAGCUGAAACGGCGUGCUUAUUGCAAGUAUCAUAAUUCUUUUUCUCAUGCCACUAACGAUUGUAAUGUUUUUCAACGACAAAUACAGCCGGCCAUUAAUAACGGACGAUUGAAAUUUUCUCAGAUUCCACUUGAUAAGCAGCCCUUUCCAAUGAACACCAUGGAUUUGGAGGGAAAAAGAUGUUAAUUCGGCCCGAUAUAGCCGAAUCAGCUAAUAAAAAUAAGAUUGUCAUUGGUGAGCCUCAGAAAAGCAAGGAAGACGACAAGGCCUUGGGGAGACAAGUUGUGCUUGACAAGCGACCCGGUGGCAAGGAGAUCAUUAAGAUCACCAUCAAGAANNNNNNNNNNNNNNNNNNNNNNNNNNNNNNNNNNNNNNNNNNNNNNNNNNNNNNNNNNNNNNNNNNNNNNNNNNNNNNNNNNNNNNNNNNNNNNNNNNNNNNNNNNNNNNNNNNNNNNNNNNNNNNNNNNNNNNNNNNNNNNNNNNNNNNNNNNNNNNNNNNNNNNNNNNNNNNNNNNNNNNNNNNNNNNNNNNNNNNNNNNNNNNNNNNNNNNNNNNNNNNNNNNNNNNNNNNNNNNNNNNNNNNNNNNNNNNNNNNNNNNNAAAUUUGUUAAACCAAAGAAUCCAGAGGUUGGCAAGUGGAAGACGAAUGAAGCUAAAGUACAACGCAAGAGAAUCAAGCCAACUUUUGUUAUGUUGCUAUGCAAAUGUGCCAAUCAAGCGGCCAAUUCUAGCUCUAACCGGUCAUCAAAUUUAAAGCUCUCCAGGUCACCUCCUCGACAAGAAUUUCAUCAUCAUGCAAGGCCAUAUGGGUCUUGGGCACCUUGACCAUCGAUGGCACCACCCCCCCUAUGUGUCAUACUACAUGGGAAACUUUAAUGGAGGAUGGGGGCAACCUCCAAUGACCCCUUAUGCUUUUCAUCCGGGUUGGGUAGAACCAAGGAGGCCCGUUUGUGAGAGGCUUUCUUACCCUAUACAUGGCCGUUUGAACAAUGGUGUCAAUCGGCCAAUGCAGGAUAAUCAAAAAAGGUUCAGCAAUCAAGUGUGGCGAGCUAAAUCACCAAGUGCUGAAAUUUCAGAGGCUAGCAACCAAAAGGAGAAGAGUACUAGUGCUGAAACUAUUAUUGUAGGCACUAAAGAAUUAACAAUCAAAUAGCCGAUUAUUGUUGAUAAUGCAGCUAUUUCUAACAAGGAUGUGGCUGCUGUCCAACAAGGUCCCGUGGCUAAUGAUCAUGAAGCUAGCACAAGCAAGGCCAAGCUGAGGGAUCCAAAAUAUACUUAGCCUAAGUGGUGUCCCUCCGGUCUGACCAAGGCACAAAAAAGUAGGUUGCAGCACAUGAGAAGCCACGAGAAGGAGGGAUAAGAAGCGGAGAGGCAAAGGGAUAAACUGUUCAAUGAAACCCGUCCCAUGAUGUCCGCAAAACAAGUGUGGAGGCCUAAGCAAAAGGAAAACAUAGUAGCUUCUGCAUUGGUAAUAACAGCACCUACACCACCAAUGGAGGACGAUGCGACUGCUAUUACAUCGUCCACUUCACCUAUUACUUCCUCUUCACUAGGAGAUAUUUCGGAGUCGAUGGACAUGCUUCAGGAUGGAGAUGGUAUUUUGGAUUAUGAGUCUACACCGGUUCAUGAAGGUAUUGAUAUUAAUAUGGUGCACUACUUACCCGCUGAAUUCCGUGCUAUAUAUGAAGAAGGGCAAGUACCUCAGUUGGAUUUUGGUCCUAAAAAUGCUAUAAUCGAGAAGCCAAAAGAAUGGGUGACGCACCUGAAGCCAUUGUUCCUUAAAGGUCAUAUUAAUGGAUCGCCGAUUGCUAGAAUGCUUGUUGAUGGUGGUCCUGUGGUGAAUCUUAUCCCAUAUUCAGUCUUAUAAAAAAUGAGGCUGCGUGAUGAAGAGUUGAUAAAGACCAACAUGGUGCUCAACGGAUUUGAAGGUAAAGAGAAAAUUGAAGCCAAAGGUGUGAUGUAUGUGGAGCUUACGGUGGGAAGCAAAACUUUGGCUACCGCAUUCUUUGUCGCCGAGGUGCAAGGUAACUCCAAUGUGAUAUUAAGCCAUGAUUGGGUUCAUGCAAACCAAUGUGUGCUAUCUACUAUGCACCAGUUUUUGAAUCAAUGAGUUGAUGAUGAAGUGGAAGUCAUUCAUGCGGAUAAUUCGAUCGGCUUGUGUUGCUUUGGCCGAUGAAUCGGUGGAUUGGCAACAUCCCAAUGCUACUUGCUUGACGGGGCGCGACUUAUCAGAAUUUGAUUUUCUUAGCGCUACAAAAUUGGUUUCGUGCCCCUUUCUAUAAAGCCGGUUGGCGAUAAUCGGCUCCAAGGUAUGAUGUAUUUAAAUGGAUCCUAUCUCAGAGUGGUUUCAAAAGCGUCUUGUAGAAUAUCGGUCCAAUGAGAAUGAUAUGUAUGAGUCCAUAGAAGAGUUAGAUGAUAUGGAUAAAUUAGGACAAGGUUUUACAUCGGCGAUCCAUUAGAAGAGAUAGAUAUAGCAGAUGGUUCAUUUCUUAGGCCGACAUUUGUAAAUAAAAAUUUAAGAGUCGAUCAUAAACUUAAGUUGAUCGAGCUGUUAAAAGAAUAUAUUUGUUGCUUGGCAUGGGAAUAUCAUGAGAUGCCCGGUUUAAGCCGAGAGCUAGUGGAGCAUCGAUUACCUAUAAAGGCUGGUUUUUGACCGUAUAAGCAAUCGACCAGAAAGUUUAAUCCAAAAACAUAUGACCGGAUCAAGGAAGAGAUCGGUCGUUUGCUGAAAGCUAAUUUUAUUAGACCUUGCAAGUAUGCCGAGUGGAUUUCUAACAUUGUACCAGUGAAGAAGAAAGGCUCGGGCAAGUUGAGGGUGUGUAUUGAUUUUAGAGAUUUGAAUAGAGCUACACCCAAAGAUGAGUAUCCCAUGCCCAUAGCCGAUAUGCUUAUUAAUGAUGCCUCUGGACAUAAGGUCAUUAGCUUUCUUGAUGGUAAUGUGGGGUAUAAUCAAAUUUUUAUGGCCGACGAUGAUAUGACCAAAUUAGCUUUUCGAUGUCCCAGUUUCCUUGGUUUAUUUGAGUGGACAGUGAUGACCUUUGGUUUAGAGAAUGCCGACACCACGUAUCAAAGGGCUAUGAAUUUAAGUUUUCAUGAUUUACUUGGUGUUAUACUUGAAGUCUAUAUUGAUGAUAUUGUUGUCAAAUCGGAUGCUUUUGAAUCUCAUCUAGCUGAUUUGUGCUUAGAUUUUGAGAGAAUGAAAAAAUAUUGACUAAAGAUGAAUCCUUUGAAAUGUGCUUUUGGUGUAUCGGCUGGUAAGUUUUUGGGUUUCAUUAUUCAUCAACAUGGCAUAGAAAUUGACCCAAAAAGAUAGAGGCUAUACAAAAGGUGUGGGCUCGAACAUGCAAGAGAGAUAUGCAAAAAUUCCUUGGCAAAGUCAAUUAUUUGAGGAGAUACAUAGCCAAAUUGUCAGGGAAGGUUGAUACAUAGCCAAUUAUUUGUGCACUUCUCUAGUGUUGAAAGCCCCCAAGCAUAGAGAGCCCUUUAGGCUUUAUAUUGCGGAGGAGAAAGCCCCCAGGCAUAGAAAGUCCCCUCAAGAGACCGAAGGAAAGGAGCAUGCUAUUCUUAUUUGAGUCGACGCUUAUUGGAUGUCGAGAUAAGGUAUACAUUGAGAAAUUAUGCUUAUGCUUAUAUUAUGCUUGCACAAAAUUGAGACAUUACCUAGUGCCUAGUACAUGCAUUAUAGCUUUUCAAACUGAUGUCAUCAAAUACAUGUUGCAUAGGCCAAUUCUUAGUGGUAGAAUUGGCAAGUGAGCUUAUGCUUUAAUUGAAUAUGAUUUGGUUUAUGAAUCUCUGAAAUUCAUGAAUGGGCAAAUCGUUGUUAAUUUUGUUGUUGAGCAUCGGAUUGAUGACAAGCAUGAUAUUGAUCUUAAACUUGUCUAUUAGUACCAUGGAGAUUAUAUUUUGAUGGUUCCGUUUGUAGCAAUGGACAAGGUGUUGGUAUUGUUUAUAUAUCUCCUCAUGGAGCUAUUUUUCAAGCCUCAUGCCGCUUAGAGUAUUUUUGUACAAAUAAUUAGGCCGAAUAUGAAGCAUUUUUACUCGGUUUAGAGAUGUUGCUUGCCAUAGGCGCUACACAUAUUGAGGCUUUUGGUGAUUCGUUAUUAGUAGUGCAACAAAUAUCCAGAGUAUUUCAAUGUUUUCAUGAAUCACUUAAUGUUUAUCUUGAUAAAUGUCUAGAUAUAAUUUCUACUUUGGAUUAUUUUAGCAUUCCUCAUAUAUCUAGACAUGACAAUUGGAGAGCAAAUCAGUUGGCACAACAAGCAUCUGGCUAUCAUGUUAAUCAUGACAUGUUUCAUAUUUACCAAAGGCCGAUGUCUAUUCUUGCCAACGUAGGGGAGGCUGAACCGGAGCCCACCGUUUCGGUCACAAAUGAAAAUUUUAAUGUAGAAAAUCUGGACUAGAGGAAAGCCAUUAUUGAUUAUUUGCGUGAUUCUAAUAAAAUUUUGGAUGAGGACCAAGCAAGAGUUGCUAUGAGAGAGGUUCAUGAAGGAAUUUGUGGGACUCAUCAGUCGGCUCCCACUAUGAAAUGGUUAUUGCGACAGGCUGGGUUUGAUUGACCAACGAUGAUUAAUGAUUGCUUCAGGUAUUAUAAAGGAUGUGCAGCUUGUAAAAUGUCUGGUGAUAUUCAGCUAGCUUCUGCUGCUAUGUUACAUCCUAUUAUUAAGCCGCGGCCUUUUAGAGGUUGGGGAUUAUACUUUAUUGGAGAGAUUCAUCCUUCUUCUUCAAAGGGGCAUCAGUUUGUGUUGGUGGCAACUGAUUAUUUCACUAAAUGGUCUGAAGCAAUACCGCUAACAAAUAUGACGCAUACGGAGGUAAUUCAAUUCAUAACUUAGCACAAUAUUCAUAGAUUUGACAUUCCUCAAAUGUUAACUACGGACCAAGGUUCAUCUUUUAUGUCAGAUCAAGUUAGAGAAUUUCCCGAAUCAUAUAAGAUAAAGUUGCUCAAUUCAUCUCCGUAUUAUGCCCAAGCCAAUGGACAAGCUGAGUCUAGCAAUAAAAUAUUAACCAACCUCAUCAAGAAGAAGAUUGAGGAUAAUUCAAGGAGAUGGCAUGAGCUAUUGUCCGAAGCUUUGUGGGCACACAUAAUCUCAAGGUAUGGUGCUACAAAGGUAACUCCAUAUGAGCUCAUAUAUGGUAAAGAGGCCGUUUUACCAGUGGAAGUGAAUUUGAAUGCUUUGAGAAUAGCAAAACAAAAUGAUUUAUCGGCGGUGGACUUUUAUAACUUGAUAAUGGAAAAUAUUGAUGAAGUCGCUGAUAAAUGUUUUGUUGCUUUGAAGGCCAUAGAGAGAGAUAAUUUGAGGGUGGCAAGAGCUUACAAUAAGAAGGUCAAGUUGAAGAAUUUUCAAGUUGGCGAUCUCGUGUGGAAGGUGAUUCUACCAAUUGGUUCGAAAGACAUAAAAUUCGGGAAGUGGUCUCCAAGUUGGGUAGGUCCUUUUAAGAUUACAAGGGUAGUUCCCAGAAACUUAUAUUUAGUGGAAUCCGUACAAAGGACAUUGUUACCUCGAGCUGUCAAUGGCAAAUAUUUGAAGAAGUACCACCCAAGUGUGUGGCAAGAAGCCUAGAUAAUCAAUGGCCGAUAUACGACUAUGGCCCUUAGCAUAAACAUGGCCGAUAUAUAAUUAUCGCACCGAGAAGUAUAAAUGACACAUGGAGUGUUGACAUCGUCCUUAGAAUAAACGCGAUGCAAAUUAUUUUCCGGCAUUCAAGCUCUGCCCAAAACAGAGGAUAAGGGUUGACACCAGAUUUUAGCAUGGUAGGAAAUGCAAUUAAGAUGGUCCCAAAUGGAGAAGUGGUUUACAUUAAAAAAAAGUUCCGUAUUGUCGACACAAACAUCUUCGAUGUUUGGGCCAUCGCCAUCCGAUCUCAUCUCGAAGGCCGAAGUUGUGUUCGAAAUACUGAGAUUUUGUAUCCCGAGCACUGUUCGGCCGAUUACGCCUCAAGGACGGCCUCAAAUGAGAAAACUUUCGACAUGAAUUGACUUCGCUUGGUCGAAACAGUCAAUUUUGAUAUAAAAAUCGUCUCAAUCCAAGGUCGUAUGUAAAAGUUAGUGUCUCCUGAGUCCGGCCCUGUCACGAGCCAAAAGCUACGCGAGUAAUAGUCUAUUUUGCGCGAGCGAUUUGGCACUGAAGAUUAUAUCGAAUCGAAAACUGUUCAACAUGAAAGUUGUUCGUCUCGUCGAAACAGUUAAAUUUGCUUCUUCCGCGAUUUUGAUCCGAGGUCGUUUACUACCCCAAAAAUGACCCGCAAGGUGCAGCCAAUUUUUAGACUGAACAGUUUUGGAAAGUUUGGAUCAUACGAUCCUAAUUGGACUCAAAUUAGGGUUUUGGACAUGAAUUCUAACUUUUCCUUGCACGGGAAGUCCAGCCCCCUCUUAUUUACAUGAGGGGUGAUGACUGCCCCUCCUAGAAAAAACCAGACUGGGAGGACAUUUUUUUCCUGUCCGAAAGCCGUUUCCGCCUCUUGGAAGAAGAAGAAGAAAAAAGAGAAAACACGUUUUUUUUCGUUUCCGAGAGCCUCUCGCGGAAACAAAACAAUGCCGCUCAUGGAAGAAAAACAAAAAAAUGCAUUUUUUCACGAAAGCAAAACCGUGCCUCUCGUGAAAGAAAGAAAAGAGAAAACACAUUUCUUGUCCUUUUCGUGAGGCACGGCAGUGCCUCUCGCGGAAGCAAGACCAUGCCUCUCGCGGAAGCAAAACCGUGCCUCCCGCGGAAGAAAAAUACAGGGAAAACACGAUUUUUUUUCGUUUAUGAGAGGCACGACUGUCUCGCGGAAGCAAAGCCAUGCCUCCCGCCGAAGGAAAACCGUGCCUCUGGUGAAAAGGGAAAAAAAGAAAACGUGUUUUGUCACAGGAAAAAAAUUAAAAAAAAUUGGUCCAAAACCUAGGGAAGACCGGUGAACAACCAAAAAGCCGGAAAAUUAAAAAAAAAAACAUCUAAAAUACCAGAUGGAGGUUGAGAGUGCACCAAGUGACGCGCUCUCGGCCCAUCCACAAAUGACCCUUGGGAAGGGUGGGAACGAGCGCUCUUUAGUAUUAUUUUUUGAGGCAAACCGUUCUUUAAUUAGUUGCUCCGGGGAAGGGGAAUGGAAGACGCAGAUCGGCAACGUGUGGGCUGGGCUUGUGACGUUGGGGUCUCAGAAAAUAUAGCCCAGUUCGAAUUUAGUGGUCUCAGCAAGUAAAACCAGCGCUUAUGUUGGGCCUAAUCACUCACUCCAGGCUGUGGGCCUCGCUAGCAGCCCCAUCUUACCAUUCCCCUCGUUCUCUCUCUCUCUCGCAAAAAAAAACCAUCAUUUCCGUCAAAAAGAAAAGACAUCUACCCGUCUCGCCGCCAAGAGAUCCAGGAACCCCGGGGUCGUUCCAUUGUUUUGCAUAGCGUGUAGAUUAGGUUUUCUCUGUUAGUUUUAUGUGUUCUUAGUGGCGAUGGCUUGACGGUGAAGGCGAGAGUGAUGAUGGUCUCUCGGCUCCAUUCCUGUUCUGAUUAUGCGUUCCCGGCUAAGAAGGCCAUCAAACAUAACAUAAAUGGGGUGCUUUCUUUUCUUCUUACCGAUCUCCUCCUAGUUUACCGGCUCAAGGUGUAUCGGCUCUACAAACAUCUUGUAUCCACCUCACGUCCUGGGAAAUUACUGUCGGUAACUUUCAUCGUAUUGCGAUAACAAUAUUUUCUUUCAAGAACCCGCCUUCCUUGAAUUUCGUACAAAGUUAAUUGUCAAUGUCAUAACUAAUUGCAAGACCAGGUACAGCUCUUCUCUACAGGAAGUUACAGUUUCUAAAUUGCAUGACCCUGUAUCACUUUAUGAAGCAAGCACAUCACCUUCAGCUCCUCAUUUGCAAACUUAGGACCCAUUUGGACCACAUAAAUUUUACAAUAUGUUUGCUGCAUUUCACAAGAAACCAUCGAUUUUGUGAAGAAAGAAUUACAUUGUUUCAUCGCCGUUACAACACAACAUUAAUCAGAUCACCUUAAUACCUCCCACUGCGUUUUUUUUUGGAAAAAUACACAACAUACUGAUUGACCUUAAAGAAUGAAGGAGGCCAUAAGGUCUUGUACAAUGCUAGGUGUUUAGAAAGAUAAACCGGAUUUUACUGAUACACCGGUGCCUAUUUCUACCGGAGAGACGUCUAAUUAAGCGUAUACCCUGUACAAAUAAGUAUCAGUGCUUAAGGAAAGCCUGGUUUAUUUCUCGAAGCACCUCUCCUAAGCACCUUGCAGUGUACAAGGCCGAGAAGAAAGCUCUGACUUCCUAUUGUUGCUGCAUCAGCAGGAAAAGUAGUCUUCAUUUCAAAAAGAAGCUGAAAGUGCUAGAGUGAAAAAUAUCAUAUGUACAGAAGCUGGAUAUAUAUUACCAGCAAGGUGGAGAAGUGGGGAAAAAAAUGCUCAAAUGUGGUUAUCAAUCUUUUGAAAUGCAAGCAAGUAAGCGGAUGGGUGUUUGAGCUAUCUUUGUGUGAUCAGAACAAAUCCAUGUCCAUUAAUUAGUCUUAAUAUCAUCUUCACAGUACCAGGGACUCCCGGAUACUAAGAGUGCUUAAUAAUCUUAUAAUUAGGUGGAGACAUUUUCAUUACCUGCAUACAAAUGCGUACGAAUGAUGAUAUUUUAUAUUUUUUUCUUUGCAACUUCGGAGUGCCCACAAAGUGAAAUAGAAGGUGUAAACAUAACUUCUUUCAACCUCCAGUAAAAGUAACAAUUCUCUCUCCAUGUACCACUCUAUACCAACUUCUUCAAUACCUGUUGACUCUCAUGUUUUUGUUUUCCUUCAAUAUUUCAGACGUUCUAAAGCUCGGUCGAAAUCACUCGAGCUGGUCAACCCUGCCCCCGUGUCGCCCGCAACAGACGAUACGGGGAAAACUUUCGUCGCCGCCGGUAGCCUUCCUCCGCCAGUGCCCCUCCCCCCCCCCCCACAUCGCUGCCGCAGGAGGGUCGGCCAGCGAAGUCGCGCCGCGCUCGGGGAUGGCGGCGGCGGGGCGGUUUCGUACCCUCCCCCCCGAUGCGCUGCCCCAACAACCCCUUCGCCGCCAUCACCUCCCCGCGCCGCUGCUGCCGCGUCGCGCCUGAGGGUGGGGGCGGCAGGGCAGCUUCAUUCCCUUCAUGCUGUAGCUCCUCGUCCCCAACCUCCUCGCCCCCCAGAUCCAAUCUGGUGCGCCGCGGGCUCCCCUACCCUCCAACUGCUACUGUGUUCGUCCUGCCUGUCCGACGAGGUGGCGCGGCCGUGCCCGUCGUGCACCUCCCCAGUCUACCUCUUUCACCUUGCUGGCGCAGCUUCCUUCUUGUUGUUGUUCGCUGGGGCAUGCGAGGACUCGUGUGGAGGUCACGGGCUGGCCAAGGCUCGGUCUUGCCCCGUGUUGCAGACCACCCUUCGUCUCUGAUGGCGUCUCCUUCUAGUUACGGCGGCGACCUCUGCCCGUGUGUGGUCAAGGUGUUGUUUUGGGCAGCGGGAUGAAGCUUCGCGGUGGGUCCUUGCCGACACUGCUCCGGUCCCAGCGGCCAUCGACCAGCGUUCUUCGGCCUCCCUACCGCCGUGAAUUCAGCCCCAACACUCCGGUCGCUGCGUCUCCUUCCGGCAUCUUCGGUUUGCCGGUGUUCUGGUGGUUCCACCUCCGGCAGCUCGGAGUUGUGCUCCCUUCCGCCUCCAGCUUGUCAGCGGCGCCGGUCACCAUCCCACCCUCCAUGCCGGCUUUCUACCAUGCUGCCUUCCCGACCCUGUCGACACCCGCAACAUGUCAUUUCCAAAGCUCGUGUUCUUUCGGCAGCAGGUGCAGCCCCACCACCUCCGUACCGGGAUGGUGGUUGACUAGCGGAUUGUCUUCCUCAUCUUCGGAUCCUGAUUUGGCAGCUAUGGCAUUGCUCAGACUAAGGCCAGGCGAAAUCCAUGCUCUGCUUGCCAAUGUUGGCAGAGGCGACACUCGUGAGUGCUUUGCCAUGGCCUUUAUCCGGGCCCCUCUUCGAGCGCUGGGGGAAACCCUAGGUCCGGUUCUUCGGAUCGGAUGGUGGCGGUGUCACGAUGUCGCACCCCUUCCUGAAGGCGCUAUCUUGUUCGCCCCCGGUGUCCCUGUUUGUUUGAUUUUGAGAUGUUCGACGUCGUGCUUGUUCGGCCUGCCUCUCUGUUUAGGAUUUGUGGGUGUAGUUGUGUCAUUUCCCCUGUUCGGGCUGAGCACCCCUUGUCUCUCUGCUCCGGGUUCCAUGAUCAUGCCUCUUUGGGUUCAUGCCAUGUGUUGUAUCCUCUGUUGUACGCAUUCUCUUUCUUCUAUCAAUAAAGGAUAUGCAAGCUUUGUGUAUUCACAAAAAAAAAGACGUUCUGAAGCUCUGAAGCUAAAGAUGUAAAUAAAUCUGAACUCUCGCACUCACUUUUAAAUCGUGGGGCAGUAUACUCUAAUCUAUCCAGCUCUUCCUGUAAAACAAAUAUACUGUCAGCAUGUGAUUUAUCAUUCAUGAAUCGUUUAUCAUGCCAUUUUUAGAAUGUGACUGGCAAAAUGGUGUGACUGUACAAUUCUACUUUUUUCGAAAAAGAGGAUUACCCCUAGUAUCUACAUAGAGCCAUGCACACAACCAUUUUAUUAUAUUAUUUAACGGAACCAAACGAAACAAAUAUAUGGAUCAAGCCAAAGCCACCUCCCUAGAAACUAUUGUCGUUACACGUACAAGCUUUAAUGGCGUGCCCUGACCACUUAUCAACACACAUCAUAUAUUCCGGUCGCCUCACCAAGAUGCCUGCCGGCAAUUUGAGAGCAUCUACCGGUCUAGCUAGACCCUCUGCACGCACAUCAUGCACACGCUUUAGAUUCAGCCACCGCCAUGUUCCGCGGUCCCACCUUCAAGAGCGAUCAACGUAUUCAUCUCGCUAGGCCAUCUCGACACCAGAUAGCUCCACUAUCCAGCGCGGGCGCCCGUCGCCGACACUCCGCCGUGCCACGCCACCGAGACCCUGUGUCGUCCUUUCGGUAGAUGUAACACCGCUCCUCCACUUGUCUCUUCCAGUCGGCUCCUACUCGAGACAAUGCCCCUAGGAGGGAGAACGGCGCUGAAGGCACCAUCAUCGUCCGAUCCGGGAUACCCAGAACUAGAGUUUCCCCCGGAACAACCCGAGCGUAGUGACACAACUUACAAAUGACGAUGCCUCGAAAAAGGAAACAACGUUAGAGACGCCACCAUCUGCCAUGACCGCAGUUAGCACAAUUUCACCGGAAGUCGCGUCGACAUGGAGACGUAAGCUGUCGCCGGAACGUCGGCAUAGGGCCUCCAGUCGCCCCUGACCUGUCCCUGCACGCAUCGCCUGCCGGCCAAGGCCACGCCAAGAUGGAUCUGGAUGGGACGCUAGUUCCGCGGCCACUGCCGCCACCCAUCACAUGGUCGGCCAGGUCAACGACUAAUCCCACAGCCAUGGACAAACCGGUCGCCGCCGCCAGCCCGGGUCACCACCCUGACCGCACCGGCUGAAGACACAGGUGUCGUCGCGAGAUUGAUACGGUGAACAAGGCCCGAAUCCCUCGUGCUCGACCUUGAUCAGCCACACACAAGCAUCUCUCCACGCUGACGAGGGGUCCACUAUGGGAUCCAUCGCGCCGACUUCCGCCACCGCGCCGCGGGAAUAGACUGCCCUGAUGCUGCCGCCCACUGAGGCGGGCUUCGCCUGUUCGGCCUCCUCCAACAGCGUCCGGCCGUGGGCUGCNNNNNNNNNNNNNNNNNNNNNNNNNNNNNNNNNNNNNNNNNNNNNNNNNNNNNNNNNNNNNNNNNNNNNNNNNNNNNNNNNNNNNNNNNNNNNNNNNNNNNNNNNNNNNNNNNNNNNNNNNNNNNNNNNNNNNNNNNNNNNNNNNNNNNNNNNNNNNNNNNNNNNNNNNNNNNNNNNNNNNNNNNNNNNNNNNNNNNNNNNNNNNNNNNNNNNNNNNNNNNNNNNNNNNNNNNNNNNNNNNNNNNNNNNNNNNNNNNNNNNNNNNNNNNNNNNNNNNNNNNNUUCAGCCUCUCCACUUGUGGGAACAAUAUCCUUGAAUGUUUAGUUUCUCAUAUCUUUACGAAAACGGAGUAAGGGAAAUAUCGUGUGUGGUUGCAGGGAACUCACAUCAAAUGAUUGGGAGAUGUUCAUAAAUCAGUGAUAAUAGCCUUUGCAAACAGGCUAAUCCCAAAUGAUUCAAUGAAACCAACCUUCAUGUACUCAAUGAACGUAUUAUGCAUGUUAUGCUAGUUCAAGUCAUACUAAAUAUCACUUGUCUGGCAAAUAACAACAGCGUUCUCUGAAACCAUUGCAUCAUGAGAGAAUUGUGUGAAAUGGAAAUUGACACGAUUUAAAUUUUCAGGUUCCUUUCCUGGUGAGCCUAUCAUAGUAAAGAAACCUGGAAGAAAACAUUGGAGAAAGGAAUUCACAAAAUGCGGAAUUAUUAAUACUAAAUGACUGUUGAUGUUCAAAUGCAUGUCAGUUCUAAAUAAAUAAAUGAUUUUCUUCUUCUUUCUGCUCUUCAAUGUUUUCUUCCCUUACAAGAUUCUAGCAGUCUUAACACCAUUAUGGCCACAGAAAAAAAAAACAUCUAUCCCAUUUGUUACACGAGCUAAAAAUAAAAAUAGCACAUGAGCAUGGGCUGCAGAAAUGCACAUUCUUACUUCUAAGAAUAAUGUCAUCAAGAGAAGCAAAAGGCUGGUUUUUUGUGACAAUAAUUUAUUCAAUGAAAAGAGUGAGCCCGGGUUGCACGAAAUAUGAGUUUAUCUAUUUUUCUUCCAACAAAAUAUCUGGUCUACCAUCACUGCACCUUCGAACAUCAGAGUGCACACAGAACAAGAAAUAAAGAAGCAAAAGGGCCCUUGCGUAACUCAUGUAUUUUCAAACAAUGCUACAGAAAAUAUCCCUUAUACUCCCUCCGUCUAGGUUUGUAAGUCAUCUUACGAAAACAAAAUAAUCCCAAAACACUUAGGCGCGGUGCGUUAACUUCUACCUCGUUUCUUGUUUCUUGACAUAUCAACCAAUAAGAGAUAUGGGUGUGCAUGCUUUUAAUGACUUGAGACUACCAAACACGACAUGCAGUGGUUAGUUCAUUGCAUGCAAUGCUAUUAAUUAGCAAAAAACAUUAAGUUCUCUCGUUUUCCCUCCUCCUUGGUCACGGUGCACAACAUAAGAUGACUUAUUCACUUAGACGGAGGGAGUAUCAUGGAUUUGCGCCUGCAUCAAUUGUUUCCGAGUGCUGUCAAAGAGAAAAAUUUACUAAGAUUUCCAUUGUCAAACUGUGAUGUCCGACUAGUGUUGGUGGAAGAAUCACAUAUUGGAGAGGAUAAUUUGGAGUAGGGGAUGAGAAGAAGUUGAAGAACAGAUGAAGAGGGUGAGAUGUAGAACAGAGUAGGUGAGAGUUCAAACAAUUCUCAUUUCAUCGAUAAGUUACGGCACAUGUCUGAUUCACUUGCCCCUUUUAAACACAUAGGCACUCUCUUACAAGUGGGCCCUCAAAUCCACACGCCCAGUGCACUAGAUGAUCUUCCUAUGGCUCACUCCUAAGUUGUCUCUCUCUAGUUGUUGGGCCCUUCGUCCUCCAUAUCCUAGUCCUCCUCAUUCCACUGGACUGGGAUCUUGAUUUCCGUCGAGGGUGUGGUAGAGAGCAGAUGCAUGACACAAUCUUUGUUCCAUUACGCUUCCUCAAAGUCGCCAUUUUAGACAUUGUCAUGUCUACAACACACAAUUAGACGCUUGGUGACCUGUUGCUUCAAAAAUAUAUUUUGAAAUCAUGUGCCUAGAGGUGUUUUGAAUGUAUGGCUACAAAUGUCACUGAGGUUCCUAGUUCCUGUUCCAUCAGCAUACCCUGCCGAAGUGGUAAUCUGACUUCAAGUGGAAUAAGCAAGACAGGAGAAAGAAUUAAGGUGGUAUUCAGCUCGUUUUCCCCUCACCUUUUUGACUCUCACAUUUUUGUUUUCCUCCCAUAUCUUAGAUGGGGUGAAGCUAUAUGCAUAAACAAAUAUGAAUUCAUAUCACACUCACCUCGACAUCUCAGUAGUACAACACAGGGCUUUCGUCACAGGGCAAUUUUCACAUUAGUCCCGGUUCAGUCACGAACCGGGACUAAUGUGAGCAUUGGUCCCGGUUCGUGCGGCUAAGGCAUUAGUCCCGGUUCACCUGGGCCCUUUAGUCCCGGUUGGUGCCACGAACCGGGACUAAAGGGUGCGAUGCCCAUUAGUACCGGUUGGUGGCACCAACCGGGACUAAAGGUCUAACCUUUAGUACCGGUUGGUGCCACCAACCGAUACUAAUGCGCUUUGAGGCAUUAGUACCGGUUCAUGGCACGAACCGGUACUAAAGGGCCCAUUUUCAAACUCUACCCCCCCUGGUGGACCGCCUUUUCAGUUUUAGGAAAAACAAAAGAAAAUGAUGGAAAUGUCAAAAAAAUAAAAUAAAAUAAGUUUCCCAUGUGAUAUGUGGUCUAGUUGUUGGGAAAAUUAACAAAUAUGAAUUUCGACUUUAUUUGCAAAAUCUCUCUGAAAUUUCUUAAAAUGGGCAUAACUUUUGCAUACGAACUCGGAUGAAAAAGUUUUUUAUAUGAAAAAUCAUCUACUCAAAAUCCUCAAAAACCUAACAGAAAAAAAGAUACGGGACUUUUAAGAUCUGGAGAGGCAAAAAAAUUCAAAAAAUUUCAAUUUGUGGUCAAACUGUGGUCAAACAAUAGUCAAACUAAUUAUUCUAGAAUAUUAGUGUUACUAAAUAAUUAUUUCAGUUUUUUUGAAUUUUGGUCAAAUCUGGUCAAACUGUGGUUAAACAGUGGUCAAACAAUGGUCAAACUAAUUAUUCCAGAAAUAUUAGUGUUACUAAAUAAUUAUUGUUUUUAAAAAUAAUAGUUUCAAACUCAAACAGUGAAAUAUGUCACUUCAUGCUCAAGCUAAAUUCCUGAGGGUUAAUAAAAUUGACAUCUUACUAUUGUCAGGAAAACAACAAGUGCAGACUUGGAAACGAGGGAGAAUAGAACCCAGAAGUUAAGCGUGCUCAGGCUGGAGUAGUGAGAGGAUGGGUGACCGUCCGGGAAGUUAGAUGAUUUGAAAUGAUGAGGGGUGAUUAGAGAUUAGAGGAUAAAUUGAGCAGUGAUGAGGGGUGGUGAUUAGAGAUUAGAGGUUAAAAUAAUUCAGAAAUUUGAAAAUCAAAAAAAAAGUUCGCAAAUUUUUUUUUCAAAAAAAAUAUAUCAUAAAAUUCUGCGUCCACGUGGACGGCCUUUAGUCCCGGUUCGUGUCUAAAGGCUUGGGUAUAUAUAGACCUUCUACACGUCUCCAAUCUCUAGUAGCUCUUCAUAUGAUAAAAAUAUAUUGUGAGUAUGGGAUAUGUGUUGAGAAGGCCAUUCAGGAAUCGUUUAUCAUGUGAGUAGACUGCAAAAUGACAUAACCAUUCCACGAGCAUGCUUAAGUUUGAAAACUCUUUCCCGGGAAGUAUCCUAUGUGAUUGAAUGUAACUCAUAAUUAUUAAAGAAUGUAUAGAAGUUUCUAAACGAGCGAGUGGUUGAAUGUCAAAUGCAUCUGAUACUCGGCGAAGACUUAUGUUUGCCAAAUUCGGUACUCGGCAAAGUUUCGCCGUGUUUAUUAUGGGCUCUGCCAAGUUUCUAAGAAGACAAUCCGGGUAGUGAUGGAUGCCUGAUCUUUAACAUGGAAUGUCUGUAUACAUAGUCCUCAAUGUGGGGCAUAAUGUAGUAGCCGGACAAGACGCUUGAUUAAUCUGGUUCUUCUCUACAAUAGAAACUCGCCUUGUACAUGAACAUAUUUUGUUUUGGGUAUAUAUAGACCUUCUACACGUCUCCAAUCUCUAGUAGCUCUUCAUAUGAUAAAAAUAUAUUGUGAGUAUGGGAUAUGUGUUGAGAAGGCCAUUCAGGAAUCGUUUAUCAUGUGAGUAGACUGCAAAAUGACAUAACCAUUCCACGAGCAUGCUUAAGUUUGAAAACUCUUUCCCGGGAAGUAUCCUAUGUGAUUGAAUGUAACUCAUAAUUAUUAAAGAAUGUAUAGAAGUUUCUAAACGAGCGAGUGGUUGAAUGUCAAAUGCAUCUGAUACUCGGCGAAGACUUAUGUUUGCCAAAUUCGGUACUCGGCAAAGUUUCGCCGUGUUUAUUAUGGGCUCUGCCAAGUUUCUAAGAAGACAAUCCGGGUAGUGAUGGAUGCCUGAUCUUUAACAUGGAAUGUCUGUAUACAUAGUCCUCAAUGUGGGGCAUAAUGUAGUAGCCGGACAAGACGCUUGAUUAAUCUGGUUCUUCUCUACAAUAGAAACUCGCCUUGUACAUGAACAUAUUUUGUUUUGUGGAACUUCCUCCGGAUUAAAAAUACUUGAAGAUAGCAACAUAAUUGAUGAACUAAAAAAUGGUACUCUGGUAGCAAUGGGAUAAAACAAUAUUAUGCCUUUCUUUCAUUAGUUAACUAAAAAUUUGUGCUGCAGUAGUAACGGGAUAAAACAAUAUAAGUAGAAACAAUUUUGAUAAGCAAUAACAUUUCCUUUUGCUAGGGCAACGCUAUAGGUAACUCCUACAAACUAUUUCUCCUAGGUGUUGAUUAAUAAAUUAGCCAUAUGCAAAAUUAAACUGCAGUGGAUUAGUAAUACACGGUUGAAGUCAACACUUCCGGUUAAUCUUAUAAAAUCUAGCCUCUUUAGUCUCCAAUCUCACAUUGAGACAUGGUUAAUAGUUGUUGGUAUAUCUAAAUCCUAUGGGAGGACAUCCUCUUAUUCUCAGACACAUGAGCCCAAGUAUCUCCACAAAAAGUUCACCAGACAUACAUAUCAUGUCCUUUCAUAGCCAUCCAAAAAAAGGAAGGUGCUAUGAUGUAGUGCAACAUUGAUGGAAUAAUACCAAAAAAUGUAAAAAGGGUGUUUCAUUCUCAAAAAUAACUUUGGAAGUAUAUCGGUGAACCAUCUAAACAGGAACAUACUAGUAAAUUUGUUGAGGAAAUUGUUAACUGGUAGCAGCUUGGUUGGCUAGGGAGUAGGGGAUUAAUAGGGUGAUCGGCAAGUUUAUUGGCCUAUUAAGCAAUUAAACGGAGGAUUUAUCAGUUUAUUGGCUACAUGGUGACCUUACAAGUAGGGAUUAAUUCCCAAGUUAACUGGUUAAUCAGACGAAUUCUUCAACAGGACCAGUAAUCAUGCUAAUAUGGUACAUGAUAAUCUCUUAUGGUUGAAUGAAUAUGAGUAAUGUCUGUAGCUAUCUUUAACAGUAUUUUAUUGAGUACCUAAAUAUGUAAAGUUCAGUAGUUUGUACUAUCAUGUUAUUGCACAAAAAAAAAGGAAAUCUCUCAUUCCAAUUUUUUUAGCUAAACUAAACAAAAGAUACUAGCAUGUUGCUCAGGAGAUAGGAAUGGUAGCAGGGGUAGAUAGCCAACAAAAACAUUAUGUUAUUACAGUGUGAAUAAUAAAUAAGAUUAUUUGGAUCAUAUGAAGGAUAAAGCCAUCAAUCUCGCCCAUGUGCAAUAAUUUUAAUUUGUCUUUGUGUAGUAUAUAUUGUUGAUUAAUCAUUCGUGAUGAGAUAUGCACCUUCAUAUGGUUUAACAAAUAGAAGAUGGGUGGCGCCAGAAUAAUUUUUCUGACCGUGCAAAGAUAGAGAUCUGCAUUGCUCUCAUCAAUGACCUGCAACGAUUCAUGCAUGCUUCUACUAUGAUCCUUGAGCCUAUCAAAAUUAAUUGCUAUAAUCUUGACUGACCGAGCUACUGAUAUGUGGGCGUCUUGAUGAGUAUGGCGAAUUCUCUUUUAUCUUGGUGGUUGUUCAUUUCAUAGACAUCUCAAUAUAUUGUUUAUUUGGAUGGUUUUGUCUCCUCCUUUAUUUUGGGGUUAUUUUUACAAAGAGAAGUCUAGUUUUCUCCCUAACAAUUUCACAUGGAGAAGUGUCACUCAUAUUUAUUUCAAUCACAUUUACCUCUUGACCUUAAUAUUCACUCACAUUUACCUCCUGACCUUUUGGUUUUGGUUUAAUUUUUCCAUUAAAAUUUCACAAAUGAUAGAAUCCUCCCUGGAAGUUUUAAGAAAAAAAAAAUCUAGUAAAGGCAUAUGUAAUUUUUUUGUAAAGGAGAAUGUAUUAAUAUCAAGCAGAUACCAAUUAUUCCCAGACUCUGCAACAACAAGAUGCCUAAAAACAUCCAGGAUGCACACAGCUAAAAAUUAAAAUAAAAAGGGAAGAAAAAAUGAGAAAAAAUAUCCCGCCACGGUGAUCAAUCACCCGAUGUAGCCGCACUCUAACCACCACCAAAGAUGUCACCCGGACUACAAAAUAGGUUCUCCAAAAGCAAUGCCUCUAGAAAGGAAACAAAACACAAGCAUUGUCGUUGCCCGAUCAAAGAUAUUACGUUUUCACCCUGGAGAAAGAUCAGGUUCCCAACAAUAAUGCCUUCAACAAGACUACCGCCAGGCACAACCAAUAAAGGCCAGACCUUGGGUUUUCACCUUGGAAAUCCUGAUUGGGUACUCAAAGGAGCACCGAAUAACAAAGAAGUCCUCCAAUGCCGCCACCCCCACUUGCGGAGGCUAAUACUGCAAGUCACGCACCAUUAGGCUCACAGGAAUUCACAUCCCGCCUGGACGGGAACAUAUCCUGUAAGCCAUGUCUAAACAACUGCCUAUGAAGCAAAGUCUUCAUCGCAUCCAAGACCUCGCAUUCGCCACUUGCAAGUCCUUCAAUCACGCCAUGGCAUUCUCCGUAUGUGUUGAUCCCAUGGAAAUCUUGGUGCAGACAUGUCCCAAGGUGCCAACAAAAACAGAGCUUCACGAUACCCCGGUAAACCUGGUUAUGCUGAUGUUGCGGGUGCGCACGACAGGCCCCUAUCUAGUCAAGGUGUCCAAAGAGCGCCAUAUGUGCCAGUCCUUUUUUUCCUUCAAAGGAGAAGUCCGGAAAUCGCAGAUGGCCAGAUUGAAGAUCUCAGGUUCUCAAUUGCAUGAGCUUGUGAGCAACGAGAAUGAGCAAGACCGAACAAGGGGAAACCAUCCAAGGACGGGAACACCGUGUGCACAAUAUAUAGGAUCCAAUUUGCACCAGCAAUGUUUAUACAGGAAUAACCAAAAUGUGAGUGUUGCCACGUACAUGUAUUUACUACUGCAGAUAGUUUUCUUUAUUGCACAGGUAUAAAACUUGUUCUUAAUUUUAAUCAAUUCUCUUGCACAAAUUUAUCCACAGAGAGCACAUAUAUGAUUUAUCUAACACUAUGUUUUCAAUAUCACAAGAUAAAAUCUUGUCUUUACAGAGCAAAAUUAUACACCGAUAAAAAUGUGUUGUCUGCCUGCAUGAAAUUACAUAUGCUAUGCAAAACUCUUUACUUCGUAUCGUCAUGAUCAUCCACAAUAUUAAAAUUGUAAAUAAACAAAAAAAGAGGUGCCGGCAAAUAGUUUUGGAUAGAGUAGUUUGGCACAAUAUAUAUGUUAUCCCUGAAAAUAUAACGUCUUCCUGGAUCACACUGUAGCUUCGUGAUAGUUUUGACGGCUAUGAUAACAAAAGCUGCCGACACAUGGCUCUGGAAAUAGUUAUGGCUGUAGGGGUAAAUAUAAUAGCUGACAGCUCUAAAAAAUAUUCCCGCAAAAGAAGGCAGCUCUAAAAAACAAGCCGACAAAAGAAUCAUGAAGCUACAGUGUGAAUUAUACUCUCUCCAUUCACAUUAUUAUGGGAAAACGAAUUGUGCGAGUACAGUCUGCCAAAAUGAGUGGUCGUCCAUGCACCUUGUUUAGGGGCAACUUUAUUUUAAUGUGUCUUUUUGUAGUAUAUAGUGUUGAUUAAUCGUCCGUGAUGAGAUCUGUGCCUUUGUGUGAUAUAACAAAUAGAAGAUAUAUGGCGCCAGACUAAUUUUUCCAUCCGUACGUGCAAAGAUGAGAUAUGAAUGCAUUGCUCUCAUGAAUGACCUGCAACGAUAGACAUAUGCAUUCAUACAUGCUUCUGCUGUGAUCCACGAGCCCGUCAAAAUUAAUUGCUAUGCAGUGGCUUAACUACUCAGAUGAACGUGGGCGUCUUAAUGAGUAUGGUGACUUCUCUCUUAUGUUGGUGGUUGUUCGUUUCAUAAACAUUUCGAUAUAUUGUUUAUUUGGAUGGUUCUGCUUCCUCCUUUAUUUUGGGGUUGUUUUUACAGUGAAAAUUCAAGUUUUUUCACUAACAUAUUCGCAUGGAGAAGUGUCACUCAUAUUUAUUUUCACUGACAUUUACCUCCUGACAUUUAUUUUCACUCACAUUUAACUCCCGGCCUUUUGGUUUUGGUUUAGUUUUCCCAUUCAAAUUUCAUAAAUCAUAGAAUUUUCUAUCGAAGUUUCAAGAUUUGUUUUUCUAAAAAAGGUACAUGUAUGCACUAUAUAUUAGAUCUAAUUUGUACCAGUAAUGUUACCAGCUACAUGAAUUUACUGCUGCAGAUAGUUUUUUUUUGUAUUGCAUAUGUAUAAAUCUUGUCCUUAAUUUUACUCAUUUCUCUUGCACAAAGUUAGCUUCAUAGUGCACAUGUAUGAUUUACCUAAUAUUAUUAUUUCAAUAUUCCAAAAUAUAAUUUUGUCUUAACAGAGUGAAAUAAUACACCAAUAAAAAAACAUUGUCUGUAUGCAUGAAAUUACAUAUGCUAUGCAAAACUCUUUAGUAUGUAUCGUCAUGAUCAUCCACAAUAUGAAAAAAUAGUAAAGAAACAAACAAGAGGAGCAGACACAUGGUUUUGGAUAGAGCAGUUUAGCACAAUAUAUUUUAUCCCUGUUUAUAUAACGUCUUCAUUGCUCACACUGUAGCUUCGUGAUAGUUUUAUUGGCUAUGAUAACAGAAGCUGCUGACACAUGGUUCUGGAAACAGAUAUAACAGCAGGUGUAAAUAUAAUAGCCGCAGCUCUAAAAAAUAAGCUGACAAAAGAAUCAUGAAGCUACAGUGAACUAUACUCCAUCCUCCCUUGUCUAGGGGCAACUUAAUUCGCUUUGCGAAGGAUAAUGCAUCCAUGGCAAACAGUUUCAGGGUUGUCAGAAUAAGAAAUCUUAUGCCUCCCGAUCAAGAUCUAGACAGAUUUUCAGGGCAUGGUGUGGCCGUCCAACUACCUGAUAAAAAAAAAGAUAAUGAAAAGGGCCCACAGCAUCAAACCAAUGACAGAUAUGUUCAGUUUCGAAUCUCUUAAUAUUUAGUUUGAAAGCUGCAGAUUUUCAGGUUGUGAGAGCCGAAACUCUUGGACCAAGCCAUAUGUUCAGUUUCGAAUCUGACCUAGUAGCGUCCUGGAACUAGUUAUCAUCGAUUGGCUGCCAAACUCCCCCAAGAAACUCCGCACACAUCUCUGCAAUCGAACCAGGGCAAAUUAAUUUAGCGAAGGGAACUCACAACGCAGUGUCUCUUGACACAUCAUCCUAUUUAGUGAAAACUAUUUAGAGACAAUGACCCCUAUUCAUUAUAUACUCAACACGUCUCUUAAUAUUUAAAGUAUCUUAUAAAUGUCGUAUCUAAAUGAUAUUCCAUUUAAUUAGUUUAUGGACCUUUUUUGCAUGUCAACAUUGUGGCCUACUCCAGUUGUGAAGACAAAAAUUGUGAGAUAAACCACAAAGGCUCAAAGCGUUAGUCACUAUACGCAGAAAAACAAGUUAAUUAAGAGCCAUAUCUACACUAAAUAGAACAUAGGGAAGCUCAUCGAUCCAUCACCGGCCACACUUCUUGAGUUAGGCGAAUGUUCUCUUUUGGAGACCAUUGAGGACAUGCGCAUUUCAUCGCUCCAUCUGCCUGUCACUACAAGGGAUAAGGCUACACUAGUAGAAAACAGGGUUUUGGUUCGGCCAGAAAAGAGCAUUAAUCCCGGUUGCAUUACGAACCGGGACUAAUGUGAGCAUUAGUCCAGGUUCGAGCGGCUAGGGCACCGUACAUGCAUUAGUCCCGGUUCAAAUGGGACCUUUAGUCCCGGUUGGUGCCACGAACCGGGACUAAAGGGUGCGAUGCCCAUUAGUACCGGUUCGUGGCAUCAACCAGUACUAAAGGUUAGAUCUUUAGUCCCGGUUCGAGCCACCAACCAGUACUAAUGGGGUUUGAGGCAUUAGUACCGGUUCAUGGCACGCCUUUUCAGUUUUGUAAAAAGCAAAAGAAAAUGAUAAAAACUUCAAAAAUUAAAAUCCUUCCAGAUGUAGUUAUGUUACUACAUGUCCUAGUUAGGAAAAUUUAAAAACUUCAAUUUGGACAUGUUUCGCAAAAAGUGUAGGGAAAAUGUAAAACGGCUAUAACUUUUGCAUACGAUGUCAGAAAAAACGUAUAAUAUAUCGAAAUGUUCAGCACGAAAAUCCGCAUCCGAUUUUGACAGCCUACGGCCUGUUUGUAAAUUUUUAGAAUCCUCAAAUUCUAAAAGGGAAAAAAGUUAUGCUAUUUCUGUUUUUUUAAUUUUUGUUAAAUCUGGUCAAACUAUGGUCAAACUACUUAUUCAAGAAGUAUUAGUGUUACUAAAUAAUUAUUCAAGAAUAUUAGUGUUACUAAAUAAUUAUUUCAGUUUUUUUGAAUUUUGGUCAAAUCUGGUCAAACUGUGGUCAAACAAUGGUCAAACUAAUUAUUCAAGAAAUAUUAGUGUUAGUAAAUAAUUAUUUCAGUUUUUUUGAAUUUUGGUCAAAUCUGGUCAAACUGUGGUCAAACUACUUAUUCAAGAAAUAUUAGUGUUACUAAAUAAUUAUUGUUUUUUAGAACAAUAGUUUCAAACUCAAACAGUGAAAUGUGUGACUUCAUGCUCAAGCUAAAUUCCUGAGGGUUAAUAGGAUUGACAUCUUACUAUUGUCAGGAAAACAACAAGUGCAGACUUGGAAACGAGGAAGAAUAUAACCCGGAAGUUAAGCGUGCUCAGGCUGGAGUAGUGAGAGGAUGGGUGACCGUUCGGGAAGUUAGAUGAUUUGGAAUGAUGAGGGGUGAUUAGAGAUUAGAGGUUAAAUUGAGCAGUGAUGAGGGGUGAUUAGAGAUUAGAGGUUAAAAUAAUUCAGAAAUUUGCAAAUCAAAAAAAAAAAUUUAAAAAAAAAAUCAUAAAAUUUCCUUCAGUACCGGUUGGUGUUACCAACCGGGACUAAAGGUGGACCUCACGUGGAGGGCCUUUAGUCCCGGUUCGUGUAAGAACCAGGACUAAAGGGGGAGGCUUUAGUAACGACCCUUUAGUCCCGGUUCCAGAACCGGGACUGAAGGCCCUUAUGAAGCGGGACUAAAAGCCCUUUUUCUACUAGUGCUAGUAGUGGCGCGGUUUAAAGGCAUAGGAGUAGCGCGGGUUGCCUCUCUACUUACAUUAGCAACUAUAUAAAAACUCAUCAUCAUCAUCAUCAUCAUCAUCAUCAUCAUCAUCAUGUAACAACUCAUCAGCGCGUAGCUAACUGGUUCCUAGUAAGACGGGCCAGGCUCGGCUCUAAUACUACUUACAUUAGUAGCAGCGCGGUGUUUGGCCCGUGCUACUAAUAACUAGCUAUAGCGCGAGGCCCCCCGCCACUACUAACUCUAUGUAUUUCCUUUCUACAUAUUAUACUAUAUUAUACAAUAAUUAUACAGAUUUUUAUACACUAGCAACUAUAUAACAACUCAUCAUCAUCAUCAUCAUCAUGUAACAAAUCAUCAUUAUCAAAAUGAUAUAACUCAUCAUCAUCGUAGUGAUAUAACAGCUCAUCAUGAUCAUAAUUAUAUAAAAAUGUCUCAUCAUCAUCGUCAUCAUCACCAUCAGCAUCAUCAUAAGUUAACCACUACUAGCUAAUUGUCAUCAUCCUAGGUAAGUAACUUUCAAGCACAUGACAAGUACUAUGACCUACUCUAGUGUCUUAGGUAAAAUAGAAUAAAACAGAAAAAAUAACUACAUCUCCAUGAUGGACCACAGAGAUCCCCGGUCUCCAAUUUGUUGCCCGCGCUCAUUGACUAUUUGCCUCCAUCAUUCAAUUUUGAGGCAUCCAUUUGAUUAACACUCAGUCAAGUAUGUAUAUUUGAAUCCGAUCUUCAAAGGGCAAAUAAUAGUCAUCUCACUUUUGACGUCCAUCAGCAGAGGCACAACAACAUUUGGGACCUUCCGCUGAAGUACAUAAUAGUAACAUAGUCGAAAUAUGCAGAUAUAGCAAGAAUGAUCCUAAUUUAUUUAGGCAUCACUACCAGUUUGCCCUCAAUGCCUCGAGCGCCAUCUGGCAGAUCAACCAAGUUCCAAACUUGAUUGUCAUCCAUGGACUUUAAUUCGGAUCUCAUGGUCUUAAGCCAUAACUCAGAAUCAGGGCUCUCCGUCGCUUCUGCAUACAUUGCCGACUCGUUGUUCUCCAAGAACAACACAUUGCAGUUAUGCAUAUUGCGCAACCUUUCCGACCUCUGUGGAAUCAGCGUCGACUCCACUAUGGGUUCCUUGACUAACUCCAUGUGGUUCUCGAAUUUCCUCUAGUCGGAUCAUCCUCCCACUAGCCUUCCGAUUGAGAAACUCUUUCUCAAGGAAAACUCCAUGUCGAGCGACAAACACUUUGCCCUCUUCACAGAUGUAGGAGUAAUAUCCCAAGGUUUCCCUUGGAUACCCCAUGAAUAUGCACUUGUCCGAUUUGGGUGUGCGCUUGUCUGACUGGAGUCGCUUGACGUAUGAUUCACAACCCCAAAUUUUUAGAGAAGACAAAGUUUGGCUCUUCGCAGUCCAUAUCUCAUAUGACGUCUUAUCUACAAACUUGGAUGGUACCCUAUUUAGUGUGAAAGCUGCAGUUUCUAGAGCGUAUCGCCAAAAUAACAAGGGUAAAUCCGACUGACUCGUCAUUGAUUGGGCCAUGUCUAACAGAGUCUGAUUCCUUCGUUCCAACACGCCAUUUCUCUGUGGCAUACCCCGAGGAGUCAGUUGUGGAACUAUCCUACGACUCUUCAGAUAAUCAUCAAACUCCUGGCUCAUAUACUCAUUCGCCACGAUCAGAUCGCAGAAGUUUGAUUCUCUUGUCGAGUUGAUUCUCCACUUCAUUCUGAAACUCCUUGAACUUUUCAAAAGUUUCUAACUUGUGCCUCAUCAAGUAGACAUAUCCAAAUCUACUCAAGUUAUCUGUAAACGUCAUGAAGUAUUGGAAACCACCUCUAGCUGGACUUGUUUUACCAUUGUUGAAAUGUCUUGUGCAUCGGGAUUCCGAGUCUGAUCGGAGGGUCUCGAGAUGGAGGAUUGUCUCUGCGGAUCGUGAGCUUGUCAUGGGCAAAGUUGGGACACCCCUGCAGGGUUUAAACUUUCGAGAGCCAUGCCCGCGGUUAUGUGGCAGAUGGGAAUUUGUUAAUAUCUGGUUGUAGAGGACUUGAACUAAACUCAAUUAAAAUACACCAACCGCGGGUGUAACCGUGACUGUCUCUUUCCAGGUGCGUUCGAGAAGAGAAUACGGUUGGGUUAUGUUUGAACGUAAGUGGUUUAGGAUCACUUCUUGAUCACUAUUAGUUUGCGACCGUUGUGUAGAUUCUCUUCUUACUUUUGUACUCGUAAGUUAGCCACCAUACAAAUGCUUAGUGCUUGCUGCAGCUUCACCACUAUCCAUUCCAUACCCAUUAAGCUUUGCUAGUCUUCAUACCCAUGGUAAUGGGAUUGCUGAGUCCUCGUGGCUCACAGAUGACUACAACAAUAGUUGUAGGUACAGGUAAUGCAAUGAUCUGACGUGAGAGCGAUGCUUGAUUGCUUUUGGAGUUCUUCUUCUUCUUCGAUCAAGGGAUUAGGUUCCGGGUCGGGGAGCCUGGGAUUAGUGGGGUGGAUAUUAUUCUUCUUUUUUGUUUGAUUUCAUCCGUAGUCGGAUCCUGCCCUUCUGUGUGCGCUCGAAAUGCGGUUGGAACAGACGAUCGCUAGACAGCGCGCCCGCAUUGCCACCCUCAAAGACGGUGAUGCCAGCUCUGCCUUCUUUCACCGGCAGUGCUCGUUUCAAUGACAGAAAAACCGCAUCUUCUGCCUCUCUGCGAACGGCACGCUACUCACAGACCAUGACGAGAUGGCCGAGGCUGCAUUCCGGCACUAUGACACACUGCUUGGCACGGCGGUCGAACACGACCACUCGAUGGACCUGUCGCAGCUCAUCGAGGGGAGCGAUCUCUCCGACCUUGACGCGACCUUUUGCCCGGAGGAGAGAUGGGAAGCUGUGAAACGCCUCCCCGCGCACAAGGCAGCUGAGCCUGAUGGCUUUAGCGCUGAAUUUCUCCGCGUGUGCCGGAGCAUCAUCAAGCAGGACUUCAUGGAUGUGUUCCAGUAGCUCUUCGAGCUGCGUGGCCGUGGCUUCUGCAAGGUCAACCAGGCCCUUCUCACGCUGCUGCCGAAGCCCAGGAGGUGCGCAACUACCGCCCGAUAUGCCUCAUUCAUAUCGUGGCCAAGGUACUCGCGAAGGCCCUCUCGCUCCGGCUAGCUCCAAAACUUGACCGCUUUGUCAGCCGCAAUCAAAACGCGUUCAUCCUCGGACGGAGCCUACACGACAACUUUAUGCUCGUCAGGCAAUCGGUCAAGCUGCUGAGCCAACUUGGGGGCCCCAGGGUGAUGCUCAAGCUCGACCUCACGCGCGCUUUUGACUCCAUCUCCUGGCCGUUCCUCUUUGAGGUUCUGCGCCAAUUUGGGUUCGGGAAUCGCUUCCUCGAAUGGAUCGCCAUCCUCCUGUCCUCGGCAAGCACUCGGGUGUAGUUGAUUGGUGUCCCAGGCCCACUGAUAUGGCAUAAGGGAGGGCUGCGGCAGGGGGGACUCCUUGUCCCCGCAGCUGUUCGUGCUCGCGGUCGACACUCUCGGCCGGCUGAUUCGGCGCGCCCAUGAUACGGGCAUCCUCCAGCCGCUGCAUCUGCGGAGGCCGAUACCGGCUAUAUCCCUAUACGCCGACGACGUCAUGCUCUUUUGCCAUGCCACGGAGAGUGACGUGACUGUCGUCAAGGAAAUCCUUGACCUGUUUGGUAGAGCGUCCAGCCUCAAGGUGAACUACACCAAGAGCUCGGCCACGGUCUUGCAUCGGGAAUAGGUUGCCUCCGAGAUGAUCACCAGCUUGGGGUGUUCGACUGCCGCGCUCCCGGUCACCUACCUCGGUAUACCUCUGACGAUGCGCCGCCCUUCCGCCGGGCAGUUGCAGCCCCUUGUCGACAAGGUCACCGGACGCUUGCCCACCUGGAAAGCAUGGCUCAUGAACAGAGCCGGCAGGCUCGCCCUCGUCAAGUUCUUCCUUUGCACUAUCCCGGUGCACCAGCGGGUUGCAUUUGCCCCCUCGAAGAAAAGACUGCAGCAACUCGAGAAAAUUCAACGAGGGUUCCUCUGGGCCGGGCGAGCCAUCACCAACGGCGGGCACUGCCAUGUGAACUGGCAUCAUGCUUCCCGCCCGCUCGCGCUUGGCAGCCUUGGGGUUCGUGAUGUCGAGCGCGUUGGACUCGCGCUCAGGCUGCGGUGGCUCUGGCUCUCGCGAACGGACGAAGGGCGCGCCUGGCAGGGGCUGGACCUCCAAUUUUCUAGCAACGAGCGUACACUGUUCUUUGCCUCCACCUACAUGACCAUUGGAAAUGGCAUGAACGCCCUGUUCUGGGAGGAUCGAUGGCUCAACGGGCACUCGGUUGGCGAGCUCAUGCCCCUGUUCUACAGCUGCAUCCCCAAACGCCGGCGCAAAGCUAGAACGGUGGCCGAAGGUCUCAACUGCAACGCAUUGGCCCAUGACAUCCAGGGCGUCCUCGUCAUCCACGAGAUAGGCCAGUAUCUACAGCUUUGGCAACUCACGGAACAGGCUAUGCUCAGCGAUGCUCCUGACCAGCUGAUCUGUAAGCAGACUGCGAGCGGCAUCUAUUCGGCGCAGUCUUGCUACGCGGCUACCUUCCAAGGAUCAGUGCACUCCUACUCUUGGAAGUUGAUCUGGAAGGCUUGGGCUCCCCCUCGACUCAAGUUUUUCCAUUGGCUUGCCAACCUGGAUCGCUGCUGGACUGCCGAUCGACUGGCCUGCCAAAGACUGCAGCAUCAUCUGUGCUGCCUUCUUUGCGAUCAGGCGCCGGAAAUGAUCCGGCACCUCAUGCUUGACUGCCCCUUCUCUAGGCAGGCAUGGCAUGAGACCCUGGCCUGGCUACGCAUACCGGCGUCGAUCCCCAACCAGGAGCCCACCCUCAUGGACUGGUGGCGGCACGCCGCAAGCACAACGCAAGGCCCUGCAAUCCGUAGUGCUACUCGUACCAUGGCUCGUCUGGAAGCAUAUGAACAGCCACGUCUUCGACAGCGCGACGCCCUCCCUAGGCACGCUAGUCGACCGGAUCAAGGAGGAAGCCGACUCCUGGGCUAAGGCCGGAGCAGUAGGCCUUAGAGUAGUCCUACCCCCUUUAUGGGACGUGCACUGAGCAUUGUAUCUGAUCCUUCAUUAUUCAUCCUAGGACGACUGUAACUGACUCCCUACCUUUUCAAUGAAAAGAAACGGAAAGGUCUUUUGCAUUUUCUCGAGAAAAAAAAGAAUGACCUUGAGGCAAGCUCAAUGAAAAUACGUUUUCCAAAGGUUUCAAGACUAUCUUCCUUGUGCUCUGGGAUAAAGCCAUUUGCAAUUCAUAGUCAGAUCAGCUUGUCCACAUCAAUCUUGUAAUCCUUUGGAAAUAUAGCACAAAAGGAAAAGCAUUGCUUCAUGUGUGAUGGCAAGUCAUUGUAGCUAAGCUUUAAUAUUGGCAGAAUCCAGUUUCCAAAGUGCAAAUGCUGCUACUAGAUGAUAUAGCCUUCCACUCUUCGACGCUAGUCUUGGUACGAAGUACAUAGCCCAAUGCAGUUGCAGCUAAAGGAGAGCCAGAACAUCAGCUUACAAUCUCAUCAACCAUCUUGCUUAGCUCGACAGGCUUUUCUUUCUCCGAACUGAAUGCUCUAGCCUCAGUAAUUUCCUUUACGAAGAAAUCCUCCACAAUAUUGAGAUUGUAGGCUCUACCUGCACCCAUAAUUUCAGUGACUUGUUUAUCACGAGUUCUUGUUAACAUUGCACUACCCAUGCCACCAUGUUGAGGACAGACCUUCAGCCUUCCCAACUUAUAGACCUCUCUGUUCCAGACAUCAUCCAAUACAUGGAGAUACCUGUGCCCGCUGUCCAGUUUUUGAAAUCUAUCCAAAGGUAUCAUAGACCUCUCUGGGGGAUGCCCGCUGUACCCAGAGCUGCAACUGAAAAUGAUUCUGAAUUUCAGGUUCAUUGUAUAUGAGUUACGCUAAUGUGGUCUUGCCAAGGCCCCCCAUUCCAACAAUGGGAACUACUGCGAGAUCAGUAUUGCUAGCUUGACCAAGUAGUAUGUCAACGAUAUUAUUCUUAUCUCCGUGUUUGGAUCUGUUGGCAAUUUCUUGUUGGUCGCUGAUGACAUAAUCUGUGUGCCUCCACUCCUUGGACACUCGUGUUUGCCUCAACUGAUUAGACACCAACAACGUCUGCCUCAACAUAAGCGCGACGCGUUGUUGGGCUAGGCCCAGAACGGUGCGCGGGCAGGUGGGGCGUAUUUUUACCGUAGUAACUGUUUCGUCCGCUGCGCUUCCCCACGACCUGCGUUGAACACGCACGUGGAGGGUCGUGCGUGACGUGGGGGUCAUGCGUGGGGCGGUCUCCACACGCAUGCGUCACAUCGCAUUUAAUGGGAAAAGAGGCGGCCCACGCCUUCCCCGUAAAAAGGAAUAACAGCGGGCGCGCUGUUCAUUUACCCCCUGCGUCUUCUUCAAUCUCGGAAUCGCCGUCCCCUUCUUCUUCCUUCUCAAACUCUCGCCUUUGCUCGUUGCCGCCGCAUCUUCGCUGUCCUCCGUCCUUUGCCUCUCGCAGCCGCCAUGGCCCCCAAAACAAGUAAAGGAAAGGGAGUGGCCAAGGAUGCCGGGGCGAAGGAGCCGCCGGAGAGCGAGUUGGUGGCGCGGCGGACGCAUCUCGCCUACUUCCCCUCGACGGUCGACGCGGUCGAACUCCGGGACUACUUCAGGNNNNNNNNNNNNNNNNNNNNNNNNNNNNNNNNNNNNNNNNNNNNNNNNNNNNNNNNNNNNNNNNNNNNNNNNNNNNNNNNNNNNNNNNNNNNNNNNNNNNNNNNNNNNNNNNNNNNNNNNNNNNNNNNNNNNNNNNNNNNNNNNNNNNNNNNNNNNNNNNNNNNNNNNNNNNNNNNNNNNNNNNNNNNNNNNNNNNNNNNNNNNNNNNNNNNNNNNNNNNNNNNNNNNNNNNNNNNNNNNNNNNNNNNNNNNNNNNNNNNNNNNNNNNNNNNNNNNNNNNNNNNNNNNNNNNNNGCGUGUCAUCCCCGCCAAUUGCGCCGAGGCCGCCCCGAAUCGGUAUCCGUUCUUCGUCGAUUACUUUUCUUGCGGUCUCUGCCCCCCUUUCUCCGAUUUCUUCAAUGAUGUCAUGCACACAUUUGGCUUCCACCUUCUGGAUUUCACUCCCAAUGCCGUGGCGUGCAUGGCUCUUUUCGCCCAUCUCUGUGAGGGCUUCGCCGGAGUUCUUCCCAACACAUUGCCCUUCCGCUAUUAGUUUUACCCUCGCAUCCAAAAGGGAGGCGCCAUCUCUGGUUGCGUCGCCUGGAUACCAAGGUCCAAAGGGACGUACCCGGAGGGCGCCCAGAAGGAGAGGUUGGAAGAGUGGCGGGGCCGGUGGUGCUGGAUUGGGGAGGACGACCCGCCGGAAUUUUUCCGGGUUCGUCAGGCGCCGCCGGUUCGCAGGAACGACUGGGGCGAUGUCAACGCCCUGGAUGACAAGCUCAAGGUCGCCACCACCAGGAUUCACCGCCUCACCGUUGCCGGGCUCACCCUGGAGAUGAUUGGGGCGGACUUGAUCCGCCGCCGAAUCGCUCCACUGCACAACAAGGGGAGACCGGCCUGGCUCUUCCAAAACGCGGCUGACAUCAUGAGGCUUCACUCUGGCCUCAACAACAACUUCACGGUGAUGGGGCACGCCCACUUCUGCUAGCGGAUCUUUCAGCUCGACGUGAACCGCGACGGCAGGGCCAAGAGGUCCGGCAAGGCUGCAAAGGCCGGCAAGGUCCUCAAGGGGCCCUUGUUUGGGUUGCCAGCGGGGGUGGUCCCGCUGAGCAACAACUCGCGCCAGACCGACAUCAUCGCCAUGAUGUCGGACUACAAUGCACACGGUCCCGUCCCAAAUUGGUUCGAGCCGCUAGCGGAUCAGGUGCAGGAGUUCUUUGAUACUUUGGCGGAGAAGUAUGUCUGCGACGAGCCGCUGCUCAUCUAGGACACCACCCAAGCAGAGCUGGACUACAUCGCCGCCAGGGCGGCGGAGGCGGAGCUCGCUAGGGAGGCCGGCAGCGCUGGCGGCAUGGAGGACGAGGUCGCAGCAGCCGCAGAGGAGAGGGAGCUCGCCCAGUGGGAGGAAUCCGAUGGGGAGGCCAGCAGCGCCAGCACCGGGGCCCCUCUUAUUGAAGAUGUGGUCGACGAUUCGGAGGAGGAGGAGGUCGAGGCUGUCGAUCCUCCGGUCAUGGGGAGAGGGCGAGUCCUGCGGCGGGCCAGCUCCGGCAAGCCGGUCCAGCCCGGCAGGGCUGUGCAACCGCAGCAGACCUAGGAGGGGUAUGUGCGCCAGACAAGGGCCGCGGUGGCGAGGAAGUUGGUGAAGGCCGUGGUGGCGAAGAAGAAAGCAACAACCUCUUCUUCGUUCAAGCGUGGCCAGACUCCACCUUCUUCCCCUCCUCGGGCAGACGUUGACACGGAGGUCGUCUUCGACUUUGGGUCCCUCAGCCCAAGGAGGAAGAGGAAGGCAUCAGAAGAGGAGGUGGAGGAUGAGUAAGUUUCUUGUUACUUUUUGUCAUCUCCGUCUCCUCAGACUGUGCUGCUUAUCUCGAUUUGUUUUCAUCUUUGCAGGGAUGCGGAGACGCUGGCCCAGAGGGUGAAGAGGGCCAGGUCCUCGGCUGGCGGCCGGCCUCCGGCGGGCACUUCGAGGAUGCCACUAGUGGUGGUGAGCAGCCCGGACAGCAGUCCCCGAAGCAGCCCCCGGCGUAAGUUCCCCACUCGUCCCUCGUCAACGUGUGUUGGGGGUACGAUCCCUUGGCGCUAACCUUGCCGUGAUUGCAGGAGGAGGACAACAGGAGGAGGAGCCACGGAGGGUUACCCCCAACACGCUGCCCCCAUCGACCACGCCGCCCCGAGGGGUGGUGUCUACUACGCAACCUUCUUCUUGUAGACGUUGUUGGGCCUCCAAGUGCAGAGGUUUGUAGGACAGUAGAAAAUUUCCCUCAAGUGGAUGACCUAAGGUUUAUCAAUCCGUGGGAGGCGUAGGAUGAAGAUGGUCUCUCUCAAGCAACCCUGCAACCAAAUAACAAAGAGUCUCUUGUGUCCCCAACACACCCAAUACAAUGGUAAAUUGUAUAGGUGCACUAGUUCGACGAAGAGAUGGUGAUACAAGUGUAAUAUGGAUGGUAGAUAUAGGUUUUUGUAAUAUGAAAAUAUAAAAACAGCAAGCUAACUAAUGAUAAAAGUGAGCACAAACGGUAUUGCAAUGCGUUGAAACAAGGCCUAGGGUUCAUACAUUCACUAGUGCAAGUUCUCUCAACAAUAAUAACAUAAUUGGAUCAUAUAACUAUCCCUCAACGUGCAACAAAGAGUCACUCCAAAGUCACUAAUAGAGGAGAACAAACGAAGAGAUUAUGGUAGGGUACGAAACCACCUCAAAGUUAUUCUUUCGGAUCGAUCUUAUUCAAGAGUUCGUACUAGAAUAACACCUUAAGACAAAAUCAACCAAAACCCUAAUGUCACCUAGAUACUCCAAUGUGACCUCAAGUAUCCGUGGGUAUGAUUAUACGAUAUGCAUCACACAAUCUCAGAUUAAUCUAUUCAAACCAACACAAAGUACUUCAAAGAGUGUCCCAAAGUUUCUACCAGAGAGUCAAGACGAAAACGUGUGCCAACCCCUAUGCAUAGGUUCAUGGGCGGAACCCGCAAGUUGAUCACCAAAACAUACAUCAAGUGGAUCACGUGAUAUCCCAUUGUCACCAGAGAUACGCACAUGCAAGACAUACGUCAAGUGUUCUCAAAUCCUCAAAGACUCAAUCCGAUAAGAUAACUUCAAAGGGAAAACUCAAUCCAUUACAAGAGUGUAGAGGGGGAGAAACACCAUAAGAUCCAACUAUAAUAGCAAAGCUCGCGAUACAUCAAGAUCGUACCACCUCAAGAACACAAGAGAGAGAGAGAGAGAGAGAUCAAACACAUAGCUACUGGUACAUACCCUCAGCCCCGAGGGUGAACUACUCCCUCCUCGUCAUGGAGAGCGCGGGGAUGAUGAAGAUGGCCACCGGUGAGGGUUUCCCCCUCCGGCAGGGUGCCGGAACAGGGUCCCGAUUGGUUUUUGGUGGCUACAGAGGCUUGCGGCGGCGGAACUCCCGAUCUAUUCUGUUCACCUAUGUUUUUAGGGUAUAUGGAUAUAUAUAGGCGAAAGAAGUCGGUAAGGGGAGCCACGAGGGGCCCACGAGGGUGGAGGGCACGCCCAGGGGGUGGGCGCGCCCCCUACCUCGUGCCUUCCUUGUUGCUUCCCUUACGUACACUCCAAGUCUUCUGGAUUGCUUCGGUUCCAAAAAUAACUCUCCCGAAGGUUUCAUUCCGUUUGGACUCCGUUUGAUAUUCCUUUUCUGCGAAACACUGAAACAAGGAGAAAAACUGAAACUAGCACUGGGCUCUGGGUUAAUAAGUUAGUCCCAAAAAUAAUAUAAAAGUGCAUAGUAAAUCCCAUUAAACAUCCAAGAUGGAUAAUAUAAUAGCAUGAAUACUUCAUAAAUUAUAGAUACGUUGGAGACGUAUCAGCAUCCCCAAGCUUAAUUCCUGCUCGUCCUCGAGUAGGUAAAUGAUAUAAGAAAUAAUUAUGAAGUGUGAAUGCUAGCAGGUGCACAAGUUUGAUCAAUGAUAAUUUCAAUCACCUUUUCAAGCAUCAUUAUAUGUCAUAACAGUAGCUCAACUCAUAAAACUUUUCAUGAUCAAGUAACAAGCUAUUCACAUAUUAAAGCAUAGACCAUAAACUUUCUUGAAAACUAACAAACUAUGUUCUCAGUCAUCAAACAAUUGCAAUUCAUCUUAUUUUCAGGAAGGGUCUAUGUAAGAGCUUUGAUUUAGCAAAUCCCACAUACUCAACUAUCAUAUAGUCUUCCAUGAUUGCUACCACUCAAAGCAUAUUUUCGGAACAAAUAGCAUCCAUCGAACACAGAGAAAGAUAGGGGCUUAAUGUUUCGCCUCCCAACUUAUUUAUCAUAUAGAUAAUUGUCAACAAUAAUAAUUCAUGAUCAAAUAUAUUUGAAUGGCCAUAUAUGCUUAGAUCUUUCCAUCACAUGAUGCUUGCCAACUAAAAAGUAGGUUGGAAUGAGAAGGAAUACUACUGACUCUUGCAUAAAAGUAAAAGAUAGGCCCUUCACAGAGGGAAGCAGGGAUUUGCAGAGGUGCCAGAGCUCGAAGCUAAAACAGAGAUGAAAAUAAUUUUGAGAGGUAUGCUUUCAUUGUCAACAUAACGACCAAGAGUUCCCAAUAUCUUCCAUACUACAUACAUUAUAGGCGGUUCCCACGCGGAAAGGUAAAGUUUUUACUCCCCCUCCACCAACAUUCACACUCCACGGCUUGUCCGAAACAAUGGGUGCCGUCCAACUAUCAACAUUCUUGGGGGAGUUUGUUGAAAUUAUUUGUGAAUUUGUUUUUGAUCUUUUGAUCAUAGGACUGGGCAUCCCAGUUACCAGCCAUUUUCUCGUGAAUGAUGAGCGGUGUCCACUCAUCGUGAGAAUAACCCACCCAGCAUGGAAGAUACUGACAGCCCCUAGUCGCUACAUGAGCGAUUCGGGCAUACAAAACAGAUUAUUAUUUGAAGGUUUAGAGUUUGGCACAUGCAAAUUUACUUGGAACGGCAGGUAAAUACCGCAUAUAGGUAGAUAUGGUGGACACUCAUGGAAGAAACUUGGUUCGAGGAAUUUGGAUGCACAAGCAGUAUUCCUGCUUAGUACAGACAUUUUGGCUAGCAAAUGAUUCUAAAUAGCAAGCACCACAAGUUAGAGGAUCCAUAACAAUAUAACUUCUAUACAAAUAUACCCAAGCAUAACUCAUUAUGUUGUCUUCCUUGUCCAACUUCAACUAAUUUGCUCAGGUUUGCUAAUAAUUAAUGGGGCUCACGAUCAUAGAAGAUGUCCAAGAUAGUAUUAUAUGUGAAAUCUCUCUUCCUUCAAUAUUCUUUCAUGAAUUGUUCAAGUGACAAAUACAAAGUUUGCUAACCUUCAAAAAAUUUACCACCUCUACUUCUUAUAUGUGAAGUCAUUACUCCCCAUGGGAUAAGUAUAUGAAACAUAUAUAAUUUCAGAUUUAUAAUAUUCAAAUCAUUCAACUAUUUACUCAUAGGAUAUAAGUGAAGCACACGAGUAAAUGACAAACUACUCCAAAAAGAUAUAAGUGAAGAUCAAUGAGUAGUUAAAUAAUUAUGUAGUUAUCUGAAGACUCUAUCUCAUUUAAGAAUUUCAGAUCUUGGUAUUUUAUUCAUACAGCAAGCAAAACAAAAGAAAAUAAAAUGACGCUCCAAGUAAAACACAUAUCAUGUGGUGAAUAAAAAUAUAGCUCCAAGUAAAGUUACCGAUGAACGAAGACGAAAGAGGGGAUGCCAUCCGGGGCAUCCCCAAGCUUAGGCUCUUGGUUGUCCUUGAAUAUUACCUUGGGGUGCCUUGGGCUUCCCCAAGCUUAGGCUCUUGCCACUCCUUAUUCCAUAGUCCAUCGAAUCUUUACCCAAAACUUGAAAACUUCACAACACAAAACUUAACAGAAGAUCUCGUGAGCUCCGUUAGCGAAAGAAAACAAAACACCACUUCAAGGUACUGUAAUGAACUCAUUAUUUAUUUGUAUUGGUGUUAAAUCUAAUGUAUUCCAACUUCUCUAUGGUUUACAAACUAUUUUACAAGCCAUAGAUUCAUCAAAAUAAGCAAACAACACACGAAAAACAGAAUCUGUCAAAAACAGAACAGUCUGUAGUAAUCUGUAACUAACGCAAACUUCUUGAACUCAACAAAUUCUACCAAAAUAGGACGACCUAGAUAAUUUUAUUAUUGAUCUGAUGCAAUUGGAAUCAGUAUUUUAUCACGUUCUGGUGAUUUUAAACAAUUGUUUUCGUGAACAGAAAGUUUCUGGAAUUUUCAGCAAGAUCAAAUAACUAUCAUCCAAGAAGAUCCUAUAGGUCUUACUUGGCGCAAACACUAAUUAAAACAUAAAACCACAUCUAAACAGAGGCUAGAUAGAUUAUUUAUUGCUAAACAGAACCAUAAAGAAAGAACAAAAAUAAAAAUCGGGUUGCCUCCCAACAAGCGCUAACGUUUAACGCCCCUAGCUAGGCAUGAUGAUUUCAAUGAUGCUCGCAUAAAAGAUAAGAAUUGAAAUAUAAAGAGAGCAUCAUGAAAAAUAUGACUAGCACAUUUAAGUCUAACCCACUUCCUAUGCAUAGGGAUUUUGUGAGAAAACAACUUAUGGGAACAAUAAUCAACUAGCAUAGGAAGGCAAAACAAGCAUAACUUCAAAACUUUAAGCACAUAGAGAGGAAACAUGAUAUUAUUGCAAUUCAUACAAGCAUACAUUCCUCCCUCAUAAUAAUUUUCAGUAGCAUCAUGAAUGAAUUCAACAAUAUAACCAGCACCUAAAGCAUUCUUUUCAUGAUCUACUUGCAUAGAAAUUUUCCUACUCUCCACGUAAGCAAAUUUAUUCUCAUCAAUAGUAGUGGGAGCAAACUCAACAAAAUAACUAUCAUGUGAUUGAAAAUUAAGAUCAAGAUGACAAGUUUCAUGGUUAUCAUUAUUCUUUAUAGCAUACGUGUCAUCACAAUAAUCAUCAUAGGUAGGAGGCAUGCUUUCAUCAUAAUAAAUUUGCUCAUCAAAACUUGGGGGACAAAAAAUAUCAUCUUCAUCAAACAUAGCUUCCCCAAGCUUGUAAUCAUGCUCAUCAUUCAAAUAUUUAGUGCCAAACAUUCUAAUGCAUUCUUCCUCUAGCAAUUGAGCGCAAUUAUCGGAAUCCUUAUUUUCACGGAAGACAUUAAAAAGAUGAAGCAUAUGAGGCACACUCAAUUCCAUUUUUUGUAGUUUUCUUUUAUAAAAUAAACUAGUGAUAAAACAAGAAACUAAAAGAUUCCAUUGCAAGAUCUAAAUAUAUACCUUCAAGCACUCACCUCCCCGACAACGGCGCUAGAAAAGAGCUUAGUUGACGGGGUGUGAGUGCCGCUUACCUAGCCUCCCCGGCAACGGCGCCAGAAAAGAGCUUGAUGUCUACUACGCAACCUUCUUCUUGUAGACGUUGUUGGGCCUCCAAGUGCAGAGGUUUGUAGGACAGUAGCAAAUUUCCCUCAAGUGAAUGACCUAAGGUUUAUCAAUCCGUGGGAGGCGUAGGAUGAAGAUGGUCUCUCUCAAGCAACCCUGCAACCAAAUAACAAAGAGUCUCUUGUGUCCCCAAAACACCCAAUACAAUGGUAAAUUGUAUAUGUGCACUAGUUCGGCGAAGAGAUGGUGAUACAAGUGUAAUAUGGAUGGUAGAUAUAGGUUUUUGUAAUCUGAAAAUAUAAAAACAGCAAGGUAACUAAUGAUAAAAGUGAGCACGAACGGUAUUGCAAUGCGUUGAAACAAGGCCUAGGGUUCAUACUUUCACUGGUGCAAGUUCUCUUAACAAUAAUAACAUAAUUGGAUCAUAUAACUAUCCCUCAACAUGCAACAAAGAGUCACUCCAAAGUCACUAAUAGAGGAGAACAAACGAAGAGAUUACGGUAGGGUACGAAACCACCUCAAAGUUAUUCUUUCGGAUGAUCUUAUUCAAGAGUUCGUACUAGAAUAACACCUUAAGACACAAAUCAACCAAAACCCUAAUGUCACCUAGAUACUCCAAUGUCACCUCAAGUAUCCGUGGGUAUGAUUAUACGAUAUGCAUCACACAAUCUCAGAUUGAUCUAUUCAAACCAACACAGAGUACUUCAAAGAGUGUCCCAAAGUUUCUACCGGAGAGUCAAGAUGAAAACGUGUGCCAACCCCUAUGCAUAGGUUCAUGGGCGGAACCCGCAAGUUGAUCACCAAAACAUACAUCAAGUGGAUCACGUGAUAUCCCAUUGUCACCACAGAUAUGCACAUGCAAGACAUACAUCAAGUGUUCUCAAAUCCUUAAAGACUCAAUCCGAUAAGAUAACUUCAAAGGGAAAACUCAAUCCAUUACAGGAGUGUAGAGGGGGAGAAACAUCAUAAGAUCCAACUAUAAUAGGAAAGCUCGCGAUACAUCAAGGUUGUACCACCUCAAGAACACGAGAGAGAGAUCAAACACAUAGCUACUGGUGCAUACCCUCAGCCCCGAGGGUGAACUACUCCCUCCUCGUCAUGGAGAGCGCGGGAAUGAUGAAGAUGGCCACCGGUGAGGGUUCCCCCCUCCUGCAGGGUGCAGGAACAGGUUCUCGAUUUGUUUUUGGUGGCUACAGAGGCUUGCGGCGGCGGAACUCCUGAUCUAUUCUGUUCCCCGAUGUUUUUAGGGUAUAUGGAUAUAUAUAGGCGAAAGAAGUCGGUAAGGGGAGCCACAAGGGGCCCACGAGGGUGGAGGGCGCGCCUAGGGGGGUGGGCGCGCCCCCUGUCUCGUGCCUUCCUCGUUGCUUCCCUUACGUACACUCCAAGCCUUCUGGAUUGCUUCCGUUCCAAAAAUAACUGUCCCGAAGGUUUCAUUCCCUUUGGACUCCGUUUGAUAUUCCUUUUCUGCGAAACACUGAAACAAGGAGAAAAAACUGAAACUAGCACUGGGCUCUGGGUUAAUAAGUUAGUCCCAAAAAUAAUAUAAAAGUGCGUAGUAAAGCCCAUUAAACAUCCAAGAUGGAUAAUAUAAUAGCAUGAAUACUUCAUAAAUUAUAGAUACGUUGGAGACGUAUCAAGGGGCGUCCCCGGCAAGGGCGCCAAGCACCGAGCCCAUGCACACAGAGGAGGAGGAGGCAGACUUGGGCGCUAGUGGCUCCGCCUCGGUGCCAGAUGUUGGCAGGGAAGGGGCUACUUCUUCCCAGCCCGGCACGGGUACGUCACUUGCCUCCUGUCCCUGCUUUUUCUUCUUCUUUUUGAAUCUUGGUCUUGGCUCCGCCUCAUCCCCUUCUCGAUAUCCAGACCCUCCCUCGGCGGACCGGGAGGACAUAGACACCGUCAUCGAGGAUGUCGCCAAGGACACCGCGGCGGAGGCCGAGAAGAUUGCCGCCGAGGAGGCCGCCAAGGGCGCUGCCGAGGACGCCGCAAAGCGAUCUGCCGGGGAGUCCGGCAUGUCUACUGCCAAAGUGGCCGGCAAGGGGCCUGCCGGGGAGGCCGGCAAGGCCGCUGCCGGGGAGGAGGUGGUUAACGACCAACCUUCCUCCUCUGCUGCCUCUGGUUCCGGCAGGUAUCUGAAGGUGAGCGACGACCUAUUCGUCAACCUCCUAGGGACGGCGAGCACUAGGGCGCCCACCGAGGGAGAGGUGUUCGACGAGGAGGUGCUUGCCGCCGCUGGGCUCGAGGUUGUUGACGAGUCGAGCGCCGGUGGCGACGGUUCCCAGGAAGAGCGGCUCCUUCAGGCCAUGGGCGCCAGCUUUCGGAAGCUCCAGGCGCUCCACCGCGCCCGCCUGGACAAGGCCAAGUCCAGGAUGGCAGCGGUGGAAAAGGCGGAGGCGGACCUCGAGGGUCGCAUCGUCGAGACGCAGGCUUGGUUCCGCCAGGGCUGCGAGGAGCUGAAGACCGCCCAGGACGAGCUGGCCAAGCGCAAGGUGGAGCUCGUCAUGAAGCAGGCCGACAUCGAGAGGGGCCAGGAGUUGGCGAAGAACCAGGCCGCCAAGGACGAGGUCGCUCGGUCCCAGCACCAGGCCGCGCUGAACUCCCAGGAAGAGGACCUUGCCGCUCGCGAGGAGAAGCUCGCCGUGACACUCCGCGGCAAGGACGAGGAGGUCAAGAAGCUUGUCCUGCAGCGGACCCAGGAGUUGGAGCAGAAGCACGAGGAGGCGCUCAAUGCCCAGGCUUAGGUCCACGCCGGCAAGGUGAAGGAGCUGGAGGUGGAGCGGGACGAGCUGAAGAAGCAGGCCCUGGAGUUGACGGCGGAGAGGGACGCUGCCAAAGGUGCCCUGGCCGACGCGCAGGCCGCAGUCCUCAGCAAGGCCGGGCUACUCUCCACGGCCAACGAGACCAUCAAGGACCUGAAGCUGAAGCUGGAGGGCCUUGAGGGGACGCUCUCGGAGGCCAAGGCCCGGGAGGAGACCCUGGCCAAAGAUUUGGAGGCCGAGAAGCAGCUGCGGAAGAACGAAACCGCCAACCACAAGGAUUUUGUGGAGGGCGAGAACCGCUGGAUCAGCCGCCUCAAAGGCGUCGCCGGCAGGAUCACCACGCAGCUGGCUACGAUGGGGAUGCCAAAUGUGAGGUACGCCCCGGAGCCCAAUGUGACUCCCAAUGCCAAGCUGACCCUAUUCUUCGAGGGUGUCCUUGGAGCCCUGGAGCAUCUUCGCUCCAGCAGGGCGGCCUCUUUGGCCGAUGAGGCCCGGAAGCUUUGCCGGGGUGCCAUGACCAAGGUCCUCACCAAGGUGGCGUACUGGAACCCCGACCUCGACUUCGACGCCGCACUAGAGAGCUUGCCGGAGGAUGCUGACCUCGCGGCGCUCAAGGAGCGUAUCAAGCCCAUCAUCAGUCGCGUCGACGGAAUCCAGAGGGUGGAGGGCCAGCGCUGGGAUUAGGCACCCCGUUUCUCAUUGCCGCUGCAGGUUCAUGACCAUGACAAUUUCUAUCUUUAGUUAGAACCGCGGCAACAACUGAUGUAAUAUAACUCUGCAGUACAUUCGUGAUGAUGUAUGUUAUCUUCCUGUUUGAUCUUCCUUUGUAUGUUCACCCUACGUUAAUCGGGUAGGCUUGCCGGCGCGUAAACCCAGGCCGCGGCGCCUUGAGGAUGGAUCCCCAAUGGCCUGCCGGGUAUGCUUGCUGCCAGGCGAACCACCUUACCGCAUUAGUAGAAAACAGGGCUUUGGUUCCGGCCUGGCCAGCCCAUUAGUCCCGGUUCUUCAUGAACCGGGACCCAUGGGGGGCAUUAGUCCCGGUUCAUGAGCCCAGGGGGCCGUCCGGGGCCUCGUGGGCAUUGGUCCAGGUUCCUCUGGAUCCAUUUGUACCGGUUCUAGAGGGCCGCGCUCCUUGCCCACAGCCAUUGGUACCGGUUCGUGCCUAUAACCGGGACAGAAGGGGGGGGGGCUUUAGUACCGGUUCGUGCCACAAACCGGGACAAAUAAGUUGCCUAUAUAUACUCGUCGCCGCAGCAGAGCACUCCACAGUGCUCUGUUUUUUCUGGCCGGCGAGGGGAGGGCAUUUGGGUGCUCUAGCUCACCUCCUAUGCACAUGAGGUGUUUGAUGAAAUGCCCGAGCGACACUAGUUAAGCUUUCUCCUCUUGAAGCUCGACCUCGGAGCUCCAUUUUUCCCAAGAUUUGUCUAGAUUUAGCGGUCCGUCACGCCCCGUCCCCGUUUUCACCGCCGUCAAUCGCCCGUGCCGAUCUCGUCGCCGGCACCAUCGUGGUGAGCCUCUUGUUCUUAUCUUCUUUCUGAUUUGCUUAAUUUAGAUAGAUACUUGUCUGAUUUUCUUACUUUUGACACACAUAAUUAUAUAUAAUGCACGCAGAUGAACCGGCAAUGGAUGUACGGUGACAGACACACCUCCGAGUACAUUAAGGGCGUGCAUGAAUUUCUCGAAGUGGCAGAGGCAAACAAGCAGAAUGGUUUUAUGUGUUGUCCAUGCCCUAAAUGUGGGAAUACGAAGUCUUACUCUGACCGGAAAAUCCUGCACACCCACCUGCUUUACAAGGGUUUCAUGCCACACUAUAAUGUUUGGACGAGGCACAGAGAAAUAGGGGUUAUGAUGGAAGACGACGAAGAAGAAGAGGACGAUGACAACUAUGUGCCCCCUGAAUACGGUGAUGCUGCAACGGGGGGAGCUGCCGAAGAUCAAGAGGAACCAGACGAUGUGCCCGAUGAUGCUGCAAUGGGGGAAGCUGCUGAAGAUCAAGAAGAACCAGACGAUGUGCCCGAUGAUAAUGAUCUCCGCCGGGUCAUUGUCGAUGCAAGGAUGCAAUGCGAAAGUCAAAAGGAGCAGCUGAAGUUCGAUCCCAUGUUAGAGGAUCACAAAAAAGGGUUGUACCCCAAUUGCGAAGAUGGCAACACAAAGCUCGGUACCGUACUGGAAUUGCUGCAGUGGAAGGCAGAGAAUGCUGUGCCUGAGAAAGGAUUUGAGAAGCUACUGAAAAUAUUGAAGAAGAAGUUUCCAAAGGACAAUGAAUUGCCUGACAGUACGUACGCAGCAAAGAAGGUCGUAUGCCCUCUAGGAUUGGAGGUGCAGAAGAUACAUGCAUGCCCUAAUGACUGCAUCCUCGACCAUGGUGCGUACAAGGAUUUGAACGCAUGCCCGGUAUGCGGUGCAUUGCGGUAUAAGAUCAGACGAGAUGACCCUGGUGAUGUUGACGGUGAGCCCCGCAGGAAGAGGGUCCCUGCGAAGGUGAUGUGGUAUGCGCCUAUAAUACCACCGUUGAAACGACUAUUCAGAAACAAAGAGCAUGCCAAGUUGAUGCGAUGGCACAGUGAGGACCGUAAGAAAGACGGGAAGUUGAGAGCACCCGCUGACGGGUCGCAGUGGCGAAAAAUUAAGAGAAAGUACUGGGAUGAGUUUGCAGGUGACCCAAGGAAUGUAUGGUUUGCUUUAAGAGCGGAUGGCAUUAAUCCUUUCGGGGAGCAGAGCAGCAAUCACAGCACCUGGCCCGUGACUCUAUGUAUGUAUAACCUUCCUCCUUGGAUGUGCAUGAAGCGGAAGUUCAUUAUGAUGCCAAUUCUCAUCCAAGGCCCUAAGCAACCCGUUAACGACAUUGAUGUGUACCUAAGGCCAUUAGUUGAAGAACUUUUAUAGCUGUGGAAUGGAAACAGUGUACGUGCGUGGGAUGAGCACAGACACGAGGAAUUUAACCUCCAUGCGUUGCUGUUUGUAACCAUCAACGAUUGGCCCGCUCUCAGUAACCUAUCAGGACAGACAAACAAGGGAUACCACGCAUGCACGCACUAUUUAGCUAACACCAAAAGUAUAUACCUGGACAAAUGCAGGAAGAAUGUGUACCUGUGCCAUCAUCGAUUUCUUCCGACCAACCAUCAAUGUCGAAAGAAAGGCAAGCAUUUCAAAGGCGAGGCAGAUCACCGGAAGAAGCCCGCCAUGCGUACCGGUGAUCACGUACUUGCUAUGGUCAAUGAUUUACACCUAAUGUUUGGAAAGGGUCCCGGCGGACUAGCUGUUCCGAAUGACGCUGGGGGACGCGCACCCAUGUGGAAGAAGAAAUCUAUAUUUUGGGACCUGCCCUACUAGAAAGACCUAGAGGUCCGCUCUUCGAUCGACGUGAUGCACGUGACGAAGAACCUUUGCGUGAACCUGCUAGGCUUCUUGGGCAUGUAUGGGAAGACAAAAGAUACAGCUGAGGCACGGGAGGACCUGCAACGUUUGCACGAAAAAGACGGCAUGCCUCCAAAGCAGUAUGAAGGUCCUGCCAGCUAUGCUCUUACCAAAGAAGAGAAGGAAAUCUUCUUUGAAUGUCUGCUUAGUAUGAAGGUCUCGACUGGCUUCUCGUCGAAUAUAAAGGGAAUAAUAAAUAUGCCAGAGAAAAAGUUCCAGAACCUAAAGUCUCAUGACUGCCACGUGAUUAUGACGCAACUGCUUCCGGUUGCAUUGAGGGGGCGUCUACCGAAAAACGUCCGAUUAGCCAUUGUGAAGCUAUGUGCAUUCCUCAAUGCAAUCUCUCAGAAGGUGAUCAAUCCAGAAAUCAUACCAAGGCUAAGGAGUGAUGUGGCGCAAUGUCUUGUCAGUUUCGAGCUGGUGUUCCCACCAUCCUUCUUCAAUAUCAUGACGCACGUCCUAGUUCAUCUAGUUGACGAGAUUGUCAUUCUGGGCCCCGUAUUUCUACAUAAUAUGUACCCCUUUGAGAGGUUCUUGGGAGUCCUAAAGAAAUAUGUCCGUAACCGCGCUAGGCCAGAAGGAAGCAUCUCCAUGGGCCAUCAAACAGAGGAUGUCAUUGGGUUUUGUGUUGACUUCAUUCCUGGCCUUAUGAAGAUAGGUCUCCCUAAAUCGCGGUAUGAGGGGAGACUGGCUGGAAAAGGCACGCUUGGAGGGGACUCAAUAAUAUGCAGGGACGGAUAUUCUUGGUCUCAAGCACACUACACAGUUCUACAGAACUCUACCUUGGUGACCCCUUAUGUCGAUGAACACAAGAACAGUCUGCGCUCCAAACACCCGGAGCAUUGCGACGACUGGAUUACAUGUGAACACAUCAGGACUUUCAGCAGUUGGUUGGAAACACGUCUCAGAGGUGACAACACUGUUUGUGAUGAGAUGUACUCGUUGUCCAGGGGACCAUUUUCGACUGUAUUGACUUACAAAGGAUACAAGAUAAAUGGGAAUACAUUUUACACGAUCGCCCAAGAUCAAAAGAGCACCAACCAAAACAGCUGUGUCCGCUUUGAUGCAGCAACCGAGAGGGGAAAGGACACAUAUUAUGGUUACAUAGUGGACAUAUGGGAACUUGACUACGGACAUGAUUUUAAGGUCCCUUUGUCUAAGUGCAAAUGGGUCAAUCUGUCAGGAGGCGGGGUACAGGUAGACCCACAGUACGGAAUGACAACAGUGGAUCUGAACAAUCUUCGGUACACUGACGAACCUUUCGUCCUAGCCAAUGAUGUGGCACAGUUUAUCUAUGUGAAGGACAUGUCUACCAAACCGAGAAAAAGAAAAGAUAAGGAAGCGAAUACAUCAUACGAUGAGCCAAAGCACCACAUAGUUCUUUUAGGAAAAAGGGACAUCGUGGGAGUGGAGCGCAAGACAGACAUGUCUAAAGAUUAUGAAAAGUUUCCUGAAAUUCCUCCCUUCAAAGUCAAGGCUAACCCAAGCAUCCUAAUAAACGAUGAAGAUUAUCCAUGGUUACGGCGCAAUAAGCAAACGACACAAGCGAAGAAAAAGUGAAGACUUUCUCUCUACAACUAUUAUGAUGAUGCCUUUGAUCUAGAAUAUCACUGCAAUUACAUGUGAAGAAAUGAAAUGCAUGUUGUAACAAACGAGUUUCCGUGUGAAAUGAUGAUACCAUGCCAAUUUGCAACCUUAUCGGAGUUCAUUUGAAAUGGUUUUCAAUUUCCGGGUCUUAUAGCUCAAAAAAGCAGUAAAUGCAUGAAAAAUAACAAAUGAAGUCAGAAAGGGUUGAAAAUUGAUGAUGUUGCUUUGAAUGGUGCAUUUUGAACACACAAGAAGUCUGGAGUUCAAAUAAGUUCGAAAAAAUGAAAUCCCUUUGUAACAGAUGAGCUUUCGUGCGAAACCCUGAUACUUCGAAAGAGAUUGUCCGUUUUGUACACAAAGUGCAUCUAGUUUUUGCCGUAACCCUCUCAACUUUCUUGCACAUGCUAUGUGGGUGAAAUGAUGAUAGCAUGCCAAUUUUCAACCUUUUCGGUGUUCAUUUGAAAUGCUUUUCAAUUUUCGGGUCUUAUAGCUCAAAAAAGCAGUAAAUGCAUGAAAAAUAAUAAAAUGCAUAAAACUAUAAUAUUUGUUAUGAUCACUAAAAAACUAAAAUCAAUUAAAAUAUUAAAUAGCAGGAAAAAGAAUCACUCAAAAAUCUAUUUUUAUAGUAAAUUUAUUCAUAAAACUAGUGAUUCACAUACAUUUAAAAAAAAUCAAAUUUUAAAACUAAUGGCACUAACAGAAAGUUUAUAAUUUUGUGACCCAAAAGCAAAAAGAAAUCACUAAAAAACUAUAAAAUUUAGUUUUAAGUAGAAAUAAAAAAAUAAAAAGAAAAAAAGGAAAAAAAAUGCCACCUACUGGACCUCCUCGGCCUAAAUACGACUAGAAACCCUACAAUGGGCCAGGAUUCAGGCCCGCAGAAGGCCCAAUAGGCCCAACAGGCAUGGCAAAGUAGAGAUUAGGCCCGUAAGCCUGCAAUAGAGAGGAGCUCGAGAGGGUGGCGGCAGCAAAGCUUAUAAACCACCCCGAGCCCCUCUCAACUAGCGAGGUGGGACUAAACAUCCCACCGCACCGUGCCAGCACAAGGCCUAUGGUCCCGGUUCAUGCCACCAACCGGUACCAUAGGCGGGCAUUCGUACCGGUUCGUGGCACCAACCAGUACCAAUGCCCACCUACGGUCCCGGUCCGUGCCACCAACCGGGACCAUGGGCCUCUGUUUCCCGCCCUUGGGGCUGCCGAAAAGAGACCUUUGGACCCUGUUGGUGGCACGAACCGGGACCAUAGGUAGGCAUUGGUACCGGUUGGUGCCAUGAACCGGUACCAUUGGUUUUGCUAUAUAAGGUAGCACUUGUGAAAAUUUCGCCAACUGCUCCCCCAUUCCCCCCGACGCCGCCAGGCCGUUCCUCGUCGUCGUCGCCGUCGCCGCCCCGAGCCCCUGCCCCGACGNNNNNNNNNNNNNNNNNNNNNNNNNNNNNNNNNNNNNNNNNNNNNNNNNNNNNNNNNNNNNNNNNNNNNNNNNNNNNNNNNNNNNNNNNNNNNNNNNNNNNNNNNNNNNNNNNNNNNNNNNNNNNNNNNNNNNNNNNNNNNNNNNNNNNNNNNNNNNNNNNNNNNNNNNNNNNNNNNNNNNNNNNNNNNNNNNNNNNNNNNNNNNNNNNNNNNNNNNNNNNNNNNNNNNNNNNNNNNNNNNNNNNNNNNNNNNNNNNNNNNNNCCCGACGACGUCGCCGCGCCCUUGACCCGCCGUUGACGUCGUCCUCACCGUCGCCGUCGUCGUCACCGCCCCCGAGCCGCUCCUCCCAGAGCCCUCGCUGUGCGCGUACCCCUCCCCCAAGAGCCCACCGUCCUCGUCGCCGUCAUCGUCACCGGCCUCGUCGUCGUCCUCGUCACCGGCCUCGUCGUUGUCCGGCCUUGAGCCCCCAGUGAGCCCCUUCCAAUCCCGAUCCGUGCACUGCCGCAGCUGCCGCCGCCCCCCCGCGCCGCGCCGCCGCCCCUGUUUUUUAUAUGUAUGUAUGUAUGUAUCUAUGUAUAUGGAUGUAUGUAUGUACGGAUGGAUGGAUAUGCAUGUAUAUGGAUGGAUGUAUGUGUAUGUGUUCAUAGUUUUUUUUUGUUCAUAGUUUUUUGUUGAUAGCAUUUUUAGGCUGUAUAGUUUUAUUUUUGUUCAAUUUUUAUGGUUAGAAGAGGAGAGGAAAAAAUUGUGUUGCUAAAGUUACAUUUAAGGUUAGUUGAUUUAGUUCAUUUUAGGUUAUUAGUUCUACUGUUAGUGCAUUUAAGGUUAGUUUAUUUUUAGUUGAACUAGUUGAUUUAAUAAAACUAAUUUAUUUUACUAUACAUAUAAGUAGUUUAUUUUUAGUAAGUACUACUUUAUUUUAUUUAUAGUAAGUGCUUAGUAGUUGAACUAGUUGAUUUAAUAAAACUACUUUAUUUUACUAUAGAAGUAGUUUAGUUUUAGCAAGAAAAUUAAUAGAAUUAGUUUAUUUUUUAGUUCAAGCAAUUAUUCCCGCAUCGACAUCGACGAUGCCUAUCCCGCAUCCUCGUCGUCGACUCGGCGGAGGAGGCCGACUUGAUCAGAGGGGCCAUGUCCGGGACUGGGCUCCGCCGGGCUGGUAUUGGGAGGUGCUACCUUCCGGGGGGCGUAGGUUGGUGAGGAGCCAGCCCGUCGUUGACCCGAUCCUUGUUUGGUGGCGGUCGCGUGGGCCAGUGACUGUAUCGAGGCUUCCGGACACCGCGGAGGUGGUACGUCACCAUGUCAGCGAGGAGGACGAGCACGCCCGUCGCUACAUGGUUGCGUUGGAGGGCAGGUUCGACAAUACCUGGCAGCUUCUUCAGGGAUCUCAUUGGAGCUAUGAUCAUGUGAUGGUUCCUUCUCUUUGGGCAUCCACCGCCCGCGCCGAUACCCGUCGGGCGCUACGGUUCUAGCUGUACUAGCGAUGCUAUAUGUAUGAUAGUAUUCGAGGUGUAUUAGUGAUAAUAUUCGACGAUGUACGGACGCAAGAGAUGAUGUAGUUUUGCUUAUAAUUGAAUGCAUCCUAAUUUGAAUACUACUUUAUUUUGCGAUCUGAUUUUGCUUAUUGAAUGCUCAAAUUGGAAAACUACUCCUACUUUGAAUGCUAAAAUUAGAGAGCACUAUGCAAGGCGUAUGCAUAUGAUUAGUUGAUAGCUUAUAGUGUUUUUGUUUUCGCAAAAAUAUAGGAGCCCCCAACCAUCAUCCCCGCCGUCGUCCCCGUCACUGACCCCCUCCGACGUCGAGGUGAGACCAGCCAAAUCUCCAUGUCAAUAUGAGUCCUAUAAUAUGAGUCCUCGGGUCGACUUUAAGUCUGUCGAGUCUCCACCAUAUAUGAAAGGACGAAGAAUCAUGACUGUUGUCGUGGGGGUAGCUUCUCCUUCGUUCCCGUGAUGAAUAAUAAUGAUCUAACUUAGGUUUUUAGUACAUAUAUUUAAUUGUAGAUGUUUAAUAUUUGAAUUAUGAACAUAGGAAAUGUCGUACUCAGACUACGAAAGUCUCCCGGGGGAGUGCGACUGGUGCCACGACGACCGAGGUUAGUGCGACCGGCCUCACCUGGACGAAGAUCAGCGCUUCAGCAUUAAGCUGGAGGAGACCUUCGAUGUUGAAACGGUACGCAACGACGACAAGUGUUAUUUUUUCGUAAUUAAGCACGACUUCAAGUAUUUCAACGUGUACUUCUUAUCUUUUACAAUUCGACUAGCUUAUCCCAUGCCAUGCAAGACGCUAUGUCUUGGAGAGGAUGGGUUUUGAAGACCAGGAAAGUUUCGAAACAAAGAAAAUUCAUCUAAGGACCCAUCAUGGUGUGGAUUUUGAAGUAAAGCGGUACAAUUCUGAGAGCGUAACCCAUUUUGGUUGCAAAAAAUGAGAAGCACUUUGCAAGAUGUAUGGUUUUGAUGAGGGUAUGCUUGUCACCAUUGAUCUUGGUGACCCUGAAAUCGAGCAAGACAAUAUGGACAUUUGGGUCCUUGUUGAUACGCCUCCAAUUCUACCGCUAUGUGAGUUUCUCAAACAUAGUUAUUAGCUAAUUUAUAUUGUUUAUUUCAAAAUAGUUGACAACUUAUUUCCAUUGACAGCUUAUUUUGAUUGUUCAAACAAUGUGCGGAACAUGGUAGACAAAACCCACUACACCGAUGGCUCCGAAUUAACUUAUCAGGAGAAAAAUCAUCUGGUCUGAUUUUGUACUGAUAUUGAGAAUUACAAUAUCUAGAAUCAAACUCCUCAACAUUAUUGUCAAUACGUGCCACUAGUGCACGUGUUGAACUACAGUAACUACCAUGGAGAUACCCUGGUAAGAUUUUUUACUAUUACGACAUCCGUGCAUCUUUUGCAUACUUCUAAAACUAGUACAUCAUUGCUAACUAUGAAGUUAUUACUAUGUUUUUCAACAGAGAAUCCCAGAGGAUUGUGUGCCUCAUUUGAUGUAGCAGAAUGGCAGCCUUCGUGUUUUGAACAUAUAUCCAAGUCAUCCAACGAAUCUCAACUGUCCAUACCGGAUUUAUCAAUGAAGUGGAGACAUGCUAAUCAAAAAAUGGAAAAAAUGUAUGGACAGUCGUAAGGAGGUUCUUGGAAGCAAAAGGAAGCGAAGCGUAAGAAUUGGAGACAGGAUGAUCUCCAUUCUCCAUAAUGGAGAGUCAGGGUCUAUAUUGUUUUAUGCUAUUUUACCUUAAAGAGGGUAUUUAGGUCCUACCUAAUACUGAUGAUCAUGUGCUAAGAACAAUUAAGUAGGGCUGGUUCGAUGACUAUGAGGAUGAUGAUCGUAUGACUUGUUAUUAAUAACGAGUAGAAGUUGUAUGAUGAUGAUUAGUAGGACUUGUUAUUAUAUAAGAUGAUGCAUGAUGCGAGCAUGAAGAGUUAUUAUAUAUCAGCGGGUGAAAUGAACAUGGAUUGGAUUGAAGUGAAGGCAACAUGCAUGUGGUGCAUGUCGAAAGUACUACAAUCCAAACUUGAUCAAAGUUAGGAUUAGUAUUACUUUCGACAUGCACCACAUGUUGCCUUCACUUCAAUCUAAGCCAUGUUUAGGCAUAGCAGUAGCGUUGGUAAACCAAGCACGGAGAUAUAAGAGAGGACACUUCUCUCUAUUAUAUUAGCUAGCUAAUAACAACCUAAAUUAACCCCCAAAACCCCUAAAUCAGCCCCUUUAAAAAAACAAAAAGCUCAACUCCAGCCAGCUGCUGACGCGUGGAUGCCUUUUGGUCCCGGUUGGUGUCACCAACCGGGACCAAAGGCCCCCCUGCCUGGGCUGGCCGUAGUGGCCACGUGGAGGCCCAUCUGUCUCGGUUCGUGUAAGAGCCGAGACUAAAGGCCAAGGGCAUUAGUAACGACCUUUUAGUCCCGGUUCCUAAACCGGGACAGAAGGCUCUUACGAACCGGGACAAAUGGCCCUUUUUCUACUAGUGCCGCUCUAAACGCGGCCGCUCGAACUGUUGAGCUUGACUCGAGUCAGAAUCGAGAGCGUUGCCGAUUGCGGAAGGCUAUGUUGCCGUUCUCGACGCGGCCGCUUGAGCUAUUGAGCGGACUCGAAACAGAGUAAGGGCGUUGCCAAUAGCGGAAGGGCCCCUUUGCGUGCAUGUUUUCCAUACAUAGGGCAGGACCUUCGAGUACAAUAACCUUCUAUAUAAAAAGAUAUUGCUUAAAGUUUCACACGACUUAGCUUUUCUGUCAUUGCACGGGCGUCCACCGCAUCUGCAGAUGGUGCCGUCAAGCUUGGUCGUCUUCUAUCUUGGAACGACGGCCACGAUGAAGCCGCUGCUCCGAUCAGACCAAAUUUCCACAACUGCGCCCCCUACCUAGCGCGCCAAAGAUGUCGGGGGAAAUCGACACCUAUGGAAUCACAGGGAUCCCUUCUACGGUUGGCGGGCGCGGGGUUGUGCAAAGAGCAGGUCUGACAGGAAGCACGCAGAUCGUUUACCCAGGUUCGGGCCGCGGAGAUGCGUAAUACCCUAGUCCUGCUAUGGUGGAUGUAUUCGAGUGUUCUUGUGUUCUUGAACUAGCUACGGGGUGUAACUUGCCCAGAAGAUCCGAAUCCCUGUCCUGGAUGCCUCGGGCCUCCUUUUAUAGACAAAAGGGGUUGCCACACUGGCACACAGGAGGUGGAAAGGUGUACAGUGGAUGAGUCUAUCCUCUGGCACCGUUGGACGAACACAUUUAAUGCGCUGCCAACGUGACCCUCUCGCUUUAUCGGGGACGGUCAAGGAAGCUCGUCCCAGCUGUCGCCGCCUCGCCUGGCUUCGACACGCGUCCGAGCUGACGAGGCGUCGUGGCGCCACAUUGGCUGGCUGCUGGGCUGGCGCGGUGGUGGAGCCUUCACGAAGGUCUGCAUGCCACCACGCAGGUGCUUGCUGUGUCGGUGUAGAGGCCGCUCGUCGCCACGCAGGUGCCUGCCCAGCUGGUUGGGCUAGCAGCUGCACGGGGACGGCGGUGGAGUCUUGGCAGGCGCGGGCCUGGCUGUGGCCCCGCUGAUGCCCUUGGCAAGGGUCUUGCCGGGGGCCCGGCAAGGGUCUUGCCGUGGUGCCGCGGUCGUCCCCGGCAAGGCGCUUGCCGGGGGUCUCGUGGAUUUCCUCGGCAAGGACCUCGCCGAGGAUCAUCGUCUUCUGGUCCUCAUCUGAUCUUGUGUAUUUAUGAUCUUCACAAAGAUCAGCAUGCCACCACGGAGGUGCCUCCCGAGCCUUGGUCCCAAUGUGGUUGAUGGCGUUGGAACCCUUGGGCUCAAUGGAGGCGCGCUUCGUUGGCGUCAGGCAAGUUGCCCCGGCAAGGCUCUCGCCGGGGCUGAGGAGGCCGUCCCGGCAAGGGUCUUGCCGGGGGAGUCCACCUCGCCCUCUUGCCCUUUGUGUCUCUGGUCUUGGCAUUGCCAUGGCUGUCUUGUGCUCCGGCUUCCCUCCUCUGCCCUGCUAAGUGUGGCCGUGGGCGCGGCUCUGACUACCAGUGCACAAGUAAAGGGGUCAAAAGGAGAGCCCCUAGUUUUAUACACCGACAUGUAUCCUCCCAGAAUCUCGUAGAAGUACCGUUACUGAUCACAAGCUUUGUCUGAUUGAAAAAAAUGGAUUUAACUCUCAUCAGUCCUUUCCAAAAGGGCUAGUCCAUUGGCCUCACUGUGACCUGGGAUAAAGUUCUGGAAUGAAGGUACUUAUUACGCAGUAUUUGUGCCCAUGUAGCCCCCGUCUCGCUAGAUAGCUUAUACAGCCAUUUGCUGAGAAGACAUAUGUUCUUCACCUUAAGAUUUUUGAUACCUAGACCCCCUUGGUCUUUGGGUCGACAAAUAAUAUCCCAUUUAGCGAGUAUACUUUCUCUUCAGAUCAUCACUUUGCCAGAAGAAACGGGAUCGAUAGAAAUCUAGUCUUUUCCGAACUCCAACUGGUACCUCGAAAAAAGACAAGAGAAACAUGGGCAUGCUCGUGAGAACCGAAUUAAUAAGAAUUAAACGGCCUCCAUAUGACAUGAGUUUGCCAUUCCAGCAACUGAGUUUCUUCUCAAAUCGAUCCUCAGUGCACUUCCAUUCUCUCUUUGUUAGCUUACGAUGGUGAAUUGGUAUGCCCAAUUAAGUGAAAGGCAAAGCCCCCAAUUCGCAUCCGAACAAUUGCUUAUAUGCCUCUUGUUCCUCAUUGGCUCUUCCAAAAUUGUAUAAUUCGCUCUUGUGGAAAUUAAUUUUUAGUCCGGUCAAUUGUUCGAAUAAGCAUAACACCAGCUUCAUAUUUCUCGUUUUUGCCAAGUCAUGGUCCAUGAAGAUGAUAGUAUCAUCGGCGUACUGUAGGACAGACACACCUCCAUCCACUAGAUGAGGUACCACAGGAGAGCACCUGCGAUAAUUAUAUCAUGCCACACGAGUACAAAGGAUGAAGCAUCUUAGACGUUUGGAAUAGAUUUGGGCAUCACAUACGAUUUAUUUUUCCAAAAAGGUAUGCAUGAUUGGGCUCUAUCUGUAGGAGAUAUGCCCUAGAGGCAGUAAUAACAGUUAUUUUGUAUCUCCAAGUUUGUAAUGAAUGUUUAUGAUCCAUGCUAUAACUGCAAUGAUUCUCGAGUCUACAAUAUCCACGAGGCUCGGAGGGAACUCAUAUGCACGUGUGGUAUUAUAAACGGUAAAAUAUAUUCCUAGUCUUGCCUCUAAGACUAGCUCAAGUAUUGCAUGAUGAUCCUGUUUCCUGAUCAUGGGCAUGACUAUGCCGGCAAUUUUGAGGGCACAAGUUUGGUAGAACGCUUGUGUUGAAUCAACCCGGAUUGAUGUUGUGCUAUGAGAUGCCUUCGUCACAAGUUUAUGGUUAAUAUCAUUGAGAUAGUUAAUGUUUGCAUAAUUCCUUAGACCAUGAGAGUAUCAAGUUCCUUCGUGCUUGCUUCGUGAACUUUGGGGUUUGUUAAACGUCAUCCGUAACUUGGUGGCUAUUAUGGCAGCUUUCGGGUUCACGGAAAAGUAUAGGAAGUAACAAGAUAGCUCAAGAUUGGGAUUUGCUCCUCCGACGAUGGAGAGAUAUACUCGGGCCCUCUCAGUGUAACGGUAUCCAUCAUCGUCUGGCCAGACACAUUGUGAUUUGAUCACUGGGAUGCCGGAACACGGAAACGAGAAAAGAGAACAAAACCGGUAACGAGGUAACUUGCAUGGUGGACAAAUUGUUCGUCCAUGGGCAUGCAAUAAAUCUCACCUCGGGUGUUUGUGACAUAUCGCGAAGCAACAGGAAUAGCUCACUACAACUAGAGGUUCACUCGAAUAUUCAUUCGUGUGGGUAUAGGGGUCAAUAUGGGUGUCCACGGCUCCGAUGUUGAUCAUUGAUCGGAAGGGGUUCCAGGUCAUGUCUAUACUUCACCGAACCUAUAGGGUCACACGCUUAGGGGUCAUCUAUCUGUUGAAUACUAGACAGGGAGUCUGAGAGAAAAUCACCGAAAAAGUUUCGGACACCGAAAAGUUUCGGACAGCGGAAUCGUACCGCAGAGAGAGGUCAUCGGAUAAGUUUCGAUGAUACCGAAAAGUUGUUUCGGGAUACACCAUUAAGUCAAAUUGGUUUCGGCACAUGCCUGAUAAUUCUUGGAGGAUGCCAGAAUCAUUCUGGAAGCUUUUUGGAAUUUUCUGACAUAAAAACCGGAAAUGUUCCGGAGCUGCCGGAGCCACUUCAGAUGCGUUUCGCAGAUGAAAAUCACUAAAACCGGAAUUGUUUCGGAACGCGUUGAAAAACAUUUUAGUGGGUACUGGAAAUGUUCUUAGCCCACAUAAAUAUUUUCAGUUCGAUCAGACGCUGAAAAAUGUCGUCGUGAAUAGUGAAAAUCAGCUUUAUGGUUACUUUAUGGAAAGCCACCUUUUGGGGCUUUGCUCCAAAAGAUCUUGGGGAUGACAUGGAUGGAUAGGACCCAUUUUUUGGGCCCCUCAUGGGGGUGUGGCCGGCCACAUGGGGUAUCCCCCCUUGGGGACCCUUUUGUUCAUUGGUUUCACUUCUAGGUCCUUGUGGAAGGACUUCAUUCAUGUGCAUUUUGGGUUUUUGUGUGAAACUACCCUACCCCUUGGGAUUUCCUAUAAAUAGAGGUGGAGGGGCAGCCCUCCACACUCAUCCCUUGCUCUCAUACACAUGCCAUGCAUUAUCUGGCUUCUUCUCUCCCUCCCACGAAAAGAGUUUCGUAGAGCCGUAAGGCUGUCUGGGUUCCGGCAGGAACUAGUUCUGGACGGCGAAGCCCUGCCGGAUAGCUGACACCGUAUGUGUGCAACCCCGUAGAGAGAUUGUAGUUUCGAUCUUUUGCCCGAGGGGCUGUUCGAGUGUCCUCCCGAAGGGCUGUCCGAGUCUCCGUCCGAGUUUCGAGGGUCCUCCCGAAGGGCUGUCCGCGACAUUGUCCGGGGGACUGUCCGACCGCCUCCCGAAGGGCUGUCCGGAGAGGGAGUACAUCCUCGCGGUUGGGAGGUUGUAAAUCCUAGCUGCGGGGAUCUGCACCGACGAUCUACACCGACUCUUCUUCCGCUGCGCUUCGAGUCGGUACGGAUCAGAUCAAACCUUGUAUGCAGUCUCCAUAGUGGUCCUGGGCGUGCUCGCUAUACCGAAAAUUUUCGUUUUCUGUCGCGUUCCCCUACAGUGGCAUCAAGAGCCGUGCUAUGCGUAGAUGCAGGUUACGAUCUAGAAUACAUGGAGAUGUAUGGGUAUUGCAUAAUAUAAUUUUGGAGUAGAUGAGAUGUAUUGCUGAAAAUUAUUUAUGCGGGUGACAGAUGAAAUCUGUUACCCGACGUUCUUGUUGCUUCCCUAGAAUUUGCGUUUGCUCAAUCUCGAGACAGGAUGGUGGAAUUUGACAAAGUUCUGGCAAUCCGUGAUCCUGAUUGAUCAUGGAAGUGCUAUCAGUUCUUUGGGUUCUGCCAUAGUCAAAAGAAAGAUGAAAUUCGCAGAUGAAAGGGCAUUGCAGAUAUGAUCUGCACGGGGGUCAUGCGUAUGACGAAGUUUAGUAUGGGGCUCGAGAUUUAAUUAUCUCGUGUUUCAUACACCCCGAGAUGUUAAUCUAGCAACUUGAAUAAUCAUACUUGAUGAUAAAACGUUGGUAGCUGCGGUUUAAGUCAAAACCUUAGAAGCCACGUAAAAUAAAAUUUUGCAUAAACCGAUUAGAGGCGUCUAACUUGGUUUUGCAGGAUGUGCAUGUGAUGUGGUAUAGCAAUGCUCAUAUUCAAUUUGAUUAUGUAUGAGAUGACUAUAUGAUGUAACUAACAUGACCUGCGUGUCAUGAUUCUGCAUGAUGGCUGGAGCCAUAUGAUUGCACUUUAAUGACCUGCGUGUCAACCUUAAGUAAUGCACUUAUUUUAUUAGCUAUAGAGAUAGCAAUAUUAUCUGGUGCAUCGACAAGGUGGUGGCAAUCUUCGCGAAGGUGAACACCGACGCAAAUGCCGAAGACGAAGAAUUGAAAGACUUCUCCGUCAGAAAGGGCUAUACCAUAUCAUGCUAAUUAUGAAUUGCCUGAGAUGUUUAUCCCCUAUGAUGCACCCUUCUUGAUUGCGCGGUAGUCGCUUUUAUUAGGGUGAUCUCUCACUUAAAAAUAUCAAGUAGAUAGUGUUCUCCCAAGUGUAGCACCGUCACGGCACCUAUCGUUUCGGGGUGCGCCGUGUCACACGGGUACGAACGAUUAGAGAAGUGUGAGGCGGGUGAGUUGAGACCUCGCAGCGAGAUCACUUGGUUGUCUUGACGUUCAGGCAUGACCGUCAUGAGCUCGGAACACACGCAUCGAAAGAUGAACAAGAGUCACAUAGUGAUGUGAUUGGCAAGUUGGCCUACCGGUUAAGAUUUUCGUCAUCAGUGGUGUUACACCAAUGGCGAACAAUCAAGACACGGAUCUUGAAUCACUCAUAAUCAAUUUUGAGAGAUAUUGAUUUGAGUGGGAGUGCAUUUUAGAAUAAAAUGUUUAUUCACUAGUGCAAAUUUCAUUAUAAACAAAGUCUAAGUGAAACUUGUGUCUUCGUUGUAGAUCAAAUGGCUCGCAACACCGCGUUCAACUUAGGCCCGAUGUUAGAGAAAGAGAAGUUAGCUACGACUGGAAACAACUAUGCGGACUGGGCCCGUAACCUGAGGAUUGUCCUCAGGAGCGCUAAGAAAUUGUACGUGCUUGAAACUGCUCUUCCAGCUAAACCGGCGGCAGAUGCACCGGUAGAUGAACAAAAUGUCUGGGCCACUAAGGAUGAUGAUCACAACUUAGUGCAGUGCCUCAUGCUAGCUUGCAUGAGUCCAGGGCUUCAAAAACGUUUUGAAUUCCAUAAAGCCCGUGAUAUGAUCCGGGAAUUGGAUGCUCUGUACAAGGAAACCGCAAAGUCUGAACGAUAUGAUAUCAUGAAGGCUUGGAUGGAUUGCAAGAUGGCUGAGGGUAGUUCAGUUGGCGAACACGUGGUCAAAAUGAUUGGCUAUUCUGAAAGGCUUAAAGCCCUAGAAUUUCCACUUCCACCUGGCCAUAUGAUGGACAUGUUGCUUUCUUCACUCCCCCCGUCUUACGACGGUUUUGUCAUGAACUACAACAUGACAGGGAUGGAGAAGACGCCGAAAGAAGUGCUCGCCAUGCUGAAAACUACAGAAGGAGGACUGCGGAAAAAUCGCAAGUAAGUGUUGCUUGUGAAUAAAACCGCCUGUUUCAAAAAGAAGAAAGGCAAGCCAAAGAAGGGCAAGGGCACCGGUAAGACCGGCUCCCAAAGCAACUCUAAGGGCGGAGCCAAGAAUGAAACUGAGUGCUUCUACUGCAAGGGCACAGGACACUGGAAGAGAAACUGCAAGAAGUAUCUGGAAGAUAAGAAGACCGGGAAAACCGGAAAAGGUAUAAUUGUUAUACAAGUUAAUGUCAUUGACGUUUUGCUUGCUAGCGAAAACUCUAAGUCUUGGGUAUUUGAUACCGGAUCGGUUGCUCACAUUUGCAACUCGAUACAGGGACUUCAGAAGGUGCGCAAGCUAGCAAAGAAUGAAGUCGUGAUGCGCGUCGGGAACGGCGCUGGGAUCGCCGCUCAAGCCGUCGGCAUUAUGCCUCUACGUCUCCCUUCAGGAUUUAUCUUAGAACUAAGUAACUGUUAUUUUGUUCCACUGUUGUGUAGAAACAUUAUCUCCGGAUCAUGUUUGGUACACGAUGGGUAUUCGUACAAGUCUGAGAACAAUGGUUGUUCACUUUAUUGUAAGGAUAUGUUUUAUGGAUUUGCACCCAUUGUUGGGGGCCUUUUCAUACUAAAUCUUGAAUGUGGAAGUGAUGUCUUUAACAUGAAUGCUAAACGCCUUAAGAAGGCUGAUACCACCACCACUUUCAUGUGGCACUGUCGCCUUGGCCACAUCGGUAAGAAACGCAUGCAAAGACUCCAUAAAGAUGGAGUUUUACCGUCCCUUGAUUUUGAAUCAUUUGACACAUGUGAAGCUUGCCUGAUGGGGAAAAUGACCAAGACGCCGUUCACGGGUCAUCCUGAACGGGCGGGUGAAUUAUUGGAAAUAAUACAUAGUGAUGUAUGUGGUCCAAUGAACACAGGCGCACGGGGUGGAUAUUUUUACUUCGUGACUUUUACUGAUGAUUUGAGUAGGUAUGGCUAUAUCUACUUAAUGAAGCAUAAAUCGGAAACCUUUGAAAAGUUCAAAGAAUUUCAGAAUGAGGUAGAAAAUCAUCGUAACAAAAAGAUUAAGUUUCUGCGGUCUGAUCGCGGAGGCGAAUAUCUUAGUCAUGAGUUUGGCCAACAUCUGAGUGAUCGUGGAAUCGUUUCACAGCUUACGCCUCCCGGAACUCCACAGAGAAAUGGAGUAUCGGAACGACGUAACCGAACCUUGUUGGACAUGGUAAGGUCAAUGAUGUCUCUUACAAAUCUUCCAAUAUCUUUUUGGGGUCACGCACUACUUACUGCUGCUCACACACUAAACAAAGCACCGUCUAAAUCUGUUGAGACGACGCCACAUGAGAUGUGGCACGGGAAGAAACCCGACCUGUCGUUUUUCAAAAUUUGGGGUUGUGAAGCUUAUGUAAAACGUUUACAGCCAAGCAAGCUUGAUCCCAGAUCAGACAAAUGUUACUUUGUAGGUUAUCCCAAGGAGACAGUUGGGUAUUCUUUCUACCACGCCUCCGAGAAUAAAGUGUUUGUUGCAAAACAUGGAGUCUUUCUUGAGAAAGAGUUUCUCACUAAAGAAGUGAGUGGGAGGACAAUACAACUCAAUGAGAUUAGUGAAUCUUCGGGAACCGUUGAUAUGGCUAAGGAACCGGAAGAAAUUCCGCUAAUUAUCCCUACAACCGAGCCGGAAGUUGUCGCAUGUGAUGCGGAGACUUCAGACAAUGUUGUAACUGAACCGCGCAGAUCAGGUAGGGCUAUCCAGCCACCUGAGUGGUUUCAUAACGAAAUCUUCAUUCUUGAAGACGAUGAACCUGCGCACUACAAGGAAGCGAUGGCGGGGCCCAGCUCAAAAGAAUGGCACAAAGCCAUGAGAUCCGAAAUGGAAUCCAUGUACGAAAACCAAGUUUGGAACUUGGAAGAACUUCCAGAAGGCAUAAAGCCCAUUGGUUGUAAAAUGGAUUUUCAAAAGAAAGACGGACGCGGAUGGUAACAUUACUAUCCACAAAGCUAGACUUGUCGCGAAAGGGUUCACACAAGUUCCAGGAGUGGACUACGACGAGACUUUCUCGCCAGUAGCUAUGCUUAGGUCUGUUCGGAUAUUGCUAGCAAUUGCUGCUUAUUUCGACUAUGAAAUAUGGCAGAUGGAUGUCAAAACGGCUUUCCUAAAUGGAAACCUCAAAGAGGAUGUAUACAUGAUACAGCCAGAAGGUUUUGUCAUUCAUGAGGAUGCUGGAAAGGUAUGCAAACUUCAGAAAGCCAUUUAUGGUCUGAAGCAAGCAUCAAGGAGCUGGAACAUUCGUUUUGAUGAAGUGGUCAAAGAGUUUGGCUUCAUCAUGAAUGAUGAAGAAUCUUGUGUUUACAAGAAGUUUAGUGGGAGCGCAAAAGCAUUUCUAAUCUUGUAUGUGGAUGACAUAUUGUUGAUUGGAAAUGACGUGAAUUUUCUUAGCGAAAUAAAAGACUCAUUGAAGAAAAGUUUUUCAAUGAAAGACUUAGGCGAAGCGGCAUAUGUAUUAGGCAUCAGGAUCUAUAGAGAUAGAUCAAAACGCCUGAUAGCGCUUAGCCAAAGCACGUACAUUGACAAGGUGUUGAAAAGGUUCAACAUGGAGAACUCCAAGAAAGGCCUACUCCCCAUGUCACCUGGCACAGUGCUUUGCAAGAAUCAGAGUCCUCGGACUCUGGAUGAGCGAGUACAAAUGAAUGAUGUUCCAUAUGCCUCGGCAGUUGGUUCUAUUAUGUAUGCCAUGCUAUGUACAAGACCAGAUGUUUCCUAUGCGCUAAGUGUUAGCAGCCGGUACCAAAGUGAUCCAGGGUUGGAACACUGGGCCGCAGUCAAGGGUAUUCUUAAGUACCUCAGAAGGACCAAGGAUUUACUCCUUGUGUACGGAGGUGAUGAAGAGCUCAUUGUAAGUGGUUACAAUGAUGCAGGCUUCAUGACUGACCCAGAUGACUUCAAAUCUCAAUCAGGCUACGUUUUCAUAUUGAACGGCGGCGCAGUUGAUUGGAAAAGUUCCAAACAAAAGACUGUGGCGGAUUCUACGACGGAGGCGGAAUAUGUUGCUGCUUCAGAAGCCUCCAAGGAGGCGGUAUGGAUCAAACAAUUUCUUGAAGACCUUGGUGUGGUUCGUAGUGCCCAGGACCCGGUGGAGAUCUAUUGUGAUAAUAGUGGCGCCGUGGCUCAGGCAAGGGAGCCAAGUUCGAACCAUAAGACAAGACAUAUUCAACGCAAAUAUAAACUCAUUCGACAUCAUGUCGAAGAGGGUUUAGUGAAAGUACGCAAAGUUCACACGGAUCUGAACGUGUCAGACCCGAUGACAAAGCCUCUACCACGAGCAAAACAUGAGCAACACCGGAUAGCCAUUGGUGUUAGGGAAGCCAUGUAACUGGAUUAUGACUCUAGUGCAAGUGGGAGUCUGUAGGAGAUAUGCCCUAGAGGCAGUAAUAACAGUUAUUUUGUAUCUCCAAGUUUGUAAUGAACGUUUAUGAUCCAUGCUAUAACUGCAAUGAUUCUCGAGUCUACAAUAUCCACGAGGCUCGGAGGGAACUCAUAUGCACGUGUGGUAUUAUAAACGGUAAAAUAUAUUCCUAGUCUUGCCUCUAAGACUAGCUCAAGUAUUGCAUGAUGAUCCUGUUUCCUGAUUAUGGGCAUGACUAUGCCGGCAAUUUUGAGGGCACAAGUUUGGUAGAACGCUUGUGUUGAAUCAACCCGGAUUGAUGUUGUGCUAUGAGAUACCUUCGUCACAAGUUUAUGGUUAAUAUCAUUGAGAUAGUUAAUGUUUGCAUAAUUCCUUAGACCAUGAGAGUAUCAAGUUCCUUCGUGCUUGCUUCGUGAACUUUGGGGUUUGUUAAACGUCAUCCGUAACUGGGUGGCUAUUACGGCAGCUUUCGGGUUCACGGAAAAGUAUAGGAAGUAACAAGAUAGCUCAAGAUUGGGAUUUGCUCCUCCGACGAUGGAGAGAUAUACUCGGGCCCUCUCGGUGUAACGGUAUCCAUCAUCGUCUGGCCAGACACAUUGUGAUUUGAUCACUAGGAUGCCGGAACACGGAAACGAGAAAAGAGAACAAAACCGGUAACGAGGUAACUUGCAUGGUGGACAAAUUGUUCGUCCAUGGGCAUGCAAUAAAUCUCACCUCGGGUGUUUGUGACAUAUCGCGAAGCAACAGGAAUAGCUCACUGCAACUGGAGGUUCACUCGAAUAUUCAUUCGUGUGGGUAUAGGGGUCAAUAUGGGUGUCCACGGCUCCGAUGUUGAUAAUUGAUCGGAAGGGGUUCCAGGUCAUGUCUAUACUUCACCGAACCUAUAGGGUCACACGCUUAGGGGUCAUCUAUCUGUUGAAUACUAGACAGGGAGUCUGAGAGAAAAUCACCGAAAAAGUUUCGGACACCGAAAAGUUUCGGACAGCGGAAUCGUACCGCAGAGAGAGGUCAUCGGAUAAGUUUCGAUGAUACCGAAAAGUUGUUUCGGGAUACACCAUUAAGUCAAAUUGGUUUCGGCACAUGCCUGAUAAUUCUUGGAGGAUGCCAGAAUCAUUCUGGAAGCUUUUUGGAAUUUUCUGACAUAAAAACCGGAAAUGUUCCGGAGCUGCCGGAGCCACUUCAGAUGCGUUUCGCAGAUGAAAAUCACUAAAACCGGAAUUGUUUCGGAACGCGUUGAAAAACAUUUUAGUGGGUACUGGAAAUGUUCUUAGCCCACAUAAAUAUUUUCAGUUCGAUCAGACGCUGAAAAAUGUCGUCGUGAAUAGUGAAAAUCAGCUUUAUGGUUACUUUAUGGAAAGCCACCUUUUGGGGCUUUGCUCCAAAAGAUCUUGGGGAUGACAUGGAUGGAUAGGACCCAUUUUUUGGGCCCCUCAUGGGGGUGUGGCCGGCCACAUGGGGUAUCCCCCCUUGGGGACCCUUUUGUUCAUUGGUUUCACUUCUAGGUCCUUGUGGAAGGACUUCAUUCAUGUGCAUUUUGGGUUUUUGUGUGAAACUACCCUACCCCUUGGGAUUUCCUAUAAAUAGAGGUGGAGGGGCAGCCCUCCACACUCAUCCCUUGCUCUCAUACACAUGCCAUGCAUUAUCUGGCUUCUUCUCUCCCUCCCACGAAAAGAGUUUUGUAGAGCCGUAAGGCUGUCUGGGUUCCGGCAGGAACUAGUUCUGGACGGCGAAGCCCUGCCGGAUAGCUGAAACCGUAUGUGUGCAACCCCGUAGAGAGAUUGUAGUUUCGACCUUUUGCCCGAGGGGCUGUUCGAGUGUCCUCCCGAAGGGCUGUCCGAGUCUCCGUCCGAGUUUCGAGGGUCCUCCCGAAGGGCUGUCCGCGACAUUGUCCGGGGGACUGUCCGACCGCCUCCCGAAGGGCUGUCCGGAGAGGGAGUACAUCCUCGCGGUUGGGAGGUUGUAAAUCCUAGCUGCGGGGAUCUGCACCGACGAUCUACACCGAUUCUUCUUCCGCUGCGCUUCGAGUCGGUACGGAUCAGAUCAAACCUUGUAUGCAGUCUCCAUAGUGGUCCUGGGCGUGCUCGCUAUACCGAAAAUUUUCGUUUUCUGUCGCGUUCCCCUACACUAUCGCAGCCGGUUAACUUGCGUUGUGUGUGAUGGACACCCUUUUCGCACACCUUCACACAGCGAUGCAUCAAAGGUACGUGAGCAAAAGGGGUUUUUAACCGUUUGUGUUGGACUUGCGUGCACUAGUGUGACAUGCGUUACUUAACCUAGCUUUUGUUUAGUUUAGUUAAAUUUCAAGUAGUUUUUUAUGUAACUUGUUAAAUUUUAUCAUAUAUGCAUAUAUGUAAUAUAUCGUACUAGGUUUAUUUUCAUUCGUAAUUCAUUUGAAAUGUGUUCCGAACCGGGGGGUGGUAGUUAAAUGCAGAAAAAACACCACAAUAGCCAUCUCAUUAGCAAAAACAACCACUUUACAAUUUGUGGCAAAAAGGACGACACGCAACAACGGACAGUGGCAAAAGAGCCGGUCGGGACCGGCUCUUUCAAAAUGUGGGGUCCCACUCACCCACUCACUCUCUCACUCACCAGCUCUCGCUCACACUCGACGCCGGUGCCGCUCCUGCUUGACGCUGCCACACAAUGCAUUCAUGGAAUGACGAAGAGGAGAGCAGCAAGGAUGCCCUCAAGUACAGCAGCAUGGAUAUGGAUUUGUGGGUAAGUUUCAGCGCUCAAUAACUAGACGUUUGGAUUAGGGUUAGUGUUUGGAUUUGGGGAUUUAGGGUUUGUGCUCGUUUCCAGCCUUAUUGAAAGGAUUUGUUAGUUAAUUUAGAUAUUGUCAAUGCAGGAGAACCCUGAGACCAUUGUGAAUUCAUUUUACUAUGGGACAGUGGCAUUUUCGGCCAUCAAAUCCAAGCUUUACCAGGCAAGAGCCAAAAAAUCUGUUGGUUUUGGUGACAGACACUAGGAGGAAACUUUAUGGCUGCACUGCACAAGUACUCCCUCCGUCCUAUAUUAAUUGAGCUAAAAUGGAUGUAUCUAGUACAUAUGGAUACUUUCAUUUCAACAACAAUUAAUAUGGGACGGGGCAGUAAUUUUAACUUGCCUUGCUGUUUCACCACUUUGCUCUGUAGCUGUUUGAUUUCGCUGUGUAGUUAUCUAUGUAGUGACGAGUCAUCUGAACUUAGUUGUAUCUUGUUCAUUUUGACUGGAUUAAACUUAGUCUUGCUGCUAUUAAAGGUUAGUCUGUAAUUUAGUAAAUCGAAAUUUAACUGAAUUUUGUUGUUCAAGUUCAGUAUGUAGUUUAGUGAAUCAGAAUUUAACGGAAUAUUGUUUUUCAAGUCCAGUCUGUAGCUUGCUGAAUAUGUAUUGUACUGAUUGUUGUUACUCAAGUUCAGUAUGUAGUUAAGUCAAUCUAAAUUGUAGUGUCAUCAUGUAGUAAAAUAGGUAGUAUAUGUGAAAGAAAUAGGCUUGAUUUAUUGUUGUGUAGUUUUGGAAACAAUAAAUUUUGAGAUACUUUUGUCUGUCUGAACAAUAUGUCACUAGUAGAAAACAGGGCUUUGGUUCGGCUAGAAAAGAGCAUUAAUCCCGGUUGCAUUACGAACCGGGACUAAUGUGAGCAUUAGUCCCGGUUCGAGUGGCUAGGGCACCGUACAAGCAUUAGUCCCGGUUCAAAUGGGACCUUUAGUCCCGGUUGGUGCCACGAACCGGGACUAAAGGGUGCGAUGCCCAUUAGUACCGGUUCGUGGCACCAACCGGUACUAAAGGUUAGACCUUUAGUCCCGGUUCGAGCCACCAACCGGUACUAAUGGGGUUUGAGGCAUUAGUACCUGUUCAUGGCACGAACCGGUACUAAAGGUCCCAUUGUCAAACUCUACCCCCACCCUGGAUCGCCUUUUCAGUUUUGUAAAAAGCAAAGAAAAUGAUAAAAACUUCAAAAAUUAAAAUCCUUCCAGAUGUAUAGUUAUGUUACUACAUGUACUAGUUAGGAAAAUUUAAAAACUUAAAUUUGGACAUGUUUUGCAAAAAGUGUAGGAAAAAUGUAAAACGGCUAUAACUUUUGCAUACGAUGUUAGAAAAAAAGUAUAAUAUAUCAAAAUGUUCAGCACGAAAAUCCGAAUCCGAUUUUGACCGCAUAUGACCCGUUUGCAAAUGUUUAGAAUCCUCAAAUUCUAAAAGGAAAAAAAGUUAUGCUCAAAUUUCUGUUUUUUUUAAUUUUUGUUAAAUCUGGUCAAACUACUUAUUCAAGAAGUAUUAAUGUUACUAAAUAAAUAUUCAAGAAUAUUAGUGUUACUAAAUAAUUAUUUCAGUUUUUUUGAAUUUUCGUCAAAUCUGGUCAAACUAUGGUCAAACUAAUUAUUCAAGAAAUAUUAGUGUUACUAAAUAAUUAUUUCGGUUGUUUUGAAUUUUGGUCAAAUCUGGUCAAACUGUGGUCAAACUGUGGUCGAACUAUGGUCAAACUACUUAUUCAAGAAAUAUUAGUGUUACUAAAUAAUUAUUGUUUUUUAGAACAAUAGUUUCAAACUCAAACAGUGAAAUGUGUGACUUCAUGCUCAAGCUAAGUUCCUGGGGGUUAAUAGGAUUGACAUCUUACUAUUGUCAGGAAAACAACAAGUGCAGACUUGGAAACGAGGGAGAAUAGAACCCGGAAGUUAAGCGUGCUCAGGCUGGAGUAGUGAGAGGAUGGGUGACCGUCCGGGAAGUUAGAUGAUUUGGAAUGAUGAGGGGUGAUUAGGGGUGACAAGUUUUUGAUUACUUGUCCGGUAAGUAUACGAAUUAGAAACCGAGUCGGUUUGGGAUUGUGGUCGCGACACAAUACCGCCUCUGGUCCUAAUAUAUAUACAGCUACCGGCUGCGGCCAGAGACACACCGAAAAACACCUAGGGUUUUGCCUCAUCUCACAACCUGCGCCGCCAUUGUAGUCUACUCCAUCCCAAACGCCGGCGUGCAUCGACGCGUGGGAGAGCAGGUCUCCGGAACCGUUCGUCUUUGCGAUCCUGCACCGGGAGAGGACGAAUUAGGUUUAUGGGAAGCGUUGUGCGCGACUGCUCAAAUUCGUCAUCACGGGUCGUCUUCCGUCCAAGUCGGGCGGUGCUACUCAUCGUCGUAUUCAUCGCCGUCAGCAGCAGAUCGUCACCAACAUCGUCAUCAACACUGUCACACCCUUAAUAGCUAACGAUCAGUACGUCCGACAUCCUCUGUUCAUGUCUGCUUCUACAGCUAUUGUUACGUGUUUGCUGCUGUUAUGCAUGUCUUGCUGUUCUUCUAGUUUGCUAGAUUAUUGCAUGCUAGUAUCUCUUCUAGUCAUGAAUUAUUUACUGGAAUCAAUCAUGAACUUGCCUAAUAUUCCAACAAUCCAAAAACCUAAUUAUAGGCAAUUUCCUGAGUUAACUAUGGCUGGAUUCGCUGAUGCACUGAGGCCGGAUAAGUUUACCGGUGUGCACUUUAAGAGGUGGCAGUUGAAGACCACGCUCUGGCUUACUGGUCUGAAAGUUUUCCACGCUAGUGUUGGUGCUCCAGAGGGAAUGACCGACGAAGAUCGGAGAAAAUUCCAGGAAGCCAAUACUAUGUUUGUGGGAUGCAUUCUGAGUGUUCUUGCUGACUGUCUGUGUGAUGUGUACAUGCACAUAAAUGACGGAAAGAUUCUGUGGGAUGCACUGAAUGCAAAAUUCGGUGCAACAGAUGCAGGCAGUGAACUGUACAUCAUGGAGAGUUUUCAUGACUACAAGAUGGUGAAUAACCGUUCUGUGGUUGAACAAGCUCAUGAGAUACAGUGCAUUGUGAAGGAACUUGAACUCCUUAAAUGUGUUCUACCUGACAAAUUCGUGGCUGGGCGCAUGAUUGCAAAGUUGCCUCCUUCAUGGAGGAAUUUCGCCACAACUCUGAAGCAUAAGAGACAGGAGAUAUCAGUUGAAAAUCUGAUUGCAUCUCUUGAUGUUGAAGAAAAAGCUCGGGCUAAAGAUACUACUGAAAAAGGAGGUGAGGUUCAGCCUACUGCUAACAUGGUGCAGAGGUACCCACAGAACAAGAACAAAGGGAAGAACAAACCUGUUUUCAACAAGCCUACCAAGACUACUACCUUCAAGAAGAAGAAGUUCAACAAGGCUGAGCUAGAGUGCUACGCCUGUGGGAAGCCUGGACACUUUUCCAAGGAAUGCCCUGAACAUGCAGACCGCAGAGGGAAAAUAAGCUCCAAGACUGUCAACAUGGUGACCGCUAGCAAUACUGAUGGGUAUGGUAAUUUACCUAUUGUGCUUUCAGUAUUUCAAUCAUCUUCGUGGUGGAUUGAUUCGGGUGCUAACGUUCAUGUGUGUGCUGACAUCUCCCUAUUUACUUCUUAUCAGGUCGCAAGGGAUUCUUCCGUCCUAAUGGGGAAUGGGUCACAUGCUUCGGGAAAGAUCGUGCAACUAAGGAACGUGCAGCAUGUCCCUACUAUGAACAAGAAUCUAGUUAGCGUCUCCCUUCUAUGUCGAGAUGGAUUUAAGGUAGUUUUAGAGUCCAAUAAAGUAAUCGUGUCAAGAUUUGGACAAUUUAUAGGAAAAGGCUACGAGUGUGGAGGCUUGUUCCGCUUUUCUCUUUCAGAUUUUUGCAAUAAGUCAAUAAACCAAAUUUGUGCUAGUGAUAAUGAUGAUGCAAGUAUUUGGCACUCUCGUUUAUGUCAUAUUAAUUUUGGUUUAAUGUCUCGGCUAUCCAGCAUGAGUUUAAUUCCGAACUUCAGAGUUGCCAAAGGUUCUAAGUGCCAUAGUUGUGUGCAAUCUAUGCAACCUCGAAAGCCUCAUAAGGCCGCCGAGGAGAGAAACUUGGCACCUCAAGAACUCAUACAUUCUGAUCUUUGUGAGAUGAAUGGUGUGUUGACAAAAGGUGGAAAGAGAUAUUUCAUGACUUUGAUUGAUGAUGCGACUAGAUUUUGCUAUGUUUAUUUGUUGCAAACUAAAGAUGAAGCAUUAGACUACUUUAAAAUCUAUAAAGCUGAAGUUGAAAAUCAACUAGAGAGAAAGAUCAAGCGUCUUAGGUCCGAUCAUGGUGGAGAGUAUUUUCCAAAAGUUUUUGAUGAAUUUUGUGAGGAACAUGGUAUUAUUCAUGAGAGGACGCCUCCCUAUUCACCUCAAUCAAAUGGAGUGGCCGAGAGGAAAAACCGCACAUUGACUAACUUGGUGAAUGCCAUGUUAGACACUGCUGGUUUAUCUAAGGCAUGGUGGGGGGAGGCUCUAUUGACUUCAUGUCAUGUCCUGAAUAGAGUUCCCAACAAUAAUAAGGAGAAAACCCCUUAUGAGGAGUGGGUUGGGAGAAAACCAUCACUUUCUUAUUUGCGCACUUGGGGAUGUUUGGCAAAGGUCAAUAUUCCUAUUCCUAAGAAACGCAAACUUGGACCAAAGACAGUGGAUUGUGUCUUUCUAGGGUAUGCUCAACGGAGCAUUGCUUAUAGGGUUUUAGUGGUAAAAUCUGAAGUUCCUGAUAUGCAUGUUGAUACUAUAAUGGAAUCUCGUGAUGCAACAUUUUUUGAGAACAUAUUUCCUAUGAAAGAUAUGCAUAGCAUUGCUAGAUUUUCUUCUGAGAUAAUUCCUGUAUCUAGUACAACUGAUGAAUAUUUCGAACAAUCACAUGAGGAAGUCCUUGAGAAGGAUAACAAUGAAGUUCCUAGAAGGAACAAGAGACAAAGGAUUGCAAAAUCCUUUGGUGAUGAUUUCAUUGUAUACCUUGUGGACGACACACCCAAGACGAUUGCAGAAGCAUAUGCAUCUCCGGAUGUAGAUGAUUGGAAAGAAGCUGUUCAUAAUGAGAUGGACUCAAUUAUUUCUAAUGGAACUUGGGAACUAACUGAUAGACCAUAUGGUUGUAAACCUGUGGGCUGUAAGUGGGUGUUCAAAAAGAAGCUCAAGCCUGAUGGUACUAUUGAUAAGUACAAGGCGCGGCUAGUGGCCAAGGGCUACACUCAGAAAGAAGGCGAAGAUUACUUUGACACCUAUUCACCCGUUGCUAGAAUGACCACCAUUCGAGUGUUACUUUCCUUGGCUGCCUCUUAUGGUCUUAUCAUUCAUCAAAUGGAUGUAAAGACAGCUUUUCUCAAUGGAGAGUUGGAAGAGGAGAUCUAUAUGGAUCAGCCUGACGGGUUUGUGGUUAAGGGUGAAGAGAGAAAGGUGUGCAAGUUGUUAAAAUCUUUGUAUGGUCUGAAACAGGCACCUAAGCAAUGGCAUGAGAAGUUUGAAAGAACUCUGACUUCUGCAGGAUUUGUCAUUAACGAGGCUGAUAGGUGUGUUUACUAUCGCCAUGGUGGGGGCAAUAGUGUCAUAUUAUGUUUGUAUGUGGACGACAUACUGAUCUUUGGUACAAACAUUAAUGCAAUUAAUGAGGUCAAGUCUUUUCUAUCAAAAAGUUUUGACAUGAAAGAUCUGGGAGAAGCCGAUGUAAUUCUAAACAUCAAACUUAUUAAGGAUGAGAGUGGGAUUACAUUAACGCAAUCUCACUAUGUUGAGAAGGUCUUGAACCGAUUCGGUUUUAUGGAUAGCAAGCCUUCUCCAACACCUUAUGAUCCCAGCGUGACACUCAGAAAGAACAAGAAAGAAACGAGAGAUCAAUUAAGAUACUCUCAAAUUGUCGGUUCACUCAUGUACUUAGCUAGCGCUACAAGACCAGAUAUCUCUUUUGCUGUGAGCAAACUGAGUAGGUUCAUGUCCAACCCGGGUGAUGAUCAUUGGCAUGCACUAGAAAGGGUCUUACGCUAUCUGAGAGGUACUAUGAGUUACGGAAUUACUUAUUCAGGGCAUCCUGCUGUGCUAGAAGGAUAUAGUGAUUCAAAUUGGAUCUCCGAUGUUGAUGUACUUUACGCAACAAGUGGGUAUGUAUUUACUCAUGGUGGUGGCGCAGUGUCAUGGAGGUCUUGCAAGCAAACCAUAUUGACGAGGUCAACUAUGGAAGCAGAAUUAACUGCUUUGGACACAGCUACUGUUGAGGCAGAAUGGCUGCGUGAGCUCUUGAUGGACUUGCCGAUUGUUGAAAAACCUGUACCGGCUAUUCUUAUGAAUUGUGAUAACCAAACGGUUAUCGCUAAAGUGAACAAUUCUAAAGAUAAUGCAAAGUCAUCAAGACACGUGAAAAGACGUUUGAAGUCUGUCAGGAAGUUGAGAAACUCCGGAGUAAUAACUGUUACAUAUAUACAAACAGACAAAAACCUGGCAGAUCCCUUUACAAAGGGACUAUCACGAAAUGUGAUAGAUAUUGCAUCGAGGGAGAUGGGUAUGAGACCCAUAGAUGUUACACCAUAGUACUAACCCAACCUUUGUGAUCGGAGAUCCCGUGAAUUAGGAUCUGGGAAGAACAAGCUAUUGGUUAACUGAGGAGAGUAAUAACUUAUGAUCGUCUCCAAGUGAAGAUGCAAAACUCUCAGAGCUGUAAAGCUCAGAUCUGUAAGGCAGGUUGGCAACAUGCCUUAAUGUGGUUCUAUUGGCUAUAAUUAGCAAAGAUGCUGUCCUACAGAGCAGUCUUGAAAGAACACACCUAUAUGAGUUCUGACUGUAAACGUCGCAGUCUAUGAGAUUUGGGUGAUCUCUAGUAAGCUCACGAAGAGACAAGGGAGUAUGACGUAUAAGCUCCAAACCGCGGGGUAGCCUACUGACGUAUAAGCUUCCUUUUGCCGUUUUAUUUUUAUGUCUUGGCAUACAAGUUUUUUAUUACUUGUCCGGUAAGUAUACGAAUUAGAAACCGAGUCGGUUUGGGAUUGUGGUCGCGACACAAUACCGCCUCUGGUCCUAAUAUAUAUACAGCUACCGGCUGCGGCCAGAGACACACCGAAAAACACCUAGGGUUUUGCCUCAUCUCACAACUUGCGCCGCCAUCGUAGUCUACUCCAUCCCAACGCCGGCGUGCAUCGGCGCGUGGGAGAGCAGGUCUCCGGAACCGUUCGUCUUUGCGAUCCUGCACCGGGAGAGGACGAAUUAGGUUUUUGGGAAGCGCUGUGCGCGACUGCUCAAAUUCGUCAUCACGGGUCGUCUUCCGUCCAAGUCGGGCGGUGCUACUCAUCGUCGUAUUCAUCGCCGUCAGCAGCAGAUCAUCGCCAAUAUCGUCAUCAACACUGUCGCACCCAUAUAGCUAACGAUCAUUACGUCCGACAUCCUCUGUUCAUGUCUGCUUCUACAGCUAUUGUUACGUGUUUGUUGUUGUUAUGCAUGUCUUGCUGUUCUUCUAGUUUGCUAGAUUAUUGCAUGCUAGUAUCUCUUCUAGUCAUGAAUUAUUUACUGGAAUUAAUCAUGAACUUGCCUAAUAUUCCCACAGACGCAAUAAUUGUUUUCGGGAUUUUGAAUAAAUCAGAAAAUGAUUUGUUUAAUUCCGAAAAUACUCCAAAAUUUGGAAAAUCAUGGAAAAUAAUCUGUAACUCAGAUGGAGAUAAUUUAUAUAUGAAAAAUUAUCAGGAAAAUAUGAAGAAUCUAUUUAUAGCAUUUUCAUGUAUGUUUGAACAAGUUAAGUUUUCUGUAUAAGACAAUUUGAAUAAAUGUCAUUUUAAAUUCUUAUGUGGAGUUUGAAUUUGAACCUUUGGUUCAAACCAACUUUAUUUAAAUUGUUGCUAGUUGCAUUAGUCCAAACACCAGCAUGCCAUGUCAUGAUCAUGCAUCAUACUGCUGCAUUGCAUUGAUUGUGUUCCCUCUCUGUUGCCGGUGUUUGUUCCUUCUCGAUAGAAGACGAUUCGGACGUUGUGAUCAUUGACACCGAUGAAGAGCUACUAUCUUCAAAGUGUCAGGCAAGCAAAUCCCCUUUGAGCAUUCUGAUACAAUCCCACUCUCUAACUCUUGCUCUCUUUUACUGCAUUAGGACAACAAUGAUUCAACUGUUACAUGUUGUGGUAGUUGAACCCAUUCCUCUGCAUGAUCUGUCUUUGCCACAGUAAAUAGUAAAACCCACUAGCAUGAGUAGGAGUAUUUUGAGCCAUGAUGUGCCUACUCAUUCAUGCUUGCUUGUUAUACCUGCUAUGCUUAGAGUUGUGUCAGGUUUGAUUCAUCUGGGUUGGCUUGGAAUGGUGAUGAACAUGUCCUACUGCUGAGCUCUAAGUGUGUGAACACGAUUUGGUAAAGGUAGCGAUGAGAGGCAAUGUAGGAGUACAUGGUGGGUUGUCUCGUUGAAAUCGUCCUUAGGAACUGAGUUCCGUGUUUGUGAUCCAAGACAGUUACUACCACACAUCGGGUUUCGAUAACUUGACCCCUCUCGACUUACUAAUCGCCUUGAUCUCUAUCUAGGAGUUGUAACUAGUUUCUGGUGUUUGUAGGAUGUGCUGGGGGCUGUACCUAGCGCUGACCGGAGGGGUAGGCUUUGUUACGGUAGGCACCAUGGCACGGUGUAUCAAGCGCAGUACUAUUGGUCGAGGUGGACAUGGGAAUCCUGCACACAUCGUUUGACGCCGUGAUGGAAACUUCGGCCGAACAUCCGUUACGGGUCAGUUCUCAGAUAGGCGAUAAACCUAGACUAGAGUCUUGCGUGGUUAGUCAGGUUGUGGCUGACACCCUCGCUAGGCUUCCGCUUGAAGGUUUCCGAGAUACAUGACGUGUAUAUGGUGUUAAGUGGUGAGAGCGUGUGUGAAGAAAUACACCCCUGCAGGGUAAUAUAAUCUAUUCGGAUAGCCGCGUCCUCGGAUAUGGACUACUUGGAAAGCUUGUAUGGUCCAUAGAUAACCUGAAGUGGAUACUCUAAAUGCGCAAAAUAAGUGUGAGUGCUAUGGAUGGCCUUCUCAUGGGGAGACGGGAGCGGAUCCAUAGUGGUGUAUUGAUAUGGUGAAUAUGUGGACUCACGUGCGCUUUCUCACCUCAAAGAAGUUAUUGGUAGUCAUAGUACAUGAAAGCCACUGAGUCAAAGCUGGCUUGCUGUAGUUAAACUCCACAACCCCAUUGUUGAUACUGAUGCAUAAGUAGAUAGUUCUGAUGUAAGUCUUGCUGAGUACAUUUGUACUCACGUUUGCUUAAUUGAUGUUUUUGCAGAGGAGAUUUCAAUCUCGCUAGUAGUUUCACAUGGGCUUUGACGGUUAGCUUGGGAAUCCCAGACAGAGGUAUGGCUCCUAUGGAGGGUAUUGUAGACAGACAUGCUUCCUAGCCUUCUUUCUUUUCAGCUGUCUAUAUUCAGACAGGUUUAUGCUUCCGCUUGUUGCUUGUAUGACUUUGUAUGUUGGGUCAUGAGACCAAUGUUCGUAAUAUCAUGUUAUGUGUGGCUCUUCAGAGCCUCUUAAAUAAAUACUUGAGUCGUAGAGUUAUAUUGUGACGACAUGUUGUAUCCACACAUAUUUGCAUGUUCUACAUACAUAUGAUGUGUGUUGCAAUGUGUUGGGUCACGAUAAAUCUUCUAUUGGAUUGCUUGAAUCUUUUGAUCUUUUGGUCCAACAAAAUUAUACUGUAAUAAUUAGGUCCAACAGAACAAAUCAGAAAACUUUGCUUGUACCAGACAUGGUUAGGUCCAAUAGAACAAAUGAAUCAUCUCUUCUUGGAGGAUUGUUUAAUUUAUCUUAGAUGUACCAAAAAUGAUCAUUGUGUUGGUCACCAGGAAGCAUCACAAGAUAAUUUAACAUCCAACAUGAAAGAACAUAGAUCUCAAUUCAAACAUCAUGCAAUAACUAACAGACUUCUCAAGUGUAAAUGGAAUCAUCACCACUAUAGCAGCUAUAUUUUGAACACCACGGAAACUCCAAUUUGAAACUGCAUCCUCAUUAAUAGAAACUGGAAAUUAGCUUGUCUAGUUCCAGUUUGAUUUGUUCAUCAACUAAAGAGUUAUAGUUUAAAUGACAAAUUUCACAUCCAAACUACAUAUCACAUCACAAAUUUAGGGUAAUUCAUACAUAGUAUAAAUAUAGGUAGCAUAGUACAGAAGAUCAGUUCCCAUCAAUCAAAUAUAGCAAUAGUCUUUGCAACAAAAUAUAUAAUAUAGACUUUCUUCUUGAGCUCAGCCACUUAGAUCAAUGACAUCAUCCUCUUCAAAAUUCCCUUUGAUAUUUUUCGGCUUGCCCUUGUGAAUUUCCCCAAUUUUAAGAAGCUCAGCUAUGACAUACUCUACCUUCUUAAUAUCUUUCCGGAUAACAUCCAUGUCCUUCAUCAUAGUCUCGAGCUCAUAUAUGUCCUUCUUCAGAACAUCCCUCUUCUUCAUCACAUCAUCCGAAGGGAAAGCUAGCUCCUUCCUAUCCUUUUUUAGGUCAAGGGUCUCCCUCAUGAUCAGAACCAUCUCCUUCUUGAGCCCAUCUUUGUCCACUUUCAGCUUAUCAUUAUCCUUCCUAGUGUUCUUGGUCACUUCUCGCUGAACAACAUGAAUGGCCUUGAGAUCACUGAUUACAUACUGCUUGUUCUCUAGCUGCUUCUGCAGGUCUAUAGAGUCCUCUGACAUCAUUUUUGGUAAUUCUCUUGCCACACCUUUUGGCAUUGCCUGACCCAGUGCUUGUUCCCAUCACUAGCAAACUCAGUGAAUUGGAAGUCCAACUACUUAAUCUUAUCUUUGAGAUUGAGCACUUCCUCUGCAGGAUCAAGCCCUUCCUGGGUUCUAGCAACCAUACACUUUUCAUAUUUUUUCCAGAGCAUGUGAAGUGCCUUUUUCAGGGCUUCGGGCCAGUCCUUCACUACUAGGGAAAACCUUAUACACAGAGGUAUAGCAGUAGCGCUGGUCAAAACAUGGCGCUAUUGCUACUUAUUAGUUGCGCUUGUUACAAAAGCACGCUACAACCAUUGUUGUAGCAGUAGCGCGUCUGCCCGGAAAAGCGCUACUACUAUAAUUCCCUCGUUGGUGCCGGUAGGCUAGGAAUAGUAGUGGCGGUUCUUCCAGAAGCACGCUACUGCUAAAAACUUUGUAGCAGCGCAUUUAUGCUGUAGAGCGCUACUGCUAUGAAAAGGAAAAUAAAUAGAAAAAUAAGUAGAAAAGUAAAUGAAAAUGAAAGAAAUAGAAAAAGGAGAAAUGAAAAAAAGAAAAUGUAAAGAAAACAAAAGAAAAAGAAAAAGAAAACAGAAAGGAAUAGCUGUAGCGCGUUUCGCUGGAAAACGCUAUAGCUAACUUAGCUAUAGCGUGUUUCGGUAAAACGCACUACUGCUAGUUUGACUUAACCCCCAGCCGCGCGGGCUCAAAAUUUUGCUAAGUCCUUCCCCCUCCACUCCCCCCUCUCCCCCAACUGCUCCAUCGCCGUUGUCGCCCUGCCGCCUUCAACCACACCGCCGCCACCCAAGGCCGUCUUCGACCACACCGCCGCCGCCCGAGGCCGCCCUCGACUUCACCGCCGCCGCCCGAGCCAGAGCCUGCCCUCGCCGUCGACCGUAAAGCUCUGCCUCUCCUUUCCCCUACCCUCCUAUCUCUCUUUGCUAGGGUAAUUCAUAUAUAUGUUGACGUUGUGUUGAUGUUCAUAUGAACCCUAGGUGUUCAUAUGAACCCUAGAUUUGUUGAGGGCAGUAGGCAUUUUUUGGCAUUUAGGAAAAAUGAUUGGCAAUUUUUUUAGGAAAUUAGCUAGGGAAAUUUUUUAUGAAAAUGCCUAAACAGUAAUUCCAUUUAGCUUUCAAUUAAUAGAGGGUAUGUAAAUAAUAGUAGCAUUUUGAUUAGAUUAAUAGACGCUAUAAACAAAAAACACUUAGAUAUAAAAAUUUAUUUGGACUAUGGACUUGAAUCUGUUCCAAAUUUCAUUCAAAUGAAAUUUGAAUUAUUUGGACUAUGGACCUGAAUCUGUUCCAAAUUUCAUUCAAAUGAAAUUUGAAUUAUUUGGACUAUGGACCUGAAUAUUUCUGAAGAAAUUGGGUGUAGGUACUAAGCUCUUGCUGCGGAAUUUUUGGUGAGGUCAGAAGGGUUAGAGAAAAUGGAGUUCCUAGACUUUUAGCUUUAGACAAAAAACAAAAGUAUUUAGCUAUAAAUAAAAAACAGUAGCUAUGGCAUUUAGCUAUAAACAAAAAACAGAAUUGUUUUUCUUUUCAAAAACUUGGUUAAACUAAUCGUUGCUAUGUAAACAAAAAACAAGAUUUUUGUUAUAUCAUAUAUGUCAUUGAUGUUCAUUUGCACAUUCCAUUAUUGUUGAUUAUAUCUUUUCAUUGAAGUGGCUAUGUUAUAUGCAAAUUCCUCAAUAGUGUUUGCUCAUGUUAUAUCUUUUCAUUGAAGUGGUUCGAUUGUGCCCAAAGUGGCUUCGUUGUUUCCAGGGAAUGAAGCCGAGUGGCCUAUGUUUUUCCGGAAUGUUGAUUCGUUUCCGUUCCGGCAAAUUUCAGGCUCUCGAUUUGUCCACUUUUUAGCAAAAGUCAUGCCGAAAUUUUCCGUGAAUUUCGGCAUGACUUGUGCUACAAACUAGGACAUAUCGAGUGCCCGGGAUUUGCCGCACAGGGAAGGAGUCAACGUUCCUGCAGAGCAUAGACCUUUUUUUAUGUCAUUAUUCAUUUUAUUAGGUCUAGAAUUAAUUGACUAAAUUUAAUCGUAGGAAACAUGGCUAGCAACGAUGAAGGACAGGGUUCUGGUGACUGCGACAACGUCUACCUGGCAGCAGAAGAAUUUUUUAUGGAAGAUGACGAUCAAGAGUUGAUGUUGCUGGGUCCACCUGUCACAUCAGAGAUUGAGACCGACAUCGAGACCGGCGCUGAGAUAGAGACUGGCACUGAGAGUGAGACCGGCAUCGAGACCGGCACUGAGACUGAGACCGGCGCCGAGACCGGCGCCGAGACUAGCGGAGCCGGUAUAGACCCGAAAGCAAAGAGGCAACUGCUUCCUAACAAGCUCAGGUCUAAUAGACUGGUGGUCACGGAGGUGGACGACGGCAAUUUUGAACCAAACGCGCCCUAGGAAGCGCGCGCGUGCUACGACAAUCAAAUAGGAUGCAUCAUACGGACAACCGCCACCAUCAAAGAUGAGAAACUAAAGAAGAUAGAUAAUAUGAGGCCCUCCCUCCUAAAGAAGUUGCACCUGAUAUUCUUGUUCCCGGGCCGGAAUGAAAAGGAUUAUAAAGAUCCAGAUAAGGACCUGGCAAUGAAGAAGAAAAACAAACACGUCAUGACCAAGUUUAGCGACGCGUUGGCCGCCUGGAAAUCAAGGGUGAAAUAUCGGAUCGUUGACAAAAAGGAACCCUACUCCGAGAUUGUAAAGGAUAAUCCGACAACCAUGGUAGAGCACUUUCAAAUAUUCAAGGCAGCUUGCGAGGCCGAAGCUGCCAAAAAAUAGUCGAAGUACAUGAAGGGGCUUCAAUAGAGGAACAUUGGGUGCCCCCACCUCGGAAGUCGUGGUUACGGCAGGAAGAGGUCCAUAUGGGCCAUGGAGGACGCGGAAGCCGCGAGUCCGGGCAUCCCAGACCCCUUGGCGGAGUUCACCGUCCCGCAGGAGCGUGACAUCCUCAGGGCCCGGCACCGUUGGGAUCCAAUGAAGAAGGUUUUCGAGACGAACGCGGUCACGGCGGAGUUCAUGUGACUGCUGGCAAUUUUAGUUUCUGAUCAAUUCGACUGCACGUUAGUCAUAUUUAUAAACGAUCCUUGUGCCAUUUGCAGAGAGAGCAGCGCAGGAUUGCGGCCGAAAGCGACUCGCCGUCUGAGGCGUUGGCGAGGCCCAAGUGGGACACUCCAUUCAACCGGGCGUUGAACAUAUUGAAAGGACUCCCGGUGGAGACUCGACUGUCGUAUGGACGCGUGCACGGUGUCGGAGAUGGCGCCACGUGGAAGAAGUACUACCGUGAGACCACGGAGGAGAGAAAGGAAAGACGGAGGUUAACUGAAGAAAACAUUGACAAGAAGGUUGAGAUUGCGGUUGAGAAGAAAUCAUCUAAGACAGUCGCAAUAGCGGUAGCUGCCGCAAAACAGGUGCUUGUACAUAUGUCUACUACCUUGGUUCCGGCCGUUUUCAAUUGGAGCAGGCAAAAUCUAGAAAAAAAUGCAGCGGAGUUUCCCCUUGCUGACUUCUUUGGGAGCAGCUCGACUAGCGUUGCACCAGCACCUGCAGCUGCACAUGCUCCCGCACCGGCUCCCGCACCGGCUCGUGCACCUGCUCCCGCACCGGCUCCCGAACCUGCUCCAGCACCGGCUCCGGCACCGGACGUGCUCGGCGGUGCUUCGUCUUUGGCUGAGCUCGACGCCCUCACGGUGUCUGUCACACCGGCCCCCAUCAAUAAAUGUAUUAUCUCCCGUUUUCGUUGCCUUUCGGAUGUCUCACGUCACAGACUUUUCUUUGCAGGCCGACGAAACCCCGUGCACCAUAUUGUACACCAUCGGCGACAAGAAGGUGGACGUGGGGAAGGCGACGAUAAUGGAGCCGAAGGAACCAUUGUUCCACAGCGGCUGAUCCCCCAGGACGUCUUCAAGGUUUCCGUGGCCAGUGUCAAACCGGGCCACGAGAAUUUGACUCCUCUGGUACUAGUGGGGGAUGACAACGAGACCCCACGGCGGCUUGGUAAUUGUUGCAAUGGGUGGGUCCUGUUGUGGCCAAAGAGUCUGCUUCGUCUGGAGGUGGCCGGGAGCACACCCACGAGCACACAGUUAGGUAUGAACAUCAACACCUCACCUACCCAAUUAGCGUCGGCUGUCGUGCUAGGUGAUAGCGGAGGGGGUGAGGAAGAGGCUCCAUUAGUCACUGGUGAUGUCGCCAUAGAUGAGGAUGAGGAUGACGAUGACACUCAACAGUAUGUCAAUACUGGUGCCUACUUAGGGUUUGAGCGUCAUGAGUCGGUGCCUGAAUUGCCGCCUCCGAAGUCUGAACGUAUUAUGGACAACCUUCCGGUAGUAAAGAAGUCUAGGAAGAGACCGAGGAAAGGCAAAAAAGCUGCUUCUAUGAUCCAGCCGCCUCAGCAGCCUCGGGUUCAAGACUGUAUAGAUAUCCCCGGUGCGGCAAAAUGGCAUAUCCAUGGUCAACCAAUCCUACCUAAAGCAGCGCUAGGGGCUAGAUUCGGCGAUUUAAGGAGACUUCAUGACGAUGUGCUGCGGAUAGAGAAAUGGCUCAUCGCCUCAAAAAAUCCAGGAUACCCACUCUACAUGGUUAACGUGCCGCGGCAAUUCUCGUACGUCGACACAUUCCCCGCGGAGAAGUUCUUCCUUCGAUUCGAUUACAUCUUCGACAUGUUUCACUUAAAGAAACUGGAUUUUACGUUUGUCCGCCUUUAUGUCUUGCACAUGAACUACCUCAUCAGGGUUGAGCAGAUACCUCAUAUCUGUGUCGCUAGCCCGUACUUCAUGCAUGAGGGCUUCUUGGGAGUCUGCGCAGAGCACCGUGAAUAAGCAAGGGAAUACAUCGCCAAUUUCAUGCUCACCAUAAGGACAAGGAGGCGAUUCUCGUGCCUUAUCAUCCCCUGUAAGUCAUCUGCGCGGAUAUCCUUCCUUUGAUUUCAAUCAUUCAUUUGCACAGUGGAGGCUAAUUAAUUUGAGGUGUACUUAUUUUUCGCAGCGGCGGGCGCGCCGUCCUCAUCAUCCUCUACCCCCGAUACUCCCACGCUCUUUACUUGGACUCGUCGAAGAACAUUAACAAAAAGGAUUACACCCACAUGAAGUCUGUUCUCGACAGUGCUAUGUUUUACUACGGCGCACGGGGUGGAGAGGUCAAGGACAAGAAGAAAAGGGACGGCAGGCCCGCCUUUGGCCAUAAGACCGACUUCUGCUGCAUCCACCAACCGAGUUAUUCUCUUAAUGAUGGAUUCUAUGUCCUACACCACAUGCUGGAGUACAGACGGGAUCACCAGAACCUUCGCAUGUCACCUAGAUCCGGCGAUGCCCAUAUUCUGCAAUGGGCAAAGAACUUAGGAGAUAUCGAGGAUCAUCGACUUCGAGCUGAGUUCUAUCACAUCCAGCGCAAACUUGCCCAAAUCAUCAUGAAGGAGGUCGUCGAAAAAACAGGGAUUUUCUAUGAAGAAGGACAAAUGUCGCGGGAAGACGUCCGAACACGCGUAGCGGCUCAGCUUCUCGACCUGAAGCCUUUCACUAAGCUUGGGGACUAUCUCCCUGACUUGGAUGCAUGGCACGACAUGUUGGAGUGAUUGUCGAUAUAUGACAAUGUGUCUGUUUAGUCCAUACUAUCUGUAUCACGAAACUCUGAGUUAUGCAUGACGAAACUUUAUUUGUUAUGUAAUUAAACCGUCCUCCUCGACUAGUGAAGAUCACUCUAGUUAGGGCUUUUUGGGUACGAUGAAUUUUGUUAUAUAUGCUUAUGGUAUGUUGCUUCUAUUUUUGCCAAGUCUGUCUCUUUCUGUUGCUCAACUAUAUAUGUUGCAUAUCAUCGACUCAUGUGACGAUGCAGGUGUAUAGAUCAUCGAUGGCGAAGAAGUGCUACGCCAGGAGUAUACGACGAGUGGCCGGAAUGUCAGGCCCAGGUGUACCGGUUUCCGGUUUCCGAGCGACAGCCAGUAGUUAGUUUAGGUUCACGCUAAUGCGAGAGAGGGAUACGAACUCAUGUACUGCAUAGUUCCGCUCUCACUCAAAGUGAUAGCUCUUCUCGCGUAUAUCAUUGUUUAGAUGGAUGACGACGUAGUUGCAAGUAAUCGAGACUUGUAUCGCUAUUUUUGAGAUGAUGACGAGAGACCACUUGUUGUUGGAUGAUGAUUAUGAUGAUGGCAUGAUUUGAUGAGACUAUUUGUAUGUAUAUGCUAUGAUUACAUUUGUAUGUGUAUGAUAUGCUAAAGAUUAUUGUAUAAAGCCUAUUCAAAUACAAAACAAAUAUGCAUAAAAAAAUAAAAACUAAUAAAACUAGCAGUAGCGAGGGGAACAAAGUUAGCAGUAGCGCUCCCUUACCAGUAGCGCUUCGUGCUAAAAAGCGCUGCAGAUAUUAGCAGCAGCGCUCUGCACUAAAGCGCGCUACUGCUAGCCAUGUAUAGCAGUAGCAUGGGAUGACAGGUGCUACUGCUACACGUUAGCUGUAGCGCCUUAUCAGUAGCACGUCGUCCCGAGCUACUGAUAGGCAAAAUACCCGCGCUACUGCUAGGGUUUUCCGUAGUAGUGCUUGUCAACCCAAUGAAUAAAUCUACCGUUUCCUAGUUGCAAUAAGAAACAAUUAGCAUUUAAUUAAUGGACACACAUUAGUCAAUAUAUUUUGAAAUGAGCAAAGUAUAGCAUAACUAGAUGAAAACCAAAUAUAGCAUAAGUGAGCUAGAAUGUUCCACAAACACGACAUGUCACAACUAAGUUACAAUGUUCUACCAACACAGCUUAGCAGCCAAACAAAACAUAGCUAUAAGACAUCCAAAUAUAGCACAAUAUAGUUGAAUUGUUCCACAAAAGUUGUGCAUGGGAUAACUGAAAUAUACAAUGGGUAUUGUCACAGAACACUAACUCUAGUUUAUACCAUUUACAUAUACUUUUUCCAGACAACCAUCACUUACUGAACAAGCAUCCCAUCAUUAGAGUCUGAGAAGAAAUGCAGCCUUCUCAGGGCGUCGAGAUCUGGGCCGUUGGAUUAAGCUUUCAAAAGAAUUGCGACCAUCAGAUCUUCAGAUGGAUCGAUCCGGGCCGUCGGAUCAUAGCAAACACUGCUACAGUGAAUAGUGUUGUUUCUUUUUUAUUUUGGUCUAUUAUUACUAUCUCGCUGACUGAUGGGCCACGCGGUAAGUGGUCCAUUGCUGUUAGUGAGAGCAGAGCACUAAGCGGUCGGUGCUGGUUCGUACAGGCUCAGGGGUCAGGCCAACGCCUGUGAAAUUGGGUAGCCGCUGAGGGCAAAUUCAACAUUUCACGUCAUCGCCCCUGCGUGACGCUCCGUGGAUGGCUAGUCAGCAAGUAAUGGCGAGGGAGCGACCCAUUGGCUAGAAACCUAGCCGCCUCUUCCCCGUCGUGUUCCUAUCUGUGUCGUUUGAGCUGCGGUCGCCAUCGAGGACGUGUCACUCGCACCGCCACUUCCCUGUCGAGCUCAUGCGUCCACUAGCCACACCGUCUCUUUUCCAUGCCUGCUCAUCCUCCGUUCCUCUUCGAUCACCGAGCUCGCCGUCGCUAUCGUCGGGAGGAAGCGAUUGGUGGACCUAGCCCACCGCCAUCAACGGGUGGAGCGCAGGAACCCGCGAUGCCCCUCCAGCGACCAGCACUUAUCCCUCGCCCAGCGACGAGGCCCCAUCGAACUCGCGUGUGGUCGCAGCUGGGAAUCCUCCUGUCCGCUCCUUGCUCCCCGCCGAGAGCCUUGAUUGGAUCUGGAUCCUGAGCUCUCCGUGCCCGCAUCGCCCCACCAUUCAUGGUGCACCACCAGCACGAGCUGCACAUCAUCAUGUCGUCAGAGGGAGAGCGGGAGGAAGUUGGCGCUGUUUAUCCCCACGAGGUGUGCCGUCGACGGUAGGAAGCCAGGCAGGGCGACGGGGAAAUACCGACGUAGUUCAAGCCGCAUCAAAAGGAAUUUCUGGCGCAGUUGCCAGGGAGACAUCAUCAACAUCUAUGAGGUUCCUAAUCACAAAUCCCAUCUCCUUGCAAUUUACAUUAUUUGCCAUUUGCCUCUCGUUUUCAUCUCCCCCACUUCACAAAAAAUUGCCGUUUUAUUCGCCCUCUUUUUCGUUUGCCUUUUUCUGGUUCGAUCUUAUGUUUGUUUGUGUCUCCAUGUGCCUUCUAUUUUGCUUGCAUCUUUUCUUGCUAAAACCUAUUGUUAUGGAUCCACUCAAAGUUUUGUACCUGGAUCUUGUUCGACCCAUAUGUGCUCGUGCUGAAACCCCAACUAGUUUAGUUGAGGGAAAAUCAUUAGAUGAGCAUGCUCUUUUUGCCCGUCAUCGUUUGUCUGAAAAAGGGAAGCUCUUAUGGAAUCAAAUAAAUUGUUUGCUAUGAUAUGCUUGGAAUCAUUAUGAAAUUUGUGAUUUUACUUGUUGCUCUAAGAACCCCAAAAAACACUUCCCCUAUCUAUGUGAGUUUAAUGACAAUGAAGUCUUAUGUUCUUAUGCCAAGGAGGUUUAUAGUUACUAUGAUAUCGAACAAAUUGAACAAUUUGUUGCUUUUAAGGGUGCUUAGAAGUUGCUUAUUUGAUUGAAAAGUAUGAUAUUACUCUCUACAAAUCUGAAAAUUUUGACAUACUUAAAUAUUGCUAUGAAAACUAUGCUCAUAAUGCCUAUGUUAAAGAAUUUAUUGAGAGAAUGUCCUAUGCUUUGAAAGAAAAUAGUGAUAUGCAUGAAGCUAUGGAUAACCAUGAUUCCGUUGAUUUGAUUGAAUUAUCCCCUCUUGAUGAACACGUUGCUAGCUAUUCUUGUGGCCAUGAUGCCAAUAUUAAUGAUGCUUAUGAAGAUGAACUUGCUAUAGUUCUUUAUGUUAAACAUGAAAUUAUUGCUAUUGCACGCACGCUGGAUAGCUCCUUUAAUGAAAAGCAUGAUUGCAAUGAUAUUAUUAUAGAUUCUAUUAAUCUCAAGUUUGUUAGUGAUAUGCAAAACCCCAAGCUUGGGGAUGCUUGUUUUGUUAUGUCCGCUACUUAUUGCAAUGAUCAUGAUUGGGGUGAUGAUGACUUUUAUGAUCUUGAUAGUCUAUUUAAGCCUCAUGAUGAAUAUGUUUGCAAUAAUAUUAAAAGUGGGUUUGGAAGAGUGUCAAAUAUUGAUAAAAAUAAUCCCACAAAUUUGGAGAGUGUUCAAUCUUAUGAUUUUUUUAUAAAAGUGGGCUUGGAAAGGUCAUGACUUUAUUUUAUGGUAAUCCCACUAUUUUGGAAGAGUGUCAACUUUGCAUGCAUGUGGAUCAUGUAGAGAAUAUGUUAUGUGAUAUCUAUAUUAUUGAAUUUGAACAUGAUUCCACAUGUAAUUGUUAUGAGAGAGGGAAAUAUGGUUGUAGAAAUUUCUUGCUACUAAGUCACCUCUCGUUAUGUUGAAUUGUCAAAGUUUUAUUUGUUUCCUAUGUAUAUGCUAGAUAUUUCUUGUUUUGAUAAUUUGUUUGCCUGUAAAAUUCCUAUACAUAGGAAAUAUGUUAGACUUAAAUGUGUUUAUCACAUGUUUUAUGAUCCUCUCUUUGUGUUUCAAUUAUUAUCUUUCAUGUGAGCAUCAUUGAAAUCGCAAAGCCUAUCUUAAUGGCUAUAAAGAAAGAGCUUGUUGGGAGGCAACCCAACGAAUAAAUUUUAUGUUUGCCUUUUUGUUUCUGUACAAUUAUGCCUCUGUUAUGAUUAUGUUUUUUAUGUUUUAAUUAGUGUUUGUGCGAAGCAAAGCCUUUUAGGAUCAUGUUGGGUGAUAGUUGAUUUGAUCUUGCUGAAAAACAGAAAAUUAUGAGUCCAGUAACACAAUUAUUAAAAUUCACAGAAGCGUGAUAAAAUUCUGAUUUUUUUACAGAAGAUUAAUACAAAUAGCGUAUGUUGUCCUAAUUUUUCAGAAUUUUUGCAGUUACAUAAGUAUACGAAGUUUUCAGAUUGCUACAGACUAUUCUGUUUUUGACAGAUUAUAUUUUCUUUUUGUUGUGUGCUUAUUUUGAUGAAUAUAUGGACUUUAUUGGAGGGUAUAAGCUAUAGUAAAGUUCGAAUACAGUACAUAUAAUGCAAAAAUAAAAUAUGAAUGGGUUUGCAACAGUACUUAGACUAGUGAUUUGCUUUGUUAUACUAACGGAUCUCACGAUGGUUUUGUUGAGUUUUGUGUGAUUGAAGUUUUUCAAGUUUUGGGUGAGAUCACGAUGGAUGAAGGAAUAAGGAGUAUGAAGAGACUAAUCUCGGGGAGGCCCAUGGCACCCCAAGUUAUUAUCCAAAGAGGAACAAGCAAUUAAGAUUGGGGAUGCCCCCGAGUGGCAUCCCCUCUUUCUUCUAAUGACCAUCGGUAUUUUACUUGGAGCUAUAUUUUUAUUCGUCACAUAUCAUGAGUUUUGCUUGGAGCAUCUUGUAUUAUAUGAGUCUUUGCUUAUUUUGCUUUUUUAUUUUGUGUCAUCUAUCCUUGCUGGACACACCUAUUUGAGAGGGCCCAAAUUAUGCUAUGGAAUCUUUUUGCUUCACUUAAAUCUUUUUGAGCUAUGGAAUUGAUCUUUGUGCUUCACUUAAAUCUUUUUGAGCUAUGAAAUUGCUCUAGUGCUUCACUUAUAUCUUUUUGAGAACGGUGUGCUUUGGUAUUUUUGAAGAAAUGCUCUCAUACUUCACGUAGAUUUAUUUGAGAGUUAGUAAAUUUUUUAAGAAAUCCUCUCAUGCUUCACAUAAAUUAAUUUGAGAGAAGAAAUUUUUUAUGCUCGUGUUCUUCACUUAGAUUUGUUUGAGCUAUCAAAAGCAACAUAUGAAAUUAGUCCCAAAGUGAUAGAUAUUCAAGAGGGAUAUAAUAAAAACUUUCAUGAAGAUCGUUAGACAAAAUAAACUUGAUUCUUUGUAAUAGUUUUGCGGUAUGACGAUAUAAUAUGUGAGUCAUGUUGAUGAGUUAUUACGCUUUAGUGAGAAUAUUGAUGUUAAGGUUUGUGAUUCUCUAUGUAAGCACGAAAGUCAAUAGUUAUGCAAUGAAAUUACAUCCUACUUGUCGUGCAUUAUUCGGUGUUAGUUCUGCUUAAUUCUUGCUUAUGAGAUUUUUUGUUUCUUGGUUGGAUGCUUCUCAAUAUUUUGCUAGCCUUCAAUUGUACUAAGUGGGAUUACUACUUGUGCAUCCAAAAUCCUUGAACCCAGUUUUUGCCAUAUGAGUCCACUAUACCUACCUAUAUGCGGUAUUCAUUUGCCGUUCUAAGAAAAUUUGUAUGUGCCAUCUCUAAUCUUCAAAAUAACUUCCUUUUUGUGUGCUCGUACCGCUCAUGAAACGGUAGGGGGUGGCUGAUAUUUUUCCAUGCUAGAUGUGUUAUUCUCAAGAUGAGUGUUUAUUCACUUGUCACUGCACGAGAGUAUGGCAAAGUUAUUAGGGAUGCCCAGUCCUGAAAUGAAAAAUGAAUUUACUUUAUGUUGUCAAAUAAUAAACUCCUUGGAAAGUGUUGGUAUGGACGGUACCCGUGGAUUCGGUUCGCCGUGGAAUGUGAAAGUAUGGUGGAAAAAGGAAUAAACUUUAUUUUCUGUUUGGGAACCACCUAUGAUAUAUCUAGCAUGGAAAGUAUUGGGAACUACUCGAUCGUUUUCAUUGACAGGAAAGGCAUGCCACCCAAAAUGUCUUAUCUCUAUCUUUUUCCGCUUUUAGCUCUGGCACCUCUACAAAUCCCUACUUCCCUCUGCGAAGGGCCUGUCUAUUUACUUUAUGAAAUUUUUAUUUUUAUUUCAAGUCUCCAUCUUCUCUUACAAAGCACCAACUAAGGGGCACUACGAUCGUACCAUAGCAUUGGGUGUAGCUAAUAUGCGAGUGUGUUUCAUGAAUGGAUCAAUGAUUGAGCAUAAUGGGCUAGGGAUAAAUUGCUUUAGUGUUGAUAUUUUGAAAGACAUGGUUGCUUGUUGAUAUGCUUGAGUAUUGAAAUCUUCAUAUCAACACUAGACUAUUCCUUUGAAUCAUAUAAAAGUCCAAAUGUCCAUGCUACAAAAGAAAAAGAAUAUGUGAUGAACAUGAUAGGCAACAUUCCACAUCAAAAAUUCUAUUUUUAUCAUUUACCUACUCGAGGAGGAGCAGGAAUUAAGCUUGGGGAUGCUGAUACGUCUCCAACGCAUCUAUAAUUUUUCAUUGUCCCAUGUUGUUAUAUUAUCAUUUUUGGAUGUUUUACAAUCAUUUUAUAACAACUUUAUAUCUUUUUUGGGACUAGCCUAUUGACAUAGUGCCUAGUGCCAGUUGCUGUUUUUUGCUUGUUUUUACACUGCAGAAAAUCAAUACCAAAUGGAGUCCAAAUGCAGCGAAACAUUUUGCAGAAUUUAUUUGGACCAGAAGACACACGAUGGGCCAAUAGAGUACUAGAGGGGGGCUCCGAGGGAAGCACAACCCACCUGGGCGCGCCCUGGUGGGUUGUGCACACAUCGGCUCGCUAUCGUGCCGCCUCUUUGCUCCAUAAAUACCCCGAAAAUCCAAAAACCCUAGGAGUCGACGAACACAAUUCCAGCUGCCGCAAGUUCCACAAAGCACAGAUCCAAUCUAAACACUGAUACGUCUCCAAUGUAUCUAUAAGUUUUUAUUAUUCCACGCUAUUAUAUUAUCUGUUUUGGAUGUUUUAUAUGCAUUAAUAUGCUAUUUUAUAUUAUUUUUGGGACUAACCUAUUAACCUAGAACCCAGUGCUAGUUCCUGUUUUUUCUUGUUUUAGAGUUUCGCAGAAAAGGAAUAUCAAACAGAGUCCAAACGGAAUGAAACUUUGGCGAUGAUUUAUCUUUGACCAGACGAUAACCAGAGGACUUGGAGUACACGUCAAGGAAGCCACAAGGAAUCCCAAGGGGGUAGGGCGGGCCCCCCACCCUUGCGGACCCCUAGUGACACCACCGACCAAUUUCUUCCGCCUAUAUAUUCUCAAAUACCCCAAAACCUUCUAGGAGAGCCACGAAACCACUUUUCCACCGCUGCAACCUUCUGUACCCGUGAGAUCCCAUCUAGGGGCCUUUUCCGGCAUCCUGCCAGACGGGGACUCGAUCACGGAGCGCUCCUACAUCAACAUUGCCUCUCCGAUUAAGCGUGCGUAUUUUACCACAAACCUACGGGUCCAUAGCUAGUAGCUAGAUGGCUUCUUCUCUCUCUUUGAUUCUCAAUACCAUGUUCUCCUCGACGUUCUUGGAGAUCUAUUCGAUGUAAUACUUUUUUGCGGUGGGUUUGCCGAGAUCCGAUGAAUUGUGUAUUUAUGAUCAGCUUAUCUAUGAAUAUUAUUUGAAUCUCCUCUGAAUUCUUAUAUGCAUGAUUUGAUAUGUUUGCAAGUCUCUUCGAACUAUCGAUUUGGUUUUGCCACCUAGAUUUGUUUUUCUUGCAAUGGGAGAAGUGCUUAGCUUUGGGUCAAUAUUGCGGUGCUCGAUCCUAGUGAUAGAAGGGGAACCGACACGUAUUGUAUUGUUGCCAAUGAGGAUAACAAGAUGGGGUUUUCAUCAUAUUGCUUGAGUUUAUCCCGCUACAUCAUGUCAUCUUACUUAAUGUGUUACUCUUUUAUUCAUGAGCUUAAUACUCUAGAUGUAGGCAGGAGUCGGUCGAUGUGUGGAGUAAUAGUAGUAGAUGCAGGCAAGAGUCGCUCUACUUGAUACAGAUGUGGUGCCUAUAUUCAUGAUCAUUGCCUUAGAUAUCGUCAUAACUUUGCGCUUUUCUAUCAAUUGCUCGGCACUAAUUUUUUCACCCAACGUAAUAUUUUCUAUCUUAAGAGAAGCCUCUAGUGAAACCUAUGUUCCCGAGUCUAUUUUCCAUCAUAUAAUCUUCUAUUUUCCAUCAUAUAAGUUUCCGAUCUACAAUUUUAGUUUCCUAUUUACUUUCUUUGCAAUAUUUUGCAUUCCGAUCUAUAAACCAAAAAUACCAAAAAUAUUACUUUACCGUUUAUCCAUCUAUAUCAGAUCUCACUUUGCAAAUAAUUGUGAAGGGAUUGACAACCCGUUUAUCGCGUUGGGUGCAAGUUGGUGUUUGUUUGUGCAGGUAUUCGGUGGCUUGUGCAUUGUCUCCUACCGGAUCGAUACCUUGGUUCUCAAAACUGAGGGAAAUACUUACUCUACUUUGCUGCAUCACCCUUUCCUCUUCAAGGGAAAAACCAACGCAAGCUCAAGAAGUACUGGGAAGAAUUUUUGGCGCCAUUGCCGGGGAGAUCUACGCCAAGCCGAGACAUACCAAGUACCCAUCAUAAACUCUCAUCCCUCGCAUUACAUUAUUUGCCAUUCGCUUCUCGUUUUCCUCUCCCGCACCUCUCACUACUAGGAAAAGGGCUAUAGACAAUAUGCACACUAAUGGCGCACCAGACAUGCGGUGCGCCACUACUAUAUAGCGGUGGCGCACCGUGUGCUGGUGCGCCAUUAGUGUGAUAGACACUAAUGGCGCACCACAACCAUGGUGCGCCACUACUAACAAAUUUUCUUUUUCUUUUUAAAAAAAUACUAAUGGCGCACCGCAACCAUGGUGCGCCACUACUAAUUUUUUUCCUUUUUUCCAAAAAUACUAAUGGCGCUACUUGGCACAGUGCGCCAUUACUAGUUUUAACUAGUAAUGGCGCACCAGUCACCCCGUGCGCCACUACUAUCAUUUUUUUGCAAAACUACUAAUGGCGCACCGCCAGCUGGUGCGCCAUUAGUAACCAGGGUUACUAAUGGCGCAUUUGUUGGUGGUGCGCCAUUAGUAACCUGGGACCAGCUAGAUAUUUUGGACAGCCACCUACACACUCACUUUCCCCACUUCAUUCUCUCCACCUCCUCCUCCAAGCUUGUCUCGGCUGCCUCCUCCUCCUCACCUCAUUUGCACCAUAGAUUCAUCCAAAUUAAGUGGUUAAAUUACCUUUUUUGAUAGGUAAGUAAGGGGAAAGCUUUCUUUAUGUUGUAGAUCUACUUUUUUCUCCCUCCAACAACGUGCACAUGCACUUUUUAUGGCCUAGCUAGAUCUAUGUAUGUUUGUGGUGUUGCAUAUGUUUGUGGUGUUGCAUAUAUGUUUGUGUUUGCACGUACCGGUAUUUGAAAUGCGAUAGUUGCCAAUAUUUUGCCAGAAUGUUGAUUCAUUUCCGUUUCGUCAAGAAUUUUGGCACUAUGCAUUCUUUUUUGUCCUAUUUUUAGGCAAAGUCAUGCCAAAUUUUUUCUUGGUUCUAAAAUAUCGUUUUGCUCUACCCUGCAGGCGACCAUGGUCUGCACGAUGACCGAAGGCAUCGUGAAUAGGUUUUUGAGCUCCGCGAAGGCCGAGAUGCUUCAAAAGAAUGAGACGGAGAUAAGAUGUCCGUGUCGAAGAUGCAAGCUGAGGAGCCUUAUGGACCCGGAUUCCGUACAGGUGCGGGACCACCUGCUCUUGCGUGGUUUCAUGGAUGGCUAUCGGUGGCAAGGUGAUGAAGAUGAUUAUGAAGUCGUCCAUGGGGGCCGGCCGGUAAGAAAUGAGGAAGGGCAGCAAGACAACCGCGGCGAGGGCGGGCGAGAAGACGAAGAAUCUCCAGGACAUGAUCACGAAGUAGAUGCAGUACGCAGUCAUCAUGUAGAAGAUGCCGGACAUAAAGAUGAGGAAGAUGCCGGAGCAGACGAAGGGCAUGAUCAUGAAGAUGAAGAUGCCGGAGCGGACGACGAUGGACCAUCGAUGGGCUGGGUGCAGGACCCUCAUAUUCAAGAGCUGCUUCUCAAGCAGACGGAUAACGCAAGAGCUGCCGCCCGAGAGAAAGCCAAGCUGGAUCAACUGGAGAUAGACGCGGUUACUCCAUUGUAUGAAGGAUGCAGGCCCGAGGAUACCCGCCUGAAAGUAACGCUCAUGGCUCUGGAGAUGAAGGUAAAACACAAAAUGACCGACGCAUGCUUCGACGAGAACAUGUCAUUCUGGCACGAACGUCUUCCCAAGGGGAACAAGUGCCCGACCAGUUUUGAGGAGGCGAAGAAAAUCGUGUGUCCUCUGGAUUUACCGCACGUGAAAUACCAUGUGUGCAUGAACAAUUGCAUCAUUUAUCGGGACGAGCACGCGGAGUCUACCAUAUGUCCGGUGUGCGGCGUCACUCGAUACAAGAAGAGGAAGAAAGCUCCUCGAAAAGCGGUGUGGUACUUUCCGAUCGCUCCUCGUGUGCAGCGGUAUUUCGCGGACCCUAAGGUAGCAAAGCUCUUGCGUUGGCACGCGGAUAGGGAGGAGAAGAAGCGAGAAGAUGACGCAAAUGAUCCGGAGAUAAAUAAAAAAGACAAGAUGCUGAGUCACCCUAAGGAUGGGAGCCAGUGGCAAGCGUUGAACUUCGAACACCCAGAAUUUGGGAACGAUCCAAGGAACAUCGUGCUGGGCGCGAGCACCGAUGGAGUCAAUCCGUUUGGCAGCCAGAGAAGCACACAUAGCACCUGGCCUGUGUUUGUGGAUGUACAACCUUCCCCGCUGGUUGUGCAUGAAGAGGAAGUACAUUCACAUGAGUAUGCUAAUUGAAGGGCCGAAACAACCAGGGAACGACAUCAAUCUGUAUCUGGGGCUGCUGAAAGAGGAGCUAGACACGCUGUGGAAAACGCCAGCCAAUACGUGGGACACCGCAGAGAAAGAAUAUUUCCCUAUGAGAGCCGCUCUGCUCACGACGGUGCACGACUAUCUCGAUUACGGAUAUGUCGCGGGGCAGGUGGUCCACGGAUUUUCUGGAUGCGUCAGGUGCAUGGAUGACACAACAUAUCGCCAGCUAGAUAGAGAUCUCAGGUCUUCGAAAACCGUGUUCAUGGGACAUCGAAGGUGGCUUCGCGACGAUGACUCAUGGAGGAAACGCAAGGAUCUGUUCGAUGGUGAAACCGAAACCCGAAGACGCCCGCGUACGAGGAGCGACAAGGAAAUAGACGAGUUGUUGAAAAAUUGGAAAGAUUGCCCACUGCCGGGAAAGAAGCAAAAGGCACCAGAGCCGGAAAAGAAGCGAAAGGCGCAAGAGCCGCUGCUGAAGGUAUGGAAAAUGAGGUCUGUUUUCUGGGACUUGCUGUACUGGAAGAUCCACCGUGUGCCUCACAGCCUUGAUGUCAUGCAUAUCACGAAGAACGUGUGCGAGAGUCUGCUUGGUACCCUGCUCAACAUGCCGGAGAGGACCAAAGAUGGGCCGAAAGCAAGGGCAGACUUGAAAUCAAUGGGCAUCAGGGAGGAGCUUCACGCUAAUGAUGAUGAUGAUGAGGCGAAGCAGGACACGGAAAGUCGUCGCAAAGGCAAAAAGGCCAAGAAGACCGAAAAUGACUUCCCUCCCGCGUGCUUCACUCUAAGUCAGGAGGAGAUCGAUCAGUUUUUCACCUGCCUCGUAGGAGUAAAACUUCCUUACGGUUACGCGGGGAAGAUAAGCAGAUACCUAGACUCAGCGAAGCAGAAGUUCAGCGGGAUGAAGUCUCAUGACUGUCACGUGCUGAUGACGCAGAUACUUCCAGUUGCAAUCCGUGGGAUCAUGGACGCGCACGUCCGUGAAACGCUAUUUGGCCUAUGCAACUUUUUCGACGUCAUCUCUCGGAAGUCGGUUGGUGUGAGGCAACUCAGAAGGCUACAUGAAGAGAUCGUAGUGAUACUAUGCGAGCUUGAGAUGUACUUCCCGCCCGCAUUCUUCGACGUUAUGGUGCAUCUGCUGGUCCAUAUCGUGGAGGAUAUCAUCCAACUCGGGCCGACGUUCCUGCACAGCAUGAUGCCGUUCGAAAGGAUGAAUGGUGUCAUCAAAGGAUACGUUCGCAACAUGUCACGUCCAGUGGGAAGCAUAGCCAGGGGCUUUCUGACCGAAGAGUGCAUCUCCUACUGCACGAAUUAUCUAGGCAUCGAGAACCCCGUUGGUCUGCCCGCCAACAGGCACCUCGGCAGGCUCGCUGGAUGGGGUCAUCGUGAGGGUUGCCGCGAAAUGCAUGUCGAUUUCGAGGGUCGACUCGCCGACUUUGAAAGAGCAAACCUAGUCGCGCUACAACACAUAGACGUGGUCGAUCCUUGGGUGGUAGAGCACAAAACCUUUAUUGAGAAGACGUACAAUGACCGAGACCAACAGAGGACGGACGGAGAUAUAAUCAAAGAGCACAACUCAUAUUUCACGCGUUGGUUCAAGCAGCAUGAGGAUUCUUCCGCGGAAGAACAACUCAAAUUCGCCUUGUCACAGGGCGCCGAGCACAACCUGAUGACGUAUGAGGCGUACAAUAUCAACGGCUACACAUUCUACACCGAGGGAAAGGACAUGAAGAGCGAUGGUUAUCAGAACUCUGGGGUAACGAUGGAAUCCUACACCGGUAACGAUAAGGACAGAUACUACGGAAGGAUCGAGGAGAUCUGGGAGCUGAGCUAUGCUGGAGAGAAGGUCCCGAUGUUCCGUGUCAGAUGGGCCAAGAGCGUCCUAAAAGAAGACCGGUAUUUCACCACCAUGGUUAUACCCGAAGCCAAAUCCAAGACCGCGGGCGCAAACGACACCGUGAAAAAUGAGCCAUGGGUACUGGCUUCCCAAGUGGACCAAUGCUUCUUCAUUACCGACCCGUCAAAGCCCAGUCGUGUUGUCGUGAGGAGAGGCAAAAGGAAGAUCAUCGAAAUGGAUGGAGUCGCCAAUGAGCAAGACUUCGACAAGUACGGCGACCCGAAGAUGGAACAUGACGACGAUGAUGAAGUACCAGCAUACACCACAAGAAGAAGCAGGACCACCCUACCUAAAGGACGUCCGUUCAAGAGAAGAACUCCAUUUACGAAAAAUAAGGGCAAGAAGAUUGUGAACAGAUAGCUAGCUAAGAUCGAUUGUAUUUAAAUUGUAGCCUUCAUUUCUCGAUUGUAUUUCAUGGGCACUUUUUGAACUCAUGAAUAUUUUUAAAUUUCAUGGGCACUUUUUGAAUUCAUGAAUAUUUUUUCAAAUUUCACCGCCGCCGCCGCCGACCCCCCGCACCCUCCCCCGCUCCACCGCCACCGACGACCCACCGCACCCUCCCCCGCUCCACCGCCNNNNNNNNNNNNNNNNNNNNNNNNNNNNNNNNNNNNNNNNNNNNNNNNNNNNNNNNNNNNNNNNNNNNNNNNNNNNNNNNNNNNNNNNNNNNNNNNNNNNNNNNNNNNNNNNNNNNNNNNNNNNNNNNNNNNNNNNNNNNNNNNNNNNNNNNNNNNNNNNNNNNNNNNNNNNNNNNNNNNNNNNNNNNNNNNNNNNNNNNNNNNNNNNNNNNNNNNNNNNNNNNNNNNNNNNNNNNNNNNNNNNNNNNNNNNNNNNNNNNNNNNNNNNNNNNNNNNNNNNNNNNNNNNNNNNNNNNNNNNNNNNNNNNNNNNNNNNNNNNNNNNNNNNNNNNNNNNNNNNNNNNNNNNNNNNNNNNNNNNNNNNNNNNNNNNNNNNNNNNNNNNNNNNNNUCCACCGCCACCGACGACCCCCCGCACCCUCCCCUCUGCCCUCUAUCACAGCGGGGACAACAGGAAGCCGCCGUCGCGCCCCUCUGCACCGGCUGCCCACGGCGCCUCCGUCCCGAAGCCGCAGCCCAAGUGCCCACCACUCUCUGUCCACGGUGAGCCAUCCUCUCUGUCCCAACUCUCUGUUCUUCUUUUUUAGCUAUCCUUUGUUGAAACAGUAGUUGCUGUGUAGCAAAUCUUUGGGAUUAGUGUUCAGUACUUUGUUGGGUGAGCGGCCAUCUGAGACAUCCUGCUUACAUAGUCUCCUUUUUAAAACUCGUCAAAUUGGUUUUAGAUAGAAAUGAUCAACACUCAAUUGGCCAACUGCAUGUGGAAUGAUUUCGAAGGGCGCCAUAACUUAUUGUAGAUGCUGACUACAAUAACAAUACUAAACUCAGUGUAGUCUGUUGUAAAGACACUUGUGCUUCUUUCAUCUGGAAAGGGGUCGUCUGGCCUCCAAAACUGUCAGAUUAGGUUGUGCUGUAACUCCUCACAUGGCCAUGUUUUUGGAAGAUUGGUCGUUUGUCACCGGCCCUUUGGUCACCCAGCAAUGGGACUUGUAUCAUAUUGCCAAUGAGGUUAAUAAAACAGUAGUGCAUCAGUACUUUGUUGGAACAGAAAGUCAGAAAAUCAGAAAAUCCACGGUACUUUGUUUAGAUCUUCACUGUUGACAAACGCAGUCAACUAAAAAUCCAGUUCAGUGCAUAAUUAGUGUUGACAAAUACACUGAUCUUUAUCUGCAGUAAUUCAGUUUAAACUGAAAAUUCAGUGUUGUAGUACAGAAAAUUUAAACUGAAAAUUCAUAGUCUCCUGGUGCAUAUUGAUCUCAGUGUAUGAAUUCAUAGUGUUUCAAAUUACUGAUGCUAUGGUCCAGGAGUAGAAAAAUUUGUACUCCAAGAUCAAUAUGGUUCAAUUUCUACUGUACUGUAAUCAAAGUGGAUAUAAAUUGCAGAGUGUUUAUGUUGGCAUUCGACAACAUCUAAAUUUACCAAAUGAUUGUGAACUCAGUUUAUGUUUGCAACCAAAUGCUUAGUUCAUUGUUUACUCCAAAUGAUUGUGAACUUAUUCAAAGUUUCCAAUAUUGUUCAGACACUACUUGUACUGGAACUGGAACUACUACUACUGAUGCAGCACCCCAUGUAGUUUAAGUUUUCUUUAUCUUAAACUCAGACAGCUCUCUAAUUAUUGGAGUUUAUAUCAUAUAUAUUGCUGGCAUGUAUUUCAUAUGUUCUGUAGCAUUAAGGCUACAUAGCAUUGCUUUUGUCUCUGACCAUCGUGUCGUGAUGAUAUUGUGGGGUGUUGUGGGGUUGCAGAGGCCCUUGAGUUUCAUCGCGAUGAUGCUAAUCGUGAUGACCGCAGCUCUCUUCUAUGUGAUGGUAGUUUAGAUGAUCGAUAUCGACUUGUAAUGUGAAGACAAACUCGCUACUCGCGGUUUCGAGACUUGUAGUGUUCUAACUUUGUUUGGUCUUUUGAAUUCGGAGACUAAUAUGAUGAAUUGUAUUCGGAGACUAAUCUUCUAUUGUAUUCGAUAACUCUGCUGUUUAUAUGUUGUGUGUCUAUAUUCUGUGCAGUAAUAUGUUUUGUAACCUGUGCAAAUAUCAGAAAAGAAAAAAAUCCCUAAUAUUCAUACUAGUGGCGCACCACCCAGAACUUUAGUGGCGCACUGCAAAAUGCAUACUAGUGGUGCAUCAGCAAGCAGUGCGCCAUUAGUAAGCCAGAGACAUGGUUAAAUAUGGCCCCCUGGGAGGCAUUCUAAUGGCGCAUCAUAGGGUGUACUAAUAGCGCACUACAUGGUGCGCCAUUAGUAUCUGAUAUACUAAUGGCACACUUGUGGUGCGCCAUUAGUAAUAAAAUCUAAUGGCAUGGUACUAGUGGCGCACCUGUAGUGCGCCAUUAGUAGGCAAAACAGGUGCGCCACUAGCAGCCCUUUUCCUAGUAGUGUCUAAAACGAUUUUCGAAAAAUUUGUCUUUUCUUCGCCCCUCUUUCGUGCGUCUUCUUCUUUUGCUCUUUGUUCGCUUGUCCGUUUGAUCUUUUAUCUUGCUGUCAUGGCUAGUUUUCCAUCCUUGUUAGCACUCCCAAUAAUAAGGUCCUCAACUUCAAACAAAGGGAAGGAGAAAAUUUAAAAGAUGCUUGGUAUAGAAUUUAUAAUGCUCAAAUUUGAUGAUUACUGCUGGAGAUGACUAACAUCCUAGAUGUUACUCACUAUGUCUAGAUACAUUCGUUUGAGUGUCAACUAAUUCUGAACAUCUUAGGUGUUACUCCCAAGUCUAGAUACAUUUUUUUGAGUGGCAACUAAUUCUGAAUGGAGGAAGUACACAAAGCUAAGCCACAGCCAUGAAAUAUAUAUAGGGCGGGGGGCGCUCGUUCCACAAGGAGCGGCGGGUAGCUUAGCUAUAGCUCGAUCGAUGAAUAUGGCUGUAGAUGGGUUUGGUGAGCUGGGCAUUCGUGUGGUGAGUCGCCGGCUGGUGCUCUGCCUGCCAGCUACUGCUCUGCCUGCCGCUCCACCUCCUUGUCGAUCGCGCCCACCCAAACGGACGUCCAUGACACAUACACCGACAAUGUGCUCCUCCACGGCCACGACUACCCAAGUAGUGGCCACGGCACCUCCUCCACAGGCUCGGGCGUGGGCGGUGCUGGUGGUGGUGGGGGCACGUUGGCCUCCACUCCGGCCGCCAAUUGGGCCAGCGCCUGCGCAAGGCCAGGCCACCUGGCCUUGCUCCUCGCGCUCGGCCUCCACGAUGGCCCUCCAUGUGGCCUCCUCGAGGGACACAACACAGGCCUCCUCGGCAUCCUAAUCCUCCUCCUUCACCACUCCCGGAAGUGGUGGUGGAGUGGCAAGAACGCGUGGUGCACCGGGCGCACACUUGACGCACUACCGGCAAUGUUGGUCGUGCUCGGUGGCAAACCACGCGUCCUAGUUACCGCAUACGUUGGGUCACGGCGGAGGUUGGCUAGGAGUAGAGCAUGGGAUCUCCGUCAGCUGUGCGCGGCCUGAGGCCGGCACCGGAACCCUAGCAAGGUUGAGGUCCCACCCGUGCGGUAGGUUCACACUGGGCUAUGGCGCAGGCACGCCAUACUCCCAAAAGUACUGGUAGCGGUGCAUCGGCAUGUAGUGCCGAAACCAUGGCUGCCGACUCAAGGUCGAUUUAUCUGUUCUUAUAAACUAGCGAAUUAGCAACUAUAUUACCCAAGAGUAACAACCAAGUCAUAUAUACAAUGUACGCUUGCAACCAUUGAAUAAAUUGUACAGAAUACCAAACAAAGAAGAUUGAACGAGGUCGUGGAACAACUCACAUGCACCAUCCACAGGUCAAGUGGAUGAUCCCAAUGAUGAGCGAAUGAUCCUAAUGACGAGCAGUUGGCGAGAUUAUGUUGCUCUUGUGAUGGUUAGUGAUGUCUGCGCUAGAGCUUGCUUACAACCUUGCGAGGUAAGGAGCUACGGCUACAUGCGUAUUAGGUUUUAUAAGCCGUGAAACCUCGAUAAAAGUUGCCGCUAUAAGUUUUUUCUUCAUGUCACUAUAAACCUUAUNNNNNNNNNNNNNNNNNNNNNNNNNNNNNNNNNNNNNNNNNNNNNNNNNNNNNNNNNNNNNNNNNNNNNNNNNNNNNNNNNNNNNNNNNNNNNNNNNNNNNNNNNNNNNNNNNNNNNNNNNNNNNNNNNNNNNNNNNNNNNNNNNNNNNNNNNNNNNNNNNNNNNNNNNNNNNNNNNNNNNNNNNNNNNNNNNNNNNNNNNNNNNNNNNNNNNNNNNNNNNNNNNNNNNNNNNNNNNNNNNNNNNNNNNNNNNNNNNNNNNNNNNNNNNNNNNNNNNNNNNNNNNNNNNNNNNNNNNNNNNNNNNNNNNNNNNNNNNNNNNNNNNNNNNNNNNNNNNNNNNNNNNNNNNNNNNNNNNNNNNNNNNNNNNNNNNNNNNNNNNNNNNNNNNNNNNNNNNNNNNNNNNNNNNNNNNNNNNNNNNNNNNNNNNNNNNNNNNNNNNNNNNNNNNNNNNNNNNNNNNNNNNNNNNNNNNNNNNNNNNNNNNNNNNNNNNNNNNNNNNNNNNNNNNNNNNNNNNNNNNNNNNNNNNNNNNNNNNNNNNNNNNNNNNNNNNNNNNNNNNNNNNNNNNNNNNNUAUAUAUGUAUAUAUAUAUGGGGCAUGAAACUGCAAACUACCACUAUUGUUGCCGGUGGACCUCCCGGCUCCGGUGCACAUCCCAACGUCGCCCUCGUGAAGCAAGCGAAUGGCCCCGCGAGCAUGUGGACGUUGUCCAUGUGGCAUUGGGUUCCCGCUUCUUGAGUGAACCGGAAAAAAAACCCAAAGCUGGUCAAUCUUCGGCUCGAAAGGAAGCCUGGCUUAUGGUUUUGUGUUUUCGCGCCGGCGUAGCCGCUCUCCGUCUGGGUGAGCGAGCGGUGGAGGACUGCCGCAAUGGAGGAGAUGGUGGUCCUUGGGCCCCGAUGCCUUUCGUGGCAUGAGGGCCGUGUCUUGUAUUCGAUGGCCGGGGACGCCAUCCGGAGCAGCUUGAGAAGGCACCGUCGGGGCUUUGCGCUUGCACCCCUAUGCAGCCAUGCCCGGCGCAGCGGGCUGUCCGCUGUGUGUCUUGCGGAGUCUGAGUGCAUCCAUCGGCUGAUUUUUAUUUUAUUCUUUCGAUGAGGAUUAGUAGUCGGAGAGUAGAUAGGUUCUUCCUCGAUCCCAUGAUAUAAAAGCUUGGGUGUUCGUUGACGCUAGCAAUGUCAAAAACGCUCUUAUAAAAUGGGAGGGAGUCCCUCGCAAAGAAAAAAAGAGAGUAGAUAGCUACUUUAUCUUUUAUUUUGAAGGUGGGAGUAGAUUGAUAACUACUUAGUGCACGUACGAAAAGAAAGACACGAUCGCCUAAAAAAAAGAAAUACUAUAUUGAGAUAUAUAUAGGGCGUGCGGGCGCUAGCAGUUCCACAACGAGCGGCGGGUAGCUAGGUUCAACAUCCAUAUAGGUUGAAUAUGGCUGUAGAUGGGUUUGGCGAGGUGGGCAUUCGUGUGGUGAGUCGCCGGCUGGUGAAGGCAUCCGACCCCUCCAUCCAACCGCAGGUGGUGCCCCUCUCCAACCUCGACCUGUACGUCGGCAACGUACAAGUCGCCAUACUAUGCCUCUAUCCCAAGCCUCCGGCGGGCAGGGAUUUCGCCGGCGUGGUGGCCACCUUCGAGUCCUUGCUGCCGGCUUUACUCAACGAGUUCUACCCUUUCGCCGGCCGCAUCGGCACCAACCCAAGCUCAGGCCUCCCCGAGCUGCUCUGCCAGAACCAGGGCGCAGAGCUGGUCGUGGGAGAGGUCCGCGUCGCUCUGGGGAGCCUGGACUACGGCCUGGCGGACAAGUCCCUGAAGAAGCUGAUGCUCCCGUACGCGGAGGACGUCACCUUCUCGGUGCAGCUGCUAUCCUUCGCCUGCGGCAGCUUCUCCGUGCUGUGGGCAACCAACCACCUCGUCGGCGACGGCCAUGACAACAUCAGGUUCCUGCGGAUGUGGUCUGAGCUCGCACGAACGGGCAAAAUCGUCGCCGACGGCGGGGACGGAAAGCUAAGCCACGACCGCUCGGUGUUCCGCCCUCGCAACCCGCCGUCAUACAGAGCCUCGCUCGCCACCGACCUAACGACGUUCGACCCGCGCCGGCUGGUAAACGUCCUGACGGCCCACGACAGCUUCGUCGACCGCCUCUACUACAUCGACGCGGCCGACAUCGCCAGGCUGCGCGAGAUGGCGAGCACCAAGCUGCAGCGCUCGUCACGCGUCCAGGCCGUGUCCGCGUACCUGUGGAAGGUCCUCGCCGGCGUGGUUGCCGCUUCCCGCGUGCCCGAGGAGCGCUGCCGCAUGGGGUGGUGGGUGAGCGCGCGCCGUCGUCUCACGUCGCCUGACCUCGCCUCUGCGAUGCGCAACUACUUCGGCAACGUCACGACCUAUGCCUACGGGGACGCGACGCUGGAGGAGAUCCAGCGCAAGUCGCUCGCGGAGGUGGCGGCCAUGGCGCGGGAGCCGGUCGCCUCCGUCAACUACGACGAGUACAUCCAGGAUCUGGUGGACUUCGUGGAGGUGCACAAGGGACAAGGGCUGAUGGAGACGGCCGUCGUCGGGCUGGGCAGCCCGACCCUAAGCCAGUCCGUGUUCGACUCAUUCCCACUCGACACCGACUUCGGCUUCGGCCAAGCUGCUCUCGCCAUGCCCAUCUCCGACUUCGCCAACCUCUGCUCAGCCUACCUGUCCAUCAGCGCGCGGCCGGCAGGCGACGGCUCCUGGCUCGUCAGUGCCUACAUAUGGCCGCGUCUCGCCGCCGCCCUCGAGGCCGAUGAGCAGCACAUCUUCAAGCCUCUCACGGCGGACUACCUUGGCCUCACAGCCUGCUAGACAACACCCACGCUAUUCUGUGUGUUCUUUUAGCCAACAAUAAAAUUCCUUGGUGUUUUGCUCUUCUUCCAACAAUAAAAUCCUUGUGUUGUGUUGUGUGGUGCUAUGUACUUUGGUUUUUUUCUUCAUCCAACAAUAAAGUUAGGAAGCGUUACUUUUUGAAAAAUAGCACACCUUAUAUAUACAUUUACUUUGAAAGUUAGAGAGGAUUUACUUUGAAAGUCACAGGUUUGCCAAGCACCUGAGGAAAAACACUCGGCAAAGCCAGCCCUUGGUUUCCGUCAGCCAAUAAAAGAUAGAUCACACGCGUGGCCGCCUGCUUAGCUAUAACCAAGGGCUCGCCGCCGCCAUACCCCCUUCACCUCCCCGCUGCCCCCAUCGGCCUCCUAAUUCCGACCACAGCCGCCUCUAUCCCCCACUAGCCGUCCAACUUUCUCCUCUUCAUAGAUCUAAAACUAGGAAUGGGUUGGAGGGCUCAAUGAACUAGAUCUACUAUAUAGUCAUCUUUGAGCUCAGCUAUUGGGCAUCAUUGCUAGUUGCAAGCUCCCAAUUGGUCACAUCACUGCUAUUCAUAUACCAGCGGGAUCAAAUUGGCCUCUACACGAGUAAGUUGGUCCCUACGGUGAAGUACAGCAGUGGGCCCAUAUUGGCACCCACCACUGAUAGGUGGCAAAGUAAAAUUGGCAUGUGAAAAGAAUUGCCAUGUACUGAUAAGAAUUUACCAGUGCGGUCCCACUUUGCACACACCACUGGGAAAAAAAUGAGACCAACCCAAGGGAUAACCCUCGUUGGCAUUUUCUUUAUAGGAGAAACUUCGCGAGCACCACACGUCCAAGCCGAAGCUCGAACUCGCGUGGGCUGGCAGCUACCCCAGCUACCGAGCCGACGGGUCGACGCCCCGUCCUCGCACACACCUAUGUGAUUUGGCUAUAUUAUGAGUUGGUGGGCCAUUAGUGUUUUAUGCAUAUUCCAAAAAAUCACAUUGUUUUACCAAUAUUCUGCGGCAGAAGCUUAUCCUCAAAGUGCACAUAUCCCAUAUUUACGAAAAAUACUCGUUUAUUCGUUUUUCUGCAGACCGCUCGGCGUUAAGGUUGGUUUACAGCCGAGCAAGCCGACUGCUCGGCGGGAUGAAGAUGAAAAGGCAGUGGGCUAAGCCGCGUGUGUUUUAUCAACUACAUGGGCUACAUUUAGGUAUUUCAAAACCAAAGGGCAAUAUAUAAGCCGAGUAAGGCGUUAGAGGACACUCGGCCAAUACCAAGACGUCGUCAUGGAGCCGUCAAGCACGUGGCAAUAGAAACACUGCAGUUGCUUGCGUGAGCCACACGUGUAUGCCGUGGUUUUUCUACAUAAUAUAUCGUGUUCUUUCUGUAGGCCAUGCGUCUUUUUACGUUGUAUUCGGUUUACAUGGAGCUAAGUUGAGGGACCUGCAAAUGCCGUGUGUUUUCAAGAUGGUACUCGGCUUAGGGUCUCUUUGAUUCAAAGGAUUUUGAUAGGAUCUUUGAAGGAUUAAAAUCCUGAGGAAGUUUUCCUAUGUUGGUCGUUUGAUUUGUAGGAUUGAAUCAUGUAGGAUUUUUUUCUAAAGAUGUAUUUGUACUACAUUUUACAGGAAUUCUAACAUCCACUCCAACCUUUUGGAAGAAAUCCUUUGUUUUCUCCAUGACACAAUCAAACAAACUCAAAUCCUAUAGGAAUCCAAUGGACAUGUCAUUCCAAUCCUACGUUUUUCCUAUGGAAAACUAUUAAAAUCAUCCGACUUAUUUUUCACGAACGUAAACCGUCUUUGACGGACGCCACGUGUCCCUGCUGGUCGCUCACUCCUUAUCCUUAUCUUUUCUCCAGAAGAAGCGUGAGCCACUCAUUCCUUUUCCUCCUUUUUCUUCUUCCUUCGAGCAAACAUGCUUUCCCAGGGACGGCUCUCUCCAGCAAUCCCAGUCGCCGCUCACUUCGUGUUGAUGUAGGGCUAGGCUGAGAGGAUGCUCCUUCCAUGGCCGGCGGCGGAGCUGCGUUUGGUGAUGCGCGACGAUGUUGCGGCCACGUUGACGGCAAAGCUGCGUUGGAGCAGAAGGUGCUACGAGCUGCUGCCAUGACCGGCGGCGCUACUGCACAGCAACGGCGAAGCUGCGUUUCAGCAGCAAACAGCUAUGAGCUGCUGCCAUGGCGGGCAGCAGAGCUACAUGGCAGCAUGCAGCAGGCGAUGCGUCAAUGAAACUUGGCCGGAGCUCCAUUGAAGCUUCGCCGGUGCGUCAAUGAAACUUCGCCGGAGCUCCAUUGAAGCUUCGCCGGUGCGUCAAUGAAGCUUGGCCGUAGCUCCAUUGGAGCUUCGCCGGGGCGUCAAUGAAACUUCGCCGGAGCUCCAUUGAAGCUUCGCCAGUGCGUCAAUGAAGCUUCGACGGGGUGGCUCGGUGUUGCUAUGGAGCAGCACCCGGUGGCUCUCGGUGUUGUGAUGCAGCGGUCGCCGGUGGCUCCGGGGACGCGAGGUCGCCGAGGCAGGGUGACAGGGGAGGGUCUGCGUUGCUCUGCAUCAGGAGGAGUUGUUGUGCGCUGCUCUGUAUCAGAUGGCUGGGGAUUAGUGGAGAAAGGCCCAGGUUGUGUCGCGGCGAUCGAACGACCAUCUGUGCGGACCGAACGGCUGGCUGGGCGGAUGAUAUCUCUAGGAAAUCAUCCGCCUGAUUUGUAGCAGCCGCCUCCUAUUCCUGUGUUUUUGCAAUUCUAUGAAUCUGUCUAAGACGAGUAUCCGAGAAAAUACACCCGGCUUACCAAAAAGCACUAAGCAACAUGUCUUUUUCUCGUAGUGGCCUUUUAAGGUUUUUAUUUUACUUCAUAUAGGGCUCAAAGAGCCAACCUCGCCACCAACAUCGCCUACCAAACUUUGCCCAAGACGUCAUGUCCAUGAUCACAGACCAGUCAGGUUUAAACAUGUUUUCAUCUCUAUGAAAUUCACACAAAAAUUCCAAAUUGACUAGGUGUUUAAACUUAUGUUUCGACAAAGACUCAGACACCUGGACAUUUGAAAAUAGGACAAACGUCGACGCUCACAUGGACGCACCUAGACUCACAUCUAUGAACUUAUACACUAUCUCACUAAAUAGCAUAAAACUACUACAAUUCGGACUAGAGUUUCAAAAAACUACUAAAUAUAUUUUUCCGCUCAUAACUACUAAAUCAGGGGUCGGCUGUUUCAAAAAACCCAAAUCAUCGAGUCUUUAGUAAUUGAUCACGAUUAUGACAGUUGGGGCCAAGCGUAAGAUAACCGUUUGUUUGACCGUUUAGUUUGAAUGUUAACUUACAUGUGGGUCCCACAUGUUAGUUUUUUUAAAAGCAAUCAGGUCCCUGUAAGUUUUCUAAAAUAGCAACCGGGUACAUGUGAGUUUUCUAUAAGGUCCCUAAAAGUUUUUGCAAAAAGCAAUAUAAUCAGGUCUCCAGAGGAGCCGCGCCCGCGGCAGCCUGCUCGAUCCCGAGCGCUCUGCCCGAACCACGACGCUGCCUCCAUCGGCCGGCCAGCCGCGCCCGCAACGGCCGAAUCCACGCCGUGCCUCGCCUGCCACCAUGGCGUGACUCGCAUGCCGCCAUGUCAUGCCUCGCUGGCGGCCGCUGCCACGCCGUGCCUCACCUGUGGCUGCCGCCAUCCCCUGCCGCGAGCUCCUCAAGCUAGACGUGGACGGCCUGCGCCGCUGCUGGAGUGCGCACCUCCCAUUGCCGCGGACGAGGUCGCUGUCUGCUAUGCCUCCUCGAAGCCACCGUCACCACCAGGAGCUACGGUGAGCACCUACCACGACCAUGGGGAGGGUGGGAAGGAGAGGGAGGGUCGCCGCCAGCCAGGCCCGGCCCGGAUGGAGGGGUAGGGGGCGGCCGCCCCAGGCCCCCGAAAUUGAGGGGACCCCACGUUCGUGUGCUCUCUGUAUCCAGCCCAUGUGCUCUCUGUAUCCAGCUGAUGAGAAAAAAUGAUUCUGGGCUACUUUUGAUGAAACAGACCUGUACAUGUAGUGGAACUUGUGUUUCCCUCGCGUAGGUCCGCGGAUGACGACAUGAGCGAUCAACCUAGCGAUAUAUCCUACAAGCCCGAGGGAAACCCCGCCGCCGACACAGCCUCCUCCCGUGGAGGCCUCCCCCGAUGAUUUCUCGUCCAAUGGCGGAUCGAGUAAUUUCAUGUUCAUCGCCCUGGACAGGAGUAACAACACCACCGGCCCUGGCAGGCAGUUUUAAACUACAGAGGUCAGGUUAGCAUCUUCCUGAUGCAUCAUCCAACGGAGCUAGCUAGAUUGAUAUGUGACUAGUUGGUGGCAGAAUUAUUAGAUCUAGUGUAUUAGCGGAGAGGAGUAGGACGUAGUUGUCCUUCUGACUAAUUUUUUUAAUGCAAUCCUUCCGAUUAAUUAAUCUGGUCGUGUUGGAGAUCGAUGAAAGAUGAGGGGAGAGGAUGUCUAGAAUCCAUGGGAUAAUGAUAAUUGGCAAGCUGAAAUUAAUUGGAGGAUUCAUGGUCGAUUCAAUAUGAUUAGGUGGCAAAAUUAAUUUUUAGUAGCUAAAAAAAUUAACUUUUAGUGUUGCAAACUAUGAAGCUAUUCUACCUGCAUGCCACCAAGAGCAGUUCAAAUUACUUUUUGUUUGCCAAACUAUGAAAUAUACAAUGCAUGAAACUUCCCUAUCAAAAUCUUAGCAAAAGUGAGAAAUAAUAAUUAUAAUAAUGUAUAAUUAGAACCCGGAACUAGGUCGACCAGCUGGUUUUGCACGCCAUGAUAAAAAAAUUAACAACAAUUCAUGUUUAAAAUUUAUCUAGACAUGCACAUAAUGAUUAUAAUUUUGGAUAUAUAAAGGGCCUCCGAUUGUAUUUUUGCCCCGGGCCCCUGAAAUCUCAGGACCGGCCGUGCCGCUAGCUUGGGAUGGGAGGGGACGGUCGUCGGCUUGGGAGCGGAGGGGAGGGUCGCCGGCUUGGGAGGGGAGAUGGCCUGCUCGGGAGACACCAGAAGAGAGACGAGAAGAGACAAAGAGGAAGAAGAAAGAGAAUAGCAAGAGGAAACUUACAUGUAGGCCCCACAUGUAAGUUAACGGCCAAACUAAGGUCAAACUGACAGUUUGUUUAGGUGCGGGCCCAACCUGUCGUGACCGUGAUCAACCGAUAAGGACUCGGGGAUUUGGGUUUUUUGAAACAGCCGACCCCCCGGCUUGGUAGUUAUCAGCAAAAAGAAUUUGGUAGUGUUUUGUAACCCUAACGUGAAUUGUAGUAGUUUUAUGCUAUUUACUCAAACGAUCUCUAUGAGCAUUUUCAAGAUACUGAACCGGCACAUCAUUUUGAGAUUGGUGAACACCACAGACGUCUUCAUAGUUGACAGAAACGUCUCCUCCCAAUGAACGAACAUCGCAAAAGCCUGAAAUAAAUCCCAAAAACUGUCAGCACCAUUACCAAGUUUAAAACUUGAACCCUGAUAGGGUUGGUUCCACCACAAGAAAUCUAACUAUUUGAGCCAUGCACAUCUCAUAGUUUUCCCUGUGGCCAUGGAGGGUGCCACAUAUGUAACCCAUUAAUAUGGGAACCCAUACCUGUAAGCUUGUCAGCAUUUAUAGGCUAUAUAUGCUAAUCAAUUAUAAAAAAAACUGGGAUAACAAGUUUGAACUACACCCAUUAUUCCUCCGCCUAUAUAUUGUCGUGCAUGCAUGCCAGUGCCAUAUACGGAAACAAACCGACCGAGAAGGCCCUUAAUUAACAGCUAGCUAGCUCUCUUGGUCGAAUAUGGUAACUGCUAAUGCUAUUGGCUCCGGCGACCUGAGCAUCCGUGUCCUGAGUCGCCGCCUUGUCAAGGCCUCCGACCCAUCUACCAAGCCGCACGUAGCCGCCUUCUCGAACCUCGACCUCUACCCUGGCAACGAGCAGGCCUCGAUAGUAUGCCUCUACCCCAAGCUCCCAAACGCCGGUGACUUCCCGGCGGUUGUAGCCACCUUCGACUCCAUCCUCCCGUCGUUGCUCAACGACUUCUACCAUUUCGCCGGGCGCAUCCGCACCAACCCAAGCUCCGGCCUCCCCGAGCUGCUCUGCGACAACCAAGGCGCAGAGCUGGUGGUCGGCGAGGCCGGUGUCGCCAUGGCCAGCCUGGACUACGGCCUGGCGGAGCAGUCGUUGAAGAAGAUAAUGCUUCCGUACGCCGAGGACGUCACGCUCUCGGUUCAGCUGCUCUCCUUCGCCUGUGGCGGCUUCUCCGUCGUGUGGGCGACCAACAACCUUGUGUGUGACGGCCAAGCCUUCACCAUGUUCGUCAGGAGGUGGUCCGAGCUCGCCCGAACUGGGCGCAUCGUCGACGGACCGCCCAACCAUGACCGCUCGGUGUUCAGCCCUCGCAGGCCGCCGUCGUACGGAGCCUCGAUCAGGGACAUGUUCGCGACGUACGACCAUGACCGGCUGGUGAACGUGCUGACGGCGCACGACAGCUUCGUCGAGCGCCUCUACUACAUCGAGGCGAGCGACAUCGCUGCCCUGCGGGAGGCGGCAAGCAGCAAGCUCCAGCGCCCGUCGCGCGUCCAGGCGGUGUCCGCGUACCUGUGGAAGGCCCUCGCCCGCGUGGUGGCCGCGUCCCGCGUGCCGGAGGAGCGCUGCUGCAUGGGGUGGAUGGUGGACGCGCGGCGGCGGGUGAAGGCGCCGGAGCUCGUCCGGGCGAUGGGCAACUACUUCGGCAACGUUACGGCCUACGCUCUCGGGGAGGCAGCCGUUGAGGAGAUACAGGAGAAGGAGCUGUCGGAGGUGGCGGCCAUGGUGCGGGAGACCAUCACGUCUAUCGACUACGAUGAGUACACCCAGGAGCUGGUGGACUGGGUGGAGGAGCACAAGACAGAGAGGCUGAUGGAGAAGGGCGUCAUCGGGCUCGGUACGCCCACCUUGAACCAGACGGUGUUCGCGUCGUUCCCGCUCGACACCGACUUCGGCUUCGGCCAUGCCGUGCUGGCAAUGCCCAUGUGCGACUACGGGAGGCUCAGCUCGGGGUACCUGUCGAUCGGAGCUCGGCCGGGAGGCGACGGCUCCUGGCUGGUCAACGCCUACAUAUGGCCUCGCCUCGCGGCGGCGCUUGAGUCGGACCAGCAGCGCAUCUUCAAGCCUCUCACGGCGGAGUAUCUAGGGCUCGUCUAGGCGUACCACUCUGCUGUCUGCCCGGUUUCUUCUUCAAUAAGUCUUUGCUUCGUCUUUUGAGGCAUGAAAGCAGCUCGUGCUUGUUUUACUUCCACCUAUUUUGCAAUACCCCAAAUAAAGCCCUUCUGUGUGGAGGGUAGUUUGUUUGAUCAAUAAAUGUUUGAGUCGUUCAUAAGGUUUCCUUGAUUAGUAUACAAAUCAGUUGAUGACUACGUUUCACAACUCAUGUGCAUGGAGAUGCUAAACCGAUAGUAUGGACUCGGGGAUGGAGACCACGCAGUCGGACAUACCAACUCUGAGACGCAGCGAGAUGUUGUCAUAUGUUAGUGUCAAGCACAAUGUUUAUGCCAUGUCCUAGACCUAAGGUCCUCGCAUGUUCUCGGGAUGAGUAUCGACUCACUUAAGGUCUAUCAAACGCUACUCCAUAACUGGCUAGAUAUAAAUGUAGCUUUUGGGUGGGUGGUGAGAUAUGCCGCGAGACAUGGCCGACCAAGAUGGGAUUUACCCCUCCUAUUUGAAGAGAUAUUUUCUGGACCCUCUCGAGGGAUCGGAUUCGGAAAGCAUGACCAUGCGACUUGGUUAAGUGUUAACCCAGUGCGGGAAUCUAUAUCACGGUGUCAAGAAGAGAGGUCGAGCUACCACAAGGGUGACAAGUACUCACCUUGAGCUUGACAACAUAUAUCGUGAGGCAAAAGGAAUGUUGCAGAUGAUACAUUGUCGAGGUUCUUCGAACGACUUUACACGCACAUGAGAGUUGGCACGUUCAGCGAGGAGCUGCUACCAACUAUCGACUCUGGUCGUGUCCAUGUGUACGUAAACCUAUAGGGUCGCACACUUAAGGGGCUGCAGGCCAUUCGGAUUGGAUUCGAGUGGAAAUGGUUUUACUCCUAGUGGGCCUCAAGUAUUGAGCCUAUCUCGGAGGUCUAUAUAUAGGGGAGUGGCCGCACAACUGAGGUUGAUCUUUUUCCACCAUGGACAGCCUCCAUCGCAACUCCCCACGCCCAUCCCGCGCGACCUAACCUAGAUGCCUACCGCCCGACGCUGCUCCCCGUACGUGUGGAUACCUUGCAGGCAUCGCAUCCGUGGUGCUUGGAUGAACUGUUCGAGGGAACCGCGAGGUGCCGUUCGCGGGAGAUCAACGUUCACAGGUCUUUGUUGUUCGCGGGAGAUCGACGACGCGAGGAGGAGACGCCUCGGGAGAUCGUCUACAUGCAUCUCCAACUCUAUUUUCUGCUGCGGUUACUGCGCGUCUAGUGGUAAACUCGAUCUCAUGAUCUAUUUCCAGCAACUUGAUCUUGGGUGCGUGGUAGAAUUUUUUUUAUUUGGCUCUAGCUUAGCAUACCGCGUGUUUCUACAGUCGUAUCAGAGCCUAUGCUACGUGGUAUUAGAUUCAAGGUAGAAUUUUCAAAUGAUGAUAUGUAGAUUGCUUUAUGUACUGGCCGAUGAGAUCGGUUGUCAAUAUGAUUGACUAUACAUGGUGUCAGGCAUUCGAAAUUGUGAUCUAAUUUUCCGUGAUGAUGUUGUGGAGGUCGUGGCACAAAUUACCUAUACCGGUCGGUUUCGGCCAUCGGGUAAGACAGUGGAACGUAAAGUCGGUCACAACACGCGAAGACCAAUGAGAUUGGUUGAAUCAGAUAGAUGGUCAAAAUAGGAUAAAUAUGAUUUGCCGGUGAAAAUUCCCAUGCAAAAAUGCAUAGAUAUUGCAAGGGCGCUGCCAGUUGACCCCACAGGGGGCAAAGCCCCAUCGACCCCCAUCCUGUUAAUCUCUUAGGGCGGUGGAUAACUUGUUUUUGCAGGUAAUGCUUGUGAUUUGGUACAACCCGGGUAUGUUGCAUGUACGUAAUUAUAUCAUGACCUGCGUGUCGAGAGUACAAUAACUGGUUGGAGCCAUAUGGUUGUCCCAUUAUUGUAUUAAUGACCUUCAUGUCAACAUGAGAAGCAUUGUAUUGUUAUUUACUUUCAAUAGCUAUUAGUUUGUAAUAGCGUAGUAUCUUAUGUAACACUUGGCGGUUGACACCAUGGCGUGGAGAUGAAGAUCUCCACGAGGACAACCAUGCAUGGAGAUGGAGAUCACCAUGGGCAGGCCGUGCAGGUGGAGACGAAGAUCACCAUGCGAUAUCAAAAGGGGCUAAACCAUAUCACACAUAUAAACUGCCUGUGAAAGUUUAUCUCUGUUAUGCACCCUUCUUUUGCAUGGUAGACGUUUCAAGUAGGGUGAUCCCUCAAAGAAUGUCAAGUAAAAAUGCCUCUCCAAAUGUUGCACCAUCACACAUCAAGUAUACUUAGUGGUGGGAUUAUAAAAUUAAGGUGCCAUUUGGUGUCCUUGAAGUGAUGGGUUCGGUUCGGACACUUACAUGCAUAGCAUUGGUUAUCUUGUCGUGGCUAUCAAAACAGUUUUGGGCCUCGAGGCGUAGGAGUUGGUGCGACAUGAGAUGUCCCCAACAACAAGAGUCGUAUGGAGACACGAUUAGCAAGAAAUACUUAUGGAGUGAUCUCGUCUUCUAGCAGUGAUGCAAAUGCUCACUAGUUAACAUGUUGAUCUUGGAUCUUGAAUCACUAAGUAUCAUCUGAGGGAUGUUGAUUUUAUUUGGAGUGAUGAUCUUAUUAAAAUGUUUAAUAUGAAUUACUCUUCAUGAAUACAUGUCUUAGUGUUUUGCAUCUUUCUGUUGGAGAUCAGAGGCACCACCUGCUCAAGUUACUCCUUUUGCGCUGAAAACAAUCCUAGAAAAAGAUAAAUGGAAUGGGACAAACUUUACGACCUGGUAUAGAAAUCUGGGAAUUGUUCUUAGGCAUGAGAAAAAGGACCAAGUUCUAGAAAAUCCGCUUCCAGAUGUACCUGCCAAGAAUGCUAAUGCCACAACCAGGAGUGCCUACCAGAAACCCAUUGAUGAAUAAAAUGAGAUCAUCUAUCUCAUGCCGGCUUCAAUGGAGCCCGAUCUACAGCAGCAGUUCGAAAACAUUAAGGCUUUCGAUAUGAUCGAGAACCUCAAAAGCAUGUUUCUGAUGUAGGCUAGGACCGAAAGGUUCAACGUCUGGCUAUCCUUGAUGGAUUGUAAGUUGAAUGAAAGUGAUCAAGAUGACUAGGUACAUGCAAGCUUUGGAUUGGUUGGGCUUCCCACUUGGGAACGUUCAACUCGAACUACCAUAUGCAUGGGAUGGAAAAGAAGCUCACUGAAUUGCAUGGGAUGCUCAAGGUGGCAGAGCAGGAUAUAAAGAAAGUUACGCAUCGUCAAGUGUUGAUGGUGCAGAACUGGGCUAAGUUCAAGAAGAGAUGUUCCAAGAAAAAGCAUAAGGCAAACGGCCAGGAGGAGAAGGCAACUCCAACUUCUGCCGUUGCGCCUAAGUCAGGGCCAGCCGGGGACCGUUUUCUUUCACUGUAAGGAACACGGCCACUAGAAAAUGAACUGCAACAAGUGGCUUGUCGAGAAGGGCAAGAAGACUGGAAGUGUCACUUCUUCAAGUACACUUAUUGUAUAUGUUAUAGACAUUUAUCUUGCUGAUGUUUCUAGUAGCUCUUAGGUAUAUGUUACCGGAUCGGAUGUUCACAUAUGCAUCUCGAUGCAGAGUCUAAGAAGAACUAGGAAUGUUGGAAGAGAAGUUGACAUACACAUCGUGAAUAAAGCAAGAGUUGAUGCAUUGGCCGUCAGCACUAUGCAACUUAAUUUACCUUCAGGAUUUGGAAUGGAACUUGAUAAUUGUAAUUAUGUUCCUGCUUUGAGUCAAAACAUUAUUUCUGCCUCAUGUUUGAUGAUACAAGUUUAUGAAAUAAGUAUUAAGGACAAUGGUUGUUCUAUGUACUUGAAUAAAAUGUUUCAUGGCUUUCCACCUAUUGUGAACGGGUUAUUAAUCCUAGAUCUUGAAGGUGAGCCAGUCUAUAACAUAAAUGUCAAGAGGCAUAAGCCUAACGAAAUAAACCCGACUUACAUCUGGCAUUGUCGACUAGUACACAUUAGUAAAAGUGCAUGAGGAAGCUCAAUGAUGAUGGAAUUCUAACUUCAUUUGAUUUUGAAUCAUUCGAGACAUGUGAGUGUUGCCUUCUUGGCAAGAUGACUCAGACUCCUUUUGCAAGGAGUUGCGAAAGGACGUCCGAGUUAUCGAAACUCAUCAUAGUGAUGUAUGUGGACCAAUGAGCACGACAGCAGGUGGUUUCCAAUAUUUCGUGACGUUUACAGAAAACUUGAGUAGAUUUGGAUAUGUCUACUUGAUGAGGCACAAGUUAGAAACUUUUGGAAAGUUCAAGGAGUUUGAGAGCGAAGUGGAGAAUCAACUCGGCAAGAGAAUCAAACUUCUACGAUCUGAUCGUGGCGGUGAGUAUAUGAGCCAGGAGUUUGAUGAUUAUCUAAAGAGUCGUGGAAUAGUUCCACAACUGUAUCCUCGGGGUAUGCCACAGAGAAAUGGCGUGUUGGAACGAAGGAAUCGGACUCUGUUAGACAUGGUCCAAUCAAUGACGAGUCGGUCGGAUUUACCUUUGUUAUUUUGGCGAUACGCUCUAGAAACUGCGUAUUUCACACUAAAUAGGGUACCAUCCAAGUUUGUAGAUAAGACGGCAUAUGAGAUAUGGACUGCGAAGAGUCACAGUUUGUCUUCUCUAAAAAUUUGGGGUUGUGAAGCAUACGUCAAGCGACUCCAGUCAGACAAGCGCACACCCAAGUCGGACAAGUGCAUAUUCGUGGGGUAUCCAAGGGAAACCUUGGGAUCUUACUCCUACAUCCGUGAAGACUGCAAAGCGUUUGUCGCUCGACAUGGAGUUUUCCUUGAGAAAGAGUUUCUCAAUCAGAAGGCUAGUGGGAGGAUGAUACGACUCGAGGAAAUUCGAGAACCACAUGGAGUUAGUCAGGGAACCCAUGGUGGAGUCGACGCCAAUUCCACGGAGGUCAGAAAGGUUGCGCAAUAUGCAUGACUGCAAUGUGUUGUUCUUGGAGAACAACGAGCCGGCAACGUAUGCGGAAGCCAUAGAGAGCCCUGAUUCCGAGUUAUUGCUUGAGGCCAUGAGAUCCGGAUUAAAGUCCAUGGAUGGCAAUCAAGCUUGGAACUUGGUUGAUCUGCCAGAUGGCGCUCGAGGCAUUGAGUGCAAACUGGUAGUGAUGCCUAAAUAAAUUAGGACCAUUCUUGCUAUAUCUGCAUAUUUCGACUAUGUUACUAUUAUGUUCUUCAACAGAAGGUCCCAAAUGUUGUUGUGCCUCUGCUGAUGGACGCCGAAAGUGAGAUGACAAUUGUUUGCCCUUUGAAGAUCAGAUUCAAAUAUACAUACUCGACCGAGCGUUAAUCAAAUGGAUGCCUCAAAAUUGAGUGAUGGAGGCAAAUAGUCAAUGAGCUCGGGCCACAAAUUGGAGACCGGGGAUCUCUGUGGUCCAUCAUGGAGAUGUAGUUUUUUUUCUCUGUUUUAUUCUAUUUUACCUAAGACACUGGAGUAGGUCAUAGUACUUGUCAUGUGCUUGAAAGUUACUUACCUAGGAUGAUGACAAUUAGUUAGUAGUGGUUAACUUAUGAUGAUGAUGAUGGUGAUGAUGGUGAUGAUGAUGAUGAUGAGACAUUUUUAUAUAAUUAUGAUCAUGAUGAGCUGUUAUAUCACUACGAUGAUGAUGAGUUAUAUCAUUUUGAUAAUGAUGAGUUGUUACAUGAUGAUGAUGAUGAUGAUGAUGAUGAUGAUGAUGAUGAUGAUGAUGAGUUGUUAUAUAGUUGCUUGUGUAUAAAAAUCUGUAUAAUUAUUGUAUAAAUAUAGUAUAAUAUGUAGAAAGGAAAUACAUAGAGUUAGUAGUGGCGGGGGGCCUCGCGCUAUAGCUAGUUAUUAGUAGCACGGGCCAAACACCGCGCUGCUCCUAAUGUAAGUAGUAUUAGAGCCGAGCCUGGCCCGUCUUACUAGGAACCAGUUAGCUACACGCUGAUGAGUUGUUAUAUGAUGAUGAUGAUGAUGAUGAGUUUUUAUAUAGUUGCUAAUGUAAGUAGCGAGGCAACCCGCACUACUCCUAUGCCUUUAAACCGCGCCACUACUAGCCUUAUCCCUUGUAGUGACGGGCAGAUGGAGCGAUGAAAUGCGCAUGUCCUCAAUGGGCUCCAAACGAGAACAUUCGCCUAACUCAAGAAGUGUGGCCGGUGAUGGAUCGAUGAGCUUCCCUAUGUUCUAUUUAGUGUAGAUAUCACUCUUAAUUAACUUGUUUUUCUGCGGAUAGUAACUAACGCUUUGAGCCUUUGUGGUUUAUCUCACAAUUUUUGUCUUCACAACUGGAGUAGGCCACAAUGUUGAGAUGCAAAAAAAGGUCCAUAAACUAAUUAAAUGGAAUAUCAUUUAGAUACGACACUUAUAAGAUACACUAAAUAUUAAGAGACGUGUUGAGUAUAUAAUGAAUAGGGGUCAUUGUCUCUAAAUAGUUUUCACUAAAUAGGAUGAUGUGUUAAGAGACACUGCGUUGUGAGUUCCCUUUCGCUAAAUUAAUUUGCCCUGGUUCGAUUGCAGAGAUGUGUGCGGAGUUUCUUGGGGGAGUUUGGCAGCCAAUCGAUGAUAACUAGUUCUAGGACGCUACUAGGUCAGAUUCAAAACUGAACAUAUGGCUUGGUCCAAGAGUUUCGGCUCUCACAACCUGAAAAUCUGCAGCUUUCACACUAAAUAUUAAGAGAUUCGAAACUGAACAUAUCUGUCAUUGGUUUGAUGCUGUGGGUCCGUUUCAUUAUCUUUUUUUUUAUCAGGUAGUUGGACGGCCACACCAUGCCCUGAAAAUCUGUCUAGAUCUUGAUCGGGAGGCAUAAGAUUUCUUAUUCUGACAACCCUGAAACUGUUUGCCAUGCAUGCAUUAUCCUUCGCAAAGCGAAUUAAGUUGCCCCUAGACAAGGGCGGAUGGAGUAUAGUUCACUGUAGCUUCAUGAUUCUUUUGUCAGCUUAUUUUUUAGAGCUGCGGCUAUCAUAUUUACACCUGCUGUUAUAUCUGUUUCCAGAACCAUGUGUCAGCAGCUUCUGUUAUCAUAGCCAAUAAAACUAUCACGAAGCUACAGUGUGAGCAAUGAAGACGUUAUAUAAACAGGGAUAAAAUAUAUUGUGCUAAACUGCUCUAUCCAAAACCAUGUGUCUGCUCCUCUUGUUUGUUUCUUUACUAUUUUUCAUAUUGUGGAUGAUCAUGACGAUACAUACUAAAGAGUUUUGCAUAGCAUAUGUAAUUUCAUGCAUACAGACAAUGUUUUUUUAUUGGUGUAUUAUUUCACUCUGUUAAGACAAAAUUAUAUUUUGGAAUAUUGAAAUAAUAAUAUUAGGUAAAUCAUACAUGUGCACUAUGAAGCUAACUUUGUGCAAGAGAAAUGAGUAAAAUUAAGGACAAGAUUUAUACCUAUGCAAUACAAAAAAAAACUAUCUGCAGCAGUAAAUUCAUGUAGCUGGCAACAUUACUGGUACAAAUUAGAUCUAAUUAUAGUGCAUACAUGUACCUUUUUUAGAAAACAAAUCUUGAAACUUCGAUAGAAAAUUUUACGAUUUAUGAAAUUUGAAUGGGAAAACUAAACCAAAACCAAAAGGCCGGGAGUUAAAUGUGAGUGAAAAUAAAUGUCAGGAGGUAUUUGUCAGUGAAAAUAAAUAUGAGUGACACUUCUCCAUGCAAAAAUGUUAGUGAAAAAACUUGAAUUUUCACUGUAAAAACAACCCCAAAAUAAAGGAGGAAGCAGAACCAUCGAAAUGUUUAUGAAACGAACAACCACCAACAUAAGAGAGAAGUCACCAUACUCAUUAAGACGCCCAUGUUCAUCUGAGUAGUUAAGCCACUGCAUAGCAAUUAAUAGAAAGAAAACUGCAUAGAAAUUAAUUUUGAUGGGCUCGUGGAUCACGGCAGAAGCAUGCAUGAAUGCAUAUGUCUAUCGUUGCAGGUCAUUCAUGAGAGCAAUGCAUUCAUAUCUAUCUUUGCACGGAUGGAAAAAUUAGUCUGGCGCCAUAUAUCUUCUAUUUGUUAUACUACAGAAAGACAUAUUAAAAUAAAGUUGCCCCUAAACAAGGUGGAUGGACGACCACUCAUUUUGGCAGACUGUACUCGCACAAUUCGUUUUCCCAAUAAUAAUGUGAAUGGAGAGAGUAUAAUUCACACUGUCGCUUCAUGAUUCUUUUGUCAGCUUAUUUUUUAGAGCUGCCUUUUUUUUUGCGGGAAUAUUUUUUAGAGCUGUCAGCUAUUAUAUUUACCCCUACUGCCAUAACUAUUUCCAGAGCCAUGUGUCGGCAGCUUUUGUUAUCAUAGCCGACAAAACUAUAACGAAGCUACAGUGUGAGCCAGGAAGACGUUAUAUUUUCAGGGAUAACAUAUAUAUUGUGCCAAACUCCUCUAUCCAAAACUAUUUGCCGGCACCUCUUGUUUUGUUUAUUUACAAUUUUAAUAUUGUGGAUGAUCAUGACGAUACGAAGUAAAGAGUUUUGCAUAGCAUAUGUAAUUUCAUGCAGGCAGACAACACUUUUUUAUCAGUGUAUAAUUUUGCUCUGUAAAGACAAGAUUUUAUCUUGUGAUAUUGAAAACAUAGUGUUAGAUAAAUCAUAGAUGUGAUCUUUGUGGAUAAAUUUGUGCAAGAGAAUUGAAUAAAAUUAAGAACAAGUUGUAUACCUGUGCAAUAAAGAAAACUAUCUGCAGUAGUAAAUACAUGUAGGUGGCAACACUCACAUUUUGGUUAUUCCUGUAUAAACAUUGCUAGUGCAAAUUGGAUCCUAUAUAUUGUGCACACGGUGUUCCCGUCCUCGGAUGGUUUCCCCUUGUUCGGUCUUGCUCAUUCUCGUUGCUCACAAGCUCAUGCAAUUGAGAACCUGAGAUCUUCAAUCUGGCCAUCUGGGAUUUCCGGACUUCUCCUUCGAAGGAAAACAAGGACUGGCACAUAUGGCGCUCUUUGGACACCUUGACUAGAUAGGGGCCUGUCGUGUGCACCCGCAACAUCAGCAUAACCAGCUUUACCGGGGUAUCGUGCAGCUCUGUUUUUGUUGGCACCUUGGGACAUGUCUGCACCAAGAUUCCCAUGGGAUCAACACAUGUGGAGAAUGUCAUGGCGUGAUUGAAGGACUUGCAAGUGGCAAAGGCGGGGUCUUGGAUGCGAUGAAGACUUUGCUUCAUAGGCAGUUGUUUAGACAUGGCUUACGGGAUAUGUUCCCAUCCAGACGGGACGUGAAUUCCUGUGAGCCUAAUGGUGCGUGACUUGCAGUAGUAGCCUCCGCAAGUGGGGGUGGCGGCAUUGGAGGACUUCUUUGUUAUUCGGUGCUCCUCUGAGUACCCAAUCAGGAUUUCCAAGGUGAAAACCCAAGGUCUGGCCUUUAUUGGUUGUGCCUGGCAGUAGUCUUGUUGAAGGCAUUAUUGUUGGGAACCUCAUCUUUCUCCAGGGUGAAAACGUAAUAUCUUUGAUCAGGCAACGACAACGCUUGUGCUUUGUUUCCUUCCUGGAGGCAUUGCUUUUGGAGAACCUAUUUUGUAGUCCGGGUGCCAUCUUUGGUGGUGGUUAGAGUGCGGCUACUUCGGGUAUUGAUCACCGUGGUGGGAUAUUUUUUCUUCUCUUUUUAUUUUGAUUUUUAGUUGUGUGCAUCCUGGAUGUUUUUAGGCAUCUUGUUGUUGCAGAGUCUGGGAGUAAUUGGUAUCUGCUUGAUAUUAAUACAUUCUCCUUUACAAAAAAAAAUUACAUAUGCCUUUUCUAGAAUUUUUUUCCUAAAACUUCCAGGGAUGAUUCUAUCAUUUGUUUAAUUUUAAUGGAAAAAUUAAACCAAAACCAAAACGUCAGGAGGUAAAUGUGAGUGAAUAUUAAGGUCAAGAGGUAAAUGUGUUUGAAAUAAAUAUGAGUGACACUUCUCCAUGUGAAAUUGUUAGGGAGAAAACUAGACUUCUCUCUGUAAAAAUAACCCCAAAAUUAUGGAGGAAACAAAACCAUCCAAAUAAACAAUAUAUUGAGAAGUCUAUGAAACGAACAACCACCAAGAUAAAAGAGAAUUCGCCAUACUCAUCAAGACGCCCACAUGUCAAUAGCUCAGUCAGUCAACAUUAUAGCAAUUAAUUUUGAUAGGCUCAAGGAUCAUAGUAGAAGCAUGCAUGAAUCGUUGCAGGUCAUUGAUGAGAGCAAUGCAGAUCACUAUCUUUGCAUGGUCAGAAAAAUUAUUCUGGCGCCACCUAUCUUCUAUUUGUUAAACCAUAUGAAGGCGCAUAUCUCAUCACGAACGAUUAAUCAACAAUAUAUACUACACAAUGACACAUUAAAAUUAUUGCACAUGGGCGAGAUUGAUGGCUUUAUCCUUCAUAUGAUCCAAAUAAUCGUAUUUAUUGUUCACACUGUAACAACAUAAUGGUUUUGUUGGCUAUCUACCCCUGCUACCAUUCCUAUCUCUUGAGCAACAUGCUAGUAUCUUUUGUUUAGUUUAGCUAAAAAGAUUGGAAUGAGAGAUUUCCUUUUUUUGUGCAAUAACAUGAUAGUACAAACUACUGAACUUUACAUAUUUAGGUACUCAAUAAAAUACUGUUAAAGAUAGCUAUAGACAUUAGUCAUAUUAAUUCAACCAUAAGAGAUUAUCAUGUACCAUAUUAGCAUGAUUACUGGUCCUGUUCAAGAAUUCGUCCGAUUAACCAGUUAACUUGGAAAUUAAUCCCUACUUGUAAGGUCAUCGUGUAGCCAAUAAACUGAUAAAUCCUCCGUUUAAUUUCUUAACAGGACAAUUAACUUGCCGAUUACCCUAUUAAUCCCCUACUCCCUAGCCAACCAAGCAGCUACCAGUUAACAAUUUCCUCAACAAAUUUACUGGUAUGUUCCUGUUUAGAUGGUUCACCAAUACACUUCCAAAGUUAUUUUUGAGAAUGAUGCACCCUUUUUACAUUUUUUUGGUAUUAUUCCAUCAAUGCUGCACUACAUCAUAGCAUCUUCUUCUUUUUGGAAUGGCUAUGAAAGGACACGAUAGGUAUGUCUGGUGAACUUUUUGUGGAGAUACUUGGGCUCAUGUGUCUGAGAAUAAGAGGAUGUCCUCCCAUAGGAUUUACAUAUACCAACAACUAUUAACCAUGUCUCAAUGUGAGAUUGGAGACUAAAGAGUCUAGAUUUUAUAAGAUUAACCGGAAGUGUUGACUUCAACCGUGUAUUACUAAUCCACUGCAGUUGAAUUUUUGCAGUUGAAUUUUGCAUAUGGCUAAUUUAUUAAUCAACACCUAGGAGGAAUAGUUUGUAGGAGUUACCUAUAGCGUUGCCCUGGCAAAAGGAAAUGUGAUUGUUUAUCAAAAUUGUUUCUACUUAUAUUGUUUUAUCCCGUUACUACUGCAGCACUAAUUUUUAGUUAACUAAUGAAAGAAAGGCAUCAUAUUGUUUUAUCCCAUUGAUACCAGAGCACCAAUUUUUAGUUCAUUAAUUAUGUUGCUAUCUUCAAGUAUUUUUAAUCUGGAGGAAGUUCCACAAAACAAAAAUGUGAGAGUCAAAAAGGUGAGGGGAAAACGAGCUGAAUACCACCUUCUUUGUCCUGUCUUGCUUAAUCCACUUGAAGCCAGAUUACCACUUCGGCAGGGUAUGCUGAUGGAACUCGAACUAGGAACCUCAGUGACAUUUGUAGCCAUACAUUCAAAACACCUCCAGGCACAUGAUUUCAAAAGAUAUUUUUGAAGCAACAGGUCACCAAGCGUCUAAUUGAGUGUUGUAGACAUGACAAUGUCUAAAAUGGCGACUUUGAGGAAGCGUAAUGGAACAAACAUUGUGUCAUGCAUGUGCUCUCUACCACACCCUCGACAAAAAUCAAGAUCCCAGUCCAGUGGAAUGAGGAGGACUAGGAUAUGGACGACGAAGGGCCCAGCAACUAGAUAGAGACAACUUAGGAGUGAGCCAUAGGAAGAUCAUCUAGUGCACUGGGUGUGUGGAUUUGAGGGCCCACUUGUAAGAGAGUGCGUAUGCGUUUAAAAGGGGCAAGUGAAUCAGACAUGUGCCGUAACUUAUCGAUGAAAUAAUAAUUGUUUGAACUCUCACCUACUCUGUUCUGCAUCUCACCCUCUUCAUCUGUUCUUCAACUUCUUCUCAUCCCCUACUCCAUAUUAUCCUCUCCAAUAUGUGAUUCUUCCACCAACACUAGUUGGACAUCACAGUUUGACAAUGGAAAUCUUGGUAAAUUUUUCUCUUUGACAGCACUCGGAAACAAUUGAUGCAGGCGCAAAUCCAUGAUAUAAGGGAUAUUUUCUGUAGCAUUGUUUGAAAAUACAUCAGUUACGCAAGGGCCCUUUUGCUUCUUUACUUCUUGUUCUGUGUGCACUCUGAUGUUCGAAGGUGCAGUGAUGGUAGACAGAUAUUUAGUUGGAAGAAAAAUAGAUAAACUCAGAUUUCGUGUAACCCGGGCUCACUCUUUUCAGUGAAUAAAUUAUUGUCACAAAAAACCAGCCUUUUGCUUCUCUUGAUGACAUUAUUCUUAGAAGUAAGAAUGUGCAUUUCUGCAGCCCAUGCUCAUGUGCUAUUUUUUCUUUUUAACUAGUGUAACAAAUGGGGUAGAUGUUUUUUUUUCUGUGCCAAUAAUGGUGUUAAGACUGCUAAAAUCUUGUAAGGGAAGAAAACAUUGAAGAGCAGAAAGAAGAAGAAAAUCAUUUAUUUAUAUAGAACUGACAUGCAUUUGAACAUCAACAGUCAUUUAUUAUUAAUAAUUCCGCAUUUUGUGAAUUCCUUUCUCCAAUGUUUUCUUCCAGGUUUAUUUACUAUGAUAGGCUCACCAGGAAAGGAACCUGAAAAUUUAAAUCGUGUCAAUUUCCUUUUCACACAAUUCUCUCAUGAUGCAAUGGUUUCAGAGAACGCUGUUGUUAUUUGCCAGACAUGUGAUGUUUAGUAUGACUUGAACUAACAUAACAUGCAUAAUACGUUUAUUGAGUACAUGAAGGUUGGUUUCUUUGAAUCAUUUUGGAUUAGCCUGUUUGCAAAGGCUAUUAUCAUUCCACCACUCAGUGAUUUAUGAAUAUCUCCCAUUCAUUUGAUGUGAGUUCCCUGCAACCACACACGAUAUUUCCCUUACUCCGUUUUCGGUAAGAUAUGGGAAACUAAACAUUCAAGGAUAUUGUUCCCACAAGUGGAGAGACUGAAAAAGUCGCGCGCGUUGCUCUCCNNNNNNNNNNNNNNNNNNNNNNNNNNNNNNNNNNNNNNNNNNNNNNNNNNNNNNNNNNNNNNNNNNNNNNNNNNNNNNNNNNNNNNNNNNNNNNNNNNNNNNNNNNNNNNNNNNNNNNNNNNNNNNNNNNNNNNNNNNNNNNNNNNNNNNNNNNNNNNNNNNNNNNNNNNNNNNNNNNNNNNNNNNNNNNNNNNNNNNNNNNNNNNNNNNNNNNNNNNNNNNNNNNNNNNNNNNNNNNNNNNNNNNNNNNNNNNNNNNNNNNGAGGCCGAACAGGUGAAGCCCGCCUCGGUGGGCGGCGGCAUCAGGGCAGUCUAUUCCCGCGGCAACUCAUCGCCCUGGACGGCGGAGCCCGCUCGCGGCACGGUGGCGAAAGUCGGCGCGUUGGAUCCCACGGUGGACCCCUCGUCAGCGUGGAGAGAUGCUUGUGUGUGGCUGACCGGGGUCGAGCACGAGGGAUUCGGGCCUUGUUCGCCGUAUCAAUCUCGCGACGACACCUAUGUCUUCAGCUGGUGCGGUCAGGGUGGUGACCCGGGCUGGCGGCGGCGACCGGUUCCUCCAUGGCUGGUGGGUUAAGUCCUUGACCUGGACGACCAUGUGACGAUGGGUGGUGGCAGAGGCCGCAGAACUAGCGUGCCAUCCAGAUCCAUCUCGGCGUGGCCUUGGCCGGCAGGCGAUGCGUGCAGGGACCGAUCUGGGGCGGCUGGAGGCCCUAUGCCGACGUUCCAGCGAUAGCUUACGUCUCCAUGGCGACGCAACUUCUAGUGAAAAUGUGCUGACUGCGGUCAUGGAAGAUGGUGGCAUCUCUAAUGUCGUUUCCUUCUUCGAGGCAUCGUCGUUUGUAAGCUGUGUCACUACGCUCGGGAUGUUCCGGGGGGAACUCUAUUUCUGGGUAUCCCGGAUCAGACGAUGACGGUGCCUUCAGCGCCAUUCUCCCUCCUAGGGGCAUUGUUCUGGAGCAGGUGCCGACUGGAAGAGACAAGUGGAGGAGCGGUGUUACAUCUACCGCAAGGAUGACGCAGGGUCUCGGUGGCGUGGCAAGGCAGAGUGUCGGCGACGAGCGCCCACGCUAGAUGGUUGAGCUAUCUGGUGUCGAGAUGGCCUGGCGAGAUGAAUACGUUGAUCGCUCCUGAAGGUGGGACAGCAGAACAUGGCGGUGGCUUAAUCUAAAGUGUGUGCAUGCUGUGCGCGCAAAGGGUCUAGCUAGACCAGUUGGUGCUCUCGAAUUGCCGGCAGACAUCUUGGUGAGGUGACCGGAAUAUAUGAUGUGUGUUGAUAAGUGGUCAGGGCACGGCAUUAAAGCUUGUAGGUGUAACGACAAUAGUUUCUAGGGAGGUGGCUUUGCCUUGAUCCAUAUAUUUGUUUUGUUUGGUUCCGUUGAAUAAUAUAAUAAAAUGGUUGUGUGCAUGGCCCGAUGCAUAGACUAGGGGUAAUCGUCUUUUUCGAAAAAAAGUAGAAUGGUACAGUCACACCAUUUUGCCAGUGACAUGCUAAAAAUGGCAUGAUAAACAAUUCCUGAAUGAUAAAUCACAUGGUGACAGUAUAUCUAUUUUAUAGGAAGAGCUGGAUAGAUUAGAGUAUACUGCCCCAGGAUUUUAAAGUGAGUGCGAGAGUUCAGAUUUAUUUACAUGUUUAGCUUCAGAGCUUCAGAACGUCUUUUUUUCACGAAUACACAAAGCUUGAAUAUCUUUUAUUGAUAGAAGAAAGAGAAUGAGUACAACAGAGGAUACAACACAUGGCAUGAACCCAAAGAGGCAUGAUCAUGGAACCCGGAGUAGAGAGACAAGGGGUGCUCAGCCCGAAUAGGGAAAUGACACAACUACACCCACAAAUCCUAAACAGAGAGGCAGGCCGAACAAGCACGGCGUCGAACAUCUCAAAAUCCAACACCAGGGACACCACGAGCGAACAAGAUAGCGCCUUCAGGAAGGGGUGCGACGUCGUGACACCGCCGCCAUCCGAUCCGAGGAACCGGAUCUAGGGUUUCCCCCAGCGCUCAAAGAGGGGCACGGAUAAAAGCCAUGGCAAAUAACUCACGAGUGUCGCCUCUGCCAACAUCGGCAAGAAGAGCAUGGAUUUCGCCUGGCCCAAGUCCGAGCAAUCCCAUAGCUGCCAAAUCAGGAUCCGAAGAUGAGGAAGACAAUCCGCUAGUCAACCACCGUCCCAGUACGGAGGUGGUGGGGCUGCACCUGCUGCCAAAAGAACACGAGCUUUGGAAAUGACAUGCCGUGGGUGUCGACGGGGUCGGGGAGGCAGCGUGGUAGACAGCUUGCAUGGAGGGUGGGAUGGUGACCGGCGCCGCUGACGAGAUGGAGCCGGAAGGGAGCACAAGUCCGAGCUGCCGGAGGUGAAGCCGCCAGAACACCGGCAAACCGAAGAUGCCGGAAGGGGACGCAGCGACCGGGGUGUUGGGGCUGAAAUUGAAGGAAAUAUGCCCUAGAGGCAAUAAUAAAGUUAUUAUUUAUUUCCUUAUAUCAUGAUAAAUGUUUAUUAUUCAUGCUAGAAUUGUAUUAGCCGGAAACAUAAUACAUGUGUGAAUACAUAGACAAACAGAGUGUCACUAGUAUGCCUCUACUUGACUAGCUCGUUAAUUAAAGAUGGUUAUGUUUCCUAACCAUAGACAUGAGUUGUCAUUUGAUUAACGGGAUCACAUCAUUAGGAGAAUGAUGUGAUUGACUUGACCCAUUCCGUUAGCUUAGCGCACGAUUGUUUAGUAUUCUGCUAUUGCUUUCUUCAUGACUUAUACAUGUUCCUAUGACUAUGAGAUUAUGCAACUCCCGUUUACCGGAGGAACACUUUGUGUGCUAUCAAACGUCACAACGUAACUGGGUGAUUAUAAAGGUGCUCUACAGGUGUCUCCACAGGUACUUGUUGGGUUGGCGUAUUUCGAGAUUAGGAUUUGUCACUCCGAUUGUCGGAUAGGUAUCUCUGGGCCCACUCGGUAAUGCACAUCACUUAAGCCUUGCAAGCAUUGCAACUAAUGAGUUAGUUGCGAGAUGAUGUAUUACGGAACGAGUAAAGAGACUUGCCGGUAACGAGAUUGAACUAGGUAUUGAGACACCGACGAUCGAUUCUCGGGCAAGUAACAUACCGAUGACAAAGGGAACAACGUAUGUUGUUAUGCGGUUUGACCGAUAAAGAUCUUCAUAGAAUAUGUGGGAGCCAAUAUGAGCAUCCAGGUUCCGCUAUUGGUUAUUGACCGAAGACGUGUCUCGGUCAUGUCUACAUAGUUCUCGAACCCGUAGGGUCCGCACGCUUAAAGUUUCGAUGACAGUUAUAUUUUGAGUUUAUAUGUUUUGAUGUACCGAAGGUAGUUCGGAGUCCCAGAUGAGAUCACGGACAUCACGAGGAGUCCCGAAAUGGUCGAGACAUGAAGAUUGAUAUAUUGGACGACUAUAUUCGGACACCGGAAUGGUUCCGGUGGUUAUCGGAUAUAUACCGGAGUACCGGGAGGUUACCGGAACCCCCUGGGGGUUUAAUGGGCCUACAUGGGCCUUAGUGGAGAAGAGGAGAGGCGGCUAGGGCAGGCCGCGCGCCCCCUCCCCCUCUAGUCCGAAUUGGACAAGGAGGGGGGCGGCGCCCCCCCUUUCCUUCCUCUCUCUCUCCUCUUUCCCCCUUCUCCUAAUCCAACAAGGAAGGGAAGGGAGUCCUACUCCCGGUGGGAGUAGGACUCCUCCUGGCGCGCCCCUCUCCUGGCCGGCCGCCUCUCCCCCUUGCUCCUUUAUAUAAGGGGGCAGGGGGGCACCCCAAAGACACAACAAUUGAUCAUUGAUCUUUUAGCCGUGUGCGGUGCCCCCCUCCACCAUAGUCCACCUCGAUAAUAUCGUAGCGGUGCUUAGGCGAAUCCCUGCGUCGGUAGAACAUCAUCAUCGUCACGACGCCGUCGUGCUGACAAAACUCUCCCUCAACACUCGGCUGGAUCGGAGUUCGAGGGACGUCAUCGGGUUGAACGUGUGCUGAACUCGGAGGUGCCGUGCGUUCGGUACUUGAUCGGUCGGAUCGUGAAGAAGUACGACUACGUCAACCGCGUUGUGCUAACGCUUCCGCGUUCGGUCUACGAGGGUACGUGGACACACUCUCCCCUCUCGUUGCUAUGCAUCACCAUGAUCUUGCGUGUGCGUAGGAAUUUUUUUGAAAUUACUACGUUCCCCAACAGUGGCAUCCGAGCCAGGUUUUAUGCCUAGAUGUUAUAUGCAUGAGUAGAACACAAGUGAGUUGUGGGCGAUACAAGUCAUACUGCUUACCAGCAUGUCAUUCUUUGGUUCGGCGGUAUUGUUGGAUGAAGCGGCCCGGACCGACAUUACGCGUACGCUUACGCGAGACUGGUUCUACCGACGUGCUUUGCACACAGGUGGUUGGCAGGUGUCAGUUUCUCCAACUUUAGUUGAACCGAGUGUGGCUACGCGCGGUCCUUGAGAAGGUUAAAACAGCACUAACUUGACGACUAUCGUUCUGGUUUUGAUGCGUAGGUAAGAAUGGUUCUUGCUCAGCCCGUAGCAGCCAUGUAAAACUUGCGACAACAAAGUAGAGGACGUCUAACUUGUUUUUGCAGGGCAUGUUGUGAUGUGAUAUGGUCAAGACAUGAUGCUAUAUUUUAUUGUAUGAGAUGAUCAUGUUUUGUAACAGAGUUAUCAACAACUGGCAGGAGCCAUAUGGUUGUCGCUUUAUUGUAUGCAAUGCAAUCGCCCUGUAAUGCUUUACUUUAUCACUAAGCGGUAGCGAUAGUCGUAGAAGCAUAAGUUGGCGAGACGACAACGAUGCUAUGAUGGAGAUCAAGGUGUCGCGCCGGUGACGAUGGUGAUCAUGACGGUGCUUCGGAAAUGGAGACCACAAGCACAAGAUGAUGAUGGCCAUAUCAUAUCACUUAUAUUGAUUGCAUGUGAUGUUUAUCUUUUAUGCAUCUUAUCUUGCUUUGAUUGACAGUAGUAUUAUAGGAUGAUCUCUCACUAAAUUAUCAAGGUAUAAGUGUUCUCCCUGAGUAUGCACCGUUGCGAAAGUUCUUCGUGCUGAGACACCACGUGAUGAUCGGGUGUGAUAGGCUCUACGUUCAAACACAACGGGUGCAAAACAGUUGCACACGCGAAAUACUCAGGUUAAACUUGACGAGCCUAGCAUAUAACAGAUAUGGCCUCGGAACACUGAGACCGAAAGGUCGAGCGUGAAUCAUAUAGUAGAUAUGAUCAACAUAAAUGAUGUUCACCAUUGAAACUACUCCAUCUCACGUGAUGAUCGGACAUGGUUUAGUUGAUAUGGAUCACGUGCUCACUUAGAGGAUUAGAGGGAUGUCUAUCUAAGUGGGAGUUCUUAAGUAAUAUGAUUAAUUGAACUUUAAUUUAUCAUGAACUUAGUCCUGGUAGUAUUAGCAUAUCUAUGUUGUAGAUCAAUAGCUCGCGAUAUUGCUCCCCGUUUAAUUUUUAUAUGUUCCUAGAGAAAACUAAGUUGAAAGAUGUUAGUAGCAAUGAUGUGGAUUGGAUCCGUGAUCUGAGGUUUAUCCUCAUUGCUGCACAGAACAAUUAUGUCCUUGAUGCAGCGCUAGGUGACAGACGUAUUGCAGGAGGACAUGCAGACGUUAUGAACGUUUGGCUAGCUCAAUAUGAUGACUACUUGAUAGUUUAGUGCACCAUGCUUAACGGCUUAGAAUCAGGACUUCAAAGAUGUUUUGAACAUCAUGGACCAUAUGAGAUGUUCCAGGAGUUGAAGUUAAUAUUUCAAGCAAAUACCCUAGUUGAGAGAUAUGAAGUCUCCAACAAGUUCUAUAGCUAAAAGAUGGAGGAGAAUAGCUCAAGAAGUGAGCAUGUGCUCAGAUUGUCUGGGUACUACAAUCACUUGAAUCAAGUGGGAGUUAAUCUUCCAGAUAAAGAUAGUGAUUGACAGAAUUCUCUAGUCACCAUCACAAAGUUAGUAUAACUUCGUGAUGAACUAUAGUAUGCAAGGGAUAACGUAAACGAUUCCCGAGCUUUUCAUGCUGGUGAAAUCAGAAAUCAAGAAAGAGCAUCAAGUGUUGAUGAUUAACAAGACCACUAGUUUCAAGAAAAUGGCAAAGGGAAAGAAAGGGAACUUCAUGUAGAACGGCAAGCAAGUUGCUGCUCAAGUGAAGAAGCCCAAGUUUGGACCUAAGCCUGAGACUGAGUGCUUCUACUGCAAAAGGACUGGUCACUGGAAGCAGAACUACCCGAAAUAAUUGGCGUAUAAGAAGGAUGGCAAAGUGAACAAAAGUAUAUUUGAUAUACAUGUUAUUGAUGUGUACUUUACUAGUGUUUAUAGCAACCCCUCAGUAUUUUAUACUGGUUGGCAACCUCUGCUUGCCUCUGCGAAGGGCCUAUCUUUUACUUUUAUGCAAGAGUCAUGGUGAUCUUCACCUUUCCUUUUUUUCAUUUUAUCCUUUGGCAAGUACCUCGUGUUGGAAAGAUUCUGAUAUAUCCAAUUGGAUGUAAGGCAUCAUGAACUAUUAUUGUUAACAUUACCCUUGAGGUAAAAGGUUGGGAGGCGAAUCUAUAAGCCCCUAUCUUUCUCUGUGUCUGAUUAAAACUUUGAACCCAUAAAUAUCGCGUGAGUGUUAGCAAUUGUGAAAGACUAAAUGAUAGUUGAGUAUGUGGAGUUUGCUAAAUCAAAGCUCUGACAUAGACUCUUCCUGAAAAUAAGAUGAAUUGUAAUUGUUUGAUGACUAAUAACACGGCUUGUUAGUUUUCAAGAAAGUUUAUGAUCUAUACUUUAACAUGUGAAUAGCUUGUUACUUGAUCAUGAAAAGUUCUAUGAGUUGAGCUACUGUUAUGACAUAUGAUGAUGCUAGAAAAAGUGAUUGAAAUUAUCAUUGAUCAAACUUGUGCACCUGCUAGCAUUCACACUUCAUAAAUUCUUUCUUUUAUCAUUUACCUACUCGAGGAUGAGCAGGAAUUAAGCUUGGGGAUGCUGAUACGUCUCCAACGUAUCUAUAAUUUAUGAAGUAUUCAUGCUAUUAUAUUAUCUGUUUUGGAUGUUUAUGGGCUUUAUUGAACACUUUUAUAUUAUUUUUGGGACUAACCUAUUAACCUAGAGCCCAUUGCCAGUUUCUGUUUUUUGCUUGUUUUUGAGUUCUACAGAAAAGGAAUACCAAACGGAGUCCAAUGGACGUCCCAAUUUUUGACGAUUUUUUAUGGACCAAAAGGAGACCCCGGAGCAAAAGGGUUGGGACAGGAGAGUCCCGGGCUGCCCACGAGGGUGGGGGGCGUGCCCUCCCCCCCUGGGCGUGGGCCCCUGCCUCGUGGACAACCCGGAGACCCCCCUGACAUGAGACCUACGCCAAAAAAUCCUAUAAAUACUGAAACCUCCAGAAAGCAGAAUAGAUCGGGAGUUCCGCCGCCGCAAGCCUCUGUAGCCACCAAAAACCAACCGGGACCCUGUUCCGGCACCCUGCCCGAGGGGGUAUGUCGGUGUCAAAACCGGCGGAUCUCGGGUAGGGGGUCCCGAACUGUGCGUCUAAGGCGGAUGGUAACAGGAGGCGGGGGACACGAUGUUUACCCAGGUUCGGGCCCUCUCGAUGGAGGUAAUACCCUACUUCCUGCUUGAUUGAUCUUGAUGAUAUGAGUAUUACAAGAGUUGAUCUACCACGAGAUCGUAGAGGCUAAACCCUAGAAGCUAGCCUAUGGUAUGAUUGUUUUUGUCCUACGGACUAAACCCUCCGGUUUAUAUAGACACCGGAGGGGGCUAGGGUUACACAGAGUCGGUUACAAGGGAGGAGAUCUGCAUAUCCGUAUUGCCAAGCUUGCCUUCCAUGCCAAGGAGAGUCCCAUCCGGACACGGGACGAAGUCUUCAAUCUUUUGUCUUCAUAGUCCAACAGUUCGGCUAAAGUAUAUAGUCCGGCUGUCCGAGGACCCCCUAAUCCAGGACUCCCUCAGUAGCCCCUGAACGAGGCUUCAACGACGAUGGGUCCGACGCGCAGAUUGUCUUCGGCAUUGCAAGGCGGGUUCCUCCUCCGAAUAUUCCAUAGAAGAUUUUGAACACAAGGAUAGUGUCCGGCUCUGCAAAACAAAUUCCACAUACCACCAUAGAGAGAAUAAUAUUUCCACAAAUCUAAUCUACUGACACAUUCUGCAGCAUGACAUCACACCAUGGCCCGGUCAUUAUUCGGACCGUUUUUCUUAACCAGCCACUGCACAUAUCGCGAGGCGGUUUUCUUGGCACGUCUUGUCGAAGCAGAGAUCGUGUCCCCCUAUCACGGGAUUGUCAUCAAUACGGGUGUGGGUAACCUAACCGCGCCAUCAAUUACAGCUCUUGGGGAAUAAGCGAGUUUACCAGGCAGGUGGGGAGGCGCAUAGUUCCUUCCGCCCUUAUAAAGAGACAAGGAUUCAUCUUUUUCACCCACGCCCUCUUCCUCCUUGCUCAUCCGUUCUUGCGCACUUGAGCUCCAACACCCAAGUUCGCAUUCUCUCCUCAAACCACUCCAAGCAUGUCCGGAGCAGGAGGCAAGUGGAUGGUCUCCUCCGUUACGAAGGAGGACAUCACAAGGCUAUGGGGAGCCGGAUACCUGGCCGCGGAUAUCGCGCACCGGCUACAAGAUGCGGGGCAGAUCGUCCCUACUCCAGAACCCCAUGAGAGGGUGAUAUUUCUUACCCACUUUGUCCGCGGACUGGGAUUUCCCCUCCACCUGUUUGUCCGCGGGCUCAUGUUCUACUACGGGCUGGACUAUCACGAUCUGGCCCCCAAUUUCAUCCUCAACAUCUCGGCGUUUAUCGUCGUGUGCGAGGCCUUCCUCCGCAUCAAGCCCCACUUCGGCCUGUGGCUGAAGACCUUCAACGUUAAACCGAAGGUGGUGGCCGGCCAGCAAGCGGAGUGCGGAGGCGCCAUGGUGGGCAAAAUGCCCAACGUCACCUGGCUAGAAGGCUCCAAUGUGGAGACCGUAAAGGGGUGGCAAUCGGGGUGGUUCUACAUCACCGAGCCGCGCGACACCAACUGGGUAGCGGCCCCCGAAUUUUUAUCCGGAAUCCCCAUGCGGCUCACCUCCUAGAAAGAGAAGGGCCUAUCCUGGGGUUCCUCGGUAGAGCUGACCGGACCCCAGACCUGCGUCAAAAACAUGAUGAGCAAGAAAAUCAAGCUUGUCAACAUGGUCCAAGUCAUGCUCUUCCGCCCGAUCCUCCCGUGUCAAAGACGGGCAUUCAAUUUGUGGGAGUUCGACCCGGCCGAGCACCAGACGCUGCGAGAGCUCUUCGACACGGCGCACAAGGACGUCUGGAAGGUGAUGUUCAAGGGCGCUGAGGUACCUCCUCCCCUUACCAAGGACCGCGGACUCAGCGCAAAGCGCCCUGCCAAUCCGGUAUGUCUUUUAUAUUUCAUAAGAUGUUCUUUUCCCCAGUAUAACCACACGCGGGAUCUAAGCCCCCACGCCAUUUAACAGGACUGGGUAGCGACAGCGGAGCAGAUCGAUUGUCCAGCCCCCCUGCCUGAAGAUCCAGCGGAUGCUCUCCUAACGGAGAUCCUGGUUUCGGCGCCUUAUGAGGUGCCGGAGAAGAAGGCCACGGGGACCAGGAAGGGUCUCCGGCGCAAGGUUAUAUCGGACUCAUCGUCCGAAAACACCGAGGCGCACUCCUCCCACGAAAACGGGGAGGAAGAGGAAAGUUCUCCCCCCCAGCCAGGGGGGACAGGACAAGGAAGGCUGCCCCAUCAGGGGAGGCCGAAGGGUCCAAGAAGGGAAGGACCCUCCUCCCGGACUGCUCCACAAAGGCCGCUUUUAGCGACGAGGAGUGGUUACCCAGGGACAAGCCCCUGGCAAAGUCGUGAGUAUCCGGAUACCAUAAUAAUUCUUGGUACGUCUUAUUGUACUGUUUCUUAUCACGCCGCGCAUGAUUAUGCAGUCCGUCCCGAGCCCAUAUCGACGUAUCUUCGUCGGAUGAUUCUUUGGGCCCGUCAGAUAUGAAUAGCGAUUCACUCCCGACUGCCUCCUCCCCCCGCCCUACGGACGACGCCGAGGUGUUGUCUCAAAGGGAACUAAACCAAGGGGAGACAGUUCCGGAGGCGCCCCAAGGCGACAUUCCAGGCGCUAGGUGCACGAGGGGCAAGACUCCCCUAGGCCCUAACACCGGGGGCAGUAAGUCUAGCCCCAAGCCGAAUACGGCGCCGGAACCUCCAGUGGUUCCGGAUUCUGUCAGGCAACCCCUCGCUAAGGGGGGUAAGCCGUCUGUGCCGAUGGCCUCUGUCCAUCCAGAGGCAUCGGACAACUUGCUAGAAGUGCUUCGCGGCGCUUCCAUUGACGAAGAGCACCGCACUAUUAUGAGUGCGGUAGUUAAGAAGGUUCAGUCCGCUAAGAGCGGACUGACUGAAGCCUGUGCCAACCUCCUAACCGGCUUUGAGGUAAGUAAUCAAAUUGUAAGAAAAUGUUACAGCAUAGACAGUAGCCCCUGAUGCUCUGUUUGGCGUUCGCGGAGAAAGGCCGAAUAGAGGAUCAAAUAAUAAUCGCAGGAGUCUAAUCAGAAUGUGUCUAUGUGAAUAAGCGGGCUUCACUGCUGGCCGCCGCCGCUCGUACUGCGGAGGUCACCGCACUGAAGCGGGACCUUGAGCGGUCCAAGGAAGAGCUCGGCCUUACCAAGAGGCAGCUCGAAGAGAACAAAGGUAAGUGACACCCCGUCUGAAUAUUGGUAAAGAAAAAUUUGGUUUUGGAAUAAUAGGAUCCUCAUGAAUUUUGCUAGGGGCCACGACCGAAGUGGCGGCCCUGCAGAAGGCGCUAUCUGAGGCCGAAGACAAAGCGGCCAAGGAGCACAUCGAGCGAGAGAAGCAAGAGGCCCGAGUAGGCGAGGUGCGGCAAGAGCUCCAGGCUCUCGUCAAGAAACACGAGUCCUUGGAGCUUGACUCUAUGACGCAAGGGUCCGAGCUUGCGAAGGCCCUCGAAAGCGCACAACAUGCCAAGGCCAAAGCCCAAAAGGCCCUCCAGGAAAUUUAGGCGGUUAAGAAGAUAGCGGCGGGUAAGGCAUUCAUUAUGCAAAGCAAGCAUGUGAAGGAAACUUUCUUUUUACUUACCCGAGUUCGGAGUUCUCCAGAAGCGUUCGCAGAUCUACCCCGCAGUGUGUCGGAUGCCACGGAGUUCUACCGGGCCGAGGAGGGGAGCUCGGCGGAGAAGUUGUUCUGGUCUCAGUAUACUGGGACCGAACAUCCAAUGCCCUUGAGCGACCAGUUGAAGCAACUGGUCGAGCUUCACAAGGCGGCCGAACAGGCCAUGAAGGGUCUUAUGGUCUGGAUGUGGCAUGGCGACCCCUGCCUGGUAGCUACUUCGGUCUGGUGAGGCGGCUUGUGAAUGCCUGCACACGGUUUGAAGUCAUAAAGCGGUCCGUCUGCAUUGAGGGUGCGCGCAGGACUUUUGCCCGGGCGAAGGUGCACAGGGCGAAGCUGGACGCCGAAAAGCUGGUGAAGGAGGGGCCGCCGGAGGGCAAGGAGCAUCGCCACCCCGAAAAGUAUUAUGAUAGUGUCCUGAAGGGUGCUCGCCUUGUGGCGGAGGAAUGUGCUAAGGAUGUAAUAUUUGAAUGAAUGUACUCAUGUGAUCCUGUAAUAUGAAACGAGUUCAUUUGCGUACGCAAUGCUUGUUAAUUUAAAAUAUUACCUUCUAUGCGGCCGUUUAUAAAAUCUGAGAGUUGGCCAGUCGUCGGCUUCUGCCCCCAUGUAACUAGUACUAAGGUGUUCGGGGUAAACCUGAGCACUCUUUAUCCCAAUUUUGGGUCCUUCGAAGGAGGUGUUUAGCACAAUGAACCAGGCAAUCGGACUAUAAAGCUUUAUCACUCUCACUUAGCCAUAGAAGUCUACAAUUUUAAAUUUUGGCGAAGCCCCUAGUAUUUCGAAGGCCGAAUUUGGGGCACUAUAUACGCCUAAGUCGGGCAAGACGACUCCUUGCCCGAAGCGGAAAGAGACUUUAAGGACUUGAGACCUCUCGAACAGCGACCAGCUCUCGCCUCAUUAUGACAGUCAGUUUUCGGCUUUCUCUACUGAGGUGCUCGUCCGGAAGAACCGGGACACAAUCGCAGUAGUUCUCCCAAGGCUACCUUAGCCGAUAUUGCGGAACGUAAGGUACCAAAACAUGGGAGCCGGGCAAACCCAACUAUUGACCCAAGACAUGAUUCGGAGCUGGUGCAUAUAAUUCUAUAAGUUCGGGGUGCCGCACUGUCGAAAGUGUUCGGACUUCUCACACUGUAUUAUGGGGUAUACUAAAGCCCCUGGCGCACUGGUCAUACCAGGAUGUACGGGUGCAAUUUGUCGUAAAUAAGCAGACAAGGAAAAAAAAGAAAGGGGAAUGCAAUAAUAGACUAACGAUAUGCAUUGUUAUUAAAUAAUACGUCAAAGCGACGGAUACAAGUAGUGCAAUAAGCAAAAAAUAAGACUAUUUGACAUGUCCUAUCCAAGGGCAAGCUGCGUAUGGGUAUGUAAAACAGGUAUUUCGAUCGUUAUCAGAGACCACCUAGGGAUUCCCUUGUACGUCAGAGCGUCUUGCUUCCUUGGUAUUUCCUUACCGCGAUGGGUCCAACAAUUAGAUUGCCGAAAAGGGCUUCCAGAGAGUAAGGUCCUGAAAGAGAGAAAAUGAUAAAGGUAUAUGGCCCCUGGGGCGGUUGAGCCACCUUGUGGGACGUGCCGUAGCUGUGCCUCCGCCUAUGCCCAUGGUAUCUUGAGUGCGUAGUUAUGUACGCGCGGCGCAAAUUUCGCCACUUGACUGGGACUAGGACGGAGGCCGAAUUGCUAGGCGAGCUCAAAACGUGCAUGGCGAUCCUCCUGCGGGGUACCCCGGACUCGCUUGAAGGUGUCCGGGGUCUUUUUCGCCGAAUUGGCGGUUUGCCUAUUAAGGCUGCUUUGCGCUUCUGCUGCGAGGGCUGCAGUGUGCUCCUCCGUGCGGAGCGAGCGCUCUGUGUUUCCAUUAACUGUUAUAACCCCGCGUGGUCCUGGCAUUUUGAGUUUGAGGUAUGCAUAAUGCGGUACCGCAUUGAAUCUGGGAAAUGCGGUUCGUCCGAGCAGUGCGUGAUAGCCGCUGCGAAAGGGGACGAUGCCGAAGAUUAACUCCUCGCGUCGAAAAUUGUCCGGAGAUCCGAAGACCACUUCCAGUGUGAUUGAGUCCGUGCAACAGGCCUCUACACCUGGGAUUACACCUUCAAAGGAGGUUUUGGUGGGUUUGAUCCUCGAGGGGUCUAUGCCCAUUUUGCACACUGUAUCCUGAUAGAGCAGGUUCAGGCUGCUGCCACCGUCCAUAAGGACGCGAGUGAGGUGAAAUCCGUCAAUGAUGGGGUCAAGGACCAAUGCGGCAGAUCCGCCAUGACGGAUACUAGUGGGGUGGUCCCUGCGAUCGAAGGUGAUCGGACAAGAGGACCAUGGGUUCAACUUUGGGGCGACUGGCUCCAUAGCAUAGACGUCCCUUAGUGCACGCUUCCGUUCCCUCUUGGGAAUAUGGGUUGCGUAUAUCAUGUUCACCGUUUUCACUUGUGGAGGGAACCUCUUCUGUCCUCCAAUGUUCGGCGGCCGAGGCUCCUCCUCGUCGUCGCUAUGGAGCCCCUUGUCCUUGUUUUUGGCAUUUAACUUGUCGGCCUGCUUGAAUACCCAGCAUUCUCUGUUGGUGUGAUUGGCUGGCUUAUCGGGGGUGCCAUGAAUUUUAACGAGCAAUCGAGUAUACGGUCCAAACUGGACGGGCCCGGAUUGCUUGUUUUGAACGGCUUCUUCCGCUGACCGGAUUUAGAGCCACUGAAUCCGGCAUUGACUGUCGUGUCUUCGGCGUUGUCGCCGUUGUUGUGGCGCUUGUGUCUGUUGCGACGUGGUCUGCCAAUAGUAUCUUUGGCGUCUGAAUUGCCGGGAUUUCUUGAUGUGCUGUUGCUGCGAGCUAGCCAGCUGUCCUCGCCCGCGCAAAAGCGGGUCAUGAGUGUCGUGAGGGCUGCCAUGGACUUCAGCUUCUCUUGGCCGCGGUGUCAGGCGAGCCACUCGUCCCGGAUGUUAUGUUUAAAUGCCGCUAAGGCCUCGGCAUCCGGACAGUCGACAAUUUGGUUCUUUUUAGUUAGGAACCGAGUACAGAAUUUCCUGGCCGAUUCCCCUGGCUGUUGGGUUAUGUGGCUCAAGUCAUCAGCAUCUGGUGGUCGCACAUAAGUGCCCUAGAAGUUGUCAAGGAAUGCGUCUUCCAAAUUCUCCCAACUGCCAAUGGAGUUUGCUGGCAGGCUAUUCAGCCAAUGUCGAGCUGGUCCUUUGAGUUUUAGUGGGAGGUACUUGAUGGCAUGUAGAUCGUCAUCGCGGGCCAUGUGGAUGUGGACGAGGAAAUCCUCGAUCCAUACCGCGGGGUCUGUUGUACCAUCAUAUGACUCAAUGUUCACGGGUUUGAAUCCUUCUAGGAAUUCAUGAUCCAUUACUUCAUCGGUGAAGCAUAGUGGGUGUGCAGCGCCUCUGUGCCGGGCUAUGUCACGACGCAGUUCAUACGAGUCUUGUCUGCUGUAUUCGGCCCCGCCGGAUUUGCUUUUAGUGUAUCCGGCAUGACGAUCAUCAUCACACAUUGGGGCGCGACCCCGUGAUCCGUAGAUCGAUCUUGUUUGUCCUGCUCUGUUUUCCUAUACGUCUCGCAGGUCCCGCGUGUUGCCCCAGGCCUUGGUAUUUAUGUUUGAAUGGCGGCGGGGUGCGGGCUGGACUUCGGGCUGAUAUGCCCCUCUGUCUCGGCCACGAGGUGGCCGAUCAGCCGCAUCAUACGCUGGUGAUGUAGGUUUUAAUGCUUCCUCCUCGAUUUGGGGUAGCAACCUGCGCUUUGGGUAACUCUUGGUUGGGCGCUCGAGUUCGUAUUCCUCUACCUCCAGGACUUCAGUCCAUCUAUCCGCUAGCAGAUAUUGAUCAGCUCGAAGCUGUUGUUGCUUUUUCUUCAGGCUGUUUGUUGUAGCUAUAAGCCGACGCUUGAAGCGCUCCUGCUUGACGGGAUCCUCAGGCACGAUAAAUUCUUCGUCGCCGAGGCUCACCUCGUCUUCGGAGAGAGGCAUGUAAUUGUCAUCCUCUGAUUCUCCGUCUGCUGCCUAUUCCGGAGGGCUAGCUUGUUCAUCCUCUCGCUCGAGGUCUGGCUGGAGGGGAUUGUCGUCGUCUUUGGCACUAUCCGGAGCGUUAUUGUCUCUUGUGCCGGUAUCGCUGCUUUUGCUAUGGCGGGACUUAGAGCGGCGCCGCUGACGUCGGUGCUUGGGUUGCUUCUUGGAGGGAUUAUCCUCGGUUGUCUUAUCGCCGUCGCCUUCUUUGGGGGUGUCCACCAUGUAUAUAUCAUAUGAUGAGGUGGCAGUCCAGCGCCCUGUGGGCGGUGGUUCCUGUUCGUCUCCUGUAUCGUCGUCCAUACCGUCGAUGUUUUCGGAGCCGAAAUCGAGCAUGUCGGUUAAAUCGUCGACAGUGGCUACUAAGUGGCUGGUGGGUGGGGAGCGAAUUUCUUCGUCGUCCGCAUCCCAUUCUAGCCAGACAUAGUUCGGCCAAGGGUCUCCUGACAAGGAGAGAGACCUCAAUGAGUUCAGCACGUCGCCCAGUGGUGAGUGCUGAAAGAUAUCCGCGGAGGAAAACUCCAUAAUCGGUGCCCAAUCAGAUUCGAUAGGCACAUACGCAGGCGGCUCAGAGCCCGUGGCCGGGGAUGAAUCCAGGUGUCCGGCGACACAGGUCUCAUAGGAGGUGAAGUCAGUAUUCGGCUCUAUCGCCACUCAGUGUGUGGCCUCCGAGGCGGGGUCCAUCCACCCGUCCUCGGACGGCGCAAUCGACUCCGGAUCUAGGGCCGGAGUAGCCAUGGGUGUGAUCUCCCGAACACCGUCCGGCGGCAGAGCUAAGUCGUGCUCGUCGUGACUGUGCGGCGCACCUGACAUGGGCUCGAAUCCGUCAAAGAUAAAGUCUCCGCGGAUGUUGGCACUGUAGUUUAAAUUUCCAAACCUGACCUGACAGCCAGGGGCGUAGCUCUCGAUCUGCUCCAGAUGGCCAAGCGAGUUGGCCCACAGUACGAAGCCGCCGAAUACAAAGAUCUGUCCGGGGAGGAAAACCUCACCCUGGAUCGCAUCGUUGGCGAUGAUUGAAGGAGCCAUCAAGCCUUUAUCGCGACGGCAGAGUGGAACUCUCAAUGAAAGCACCAAUGUCGGUGUCAAAACCGGCGGAUCUCGGGUAGGGGGUCCUGAACUGUGCGUCUAAGGCGGCUGGUAACAGGAGGCGGGGGACAUGAUGUUUACCCAGGUUCGGGCCCUCUCGAUGGAGGUAAUACCCUACUUCCUGCUUGAUUGAUCUUGAUGAUAUGAGUAUUACAAGAGUUGAUCUACCACGAGAUCGUAGAGGGUAAACCUUAGAAGCUAGCCUAUGGUAUGAUUGUUGUUGUCCUAGGGACUAAACCCUCCGGUUUAUAUAGACACAGGAGGGGGCUAGGGUUACACAGAGUCGGUUACAAGGGAGGAGAUCUACAUAUCCGUAUUGCCAAGCUUGCCUUCCACGCCAAGGAGAGUCCCAUCCGGACACGGGACGGAGUCUUCAAUCUUGUGUCUUCAUAGUCUAACAGUCCGCCUAAAGUAUAUAGUCUGGCUGUCCGAGGACCCCCUAAUCCAGGACUCCCUCAGGGUAUCCCUCACCGGUGGCCAUCUUCAUCAUCCCGGCGCUCUCCAUGACGAAGAGGGAGUAGUUCACCCUCGGGGCUGAGGGUAUGUACCAGUAGCUAUGUGUUUGAUCUCUCUCUCUCUCUCGUGUUCUUGAUUCAGCACGAUCUUGAUGUAUCAUGAGAUUUGCUAUUAUAGUUGGAUCUUAUGAUGCUUCUCCCCCUCUACUCUCUUGUAAUGGAUUGAGUUCUCCCUUUGAAGUUAUCUUAUCGGAUUGAGUCUUUAAGGAUUUGAGAACACUUGAUGUAUGUCUUGUCGUGCUUAUCUAUGGUGACAAUGGGAUAUCACGUGAUCCACUUGAUGUAUGUUUUGGUGAUCAACUUGCGGGUUCCGCCCAUGAACCUAUGCAUAGGGGUUGGCACACGUUUUCGUCUUGACUCUCUGGUAGAAACUUUGGGGCACUCUUUGAAAUACUUUGUGUUGGUUGAAUAGAUGAAUCUGAGAUUGUGUGAUGCAUAUCGUAUAAUCAUGCCCACGGAUACUUGAGGUGACAAUGGAGUAUCUAGGUGACAUUAGGGUUUUGGUUGAUUUGUGUCUUAAGGUGUUAUUCUAGUACGAACUCUAUGAUAGAUUGAACGGAAAGAAUAGCUUCAUGUUAUUUUACUACGGACUCUUGAAUAGAUCGAUCAGAAAGGAUAACUUUGAGGUGGUCUCGUACCCUACCAUAAUCUCUUCGUUUGUUCUCCGCUAUUAGUUACUUUGGAGUGACUCUUUGUUGCAUGUCGAGGGAUAGUUAUAUGAUCCAAUUAUGUUAUUAUUGUUGAGAGAACUUGCACUAGUGAAAGUAUGAACUCUAGGCCCUGUUUCCUAGCAUUGCAAUACCAUUUACGCUCACUUUUAUUAUUAGUUACCUUGCUGUUUUUAUAUUUUCAGAUUACAAAAACCUAUAUAUACCAUCCAUAUUGCACUUGUAUCACCAUCUCUUCGCCGAAUUAGUGCACCUAUACAAUUUACCAUUGUAUUGGGUGUGUUGGGGACACAAGAGACUCUUUGUUAUUUGGUUGCAGGGUUGUUUGAGAGAGACUAUCUUCAUCCUACGCCUCCCACGGAUUGAUAAACCUUAGGUCAUCCACUUGAAAGAAAUUUGCUACUGUCCUACAAAGCUCUGCACUUGGAGGCCCAACAACGUCUACAAGAAGAAGGUUUUGUAGUAGAUAUCAGGGGGAGGGGGGUGAAACCGCCCCGCCGCCGCCGUCCCCGAGCGCGGCGCGGCUUCGCUGGCCGGCCCUCCGGCGGCAGCGAUGCGGGGGGAGGGGGGCACUGGCGGAGGAAGGCUACCGGUGGCGAUGAAGGUUUCCCCCGUAUCGCCUGUUGCGGGCGACGCGGGGGCAGGGUUGACCAGCUCGAGGAUUUCGGCUGAGCUGUAGAACGUAUGAAAUAUUGAAGGAAAACAAAAACAUGAGAAUCAACAGAUAUUGGAGAAGUUGGUACAGAGUGGUACAUGGAAAGGAAAUUUUACUUUUACUGGAGGUUGAAUGAAGUUAUGUUUACACCUUCCAUUUCACUUUGUGGGCACUCCGAAGUUGCAAAGAAAAAAUAUAUAAAAUAUCAUCAUUCGUACGCAUUUAUAUGCAGGUAAUGAAAAUGGCUCCACCUAAUUAUAAGAUUAUUAAGCACUUUUAGUACCCGGGAGUCCCUGGUACUGUGAAGAUGAUAUUAAGACUAAUUAAUGGACAUGGAUUUGUUCUGAUCACACAAAGAUAGCUCAAACACCCAUCCGCUUACUUGCUUGCAUUUCAAAAGAUUGAUAACCACAUUUCAUCAUUUUUCCCCACUUCUCCACCUUGCUGGUGAUAUAUAUCCAGCUUCCGCAUAUAUGAUAUUUUUCACUCUAGCACUUUCAGCUUCUUUUUGAAAUGAAGAGUACUUUUCUUGCUGAUGCAGCAACAAUAGUAAGUCAGAGCUUUCUUAGGCCUUGUACAAUGCAAGGUGCUUUGAGAAAUAAACUAGGCUUUCCUUAAGCACCGAUACUUAUUUGUACAGGAUACUUUAUUAAUUUUUCUCACAAGAUCUUACAAAGUCAUACAACAGUAAGACUAAAGCCGCCGUCUAAGCAACAAACUGUCGCUACACCUAUCCAGUUGAUGAAGGGACGCAGAUAGCCUGGGCCUAAUACCAAACAGACAUCGCAUCCAAGCCUAACAUCUAAGACCUGAGACCCCAACCUAGCCACUUGCCGGGUCUGGGGCACACACUGGUCCGGCGUGCUCUCAGAGGCCGCCGCCGCCAACUGCCACCGCUCCAUCUUCAGAAUUGUACUGAUGCAUCAACCUUACUCGGUCUAGCUAUCGUCGACGCCACCACUGCGCCCAGCGGCACCUCCUCCCUGCCCGCAAACAACUGAGCACAUCGCGGUCGCCACUGAUACACCUCAGCACCAUGCUGCCAAGUACCACCAGCUGACACAGCUUGAAGUCCUUGGAAGAUCUUUCAUGCGUAGCACCUGCCGACCAAGUAUGACAAAGUGUAGCACCUGUCGGUCAGGCAUGACUUGACAUCUCCACCGAAGCUCCGUGCAAGACGAAGCCGCUCCACCUCCUGCCUCUGACUUCCAGCGCUGCUCCACAAACGAUGCUCCCAAGAGAGAAACGAGACAGCGGUGCCACAAUCGUCCGAUCUGGAACACCAGAUCCUAGAGUUUCCCGUGGAGCAGCACGAGUGGGUCGACAGUAGUUACACGAUGAUGCCUCCAUCAAGGUAACGACGAGAACGCCGCCAUCGCCUACCGUCGGCUCGAUUUUCACCGGCAACCAUGUCUCCCCUACUCGCAGUCGGGACUAGAUGAUGGAUCUCGAGAUCCGAUCACCAAGCCUCUGGCCGGCCAUCUCUGGAAGAAGAUGACCACCACGUCCACCAGCGUCACCACACCGGGCACGCGUUGCCGCCGGCACCCCCAUGGUGCCUAGAGGCCGACAAGCCCCGACGAACACCACGCCUCGCCAGCCGCCAUAGCCCAGGCCCAAGCACCACCAGAUCCAGAUCAGAUCGGGGUCAAGGGCCCCAAGCCGCAGCCGUCGCGGAGGCAGCACCACUAGACGGUGCCCUGCCCUCCACCCCGCUGUAGGAUCGAGUCAUCGCCGGAGCUCCGCCACGCCACGCCGCCAAGACGCCGCCGGAAGAACUCGCGCCGCCGCUAGGGGAGAGAGAGACGCGCUAGGGAGAGGCCCCGCCGCUGGCACUGCCUUGGCUUUGCCCGGCUGUGUCCCUCGGCGGCGGCGAGGGGGGAGGGAGGGUGGAGGAGGGCCGGCGGCGGAGGGGGCUAGGGUUCCCCCGAGUCGCCUCAGAGAGGGACGCAGGCGACGGGGUGAGAAAACUGAGAGAGUGGAUAUGGCCUUUACUCGAGCUCAUGGGGUGGCCCGACUGCUGGUGAGUGUUCUCGAUAUUGAGUUCGUGCCUGAUGUGGUUAAGUGGACAUAUAGGGGACAGAUUUUCAACCUCGAGAUUGAGUUUGAGGAUGCCGCUCUCUUCGCUGAGGCUAUCAAUGGGACUGAUGUAGAUAUGCACGAGGGUGAUGACAGCUCGGGUGCUAAGGAGGCACCGGUUGAUGAUGUUGGACGAGAGUUGUCCAACUAAUCGGGGCCCGUUCCUCAGACGCCCAGGGACGGGACGGCACCAUCCUCUUCGGUGCCUAUGAGUUCUCUGAGAUUUGGGUCGUUUGAGCCAGCUUCUGCUCCUCCCAGACUCUGGAGUGACCGGGUGGAGUCCGAUGACGUGUUUGAGCGCACGCUACCUACCCUGGAUUUUGUUGCUGCUGAUAGUCCCGUGCUUGGAGGUUUGGAGGGGAUUAUCUCUGUGCAGACCUCGGUAAGGGGAGGGGAGGCGGAGCUUGGGCAGGUGGCCCCUCUUUCCCCCGCUCUCCCUGCGGUGUCACCUCGGGAGACGGAGUCGACUAUGGAGGCUGUCCCUAGGGAGGGAGUCCAUGGCAGGUGGCCUCGGCUCCUUCUUCUCUUCUCGCGGUGCCGGAGCUGCAGAUGGCGGUUGUGCUUAGGGGAGGCGGUCCAGGGCAGGUGGCCUCGGCCCCCUCUUCACCUCUGGCGGCUAGGGAGGCCACACCCCCUAUGGCGCCGGAGACCUCUUCUAGCCAGAGGGCUGGGGCGGGAGGAGCGUACGGGCAGGCGGCCCACGCGCUUCCCUCUCCCGGCGCGCCAACGUCCCAGGGCCUCGGUUCGAGGUGGACGUCAGUGGGGCCGGGGAGGUCCCCGCCGCUGCCCCCGGCAGCUCCCGCCGACUCUUCGACGUGUGCAGCUUCGCGGUGUGCUGGGGGUGAGGCCGGUGGCUUUACUCCGAGCGGGGUCACUCGGGAGGAGGUCAUCGCCUUUGGAGGGAUUCUAGAUCCUGUCUCUGCGGGGCGACGGAUGAGCUGUCGUCUCUAGGAUCAUCCGGAGGUUGAUGACAUGCAGCAGCGGUGCGCCAUGAGGGCGGCCAAGCUUCGUGACAUUGAGGUCACUACUGGUAUGUCGGUCAACACUUCUAAUUCCAUUCUGCAUUUUUCUAAUAAUGAGAUUAUUAAUAAUUCAAAUCAAUUGGGAGUUUCACUAGGUAGUAAUGAUAGUGAAAUUUCUAACUUUGUAAAUGAUAUCCUGGAUUUGGAAGCGGAACGCGCUUUAGAAAUGAUUCAAAACUUAGCAGCGGUUAAACCCAUGAAUGAUGCAGAUAUCGAUGCGUUGGGGGUCAGGGUGCUCGAUAAUUUUUGUGCAGAUCUUGCACCAUCCAUUCCUGAGUCAGAGGAAGAGGAUAACACUUUUGAGGCUGCCGUAGAUCGAUCCAUGGAGCCCGGUUGUGAGGACUGGGUGGAGGAUCAAAACAAACCUAAACGCAAGUGGAAGCGGAAGAUCUACCCUGCUUCGGCGGUGCGUAGGAGUGCUAGGAUCCGUACUAUUAAAACAUUUCAUGAUGAAAUAUGAAAGGAAUCUUUUGGAAUAGCAGAGGUCUGAAAGACUUGGCUAAAAGAAGGUUUCUUGCAGAUGCGUCUAUCGAGCAUAGGUUGGAUUUUAUCACUCUCUCGGAAACUGGUAGAGAUAAUUUUUCGCCCCAGUUUCUCAGUACUUUAUCGGGAGGUGUUGAUUUCAAUUGGCACUGCCUGCCUCCGAGAGGAAGAUCGGGUGGGAUCUUACUUGGAGUGAGAUGCGAUUCGCUAGAAGUCUGAAGUGUAGUGAUGGGAGAUUUCACAAUUAAGUUCCGGGUUAGGUCGAAAGCCAACGGGUUUAAUUGGGCUCUGAUGGCGGUUAUGCUCCCGCGCAGCCCGAUCUCAAACCAGAGUUCUUGGCGGAUCUUGUUCAAAUUUGCGGCUCUGAGCAGCUCCCAAUCCUGGAUGGGGGUGAUUUCAACAUCAUUAGGAGGAGAGAGGAAAAGAAUAAUGAUAAUUUCGACGGCAGGUGGUCGUUUAUGUUUAAUACCAUUAUUGAAAGCUUGGAUCCUAGAGAGAUAGAGCUUUCGGGUAGAAAAUUCACCUGGGCUAAUACUUUGCCAAAUCCGACGUUUGAGAAGCUGGAUCGAGUCCUAGUGAGCGUCGAAUGGGAACAGAUAUUUCCUUUGGUAACGGUCCAGGCUCUUUCGCGUGGUAUUUCUGACCACACGCCUUUAUUUGUGGACUCUGGUGAGCCAACCCACAUGGGGAACAAAAACUCCUUUUCUUUCGAGCUGGCAUGGUUUGAACGAGAAGGCUUCUUGGAUAUGAUAGCCAGGGAAUGGGCUAAGGAUGCAGGAGGUAGGACUUCGAUUGAGCGCUGACAGAAUAAGAUAAGGCACUUGAGAAGUUUCUUGCGUGCGUGGGCUAAGCAUCUUAGUGGGGUUUAUAAGGUCGAAAAGGAAAGGCUCCUUACACUUAUUCAGUCUCUAGAUUUAAAAGCCGAGUCCACAAUUUUGCAAGCCACAGAGCUUCAUGAUAAACUGGAGGCGGAGAUGAGAUUGAAAGAGCUUCUCCGUGAAGAGGAAUUAAAGUGGGCGCUGCGGGCUAAGGUUCGCAAAGUUGUCCAGGGGGACGCGAAUACUCAAUUCUUUCACAUGAUCGCUAAUGGCAAGCACAGAAAGAAUAGAAUCUUUCAGCUUGAACCAAGAUGAAGGAACGAUUUUAGGACAGGAAAACCUAAAAUUAUACAUAACCGAAUACUACAAGCAGUUGUUUGGGCCUCUGGAGGAUAAUUGUGUAUCCCUGGAUGAGUCUAGGAUUGAGGAUGUGCCUCAACUUACUGCUGAUGAGAAUGAUAUUUUGAUUGCCCCUUUUUCGGGGAAAGAGGUGUUUGAAGCCAUUACACAGAUGAAAAACAAUAAGGCUCCAGGGCCGGAUGGAUUUCCGGCGGAAUUCUAUAAAAAGUGUUGGCAUAUUAUUAAGGGGGAUUUGCAACCAAUGUUCCAUGAUUUAUUCUCUGGACAGCUUCAGUUAUUUCACUUGAACUUUGGAAUGAUAACAUUGCUUCCUAAGAAAACAAAGGCUGUGAGAAUUGAGCAGUUCAGGCCGAUCUGUCUUCUCAAGGUUAGUUUCAAAAAUUUCACAAAGGUUGGGACUAAUAGGCUCACGCAGACUGCGCAUUCUGUGGUGCAGCAUUCCCAAACUGCUUUCAUGCCGGACAGAAACAUCCUAGAAGGGGUUGUGGUCCUUCAUGAAACGCUCCACGAAAUUCACACGAAAAAACUAGAUGGAGUUGUUUUCAAGGUGGAUUUCGAGAAAGCGUACGAUAAAGUCAAAUGGCCUUUCCUUCAACAGGCCUUACAUAUGAAAGGUUUUGAUGAAGCCUGGCGACGCCAGGUAGAAUCUUUCACGCAAAAAGGGAGUGUUGGAAUUAAAGUGAAUGACGACAUAGGUCAUUAUUUCCACACACAUAAGGGCCUGAGACAAGGGGUUCCGAUGUCUCCUAUUUUGUUCAACAUUGUAGUUGAUAUGUUGGCAAUUCUAAUAGGAAGGGCUAAGGAGGUUGGUCAGGUGGGUGGCUUGGUGUCUCAUCUAGUUGAUGGAGGUGUGUCUAUCCUACAGUACAGCGAGAAAUAUGAAGCUGGUGUUAUGCUUAUUUGAACAAUUGACCGGGUUAAAGAUUAACUUUCACAAAAGCAAAUUGUUCUGCUUUGGAAGAGCCAAUGAGGAACAAGAGGCUUAUAGGCAAUUGUUUGGGUGCGAAUUGGGGACCUUACCAUUUACGUAUUUAGGUAUACCAAUUCACCAUCGUAAGCUGACAAACACAGAAUGGAAGUGUAUCGAGGAUCUCUUUGAGAAGAAACUGAGUUGCUGGAAGGGCAAGCUCAUGUCAUACGGAGGCCGAUUAAUUCUGAUUAAUUUGGUUCUCACGAGUAUGCCUAUGUUUCUCUUGUCUUUGUUCGAAGUCCCAGUUGGAGUUAGGAAAAGGCUGGACUUCUAUCGAUCCCGAUUCUUCUGGCAGAGCGAUGAACUAAAAAGAAAAUACAGACUCACCAAAGGGAUAUUAUCUGUCGACCGAAAGACCAAGGGGGUCUUGGCAUUGAAAAUCUUGAGGUCAAGAACAGAUGUCUUCGCAGCAUGUGGCUGUCUAAGUUAUCUGUAGAGAUCGAUGCCACAUGGGCGCAGAUUCUUAGUAGUAAGUAUCUUCAUUCCAAAACUUUGUCCCAGGUGACAGCGAGGCCGACAGACUCACCUUUUUGGAAAGGGCUUAUGAUAGUCAAAUUAGCCUUUUUUAAUAGGACAAAGUUUAUUAUCGUCAAUGGCGCUAGCACGCGAUUCUGGGAGGAUACUUGGCUCGGAGAGACCCCCUUGCACUUCAAUACCCGUCUCUGUAUCGUAUUGUUCAACGACGUGAUGCUUUCGUUGCAACGAUACUUCAAUCCAUCCCCCUUAAUAUUUAGGUCAGGAGGACGCUAGCCGGUAAUCGUUGGGAAGAGUGGCUCCAUCUAGUGAGUAGACUGAUGGAGGUUCAGCUGUCUCAACAGCCCGAUCAAUUACGCUGGAAACUUACUAGGUCUGGAGAGUGUACAGUUAAAUCAAUGUAUCUCGAUGUGAUCAAUUCUAGCUCUAUUCCUAGUUCCAAAUAUGUUUCGACAGUCAAAGUUCCAUUGAAAAUUAAAGUGUUUACGUGGUUUGUACAUAAACAAGUCAUCUUAACCAAGGACAAUUUGGCAAAGCGUAACUGGACAGGACCUACUAAGUGUAGUUUUUGUGAUCGGGAUGAAACUAUCAAACACCUUUUUCUUGAUUGCUCGAUGGCCAAAGUUCUAUGUCGGACAGUCCACAUAGCCUUUGACAUUUCCGAGUUCUGUUAGCACGUUAUUUGGAACGUGGCUUAAUGGGAUAGAGUCCGAAACAGCGAGACACAUUCGCGUAGGAGUAUGUGCUUUAUUGUGGGCAGUCUGGAACUGCAGAAAUGAUUUGGUUUUUAACAGAACAACAAAUAUUCAUUUUUUGCAGGUUAUCUUCCAAGCCACUGCGUUGAUCCGUACGUGGUCACUACUCACUCCGACGGAGGCCAGGGAGCGUUUGGUUACUGGAUCUAUCCGGUGGGAGAUGGUAGCACGGGAUAUCUUCAACCGGUUUGAAUGGCGGUCAUGUAAUAGGAUAGGCAAUUAGUUUACCUAUCUUUCUUAUGCCGGCCGAUUGUGGCUUUUUGGCUAGUUUGUUAUUGGCCCUUUGGCUCUUUAUGAGCUUUCCUUUACUUUCGUUUGAGACUUUAAGACCUUGUUAAACCUAUUUGCUUUUUUAUAAAGUUGGCCGUAUGCAUCGUUCUGAUGCAGAGGCCGGGGAGCCCCCACUUUUCGAAAAAAAACCUCUUGUUAUCUUGUAUUCUUGUGUGACAAUGCUCGAAGAAUAUAAAAGGGCUAGGUGGAAAGACCCCCAUAUCGAAAACUUGCCUACCUACGAGUUUUAUAGACACAGAGCCUCAUUGGAUUGUACUAGAUGGAGCCUCCAGUGAGAGCUGAAGACGAGGCGAUGAGCACGGAGGAGCUGCUCCAAGCCCAGACGGAUCUCUACCACCACUCCCUAGCCUACAUCAAAUCUAUGGCGCUCGGUGCCGCCACAGAACUCAGCGUCGCCGACGCCAUCCACGGCCGUGGCGGUGCCAUCACCUUGUCUGACCUUGCGGCCGCGACCGGCGUCCACCCGACGAAAGUCCAACACUUCGGGCGGCUGAUGCGCGCGCUUACCGUCACUGGUGUCUUCACCUCGGAAGAAAAAGAAGGCGGUGGUGGUGCCCUGUACAAGCUCACUCGGAUUUCACGCCUCCUUCUCGGAGUCGGCAAGCGUCGGCUCUCCCCGAUGGUGCGUAUGCUUGUCAGCGAGGUCAGUUUCACUACUCCCAUGAGCAUCUGCGAGUGGAUCACCACUGAGACGCCGGCCAGGGCCAUGUUCGAGGCCCAUUUUGGCUCUACGCAAAAUGGGUUGUGGGAGAAGGACGACGCGUAUGGUGCCCCCUUCUACUCAGCAAUGGCUGCGGACAGCCGUCUCGUCAUGGAGGUUCUGCUGAGAGAGUGCAGCAGCGUCUUUGAGGCCGUUGCCGGCUCACUUGUCGAUGUCGGCGGCGGCAGCGGAGGAGUCGUGGCUGCCGCCAUUGCCACAGCGUUCCCUCACAUCAAGUGCUCCGUGCUGGACCUCCCCAACGUGGUAGCCGCGGCUGACGACACCACCAACGUGCAGUUUGUCUCCGGCGAUAUGUUUGACUACAUUCCACCAGCGGAUGCCGUUCUACUCAAGGUACGUACUUACAUAGUACUCCCUCCGUAAGGAUAUAUAAGAGCAUUUAGAUCAUUAUUAUUUUAGUGAUUGAUCCAAACGCACUUAUAUUUCUUUACAGAGGGAGUAGCACAUACAAAUGCAGCAAGCUAUCCAUUUCUUAUAUAUAUAAUGAACCAAAUUAAUCAACCAAUCCUUCCUAUAAAUUUUGUAGUGGAUUUUGCAUGACUGGGAAGACCAAGACUGCGUCAAGAUACUGCGCAAGUGCAGAGAGGCCAUCCGCACAAGAGGUGCUGGGGGGAAGGUGAUUAUAAUCGAUUUCGUCGUCGGUGCUGGUUCUUGCAAGGAGACGGAGACACAGGUUCUGUUUGAUCUUUACAUGAUGAUGGAGAAUGGGGCUGAGCGGGACGAGCAAGAGUGGAGCAAGAUUUUCUUUGAAGCUGGAUUUAGUGACUACAAGAUCAUGCCAGUCUUAGGCGCUCGUUCACUCAUUCAAGUAUUCCCAUGAAUUCUGGCGGUUUGAUGUCCAAAUGUACUUCCUGUUUCCAAAUGUUUGUUUGCUUUCACAUCAGAAUAAUGCCUAGGACUAUACUAUAUAGUCUCGACUUUGAAUCUGAAUAAUGAAACUGUUUGUUAUCCUACGUGUUGUUUUCGUUCAUAAUUCAUAUGCUCACAAUGAAAUACAGUCUGCUAUUUUUGUUUACAUUAAAUUAUACUUUACCUAGCAAUAUGGUAAACAGGCUCACUUAGCAGAGGCUGGCUUGUUCGCUUAUUCGCCGCCCUAGGAAUGCGAGCUCCUUGCCGAAAUGAAAUUCUAGUAGCACUGGUUACUAUCGGGUCCUGCAUGUUCGUCAUUUGUGCAAGUAAACACAAUGCAUACGAGUACUCUACUGAAUUGAACUUUUUUGUAUUGUUUUCAUUGGACCAUCCACUGUAUAGUAACAGAGUAUUUAUUGCACACAGACUAUUUUAUUCUUUCAACCCAUAGUUCAUCCACCCACACUUUUAGUCUGAUUCUAAAAUUUGUAACACUUUUAAAUUUUGAACUUGUUCUGAACAAGUAAAAUUCCAAAUUUGACACCAUAAUGAAACUUAUGUCAAAUGUGAGAUCAUAUGAAAUGAAACUGAAGUGAACCAAUAAUAAAAAAUGCAAAAAUAAUUUAAUAAACCAUAAUAAAACUUAUAUCAAAUUUGAGAUGAAACAUAGACGAAUUGUGGAUUGAAACAAUAACGAAAACAAGCUAAGGGGAAUCUAUGAAUAAAUAAUGAGAACAUGUAAAAUUACGAUGACACGGAAAUGAUAUCGUAUGGAAAAUAUGCUAAGAGAACACUUUCAUUGGCCAGCCCAACCAUGAAAGGUAAUUUAACAAAAUGAUAUGAAACUUAUUUGAAAGCUCGAAAAAUAGAAAUAAAACCAGAAUGAAAAUAAUAAUGAAACAUGUAAAAAUACGAUGAAACACAUAUGUAAAAAUAAGGCCGCGAGAUCGUCGUCCUCUGAGUUGGAAGUUUAUGGUGAAGGUGACGUGGGAUCCAUUGCAGGCGCGCCCGGGGUCUGGUGUGGUUGUGGAACACAUAUGUGGAGAUCAUAGUAGCGGUGAAUGACGAACGUGAGCGCUCCGAAGAAUAUGGUGCAGGAAGGAGAAGUCGGUCUGUUAGUGUAGAACCGGCCUUCUGCGAUGAAGGUGAGGAAGCCGAUGGUUAAGCCGUGAGAUUGCCAGCCGUUAUUGAGGAUCUGAUCUAGAGUCGGUCCCCAGCUGACAUAGCCCCUUCCUGUGCUAACUGAUGGUAUGGGAAUUUGCGAGUAUCCUUUGUAGGGUGGCGAACAUGUCCGGAAGUACAAGAAGGGAGUUCGCCAAGGGGGUUUUCCAGAUUUGCGCCCUCAUGGCGAGGAAAUACCUUACGUCCUGCUAUUUGUUUUCUAUUGAUGAUGGAGAACGUUGAGCGAGGGGUUACAAGGGACAUAAAUAUGGCCAUAGGAGUAUAGUCUACGGGAGUAGAUUGGAAUCGCUACCCCUAUCCUCACCUUAUAUAGGUGACGGGGCUAGGUUUUACAUGGCGCCUACAUGAUCUCACACUGCCAUCAUCUUGGCUUCCACCCAAGAUGGUCUUCUGGCUUCCAGGACCCCCGGGCUGUCUCUUGAUGCCAGACCUCCUUCAAGACUUUUGGGCCCGAAGGCCGGCCCACUAUUGGGUUCAUAUCUAGUGUGCCAUCCACGUUGUAAUGCACCAUCACCAACCCCGAUUUCUGGGGCCUUAAGAGUGAAGCGAUUCCUAAUUCUUCUUGGUAACAUGCCAAAGUGUUGUGUCCCAAAGGCUCGACUGGGUAUUUUCGUCAUUGCGGUUGAUAUGGAGAAGGGGUGGGUCGCAUGGAGGCAGAAAUGGGUAAAUGAAGACAGAAACGAGGGGCUGGCCUGACAGUGGUUCAUGUAGACGACGAGCAAGAGCAUGUGGCCAAUUUUUCCGCAAGCGUUAGAAGCAUAGCCAUAAUUCCAGAAAUUUUAGUGGCGGCAACUGAAUUUGCCCUAUUAUAAGAAGGUAUUGCCCCACAACGGUGCGCACACGGGUGACCUUCCUCUUGGUCCAAUGACAGGUGGGCCAUGGACUCGCCGGGGGCCAUAUUAAUGGGACAUUGUCUAUCGUGCUCUUGUGAUUUCUCUCUCGGGUGAUGGGCGGGCUAGACCCACCUGUCGGUUUUUUCGGACACCGUUGGGCUGGCUCAGGUGUGCCAGGGGGCCAGGUCAGACUGUGGUGGGCCUAGACCCCGGCGGGUGUGCGUCGUUCAGGAUGGCCGGCCACGCGGGUGUGCCAUGCUGUUUGAUCGCGAGAGCUGGCAAAGCACGGGCACCAGGUUGUUCGGCUUGUGUGAGCGAAACAGGCGACGGUGAGUCUAUCGUCCAAGAGACGGGCCGAAUAUACCGACAGGCGGAUCAGGCUUCCUGCUCUUGUGCAAUACGAUGAGAAAGGGUUCUCGCGGGAGCACCGAGGCCGCUCCAUGAGAGUGGCCCUGCACGCACCCGCGGUCCACCCGUCAUGGACCCCCGAGUGCACGUCCACUAGUUGAAAACGGAGUUUUAUCACCGGUUCGUAAGGGCCUUUAGUGCCGGUUCUGCAACCGGCACUAAAGAGUGGGGACUAAAGGUCCCCCUUUAGUACCGGUUUGGCACGAACCGGCGUAAACGUGCCACCACGUGGCACGAGCCAGGCCUGGGUGCGUGUAGGACAUUAGUACCGGUUGGUAACACAACCGGUACUAAAUGUUUGGGUGUGUUUUGGUUUUAAUUUUUAUUUUUCCUUUAGUUUUGUGUUUUCAAUUUAAUUUAGUGAUUGUUUUACAUUAUAAUGAGUUGUUAAAUCAUUAGGUGAAAGUACCGCAGAUUAGUUUCGACUGGAUGCAUGUGGAUCCUAGCUAAGUGAUAAAGUAUAUGCCAUAUCCAUAUUACUUAGAUCUAAGUAAUAUGGAUAUGGCAUAUAGUUGAUCACUUAGCUAGGAUCCAUCCAGUUGAAACUAAUAUGCGGUUUCUUUCAUAAAUGAUAUAAUAACUCAUCAUCAUCAUCAUCAUAUUAAUAUAAAAACUCUUGCAUCAUAUCAUCACCAACAACAGUAUAUACUAGCUAGCAAAGAUAUCAUCGAGUUCAACAUGGUCAUGAUAUUAUAAGCAUUCAUAACACCACAAAAGCAAAUCACUCUUUGAGAUUAAGUUCAUGACGAAGAACACGGACACGCAUGAGAGGACAAGAAGUACUAAGAGCAUGAUAACUAGCUAAAUCACUCCUGCUGCUCUCUCUCAGGUAAAAUAGCAUAGAACAUGUAUAGCUCUCCUGAUUCAUCAUAUUGGAUCAUGCAGAUGAACCUGUCUCCUAAUCGUGGGCUGCGCUUCUGAUUGCUGCCCCCUAGUACUUCUUUGCGAUCGUUAACAAUUUUGCUCCAAUCUUUCACUAUUAAGCAUUCAUCGCUUUCAGAAAUUCUGAAUGCACUCAUGUGCACUGUAGGAUAUCUUGGCCGUAAGCUAACAAUUGACAUGCGACCUUUAGUCUUGAUCCACUGAGGCACAACUAUUAAGCAUUCAUCGCUUUCAGAAAUUCUGAAUGCACUCAUGUGCACUGUAGGAUAUCUUGGCCGUAAGCUAACAAUUGACAUGCGACCUUUAGUCUUGAUCCACUGAGGCACAACUGUCAUCGGGAGUCCCUGUUGAAGAACAUCGUAUAGUAAUUAAUAUACUUAGCAAUGAAAGUUUAGCUUGAAAAAUAAUGUAUGCAAAAGAUGCACUGAGGACUAAUAGUAAAAAUCUUACCAUCUUUCCUAAAUACAUGUGACCGUAGUUCAAUACGAUCACUAUUGGUCGCACGUUUUGAGUACUAAGAUUUUCAAAUUCAGGAAAAUGAUUUCUCUUAACAGCAUCAAGAUCCUCAAGCCAUGAAACAUAAUGACUUAUCUCCUCGCAGUUUAGUUCAGCCCCGGGACAGUGGAUGGUCCUGUCUACCAAGCGCCGAACAUGUUUGCUUGAAUCAAAAUAAGCUGUCAAUAGAAAUUACUUGUCAACUAUUUUUGAAUAAACAAUAUCGAAGACAUAAAUAUGGUUGAGAAACUCACAUAAUGGUAGAACUGGAGGCAUCUGCACAUCGACCCAGAUAUCUCUAUUACCUUCAAUAUCAUCUUCCGGACGAAUAUCAAAGGUGAUAACCAUAUCAGGCUCAAAUGCAUAAGUCUUGCAUAGUGCUUGCCAAGUUUUGCAUUCAAAAUAGGUGUAUGUGUCUGCAUUGUAUAAUUUGACGUUGAAAGUAUAACCAUGCUCGGUCUUCAGGUAAACUCUCUUUGCCUCCAUAGUUUCCAUAGCACUGAAACCUAUCUUAUCCAAGACAAAAAUUCUUGCAUGGCAGGGGAUGCGCUACUACAAUAGUGAAAAUUAAAAAUUAUAAGUUGAAGCAAAUGAAGCAUAAGUCAUGCUUAAUUAUGAAAAAAGACUUGUCGUUGUGACUUACUGUAUCCACUUCGAAGGUCUCAUCCAGCUUGAUGCUGAAGCGCCUAUCAUCAACAAGGAAAUUUCUGUCGCACAGGCCGCGCUGGUCUUCACAGUAUUCGCACUUAAUGAAAUCUUUUUCGUCGUCAGACGACAUUUCCUAUGUUCAUAUAGGUGAAACAUUAAACACUUACUAGUUCUAUUAAUUCAACUAGUUCAACUACUUCUAUUAAUUCAACUAGUUCUAUCAAUUCAACUAGUUCUAUUAAUUCAACUAAUUCAACUAAGCAUUUACUAAAAAUAAACUAGUUCUAUAUAUAUAUAUAUAUUAAUAUUUUAAUUAGAUCAUCAAAUCUCAAAUACCUAAAUUUUCUUACUAAAAAUAAACCAGUUCUAUUAAUUCAACAAAUUCAACUAAGAAUUUACUAAAAAUGAACUAGUUAUAUUAAUUUUCUUACUAAAAUAUAUAAAGUAGCUAUGUAUAGUAAUAUUUUAAUUAGAUCAUCAAAUCUCUUAUACCUAAAUUUUCUUACUAAAAAUAAACNNNNNNNNNNNNNNNNNNNNNNNNNNNNNNNNNNNNNNNNNNNNNNNNNNNNNNNNNNNNNNNNNNNNNNNNNNNNNNNNNNNNNNNNNNNNNNNNNNNNNNNNNNNNNNNNNNNNNNNNNNNNNNNNNNNNNNNNNNNNNNNNNNNNNNNNNNNNNNNNNNNNNNNNNNNNNNNNNNNNNNNNNNNNNNNNNNNNNNNNNNNNNNNNNNNNNNNNNNNNNNNNNNNNNNNNNNNNNNNNNNNNNNNNNNNNNNNNNNNNNNNNNNNNNNNNNNNNNNNNNNNNNNNNNNNNNNNNNNNNNNNNNNNNNNNNNNNNNNNNNNNNNNNNNNNNNNNNNNNNNNNNNNNNNNNNNNNNNNNNNNNNNNNNNNNNNNNNNNNNNNNNNNNNNNNNNNNNNNNNNNNNNNNNNNNNNNNNNNNNNNNNNNNNNNNNNNNNNNNNNNNNNNNNNNNNNNNNNNNNNNNNNNNNNNNNNNNNNNNNNNNNNNNNNNNNNNNNNNNNNNNNNNNNNNNNNCUGGGGCGGCGAUGGGGGCGGCGACGACGGCGGCGACGACGACGGCGACAGGAUGGGCUGGGGCGCGAUAGGGGCGGCGACGGGGGCGAAGAACAAACUGAAACGAACUGAAAAUAUUCGUAAGUGGUGCUUAUAUAGCGGUGGCCAUUAGUACCGGUUUGAUACUAAAGGCCUAUUUUGGCCAGGCCAAGAGGCGGGAAGAGCAGGCCUUUAGUACCGGUUGGUGGCUCCAACCGGUACUAAAGACCCACCUUUAGUACCGGGUUGGGCUACCAACCGGUACUAAAGGGGGUGCGCUGCCACCCGCGGUGUAGAAAGUUUAGUCCCACCUCGCCGGGCGAAGGGCAGCCGCACUGGUUUAUAAACCCAGCCGCGGCUGCUACUUUGAACUCCCUUGUAAAGCAGGCUUCUGGGCCUAACUAUGGCACGCUGCCCUGUGAGCCUGCUGGCCCUUGUGGGCCUGAAUUUCCACGCCCGUGGUCUUGUAGGCCCAUUGGGAAGCGCCCCAAUAAUUUUUUAUAUAGUUUGUUUCUUUUCUUCUUUAUUUAUUUUCUUCUAUUUAUUUCUGAGUAGUUUUUUAUAUAGUUUUUUCUUUUCUGCUUUUUUUUAUUUUCUUCUAUUUAUUUCGGAUUAGUUUUUUAUAUAUUUUUUUCUUUUCCCCAAAUCGGUAAAUGACUGAAAAAUAGCAAAUGUUGUCAGAAAGUGUUGAAAAUUGAUGACGUCGCUUUGAAUGGUGUGUAUGGAACGCAAAAAAGUCUGGAGUUGUAAUAAGUUUAAAAAAAUGAAGUGCCCAUGUAACAGAUGAGUUCUCGUCAGAAACCCUGAUACUACAAAAAAGAUAGUCCAGUUUGUACACGAAGUGCGUCCAGUUUUUGCCAUAACCCUCUCUACUCUUUUGCACAUGCUAUGUGGGUGAAAUGAUGAUACCAUGCCAAGUUUUGACAUUUUCAGAGUUUAUUUUGUAGUGAUUUUCAAUUUCACGGUCAUUUAACUCUCUAAACAAAUCGGUAAAUGACUGAAAAAUAGCAAAUGAUGUCAGAAAGUGUUGAAAAUUGAUGACGUCGCUUUGAAUGGUGCGUACGGAACGCAAAAAAGUCUGGAGUUGUAAUAAGUUUAAAAAAAUGAAGUGCCAGUGUAACAGAUGAGUUCUCGUCCGAAACCCUGAUACUCCGAAAGAGAUUGUCCAGUUUGUACACGAAGUGCGUCCAGUUUUUGCCGUAAUCCUCUCUACUCUUUUGCACAUGCUGUGUGGGUGAAAUGAUGAUACCAUGCCAAGUUUCGACAUUUUCAGAGUUCAUUUUGUAGUGAUUUUCAAUUUCACGGUCAUUUAGCUCUCUAAACAAAUCGGUAAAUGACUACAAAAGUGCAAAUAAUGUCAGAAAGUUUUGAAAAAUGAUGACGUCGCUUUGAAUGGUGUGUACGGAACGCAAAAAAGUCUGGAGUUGUAAUAAGUCUGAAAAAUCGAAGUGCCAAUGUAACAGAUGAGUUCUCGUCAGAAACCCUUAUACUUCGAAAGAGAUUGUCCAGUUUGUACACGAAGUGCGUCCAGUUUUUGCCGUAACCCUCUCUACUCUUUUGCACAAGCUAUGUGGGUGAAAUAAUGAUACCACACCAAGUUUCGACAUUUUCAGAGUUGAUUUUGUAGUGAUUUUCAAUUUCACGGUCAUUUAGCUCUCUAAACAAAUCGAUAAAUGACUGAAAAAUAGUAAAUGAUGUUAGAAAGUGUUGAAAAUUGAUGACGUCGCUUUGAAUGGUGCGUACGGAACGCAAAAAAAGUCUGUUGUUGUAAUAAGUUUAAAAAAAUGAAGUGCCAGUGUAACAGAUGAGUUCUCGUUCGAAACCCUGAUACUCCGAAAGAGAUUGUCCAGUUUGUACACGAAGUGCGUCCAGUUUUUGCCGUAACCCUCUCUAAUCUUUUGCACAUGCUAUGUGGGUGAAAUGAUGAUACUAUGCCAAGUUUCGACAUUUUCAGAGUUCAUUUUGUAGUGAUUUUCAAUUUCACGGUCAUUUAGCUCUCUAAACAAAUCGGUAGAUGACUAAAAAAUAGCAAAUGAUGUCAGAAAGUUUUGAAAAUUGAUGACGUCGCUUUGUAUGGCGUGUACGGAACGCAAAAAAUUCUGGAGUUGUAAUAAGUUUAAAAAAAUGAAGUACCCAUGUAACAGAUGAGUUCUCGUCAGAAACCCUGAUACUCCAAAAGAGAUUGUCCAGUUUGUACACGAAGUGCGUCCAGUUUUUGCCGUAACCCUCUCUACUCUUUUGCACAUGCUGUGUGGGUGAAAUGAUGAUACCAUGCCAAGUUUCGACAUUUUCAGAGUUCAUUUUGUAGUGAUUUUCAAUUUCACGGUCAUUUAGCUCUCUAAACAAAUCGGUAAAUGACUAAAAAAUAGCAAAUGAUGUCAGAAAGUGUUGAAAAUUGAUGACGUCGCUUUGAAUGGUGCGUACGGAACGCAAAAAAAGUCUNNNNNNNNNNNNNNNNNNNNNNNNNNNNNNNNNNNNNNNNNNNNNNNNNNNNNNNNNNNNNNNNNNNNNNNNNNNNNNNNNNNNNNNNNNNNNNNNNNNNNNNNNNNNNNNNNNNNNNNNNNNNNNNNNNNNNNNNNNNNNNNNNNNNNNNNNNNNNNNNNNNNNNNNNNNNNNNNNNNNNNNNNNNNNNNNNNNNNNNNNNNNNNNNNNNNNNNNNNNNNNNNNNNNNNNNNNNNNNNNNNNNNNNNNNNNNNNNNNNNNNNNNNNNNNNNNNNNNNNNNNNNNNNNNNNNNNNNNNNNNNNNNNNNNNNNNNNNGACUAAAAAUAGCAAAUGAUGUCAGGAAGUGUUGAAAAUUGAUGACGUCACUUUGAAUGGUGCGUACGGAACGCAAAAAAAGUCUGGAGUUGUAAUAAGUUUAGAAAAAUGAAGUGCCAAUGUAACAGAUGAGUUCUCGUCAGAAACGGUGAUACUCCGAAAGAGAUUGUCCAGUUUGUACACGAAGUGCGUCCAGUUUUUGCCGUAAUCAUCUCUAUUCUUGUGCACAUGCUGUGUGGGUGAAAUGAUGAUACCAUGCCAAGUUUUGACAUUUUCAGAGUUCAUUUUGUAGUGAUUUUCAAUUUCACGGUCAUUUAGCUCUCUAAACAAAUCGGUAAAUGACUACAAAAGUGCAAAUAAUGUCAGAAAGUUUUGAAAAAUGAUGACGUCGCUUUGAAUGGUGUGUACGGAACGCAAAAAAGUCUGGAGUUGUAAUAAGUCUGAAAAAAUGAAGUGCCAAUGUAACAGAUGAGUUCUCGUCAGAAACCCUUAUACUUCGAAAGAGAUUGUCCAGUUUGUACACGAAGUGCGUCCAGUUUUUGCCGUAACCCUCUCUACUCUUUUGCACAUGCUAUGUGGGUGAAAUGAUGAUAUCACGCCAAGUUUCGACAUUUUCAAAGUUGAUUUUGUAGUGAUUUUCAAUUUCACGGUCAUUUAGCUCUCUAAACAAAUCGAUAAAUGACUGAAAAAUAGUAAAUGAUGUCAGAAAGUGUUGAAAAUUGAUGACGUCGCUUUGAAUGGUGCGUACGGAACGCAAAAAAAGUCUGUUGUUGUAAUAAGUUUAAAAAAAUGAGUUGCCAGUGUGACAGAUGAGUUCUCGUUCGAAACCCUGAUACUCCGAAAGAGAUUGUCCAGUUUGUACACGAAGUGCGUUCAGUUUUUGCCGUUACUCUCUCUACUCUUUUGCACAUGCUAUGUGGGUGAAAUGAUGAUACUAUGCCAAGUUUCGACAUUUUCAGAGUUCAUUUUGUUGUGAUUUUCAAUUGCACGGUCAUUUAGCUCUCUAAACAAAUCGGUAGAUGACUAAAAAAUAGCAAAUGAUGUCAAAAAGUUUUCAAAAUUGAUGACGUCGCUUUGUAUGGUGUGUACGGAACUCAAAAAAUCUGGAGUUGUAAUAAGUUUAAAAAAAUGAAGUGCCCAUGUAACAGAUGAGUUCUUGUCAGAAACCCUGAUACUUCGAAAGAGAUUGUCCAGUUUGUACACGAAGUGCGUCCAGUUUUUGCCGUAACCCUCUCUACUCUUUUGCACAUGCUGUGUGGGUGAAAUGAUGAUACUAUGCCAAGUUUCGACAUUUUCAGAGUUCAGUUUGUAGUGAUUUUCAAUUUCACGGUCAUUUAGCUCUCUAAACAAAUCGGUAAAUGACUGAAAGAUAGCAAAUGAUGUCAGAAAGUGUUGAAAAUUGAUGGCGUCGAUUUGAAGGGUGCGUACGGAACGCAAAAAAAGUCUGGAGUUGUAAUAAGUUUAAAAAAAUGAAAUGCCAGUGUAACAGAUGAGUUCUCGUCCGAAACCCUGAUACUCCGAAAGAGAUUGUCCAGUUUGUACACGAAGUGCGUCCAGUUUUUGCCGUAACCCUCUCUACUCUUUUGCACAUGCUAUGUGGGUGAAAUGAGGAUACCAUGCCAAGUUUCGACAUUUUUAGAGUUCAUUUUGUAGUGAUUUUCAAUUUCACGGUCAUUUAGCUCUCUAAACAAAUCGGUAAAUGACUAAAAAAUAGCAAAUGAUGUCAGAAAGUUUUGAAAAUUGAUGACGUCGCUUUGAAUGGUGUGUACGGAACUCAAAAAAGUCUGGAGUUAUAAUAAGUUUUAAAAAAUAAAGUGCCCAUGUAACAGAUGAGUUCUCGUCAGAAACCCUGAUACUUCGAAAGAGAUUGUCCAGUUUGUACAGGAAGUGAGUCCAGUUUUUGCCGUAACACAAGAAGUCCGGAGUUGUUAUAAGUUAUUAAAGAUAAAAAAGAGGCACAAUGCUCGUUAAUUAGCUUCAAGCCUUUCGGAAUAGUGCAAACUGCACUGCACAUAGCUCCGUGCAGUCUACACUAUUCCUCAAGGCUUAAAGCUAAGCAACGUGUAGAUGAGCAUUUCACGGUCAUUUAGCUCUCUAAGCUAAUCUAGUAGCCAUGUUAAGUCGAUAAUGACGUGGAAUUGUUAUAUGACAUGCAAAUACCUUCUGAGUUAAUGGCACUAGUCAUCAACCCGUGCAACUGCAUGGGCUAGUUUUUUAAACGGUUCAUAGUUACAAUACUUUUCAUGACCACUUGUUUCUUUGCAUCCAGCAAGAAUAUAAAUUUGUUGUGUGUGAACCAUUAAAUGAACAAUUAAUAUGAAAAUAGAAAACUUAUAUCCUGAAAGUUUACAAUCUUCAUAAAAUAUUUAUAUUUUAUUUUAAGACAAACGGGAAAUUAAAAAUCCUACUUAUAGAGAUCCUGAAACAUAAUUCAAAUGUCGCAUAAAUUACGUAAUUUUGAAUGAUAAGUACUAAAAAUGUAAUAAUUUGUUUAGUUAAUAUUAAUCCUUUUUUUAUUUGGGAGUCUACUUAAUCAUGGGGUAUUUUGCAUAAUGCUUAGGCUUGUCAAAUGAAAUAAGCAUUUCAUAACAACAGUGUACCUCCCUACAGUUUAAUAACAAACUUACUCUACAAACACCGAAAACCGAACCAAAGACUGAAGAAGCAAUCAUAAGUGUCAUACUUCUUAAAUUCUCCUUUUUUUUCCCGGCACCACCCAUGGAGUAGUCUUUCCACCGUGUUUGACUCUCGUUGUGGUAGCAAAUGAUGGGUCCAAGUUUUCGCAUAGUAUUGUCCGUUUGUUUUAUCAUGAUAGAGUACUCCAUUAGUUGGCACCGCUCUUAUAUUUGUGUGUGAUCUUUUAGCAGUUCAACAUUAUAGUUCUUCCACCCAUAUGUUCGCAAUGUUAAAUCUAUGGAGAAAAAGAUUCAAAUCUUCACUAUUGUACCACAAAAGCAAGUCACAUGAAUAGCUCGCAAUUAUUUAACUACUGGUGGUUGGUGCCAGGUAUAUUAGCGUUAGGAAAGUAAAUGUACAUACUGAACAUUUGACUGUGGAAGAAAAUGAAUUUUCUUAUUUACUCUUAUUGAAUUCUAAAUAUAUUUUGGAUAUUUGUUUUCAGUAAUACACCUAAUUUUGGAAAAUCUAUUUCAUAGCCUUGUAUUUUUGAAAUAUUUUACAAAACAUGACACAAAUUGUUGUGUUUUUUCACAUACAUAUUUAUAACAUUAAUACACUCUUUAUAUGUAAUGUGAUAUUUAUUAUAUAAUUUUUUAAUCAUACAUAACUAAAUUCUUAUUAUUUUCAAAUCACAAAUUUUAAAUGAUAUGAUAACUUACAUUUUAAAAGCUCUAUUUCGGGACAUUAUAACUAAAAACUAUCUGAGCGAAUCGGGCACCAUAAUGUAUUUGGUGUCUACACUUUGUCGCAUACAUAGCCUUUUUUAUUUUUAAUGUAAUUGCUAAAAUAUGUAAUUAUGUAGAACUUAAUAUUACAUUCUAUUACACAGAUUGGACUUAUAUAGGUUGGAAAAGAAUUAAAUCUAUGCUGUCAAACCUACCGAAUAGCAUUCCUCCGGCACAUUGUAUAUCUGGCAUUUAUUAGUAAUGUGUCUAAAUCAGUUCGGGAUAAAUUCACUCUACAUCGUCAUAAUGGCUUGUUGUUAAAAUUUGGCAUCCUGACGCAUUACUUGGAAUUUUUAUAAACUCAGUGUAAACAGUUAUGUUAUCUUUUUAAACAUAAGUUAUUUAGUUCAAUUCGGAGUACUAUAUAGUAAUUUUCAACAGUAAAUCUAGCCUAUUUCAACUCGGUCAUUAUAAACAAUAAAUCUAGCCUGUUUCAACUCGGCCAUUAUAUUUAACUUAUUUAAGACAUAAGGUAAUCUAACUUUUGAACAAUCUUUAGAAAUCUACAUAUGUAGAGGUCAAGUAGGACAUACAUAUGUGAAAUUCCUUAAAAUAAUUUGAUAAUUGUUAUAUUAAAGAAAAUAAUAUUAUAAUUUAUUAUCUGUACUUACUAUAAUUGCAAUACUUUUUGAUAGCAUGUUCCCGUUGCAUAGUGUCGCUUACUGCACAAUAUCUUAAUUUGUUAUGUGUCUCGGAUAGAAAAAUAUUGUAUUUCCGCGUAUGUAUAUGCAUGUCUAUAUAUGUUUCACACACAUGAAAUUUUUUUAUAUAUUAAAAAAUGAUUUCGCCUGAGUUACAUCCAUGCAUGCUAAUUUCCUGUCUAUCAUUGGAGUUUAGAUCUAUGCAUGUAUGUGCUUGACUAAGCUCUGCACAUAUAUACGUGCCGGUCAAAUCAUAUACAUGAACGUACAUCACUCUAUUCUACUAUUAAGGGAUUCGUUGAGCACCUCGUCAAAGAAACAAACCUUUCAGAUCAACUUGUAAAUUUUCUUUUUACAUAUUUGCAUUUUUUUAGCAUAUUUGCAUUUCUUUCCUAAAAUAUUGCAAUAUUUGCAAAUAUCUGAAUCAUAUUCUUUUGAUUGACAAUAACACAAUGGCUUACCAGCAGAUCAAAACAGAUAUCUAGCUAGUGCGAAGGUUGUGCCACCUCUUGAUUGUUUCCUCCAUGAGCAAGCAAGCUUCUGGUAACGGUAACAGUCAUGGCGACGGAACAUGAUGUGCCGGCGAGCCGCAGACAUUAGAAAGAUCUGAAAAGAAGCAGAUAGGCAUGAUGCAUAAAUCUGGAAAGGAAGAAGAAUAUGCAUAACUCAAAAGCAUUGAAGCCGUCGGUUUUUGCAUUGCUCUACGAUCAGUUAAUGUACGCAUGCAUCGUAUAUGUACGCAUCCAGCCGCCGGAAUUUACUUCUCCUGCCUUCGUUUGUCAAGGGCAAAAAUACUGGCCAGCAGCACAAAUUGAAGACCAGCUUUCGGCACCUCCAUAACGCUCGUAGAAAAGUUCUCAAUGACUUGCAUCGGGAAUAUCUCUCCAGACCAGGGCAUGCGCCAAUUAAUGCUUCUUGCCGUGUCAUGUAUGCCGGGUCAUGUAUCUCUACGGGGACAACAAAAUUCAACUUGUUUAUUUUUGGAUAAUCAUUGGGAGAUAGAGACCCAGCACAGGACGUCUCCCAUGCGUGGGACAACCGAGGUUUUUUUUUUCAAUCUUAGGCUUCAUCAACGGCUAAAAUAUAUUAUAUUUUAAUCUGACGGAUGUAAAUCUUUAACUUAUAAAAUUGACGUGAAUCCUCGUAUGGCUCUUCCAAUUAGUAAAUAUAUAAGAUAGUAGUAGACGUGAAGAAUAAAGGGGCAGUAAUGGGAUAUUAAAUGUGGCAGCUAACUUGCUAGGCCUUCGAGUUAUAUUUUGUUCAGCAUUAAGUGGAAAACAUAUUUUGGCAUCCUUUUCCUCCUCUCGACUCUGACAAAAUGUUAGUGAUAUUCAAAUGGAAAAGCUUAGGCAAGAAAUAUUCCGAGGAAAAAUAAUGCAUCUACUCUAAAAUAUAUUUUCAUCAAUAGUAGUCCACUACUACCAUGAGCCAAUGGCCAUGGUUCUAUUCAAAAUUUUAAUUUAUCAAGAUCAGGCGUAGACUUGAUGUUGACAUCAAUGGCUAUCUAGGCUUAGAGAGAUGAGAGGAGUGAAGAACAAAAAAGGAGCGCCAAUAAUGGUUAUAACCCAUAGGGGAUAAAAUAAGGACGCCGCUAGUUGGCAUGAAUUGAUACAGGUAGACAUCACUUACUCUGCGUCCCUGAAUAGAGGCCAUAAUUUGUGUUGCUCUAGGGACCCAUAAUUUAUGAAUUCUGCUCACAAGAGAUCCGACUGUUGUGGGGAUCAAACUUUAGCACGCUGCCCUUAGAGCAACUCCAACGCGUCAACCCAAAUGGACGGCGAUUUUGUUAUAUUUUCGUCUGUUUGUGUCGACCGUCCACUCGGUGUCCGCCUAAUUUUCUUUUUGGGUCAGCAGUGCGCCCAAUGCCAGCGACUCAUUUCAUGUCCGUGCACAAAUUUUAAAAAGGCCCGCGGCUGUAGAUCAUGGCAGCGGCCAAGCCGUCACCCAAAGUUCAUGCCGGCACCAUGCCAGCAGCCGACAUACAAUGCCAGCUCCAAAAAAGCACCACACAGUUUGUGUUGGCGCACUUGCCAGCGACUGGCAUAGAUGCCAGCAAACAAAAAAGGGGCGGGAGUUCGACCACGCCAUCGCGACCGUAGUCAUGCCAACACACUUUUCGGCAUGCAAAAAAGGAUGGCGCUUUCCGCCAUAAAUCACUCGUCGUCGAACUUGAGCAUGUCGGCUUGCAUCUUGUCGAACCACGACCUCUUCCUCGGCGACAUGGUGUUGAGGUCCACCUUCAUGAUCUCCACACCCGUCAUCAUGCUAGCGAGAACCACUUCUUUCGCCUUGGUCUUGACAUUUGCGGCAUCGAUAUCUAGCAUCUUGGCUUGCACUGGUGCAGAACCGGGCUUUAGCACCAGUUCGUAAGGCCCUUUAGUGGCGGUUCUUGAACCGGUACUAAGGGGGGGGGGGCUUUAGGGAUUUUGGUUUUAUUAUUUAUUUUUCCUUUAAUUUUGUAUUUCCAUUUAUUUUAUUUUUCAUUUGCUGGUAUUUUACGAACUACAUAUUGUACACGUUAUGCAUAUAUAUAAAUAUAAUUUCUCGUAGAACCGAUCAUAUANNNNNNNNNNNNNNNNNNNNNNNNNNNNNNNNNNNNNNNNNNNNNNNNNNNNNNNNNNNNNNNNNNNNNNNNNNNNNNNNNNNNNNNNNNNNNNNNNNNNNNNNNNNNNNNNNNNNNNNNNNNNNNNNNNNNNNNNNNNNNNNNNNNNNNNNNNNNNNNNNNNNNAGCUAAUCAUUGAUAUAUACUACAUACUAAACGUACAUACUCUCUAUUUUGACGGAUACUACAUACAACAUACAAAAUGCAAGUGGUGGUAAUUACCACCGCUUGGAGGAAGCAUUUGAGGCACCACCAUUUGAAGCACCGCCAUUCACACAUAGAGCAGAAAAGAGUACCGGUUGGAGCGACCAACCGGUUUAAAGGGGUGUGCUGGCCCAGGUGCGAUGCACAAAGUUUAGUCCCACCUUGCUGAGCGAAGGGCGGCCGCACUGGUAUAUAAACCCAGCCGCGGCUGCUCCUUUGAGCUCCUCCCUAACGCAGGCCUUCUGGGCCUACUUGUGUUGCGCUGCCCUGUUGGGCCUACUAGCCUUGCGGGCCUACCUCCUGGCCCGACUACAGGUUGGGUUUCUAGUCGCAUGCAGGCCGCUGUGGCCCAGUAGGCGGGCUUUUAAAAAAAUAUUGUUUGCUUUAUUUAUUUUCUUUUAUUUAUUUCUGAGUUGUUUUUCCUGUAUUUCGAAUUUCUUUGUGAAUAUUUUUGCUUUAGGUACAAAAAAUUACAAAAUUUCUGUUAGUGCCAGUAGUUUUCAAAUUUGAAUAGUUUAAAUUUGUCUCCUUUAUUUAUUUUUAAGUUGUUUUUUGCUGUAUUUAGAAUUUCUUUGUGAAUAUUUUGCUUUAGGUAAAAAAAAUUACAAACUUUAUGUUAGUGCCAAUAGUUUUCAAUUUUGAAUAGUUUAAAUUUGUCUGCUUUAUUUAUUUUCUUUUAUUUAUUUGUGAGUUGUUUUUUGCUGUAUUUAGAAUUUUUUGUGAAUAUUUUUCUUUAGGUACAAAAAAUUACAAAAUUUCUGUNNNNNNNNNNNNNNNNNNNNNNNNNNNNNNNNNNNNNNNNNNNNNNNNNNNNNNNNNNNNNNNNNNNNNNNNNNNNNNNNNNNNNNNNNNNNNNNNNNNNNNNNNNNNNNNNNNNNNNNNNNNNNNNNNNNNNNNNNNNNNNNNNNNNNNNNNNNNNNNNNNNNNNNNNNNNNNNNNNNNNNNNNNNNNNNNNNNNNNNNNNNNNNNNNNNNNNNNNNNNNNNNNNNNNNNNNNNNNNNNNNNNNNNNNNNNNNNNNNNNNNNNNNNNNNNNNNNNNNNNNNNNNUAAGUUGUUUUUUGCUGUAUUUAGAAUUUCUUUGUGAAUAUUUUUGCUUUAGGUACUAAAAAUUACAAACUUUCUGUUAGUGCUAGUAGUUUUCAAAUUUGAAUAGUUUAAAUUUUUCUGCUUUAUUUAUUUUCUUUUAUUUAUUCCUGAGUUGUUUUUUGCUGUAUUUAGAAUUUCUUUGUAACUAUUUUUGCUUUAGGUACAAAAAAUUACAAACUUUAUGUUACUGCCAGUAGUUUUAAAAUUUGAAUAGUUUAAAUUUGUCUGUUUUAUUUAUUUCUGAGUUGUUUUUUGCUGUGUUUAGAAUUUAUUUUUGAAUAUUUUUGCUUUAGGUACAAAAAAUUACAAACUUUCUAUUAGUGCCAGUAGUUGUCAAAUUUGAAUAGUUUAAAUUUGAAUUAUUUGAAAUUUUUGUGAAUAACUAGUUUCGGAAUAACUUUACUUUAAAAAUAGAUUUUUCAGUGAUUCGUUUUUCUUAUGUCUAACAUUAGUGUGUUUUAUCAUUAUAUUCAAUUUGGUAAUACUUAGGUUAUUUAAAAAAUGAAAUGCCAUUGUAACAGAUGAGUUUUCGUCUAAAAACUCUGAUACUUCGAAAGAGAUUGUCCAUUUUGUACACUAAGUGCUUCCAGUUUUUGCCAUAACCCUCUAUACUUUUUUGCACAUGCUAUGUGGGUGAAAUGAUGAUACCAUGCCAACUUUCAACCUUUUCAGAGUUCAUUUGUAGUGCUUUUUAAUUUCAGGGUCAUUUAGCUAAAAAAAUCAUUAAAUGCAUGAAAAAUAGCAAAUGAUGUCCGAAAGUGUUGAAAGUUGAUGACGUGGCUUUGAAUGGUGCAUACUGGACGCACAAAAAGUAUGGAGUUGUAAUGAGUUUCAAAAAUGAAAUUCCUUUGUAACAGAUGAGUUUUCGUCCGAAACCCUGAUACUCCGAAAGAGAUUGUCCAUUUUGUACACGAAGUGCAUCCAGUUUUUUCCAUAACCCUCACUACUUUUUUGCACAUGCUAUGUGGGUGAAAUGAUGAUGCCAUGCCAACUUCCAACCUUUAAGAGUUCAUUUGUAGUGUUUUUCAAUUUCAGGGUCAUUUAGCUAAAAAAUCAAUAAAUGCAUGAGAAAUAGCAAAUGAUGUCAGAAAGGUAUGAAAGUUGAUGACGUGGCUUUGAAUGGUGCAUACUGAAUGCACAAAAAGUUUAGAGUUGUAAUAAAUUUAAAAAAUGAAAUGCCUUUGUAACAGAUGAGUUUUCGUCCGAAGCCCUCAUACUUCAAAAGAGAUUAUCCAUUUUGUGCACGAAGUGCAUCCAGUUUUUGCCGUAACCCUCUCUACUUUUUUGCACAUUAUAUGUGGGUGAAAUGAUGAUACGAUGCCAACUUCCAACCUUUCAGAGUUCAUUUGUAGUGCUUUUCAAUUUCAGGGUCAUUUAGCUAAAAAAAAUCAGGAAAUGCACGAAAAAUAGCAAAUGAUGUCAGAAAAGUUUGAAAGUUGAUGACAUGGCUUUGAAUUGUGCAUACUGAACGCACAAAAAGUCUAGAGUUGUAAUAAGUUUAAAAAAUGAAAUGCCUUUGUAACAGAUGAGUUUUCGUCCGAAACCCUCAUACUUCGAAAGAAAUUGUACAUUUUGUACACGAAGUGCAUCCAGUUUUUGCCGUAACCCUCUCUACUUUUUUGCACAUGCUAUGUGGGUGAAAUGAUGAUGCCAUGCCAACUUUCAACCUUUGUAGAGUUCAUUUGUAGUGCUUUUCAAUUGCAGGGUCAUUUAGCUAAAAAAUCAGUAAAUGCAUGAAAAAUAGCAAAUGAUGUCAGAAAGUGUUGAAAGUUGAUGACGUGGCUUUGAAUGGUGCAUACUGAAUGCACAAAAAGUCUGGAAUUGUAAUAAGUUUAAAAAAAUGAAAUGCCUUUGUAACAGAUGAGUUUUCGUCCGAAACCCUGAUACUCCGAAAGAGAUUGUCCAUUUUGUACACGAAGUGCAUCCAGUUUUUGCCGUAACCCUCCCCUACUUUUUUCCACAUGCUAUGUGGGUGAAAUGAUGAUACGAUGCCAACUUCCAACCUUUUCAGAGUUCAUUUGUAGUGCUUUUCAAUUUCAAGGUCAUUUAGCUAAAAAAUUAGUAAAUGCAUGAAAAAUAGCAAAUGAUAUCAGAAAGGUUUGAAAGUUGAUGACGUGUCUUUGAAUGGUGCAUACCGAAAGUACAAAAAGUCAGGAGUUGUAAUAAGUUUAAAAAAAUGAAAUGCCUUUGUAACAGAUGAGUUUUCGUCUAAAACCCUCAUACUUCGAAAGAGAUUGUCCAUUUUUUUCUACACGAAGUGCAUCCAGUUUUUGCCGUAACCCUCUCAACUUUUUUGCACAUGCGAUGUGGGUGAAAUGCUGAUACCGCCAACUUUUAACCUUUUGAGAGUUCAAUUUUAGUGCUUUUUAAUUUCAGGGUCAUUUAGCUAAAACAAUCAGUAAAUGAGCUAAAAGUAGCAAAUGAAGUCAGAAAAGGGUUGAAAAUUGCUGAUGUGCCUUGGAAUGGUGCAUAUUGAACACACAAAAAGUCUGGAGUUGAAAUAAGUUAUUAAAAAUAAAAUCCUUUUGUAAUAGAUGAGUUUCGUCCGAAACCCUGAUACUUCGAAAGAGAUUGUCCAGUUUGUAGAAGAAGUGCAUCCAAUUUUUGCCGUAACCCUCUCAACUUUUUAGCACAUGCUAUGUGGAUGAAAUGAUGAUAUCAUGCUAAGUUUCAACCAUUUCAGAGUUGAUUUGUAGUGCUUUUCAUUUUCAGGGUCAUUUAGCUAAAAAAAUUCAUUAAAUGCAUAAAAAUAGCAAAUGAAGGCAGAAAAGAGUUGAACAUUGAUGAUGUGACUUUGAAUGGUGCACAAUGAACACACAAAAAGUCCGGAGUUAAAAUAAGUUAUAAAAAUGAAGGAGAGGCGCAAUCCUCACUGGCACAUUGCUUAGCUUCAGGCCUUGACAAACUACACAUAGCUCUGUGCAAUCUACACCAUUUCCUCCAGGCAUGAAGCUAAGCAACGUGCAGGUGAGCAUUGCGCCUCUCCUUCAUCGUUCCUCGUCUCUGCACUCAGGGCUUAUAAACCGCUGAUACGUCUCCAACGUAUCUAUAAUUUUUGAUUGUUCCAUGCUAUUAUAUUAUCAAUCUUGGAUGUUCUAUAAUCAUUUUAUAGUCAUUUUUUGGUACUAACCUAUUGACAUAGUGUCAAGUGCUAGUUGUUGUUUUCUGCAUGUUUUUUACAUUGCAGGAAAUCAAUACCAAACGGCGUCCAAAUUCAAUGAAACUUUACGGGGAUUUUUUAUGCACCAGAAGACACCUAAUGGGCCAAGGCUGCGCCUAGGGGGUGCUCCGAGGAGAGCACAACCCACCAUGGCGCGCCAGGAGGCCCGGGCACGCCCUGGAGGGUUGUGCCCACCUCGGGUGCCCCUCGGGCCGCCUCUUUGCUCUAUAAAUAUCCCAAUAUUCCAGAAACCCUAGGGGAGUCGACGAAAAUCAAUUCAAGCCUCCGCAGAGUCCAGAACCACCAGAUCCAAUCUAGACACCAUCACGGAGGGGUUCACCACUUCCAUUGGUGCCUCUCCGAUGAUGCGUGAUUAGUUCUUUGUAGACCUUCGGGUCCGUAGUUAGUAGCUAGAUGGCUUCCUCUCUCUCGCCAAACUCUCAAUACAAUGGUGUCUUGGAGAUCCAUAUGAUGUGACUCUGUUUGCGGUGUGUUUGUUGGGAUCAGAUGAACUUUCAGUUUAUGAUCAGAUCUAUCUUUUUAUAUCCAUGAAAGUUAUUUGAGUUUCUUUGAACUAUUAUAUGCAUGAUUUCUUAUAGCCUCGUAUUUCUUCUCCGAUAUUUGGGUUUUGUUUGGACAAAUUGAUCUAUUUAUCUUGCAAUGGAAAGAGGUGCUUUGUAGUGGGUUCGAUCUUACGGUGCUUGAUCCCAGUGACAGAAGGGGAACCGACACGUAUGUAUCGUUGCUACUAAGGAUAAAACGAUGGGGUCUAUCUCUACAUAGAUAGAUCUUGUCUACAUCAUGUCAUCAUUCUUAUUGCAUUACUCCAUUUCCCCAUGAACUUAAUACACUAGAUGCAUGCUGUAUAGCGGUCGAUGUGUCGAGUAAUAGUAGUAGAUGCAGGUAGGAGUCGGUCUACUAAUCUUGGACGUGAUGGCUAUAUAUUGAUCAUUGCCUGGAUAUCGUCAUGAUUAUUUGGAACUCUAUCAAUUGCCCAACAGUAAUUUGUUUACCCACCGUUUGCUAUUUUGCUCGAGAGAAGCCACUAGUGAAACCUACGGCCCCCGGGUCUCUUUCUCACAUUAUUUGCCUUCGCGAUCUAUUUUAUUUGCCUUUUGUUUGCAGAUCUAUUAAACCAAAAAUACAAAAAUACCUUGCUGCGUUUUACUCUUAUUUAUUUUAUUUGGUGUUCGAUCUAUCAAUCUACUACAAUUAUCUCACGUCUGUUUGCCAAUUUCUGGCGCCGCUACCCGAAAGGGAUUGACAACCCCUUUAACACGCCAGGUUGCGAGGAUUUGUUAUCUGUGUGCAGGGGCUAUUUACAUUCUAUUGCUAGGUUCUCCUACUAGUUCGAUAACCUUGGUUUCAUAUCUGAGGGAAAUACCUACCGCUGCUAUGCUGCAUCAUCCCUUUCUCUUUGGGGAAAUACCGACGUAGCUUCAAGCCGCAUCAAAAGGAAUUUCUGGCGCCGUUGCCGGGGAGGAUCUUCAACAUAUACGAGGUUCCGAAUCACAAAUCUCAUCUCCUUGCAAUUUACAUUAUUUGCCAUUUGCCUCUCAUUUUCCUCUCCCCCACUUCACAAAAAUUUGCCAUUUUAUUCGUCCUCUUUUUCGUUCGCCUUUUUCUCGUUUGAUCUUUUGUUUGCUUGUGUUGCCAUGUGCCUUCUAUAUGCUUGCGUCUUCGCUUGCUAAAAAUAUAUUGAUAUGGAUCCUCAUCCACUUGCUAAUCUUUUUAAAAGAUCCAAUCAUGUUGAACCAGUUGCUAGUGAGUUGAGUGCACUAGAUUAUCUUUAUGAAGUUUUUCUUGAGAUUCGUGAAUCUAAAAAUUGCGAUGAAGAAAUUUAUGAAGUGAUUCAUGAUAGCUCCUUGAAUGAAAAGCAUGAUUGCAAUGAUUUUACUAUAAAUCCUAUUAAUGUCAAUUGUGCUAAUAAUAUGCAAAACCCCAAACUUUGGGAUGCUAAUUUUGCUAUGUCCACUACUUGUUGCAAUGAUCAUGAUUGGGGUGAUUCUUCUUAUGAGCUUGAAAUUUUAUUUAAACCUCAUGAUGAAUAUGAUAUUGAUAAUAAUGUUUGCAAUAAUAUUGAAAGUGGGUAUGGAAGAGCGUCAACUUUAGGUAAAAAUAAUCCCACAUAUUUGGAGAGUGUUCAAUCUUAUGAUUUUUUUUAUGAAAGUGGGUUCGGAGGGGUCAUGACUUUAGUUGAUGUUAAUCCCACUAUCUUGGAAGAUUAUAAGACUUGUAUGCAUGUGGAUCAUGAAAAGAAAGUUUUAUAUGAUUGCUAUAUUGUUGAAUUUGAGUAUUAUCCUACAUGUAAUUAUUAUGAGAAAGGAAAAUAUGGUUGUAGAAAUUUUUAUGUUACUAAAUUACCUCUCGUUAUGUUGAGAUCGUCAAUGUUUUAUUCCUCUUCUUUGCAUAUGUUAGAUGUUUCUUGUCUUGAUAUUUUGUUUUCUUAUAAAAUUCCUAUGCAUAGGAAGUAUGUUAGACUUAAAUGUGGUUGUCAUAUGUUUCAUGAUGCUCUCUUUGUGUUUCAAUUAUUAUCUCUCAUGUGAGCAUCAUUGAAAUUUUAUGCCUAGCUAGGGGCAUGAAACUAUAGCGCUUGUUGGGAGGCAACCCAAUGAAUAAAAUUUGUUUUUACCUUUUGCUUUCUGUUCUUGAAUGUUUGCACAAUUAUGCUAAUGUUAUGAUUGUGUGUUUUGUGUUUUAAUUAGUGUUUGUACCAAGUAGAACCUAUAGGAUCUUCUUGGGUGAUAGUUGUUUGAUCUUGCUGAAAAAACAGAAACUUUUGCGCUCAUGAAAACAAUUCUUAUUUUUUACCAGAGCGUGAUAAAAUGCCAAUUAUUUUUGCAGAAGAUUAAUAUACAAAUUUCUUAGGUCUUCCUAUUGUUUUAGAAUUUUUGGAGUUUCAGAAGUAUUCGAACAAUUCAGAUUGCAACACAUUGUUCUGUUUUUGACAGAUUUUGUUUUCUUUGCGUUGUGUGCUUGUUUUGAUGGCUCCAUGGUUUUCUUUGUUGAGUUUUUGCCAUAGAAAAGUUGGAAUAUAUUAGAUAUAAUGCAAGAAUAAAAUAUGAAUAGGUUGCAACAGUACUUAUAGUAGUGAUUUAUUUUCUUAUACUAAUGGAUCUCACGAAGGUUUUGUUGAGUUUUGUGUGAUUGAAGUCUUCAAGUUUUGGGUUAUCUUACGAUGGAUGAAGGAAUAAGGAGUAAGCAAAGCCUAAGCUUGGAGAUGCCCCGGCAACCCAAGCUAUUAUCCAAAAGAUAGCAAGCAAGUAAGCUUGGGGAUGCCCCGAGUGGCAUCCCCUCUUUCUUCUAACGACCAUCGAUAUUUUACUCGAAGCUAUAUUUUUAUUCGUCACAUACUAUGUGUUUUGCUUGGAGCGUCUUGUAUGAUAUGAGUCUUUGCUUGUUUUAUUUUGUGUUUUAAGUCUUGAUUCCUUGCGGGACACACCUAUUUGAGAGAGCCAAAAUUAUGCAUGACUUAUUAGAAUUGCUCUCUAUGCUUCACUUAAAUUUUUUAUGAGCCAUGGACUUGCUCUAGUGCUUCACUUAUAUCUUUUUGAGCACGGUGUGCUUAGUUAUUUUUUAAGAAAUGCUCUCUUGCUUCACUUAGAUUUGUUUUAGAGGUAGUAAAUUUUUCAGGAAAUUCUCUCUUUCUUCACUUAAAUUAAUUUGAAAGAAAGAAAUAUUAUGCUCAUGAUCUUCACUUAUAUUUGUUUGAGCUUAUCAAAAGCAACAUAUGAAAAUUAGUUCCAAAGUGAUAGAUAUCCAAGAAGGAUAUAAUAAAAACUUUCAUGAAGAUCAUUGGACAAAAUAAACUUGAUUCUUAGUAAUAGUUUUAAGAUAUGAUGAUGUGAUAUGUGAGUCAUGUUGAUGAGUAAUUAUGCUUUACUAAGAAUAUUGGUGUUAAGGUUUGUGACUCCCUAUGCAAGCACGAAAGUCAAUAAUUAUGCAAUGAAAUUAUAUCCUACUUGUGGUGCAUUAUUCGGUGUUAAUUAUGCUUAAUGCUCGCUUAUGAGAUUAUUCGUUUCUUGGUUGGUUGCUUCUCAAUCUUUUGCUAGCCUUCAUUUUGCACUAAGUAUGAUCUCUACUUGUGCAUCCAAAAACCUUUAAACCAGUUUUGCCACAUGACUCCACUAUAUCUACCUAUAUGCGGUAUUCUUUUGCCGUUCUAAGCAAAUUUGUAUGUGCCAUCUCUAAUUUUGAAAAUAAACUUCUCUUUUGUGUGUUCGUACCGCUCGCAGAGCUGUGAGGGGUGGCUAAUAUUUUCCAUGCUAGAUGUGUUAUUCUCACGAUGAGUGUUUAUUCACUUGUCAUUGCACGAGAGUAAGGCAAAGGUAUUAGGGAUGCCCAGUCCCGAAAUGAAAAAUGAAUUUACUUUAUGUUGUCAAAUAAUAAAUUCCUUGGAAAGUGUUGGUACGGAGGGAAACCGUGGAUACGGCUAGCCAAGGAAAGUGAAAGUAUGGUUGAAAAAAGAAUAAACUUUAUUUUCUGUUUGGGAACCGCCUAUGAUAUAUCUAGCAUGGAAAGUGUUGGGAACUCUAAGUCGUUUUCGUUGGUGGGAAGGACACACCUCCUGAAAUGUUCUUAUCUCUAAGUUUUUUCGCUUUGAGCUUUGGCACGUCUACAAAUCCCUACUUCCCUCUGUGAAGGGCCUUUGUUUUACUUUAUGCAAUUUUUAUUAUUGAAUUUGAAUCUCCUUAUAAAAGCACCAACUCGGAGGCACUAUGAUCUUACUUGAGCAUUGGGUGUAGCUAAUAUGCAAGUGUGUUUCAUGAAUGGAUCAAUGAUUGAGCAUGAUGGGCUAGGGAUAACUUAUUUUAGCGUUGAUAUUUUGAAAGACAUGGUUGCUUGUUGGUAUGCUUGAGUAUUUAAGUUAUCAUAUCAAAACUAGACUAUUGCUUUGAACAAUAUAAAAGUCCAAAUGUCCAUGCUAUAAAGAAAACAAUAUGAUAUGACAUGUUACGCAGUAUUCCACAUCAAAAAUUCCGUUUUUAUCACUUACCUACUCGAGGACGAGUAGGAGUUAAGCUUGGGGAUGCUGAUACGUCUCCAACGUAUCUAUAAUUUUUUAUUGUUCCAUGCUGUUAUAUUAUCAAUCUUUGAUGUUUUAUAGUCAUUUUAAAUAAUUUUUUGGUACUAACCUAUUGACAUAGUGCCAAGUGCCAGUUGUUGUUUUCUGUAUUUUUUUACAUCGUAGGAAAUCAAUAUCAGACGGAGUCCAAAUGCAAUGAAACUUUACGGAGAUUUUUUUAUUGACCAGAAGACACCUAAUGGGCCAAGGUUGCGCCUGGGGGCGCUCCGAGGAGAGCACAACCCACCAGGGCGCGCCAGGAGGCCCAGGCGCGCCCUAGUGGCUUGUGCCCACCUCGGGUGCCACCCGGACCACCUCUUUGCUCUAUAAAUACCCCAAUAUUCCAGAAACCCUAGGGGAGUCGACGAAAAUCAAUUCCAGCCGCCGCAGAGUCCAGAACCACCAGAUCCAAUCUAGACACUAUCACGGAGGGGUUCACCACUUUCAUUGGUGCCUCUCCGAUAAUGCGUGAGUAGUCCUUUGUAGACCUUCGGGUCCGUAGUUAGUAGCUAGAUGGCUUCCUCCCUCUCGCUAAAUUCUCAAUACAAUGGUCUCUUGGAGAUCCAUAUGAUGUAACUCUUUUUGCGGUGUGUUUGUUGGGAUCAGAUGAACUUUAGUUUAUGAUCAGAUCUAUCUUUUUAUAUCCAUGAAAGUUACUUGAGUUUUUUUGAUCUCUUGUAUGCAUGAUUUGUUAUAGCCUCGUAUUUCUUCUCCGAUAUUUGGGUUUUGUUUGGCCAACUUGAUCUAUUUAUCUUGCAUUGGGAAGAGGUGCUUUGUAGUGGGUUCGAUCUUAUGGUGCUUGAUCCCAGUGAUAGAAGGGGAACCGACACGUAUGUAUCGUUGCUACUAAGGAUAAAAUGAUGGGGUCUAUCUCUACAUAGAUAGAUCUUGUCUACAUCAUGUCAUCGUUCUUAUUGCAUUACUCCCUUUCCCCAUGAACUUAAUACACUAGAUGCAUGCUGGAUAGCGGUCGAUGUGUGGAGUAAUAGUAGUACAUGCAGGCAGGAGUCGGUCUACUAAUCUUGGAUGUGAUGCCUAUAUAUUGAUCAUUGCCUGGAUAUCGUCAUGUUUAUUUGUAGUUCUAUCAAUUGCCCAACAGUAAUUUGCUUACCCAUCAUUUGCUAUUUUUCUCGAGAAAAGCCACUAGUGAAACCUAUGACCCCCGGGUCUCUUUCUCAUUUUAUUUGCCUUCGCAAUCUAUUUUAUUUGCCUUUCAUUUUCAGAUCUAUUAAACCAAAAAUACAAAAAUACCUUCUUGCGCUUUAUUCUUUUUUUUUUAUUUGGCGUUCGAUCUAUCAAUGUACUACAAUUAUCUCACGUAUGUUUGCCAAUUUCUGGCGCCGUUACCCGAAAGGGAUUGACAACCCCUUUAACAUGUCGGGUUGCGAGGAUUUGUUAUCUGUGUGCAGGGGUUGUUUACGUUGUGUUGCUAGGUUCUCCUACUAGUUCUAUAACCUUGGUUUCAUAUCUGAGGGAAAUACCUACCUCUGCUCUGCCGCAUCAUCCCUUCCUCUUUGGGGAAAUACUGACGUAGCUUCAAGCCGCAUCAACCGCUGCGAGUCCCUCUUGCUAGGCGAGGUGGGACUAAAUUUUAGCCAUUGCCAGGACAAGGCCUUUAGUCUCGGUUGAUGGCUCAAUUAAAAUAUUUUGUUAUGAUCCACUUAUAGAAAGUUAUAAUAUUCUUCAAUAGCAAAAAGAAUCAACUAAAAAUCUCUAGUACCGGUUCGUGGCAUGAACCGGUACUAAAGGUGCUGGUGGGGGGCCCAGCCUGACAACAGCCUGCCACCACCUCUUUAGUACCGGUUCGUGGAACGAACUGGUACUAAAGGUUCGCCACGAACUAGUACUAAUGAGCACCGCCCGCCUAGCUGUUGGAACCGACACUAAUGGUCACAUUAGUGCUGGUUCAGUUACAAACCGGGACUAAUGUGCUUCACAUUAGGCCCUUUUUCUACUAGUGUUGCUUCUCCGCCUCCAUCUCAAGCAUCCUCAUUUGCUUCUCUGCCUCCAUCUCAAGCCUCCUCCUUUAGAUCUUCAUGAAGGCGUUCAUUUGUUCUUCCUUGUCUUGUCGGCGCUUCUCCUCCCUUGAGUCCUUCUUAGUCAUCAUGCCCUCCAUGGUAGCGAUCAAGGCAUUGGACGCCGCAUCCCUCUUGUCCUACUUCUUGGAGUUGGUCUUCCCCCACGGCCGUGGCUUCUCGCCCUCCCCAACCUCCUCCACGACUUUCUCUCCCCCACGCAACAUGAGGGCGGCAUAUUGCACCUUGAACUUCUCCUCGUCUUUGAUGACCCUCCAACAAUGAGAGAGGUUGAAGGACUUACCAUCAUGUUGGACCUUGAAUGCCUCCAAAGCUUGGAAUGCCUACAAAUGAAAUGCAUGCAAGCAUAUUGGCAAAUGGAUAUGAAUAUGGACUUGCAAGAAUAAACGGAAGAGGGGCGCAUGCAUGCAUACCAUAUCUUGCAUGCCGAUGCCGCUCACCGGGCGUGACUUGAUGCUCUCAAAGGUGGCACAAAACUUGUCAUGCUCUUGUUGGAUCACCUUCCAUCGGUUCGAAAUGGACACCCACCCGCGCAUGCUUUAUAUCUGGUACGGCAGAAACUUCUUGCGUUCGUGGAACUCACGAUGGACACGAGUCCAAAAGGUUGAUUCCUUUUGUUCGGCACCGACCAUGGGGUCUUGCCCAAUGUCCCUCCAAAACUCACAAAGGAGCUUGUCCUCGACCGUGGUGUAUGCCUUCGUCCGCCUGCUCUUGUGCUUUGGCUUCAGCCCGGCGGCUUGGCUGGCGAGCCCGUCCUCUUCCUCAAGGCCGUAGUCCUCCGGAAACUCGUGGUCGAACAGGAAGUCGUCUAGGUCCAGGCCGAAGUGAUCUUGCAUGAAGGCGUCCUGCAUGCUAUCUUGAUCAUAGGUCGACGGCGUGAACGGCCCUCAGCCGUCCUGGCUUUGUGUCUCCUCUGAAUCGUAGGCAGCCGCGGCGGCACCACAGGCGGCCGACGUACCACCCUCGAAGAUGAUGCUCACCAUGAAACGGUCGGCCGUCUUGUCUUCGCCGGAUGACGAGGCACCGACUACCGGUGUGGCGUUGAGAUCGAUGGGCGCGGGCGCGGGCAUGGAAUGCGCCACCACGCUCACCUCCAGCGAGCAUUCCCUGAAGAAUUGGGAGGCUUGCAAGUAGACGUGGAAGCCGGGAAUCGAGUAAGACGCCGACGCGCGAGGCGACUCUGGGAGCACCAUCCGAGGAAACGCGGACGAGUCGGAGCUGGCCACGGCCACAGCGGCGUUGACGAGCCCGUGCUGGCCAGGGUUUAGCCCUAGGUAGAUUAGCGCCUCCCUCAUUGCCGCGGCGACGUGGGCGGCGGUGUCCUCCUGCUGCGCGGCGGCGGCCAUGGCGAUGGCAGCGGACGCUGCUUCGUCCCACGCGUCCGCCGCGUGCCUUCGGCCCUUUCGCUUCGGUGACUCCGCGGCCCGCUCCUCGGACGUCAGCUGCUUCUUCUUCUUGGGCACGGUGGCAGUCUUGCGGGAGGCGCGCGGCUUGCCUUUGCCGAAGGGGGCGGCUGUGAUGCUGGACGAGGCAAGGGCGACGAGGCCGCCGACAGUAUCGAGGUCCUCAUCCAUGGCGUGCGGCCGGGAGCGAGCACGGGCGGAAGGUUUUUGAGAAAGUGGACGAAAAUGUUGGAGGCUUUGCCACCAAUUGGCAGGUCAGGGGUAGUUGGCACGCAACGCGCUUCUCCGUCUCGUGUCGCGCGCCAACGCAAAUGAGGCUCAAAAUUGGGCUGAGAAUGGGUCGGCAGGCGAACGAAAAGCGGACACGCGUCCAUUUGGGUCGGCACAUUGUGCCGACUUUUCUGUCCGCACCGACCCAAAUGAACGCGCGCGAACGAAAUGGGUCGUCACGUUGGAGUUGCUCUUACGUGGCACUGUAACAAGAAAUGAGGACCAGUGGAAACCAGCAUAUGCACCUAGAAGAAUCGUAUGGAUCUGCAUAUGUAAUUGAUCUAUAUCAUACGGACCCAUAAAUGAUAGGAAGGUCCUAGCUACCAGGUACCAGCUAUCCUGGUUACUCCAUUUGCUGCCCCUCCAACCUGGGUUCCGGUCAUGUCCUCGGGGUCUGUCGGUGGUUCCGUGUUCUUGUUCUGGACGGACGCUUGUAAGAUCAGGUUUUCGAUCGGGAGCCUUCUGUUGACAUUAUAAAAGUGCGUGUAUUCAAAGGAGAUGUAUGCAUUUCUCCGUGACAAAGCAAAUUAAGUUCUGCUGCUAGCUAUUUUCAAAAAAGAGUCUUGCCCCACCACUUGCGUCGUUUGCAAAGCCCUUAAAUAUACUGAUAUGUUAUACACACACACAUAUACACAUGAGAUUUAAUUUUAAAGAGCACACGGACAUGUUCGUUCUCGUGUUAAUGAAAUCCUAGAAAAUCUCAUUAAUUAACCAUGGGAUCUAUAAUUCCGAGAUCUUUAGCUGUUGGAUGUAUGUAAUGCCUUAAGAUGCAUUAAAACAAAUAUACGUGAGAUUUAAUUUUAAAGGCCUUAAGGUGCAUAAAAAAUACGCAUGAGAUUUAAUUUUAAAUAGCACAAGGACAUGUUCAUUGUCGUGUUAAUGAAAUCCUAGAAAAUCUCAUUAAUUAACCUUCGGAUCUGUAACUCCGAGAUCUUUAGCCAUUGGAUUUACAUAAUGCCUCAACCUGCAUCAAAAAAAAUAUACGCAUGAGAUUUAAUUUUAAAGGCCUUAACCUGCAUAAAAAAAUAUACGCAUGAGAUUUAAUUUUAAAGAGCAGACAGACAUCUUCAUUGUCGUCCGCUGGCUGUAUGAAUUAGAAUAACAUAUAUUUACUUAGUUGGAUUAGAGAGAAGAGAAAAGAGAAGAGAAGUGGGCUCUGGAUUAAAGCAAGUACAAUAAAAUGACGUAGGCGGGCUAUAAAAGAUGUCAUCUUAAAUUUGUGCUUUUUUAGUUAACCUUAAAUUUGUGCUUAGUUGAAGGAGAGAGAAGCGGGCUACAAGUGUGACAAAAGCCUUUUUCAGUAGGCAGGCUACAAACUUACAAUCGACUGUAGCACGAGCUCAAACAACCUUUGUAAGAAGAUAUGGGCCAUAUAUUAAUUCACAGUGUGACUUAAUGUUGACAUGAAUUGAUACAGGUGGACAUAGUUAGAGCAACUCUAGCAGACCCCGCAUCCCGCCCCGACUGUUAAAAUAACCGCCAAAAUGCGGGUCGGGCAGGAAAACCAGCCCGAUCAGACCCCGCAUCCCGCCCCCGCCCGCAAAAAAAUUUAGGGGGCGCGGCAAAAUCCCAACCCCAACCCGGGAAAACGCGGGUUUCCCUCUCGCGGCUGCGGUGCCCUGCAUAUAGGAGGAAGCGGCUGGUGAGGGGACAUUUCAUGCCGCGCUUUCUCCCACCAACCACCUCUCCUCUCCCCCCUCGCGCCGCUGCCGGCCGCCGCCCAAGAUUCUGGCGAAAGCAGCCGGCAGGAGCACGCCGGAAGGCCGCCACGCACACGAGGCCUCCCCUUCCUCCCCCUGCGUCGGCGGGCCACCGGAUUUGCAGAUUUGCAGCACUUCAUCGCGGGUCGCCGGAUUUGGCUUUUUCCGGCCGCCGGUUGCUGUCCCAAGCUAUGGAGUGGUCGGGGAGCCUCUCCCACAGCCCAGGCAAGGGCGCAUUGCCGCAUGCAGGUACGGGUUCGUCCGCCCGCCGCCGCCGAAGGUUUGCGGGCUUGGACUCAUCCGGCCGUCCACCGGGCUCGGCGCUCACGCAGCGUCUUUGUGGCAUGCCGAUGCCGCUCAUAGAGUGUGACGACUGCACGCGGAAAGUGCUGCGGCUCACUUCGGGCACGCCGAAGCACCCUGGGUGGGUGUUCUUCAAAUGCGAAAAUGACGGGGUACGUGCACUUGCGGUAGCUCGUUUCAUAGUUCAUUCUUUAGUUCAACUGCGGUAGCUCACUUCGAGCUUGCUCACUCUUUUGUGUAGGACGAUGGAUGCUCAUUUUGGUUUUGGGAAGGCCAAUACAUUUAUUUGUUGAUAGAAAGAAACUUAAUAGAUGUUAGUGCACUCCUUAGUACAAUCGAAGGCAAUGAUGCGGCUGCAUGUGCAAAUAGAGGGGAAGCAACGUCUACUUCUUUCGAACCAAAGAUGAAGAAAGAAGAAUGCAAAAUCAAGAAUCCACAGAUCAACAACGAAUGCAUGGAGAAGAUAUUAGUCCAACUAGUGGGGGCAGUUAUGGAAGUUGGAAAUCUUCUAAAAUGCAUACUUGUGGUUCUUAUUUUCUUUGGUCUUGCUAUUCUAGCAAAGAUUUGGUGAUGUCUUUUGUAUCCAAUGUUGUUGAUAAAGCAAAGCAAUGCAAUAUGCUAGAUCAAAUUAAGGUGCAAAUUUAAGUUUUGCGGGCCGGGAGAAGUUGCACCAGAUCAGACGCGGCAACCCAACCCGUAAAAAAGCAUAUUCCAGGAAUAUCGUUUUUACGGAUCCAUUAUGCGGGGUCUGCAACUGCGGCCGUCCGCGCCGGCCCGCAAAGCCGUUUUCCCGCGAACUGCAAAAACGUUUAGCGGGUCGGGAGGAUGUGGGGUCUGCUAGAGUUGCUCUUACUCUGCGUCUGUAAAUAAAGGUCAUCAUUUUUAUUGCUCUAGGGACCCAUAAAUGAUAGGGACUGUCCGCUACCAGCUACCAGCUAGUAGCUACCCUGGUGACUACAUUUGCUGCCCCUCAAACAUGGGUUCCCGACAUGUUCUCAGGGUCUGUCGGUGGUUCCAUGUUCUGGCCUUUGGGGUUGGUUUAACUAGUGGUAUGGGGGUUCUUGCAUCGCCCUGUACUCUCGAUCGGGACCCUUUAAUUCUAGGUGACAUACAGUGCGUGUAUUUAAAGCCGAGGCAUGGAUCCUCCGUGCCAAAGAAAAUUAAUUCAGCGGCUACUCGGGGAGAGUUGUGGCAGCAUAUCCGGGAUGCCAGCUUUUUAUUUUGGGUUUUGAUUGUCAAAGUUUUAGAUCUUAAAAAAAACUAAAAUUAAGUGCUGUUUUCAUAUUCGUGUUUCUCGUGACCAGCGCCUUGAAAUAAUAUCCAUUUUGAAUAUAUUUUGACGACUUUGAAAAAUGUUAAGUUUCAAAUGUUGAAACUUAGUAUGAGCAACCAAUAAAAAUCAAUUAUUUUGUACCUACGCCUGACAGAAAAAUGCUUACAGUUAUAUCCCUGAAACUUGCUGAAACUUUGCAUUUUUCAUCAUUGAAACUUAAAACUGUUUAAGGGAUUUUCUUUUUUACUGUGCCCUCAUGUGGGAUUCAACUACUCUUUUCUCUCCGUGAGAUCCACAUAAAAAAAGCACAAAUUUAAGAUGAGUGCCCUGCACUUACAUGCCCCUGCGAAUUUCCGCAGCUACUAGCUAUUUUUGGAAGAAAAAAAUCUUGCCCCGCCACUCCCAUCAUUAGCAGAGCCCUUAAAUAUACUCACAUGUACCAAAUUACGAGUCAGAAUCAAACAUGCGUUGGCAUCAUUACCUACGAACUCUACUAAACAAUGUUCCAACUAUCCUGCGAGUCAAAUCUAAUAACUCUUGUCUUGCACGUUGCAUUGUCCAUUGGCAGAUCUUUUUAAGAAUUUUACGUCAGAUCUAAUUUUAUUUGAACGAAUGAAAGAUAAGCAAGUAGUAGUAAAAUCGACCCAAUUUGCACAGCCGAAAUGUGGACCAGACAAUUUACUCUUUGUUACGGGACUAAGAAAUUCGGACCGGCUAAUNNNNNNNNNNNNNNNNNNNNNNNNNNNNNNNNNNNNNNNNNNNNNNNNNNNNNNNNNNNNNNNNNNNNNNNNNNNNNNNNNNNNNNNNNNNNNNNNNNNNNNNNNNNNNNNNNNNNNNNNNNNNNNNNNNNNNNNNNNNNNNNNNNNNNNNNNNNNNNNNNNNNNNNNNNNNNNNNNNNNNNNNNNNNNNNNNNNNNNNNNNNNNNNNNNNNNNNNNNNNNNNNNNNNNNNNNNNNNNNNNNNNNNNNNNNNNNNNNNNNNNNNNNNNNNNNNNNNNNNNNNNNNNNNNNNNAUGUCUCCCAUUUCUCAAUCCCAUCCCGACGGUGUGUCUACCAUGUUUAGAGGGCGCAUGGGGGAGUUACUCCAUUGGUUCUCGCGGGAUUUGAUCGAUGAUGGUUUUCCGUGGAUUUCCUUGAAUCCAGUUUUUGUUCAUCCUCAUCCGUGCGUUUAAAUAUCCCAACAAGGCGAAGAUUUGGUUGUGCACAGGCAACUGAGGAGGUGACCUACUUCUUUACUGUCUCCUAUGUCCCUUGUUACCCACUGAUCCUAGAUCCACAGCUCGAGACCCCCUACCCUGAGGUCUACCAGUUUUACCACUGACAACCGGCCACAAGGGAGAAAUCCCUUUGAAUUUAGAGAUAAGAUCUUAUCUCUAGAUUUAACCCUUUAAAUUUAGAGAUAUGACCUUAUCUCUAGAUUUUAAAGACAUGGAACUUAGGGACGAUGCGGCCAGCCCAUGUGGGUUGUUGCCCCACCCCUCGGUCUAUGUGGGGACUUUUCGGGUCGUUGGGCCCCAUGGUGGAACCCCGGAACAUUUCCGGUACUCUACCAAAUAUUCCCAAACUUUUCUGGAACCCAUAAAACCACUUUCCUUACAUAACUCUUUACCUCCAGAGCUCCUCGUGAUGUCCCGGAUUCUAUCCAGGACUCUGAACUACCUUCAGACUUACCACUAUGAAUGUCCCAAAACUAUCCAAUAGUGGUAAGUCUGAACGUUAAGUGUGUGACCCUGCGGGUUCGAGAACAUGCAUAAAUGACCGAGACACCUCUCCAAUCAAUAAUCAAUGAACAUCUUUAUCGGUUUGAACCACGAUGUCAAUGAUUCAGUUAAUCCCGUAUACAAUUCCCUUUGUCCAAUGAUUUGUUAUUUGCCCGAGAUUCGAUCGUCAGUAUCGCCAUACCUAGUUCAAUCUCAUUACCGGCAAGCCCCUUUACUCAGUCCUUAAUACAAGAUCCACGUGACUAAACACAUUGGUCACAUGCUUCCAAUCUAUUCACGAUGUUGUAUUACCGAGAGGACCUAGAGAUAUCUCUCUGUCAUAUGGAGUGACAAAUCCUACACUCGAUCUAUGUAACCCAACAAACACUUUCUGAGAUACCUAUAGAGCACCUUUCUGAUCACCCAGUUACGAAGUGACGUUUGUUUACCCAUAAUGUAUUCUUCCAGUAUUAGGGAGUGGCACGAUCUCAUGGUCUAAGGAACAGAUUCUUGACAUGAAGAAAGUUGUAGAAAAUAAACUAAGUGAUACGAUCUGAUGCUAAGCUUAUGGUUGGGUCUGUCCAUCACAUCAUAAUCCUAAUGAUGUGAUCCCAUUAUUAAAUGAUAACUCGUGUCUAUGGUUAGGAAACCUUAACCAUCUUUAAUUAAUGAGCUAGCCUAGUAGAGGCUCACUAGGGACACGUUGUCUAUUUAUGUAUCCACACAUGUAUUUAAGUCUCUGGUCAAUACAAUUCUAGCAUGCAUAAUAAAUAUUUAUCAUGAACACGGAAAUACGACAAUAACAUCUUUCUUAUUGCCUCUAGGACAUAUUUCCUACAGAUUAGUAGGAUAAAAGAUCAAGGUGGCCUUGGCAUUCAUGGCAUGAAGGUCAAGAAGGAUGCCUUACAUAGGAAAUGGUUAUUCAAAAUACUUACUAGGGGUGGCGUUUGGCAAACCUGUUGCGAAAGAAGUAUCUAAUACUAUGCCAAAAACUUAUCUCUCACACAUAUUGGAAAGCUGGUGACUCACACUUUUCGGGUGGUGUCGUGGAAUUCUCACGGCAGAUGUCCUAGUGUGAGGACUUAGUCGUGAGGCCAACGCAUCUAUGUGGUAGCUUGAGAGGGGUUGAUUGGGACGAGAGACGCAACACACAAGACAAGAAUUUAGACAGCUUCGGGCCCCAGGAAACAUCAUCCAAUAAUAGCCCUACAUGCUGUUUGUGGCUAGGUCUCAUUAUGAUCAUGAGAGAGUCAUCGGUAAGCCGGCUCUUUGUGUCUAGCCCUAGAGAUUGUUUCUUGUUUCUUGUCCCUCUUGGGGUGCCCUGCCCCUCCUUAUAUAAGUUAGAGGGGCGGGUUACAUAUGGAGUCCUAGUAGGAUUAGGACUAGUCUAUCUUUCUUUACAAGUUGAAUACAAGUCCGGGUCUUGCUUCCUUGUGAAGGAAAUAAUCCUCACGCCUUUCAUCUUAAACCGGCCCACCAAAGUAUAAGCCAGCCUGCUGGGCCUUGGGCCUUGUCGUCCGUCUGAUCAGCCCGCCGGGUCUCCAGUGAAUUACAAUGUCCAGGCGGGUUACCCUGUGAACCGCCAUGUUCGGGCGGAUCGCCAGUGAGUCGCCAAGCUCCAGCCAGGUCUCUGGUGAGUCGCCAAGUCCGGCCGGGUCAUACCGCGGGGUAUAUCCCCGACAUUAGCCCCCAGUUUAAUUUGGAUUUAUCCAUGUUAAACUGAUCCUGCAACAUAAACACAAGAACAAAUUUGACAGGUUGUGCUCCGGGUUAAAUAUUCUUGUAAGCCGGCACCUGAUCAUCCUUAAGUCCUUGACAUUUUCUCCUGAAAUAUCCGGGUCAAUAUUGGUCUUGAAAUAUCCAGCUUCAUAAUCCAUUUGCUGACAUUGGCUCUUGUAAAGAAAUAUUAUAAGAAAUAAUCCAUUUGAUUCGGCCUUCAAUGCUCUGAUUUGACAAAAAUAUUGCUCUUGAAAUAUCCAACUGAUAUUCAGCCGGCUUAAAGAUGUAGAUUCUUGCCGACGAUUGCCACAAUUGUCGGGUUAGAAAUAAAUGAUGCCGGGUCAUGAUUGUUGCAGACACCGGGUUAAUCUGGUCUACUCCAAACUGAGAAUUUGAAGAUUUUUUUCUCCCUUAUAUGCAUAUUACCUGUAGCCCCUAAGUCUUAAGGGGAGAACAUAGUGAUAACUUAAGACUUGCUUCAAUAUAAGUGUUGCAACCUUGAAGAAAUCCGGUUUAUUCAUCUCAAUCAUUAGUCAUAAGCUGAAUAUUCCACAUUCCACAUAUGUAGCCCCCAAGUGCCGAGUUGUCAUGCUUGCAGCAACCUGGGACUUGUAAUUGCCUUAUGCUCAUAAAAACUUCAACUAGUGUAGCCCCCAAGGGCCGGGUCAUUAUGCAAUAAUGAGCAGGGACUUUGUAAAUAUGAUCAUGUAAACUUGACCAGCAACGUGUAGCCCCCAAGGGCCGGGUCAGUAAGAUAUUACCGAGCUGGGACUUUGUAUAUGAUUCAUCGAUAAUAACAGCAUAUGAUGUGAUCUCCACCAUGGGGUUUGAACCCACGUCCAUAAGGUUAAGAGCUUUGUACUCUACCAACUGAGUAGUGGAUCUUUCAAUAUAAUGGAUUAAGGCUUGUGUACCUUGAAUUUUCGACAAGAGCAAUUGGUAGCCCCCAAGGGCCGGCUCAUUUAGAAUGUGAUGAGUCGGGUCUUCAAUAAGUUGAACAAAAAAUGACUUUGCAUUAGCCCCCAAGUGCAAUGGUACAUGCUGGCAGUAACAUGGGACUUGCAUAUUCGAUGUAAUAUCAAUUUGAAUAAUGUAGUCCCCAAGUGCCAGGUCGUAAGCCUGCAGCGACUCGGGACUAUUCCUUACAUUAUAGAAUAAAUCAUAUCCAUCGAUAAAAUAAUAGCCAUUGCGCCAAAGCGACUUUGAAUACCUCAUCUGUUGAUAAGUAAAUCCGGAGUUUAAAUACCCGGCGGCUCUUGGCCGAUGGCGAUUUAAUACGCCUCCAUUGUAAGCCGGAAUUUUUAUAAUCCGGCGGCUUAUAGCCUUUCAGAACAUCAAGAAUUGAUAACCCUUCUGAGACUCCAAUUUCAAUCUAUGAUGAUGGGCUUGAACUUAAUCAUUUAUGUAAGUCAUAGCUCUGCAAAUCCUGCAUAGAGUUUAAACAACAUAUGCCCUGGCGACUUAACGUCAAGCCAGGGCGGGUAACCACCCAAAUGUAGUAUCCUGCACACAAGUAGAUCACAAGAUCCCUUGGCGGUUUACCGCAGGGCGGGUCAUAAUAUCUCACUGUUGGAAAUAUGCCCUAGAGGCAAUAAUAAAAUGGUUAUUAUUGUAUUUCCUUGUUCAUGAUAAUUGUCUGGUGUUCAUGCUAUAAUUGUAUUAACUGGAAACCGUAAUACAUGUGUGAAUACAUAGACCACAACAUGUCCCUAGUAAGCCUCUAGUUGACUAGCUCGUUGAUCAAUAGAUGGUUAUGGUUUCCUGACCAUGGACAUUGGAUGUCAUUGAUAACGGGAUCACAUCAUUAGGAGAAUGAUGUGAUGGACAAGACCCAAUCCUAAGCAUAGCACAAGAUCGUGUAGUUCGUUUGCUAGAGCUUUUCUAAUGUCAAGUAUCAUUUCCUUAGACCAUGAGAUUGUGCAACUCCCGGAUACCGUAGGAAUGCUUUGGGUGUACCAAACGUCACAACGUAACUCGGUGGCUGUAAAGGUGCACUACAGGUAUCUCCGAAAGUGUCUGUUGGGUUGGCACGAAUCGAGACUGGGAUUUGUCACUCCGUAUGACGGAGAGGUAUCUCUGGGCCCACUCGGUAAUGCAUCAUCAUAAUGAGCUCAAUGUGACUAAGGAGUUAGCCACGGGAUCAUGCGUUACAGUACGAGUAAAGUGACUUGCCGAUAACGAGAUUGAACAAGGUAUUGGGAUACCGACGAUCGAAUCUCGGGCAAGUAACGUACCGAUUGACAAAGGGAAUUGUAUAUGGGAUUGAUUGAAUCCUCGACAUCGUGGUUCAUCCGAUGAGAUCAUCGUGGAACAUGUGGGAGCCAACAUGGGUAUCCAGAUCCCGCUGUUGGUUAUUGACCGGAGAGUCGUCUCGGUCAUGUCUGCAUGUCUCCCGAACCCGUAGGGUCUACACACUUAAGGUUCGGUGACGCUAGGGUUGUAGAGAUAUUAGUAUGCGGAAAUCCGAAAGUCGUUCGGAGUCCCGGAUGAGAUCCCGGACGUCACGAGGAGUUCCGGAAUGGUCCGGAGGUAAAGAUUUAUAUAUGGGAAGUCCUAUUUUGGCCACCGGAAAAUGUUCGGGAAUUUUCGGUAUUGUACCGGGAAGGUUCUAGAAGGUUCCGAAGUGGGGCCCACCUGCAUGGGGGACCCACAUGAACGUGGGUAGUGGGGGCAAGGCCCCACACCCCUGGUCAAGGCGCACCAAGAUCCCACCUUAGAAGGAAUAAGAUCAUAUCCCGAAGGGAUAAGAUCAAGAUCCCUAAAAAAGGGGAUAACAAUCGGUGGGGAAGGGAAAUGAUGGGAUUUCUUUCCCCCACCUUUGCCAACGCCCCAAUGGACUUGGAGGGCAAGAAACCAGCCCCCUCCACCCCUAUAUAUAGUGGGGAGGCGCAUGGGAGCAGCAACCCAAGCCCUGGCGCCUCCCUCCCUCCCGUGACACCUCUUCCUCCCCGCUUGCGCUUGGCGAAGCCCUGCCGGGAUCCCGCUACUUCCACCACCACGCCGUCGUGCUGCUGGAUCUCCAUCAACUUCUCCUCCCCCCUUGCUGGAUCAAGAAGGAGGAGACGUCCCCGCUCCGUACAUGUGUUGAACGCGGAGGUGCCGUCCGUUCGGCGCUAGGUUCAUCGGUGAUUUGGAUCACGACGAGUAUGACUCCAUCAACCCCGUUCUCUUGAACGCUUCCGCUCGCGAUCUACAAGGGUAUGUAGAUGCACUCCUCCCCUCUCAUUGUUAGCAUCUCCUAGAUUGAUCUUGGUGACACAUAGGAAAAUUUUGAAUUUCUGCUACGUUCGCCAACAGUGGCAUCAUGAGCCAGGUUUAUGCGUAGAUUCUAUGCAUGAGUAGAACACAAAGUAGUUGUGGGCGACGAUUUGUUCAAUUUUCUUACCGUUACUAGUCUUAUCUUGAUUCGGCGGCAUUGUGGGAUGAAGCGGCCCGGACCGACCUUACACGUACUCUUACGUGAGACAGGUUCCACCGACUGACAUGCACUUGAUGCAUAAGGUGGCUAGCGGGUGUCUGUCUCUCCCACUUUAGUCGGAUCGGAUUCGAUGAAAAGGGUCCUUAUGAAGGGUAAAUAGCAAUUGGCAUAUCACCGUUGUGGCUUUUGCGUAGGUAAGAAACGUUCUUGCUAGAAACCCAUAGCAGCCACGUAAAACAUGCAACAACAAUUAGAGAACGUCUAACUUGUUUUUGCAGGGUAUGCUAUGUGAUGUGAUAUGGCCAAAAGGAUGUGAUGAAUUAUAUAUGUGAUGUAUGAGAUUGAUCAUGUUCUUGUAAUAGGAAUCACGACUUGCAUGUCGAUGAGUAUGACAACCGGCAGGAGCCAUAGGAGUUGUCUUAAUUUGUUGUAUGACCUGUGUGUCAAUGAAAAACGCCAUGUAAUUACUUUACUUUAUUGCUAACCGUUAGCCAUAGUAGUAGAAGUAAUAGUUGGUGAGACAACUUCAUGAAGACACGAUGAUGGAGAUCAUGGUGUCAUGCCGGUGACGAAGGUGAUCAUGCCGCGCCUCGAAGAUGGAGAUCAAAAGGCGCAAGAUGAUAUUGGCCAUAUCAUGUCACUUUAUGAUUUGCAUGUGAUGUUUGUCAUGUUUACAUCUUAUUUUCUUAGAACGACGGUAGCAUAAAUAAGAUGAUCCCUCACUAAAAUUUCAAGAGAUGUGUUCCCCCUAACUGUGCACCGUUGCGAAGGUUCGUUGUUUCGAAGCACCACGUGAUGAUCGGGUGUGAUAGAUUCUAACGUUCGCAUACACCGGGUGUUGACGAGCCUAGCAUGUACAGACAUGGCCUCGGAACACAAGCAAAACACUUAGGUUGACUUGACGAGCCUAGCAUGUACAGACAUGGCCUCGGAACACAAGAGACCGAAAGGUCGAACAUGAGUCGUAUAGUAGAUACGAUCAACAUGGAGAUGUUCACCGAUGAUGACUAGUCCGUCUCACGUGAUGAUCGGACACGGCCUAGUCGAUUCGGAUCAUGUAUCACUUAGAUGACUAGAGGGAUGUCUAUCUAAGUGGGAGUUCAUUAAAUAAUCAAAUGAACUUAAUUAUCAUGAACAUAGUCAAAAGGUCUUUGCAAAUAAUGUCGUAGCUUACGCUUUAGUUCUACUAAGAUAUUUUCCUAGAGAAAAUUUAGUUGAAAGUUGAUAGUAGCAAUUAUGCGGACUAGGUCCGUAAACUGAGGAUUGUCCUCAUUGCUGCACAGAAGGCUUAUGUCGUUAAUGCACCGCUCGGUGUGCUGAACCUCGAGCGUCGUCUGUAGAUGUUACGAAACAUCUGACAUACAUGUUUUGAUGACUACGUGAUAGUUCAGUGUGUGAUGCUAACGGUUUAAAAUUGUGGCACCAAAGACGGUUUUGAAAUGUCGCAGAACAUAUGAGAUGUUCCAAAGACUGAAAUUGGGAUUUCAGACUAAUGCCCACGUCAAGAGGUAUGAGACCUCUGACAAGUUUCUUAAGCCUGCAAACUAAGGGAGAAAAGCUCAAUCGUUGAGCAUGUGCUCAGAUUGUCUGAGUACUACAAUCACUUGAAUCGAGUGGGAGUUAAUCUUCCAGAUGAGAUAGUGAUGGUUCUCCAUAGUCACUGCCACCAAGCUAUUAGAGCUUCGUGAUGAACUAUAACAUAUCAGGGAUAGACAUGAUGAUCCUUGAGCAACUCGCGAUGUUUGACACCGCGAAAGUAGAAAUCAAGAAGGAGCAUCAAUUGUUGAUGGUUAGUAAAACCACUAGUUUCUAGAAGGGCAAGGGCAAGAAGGGAUACUUCAUGAAACGGCAAAUCAGUUGCUGCUCUAGUGAAGAAACCCAAGGUUGAACCCAAACCCGAGACUAAGUGCUUCUGAAAUGAGGGGAACGGUCACUGAAGCAGAACUACCCUAGAUACUUCGUAGAUGAGAAGGCUGGCAAGGUCGACCGAAGUAUAUUGGAUAUACAUUAUAUUAAUGUGUACUUUACUAGUACUCCUAGUAGCACCAGGGUAUUAGAUACCGGUUCGGUUGCUAAGUGUUAGUAACUCGAAAUAAAAUAUGCGGAAUAAACGAAGACUAGCUAAAGGUGAGAUGACGAUAUGUGUUGGAAGUGUUUCCAAGGUUGAUGUGAUCAAGCAUCGCAUGCUCCCUCUACCAUCGAGAUUGGGGUUAAACCUGAAUAAUUAUUAUUUGGUGUUUGCAUUGAGCAUAGACAUGAUUGGAUUAUGUUAUCGCAAUACGGUUAUUCAUUAAAGGAGAAUAAUGGUUACUCUGUCUAUUUGAAUAAUACCUUCAAUGGUCUUGCACCUAAAAUGAAUGGUUUAUUGAAUCUCGAUCGUAGUGAUACACAUGUUCAUGCCAAAAGAUAUAAGAUAGUAAUGAUAGUACCACAUACUUGUGGCACUGCCAUUUGAGUCAUAUUGGUAUAAAACGCAUGAACAAGCUCCAUGUUGAUGGAUCUUUGGACUCACUCGUUUUUGAAAAGAUUGAGACAUGCGAACCAUGUCUAUUAGUAUAUAUGCAUGAAGAAAGUCCAUACAGAUGGAUCAUUUGGACUCACUUGAUUUUGAAUCACUUGAGACAUGCAAAUCAUACCACAUGGGCAAGAUGACUGAAAGGCCUCGUUUUCAGUAAGAUGGAACAAGAGAGCAACUUGUUGGAAGUAAUACAUUUGAUGUGUGCAGUCCAAUGAGUGCUGAGGCACGCAGUGGAUAUCGUUAUGUUCUUACUUCACAGAUGAUUUGAGUAGAUGCUGAGAAUAUUUACUUGAUGAAACACAAGUUUGAAUUAUUGAAAGGUUCAAGUAAUUUCAGAGUGAAGUUGAAGAUCGUCGUGACAAGAGGAUAAAAUGUCUGUGAUAUGAUCAUAGAGGUGAAUAUCUGAGUUACGAGUUUGGCACACAAUUAAUAAAUUGUGGAAAUUGUUUCACGACUAAUACCGCCUGGAACACCAUAUUGUGAUGGUGUGUCCGAACAUCAUAACUGCACCCUAUUGGAUAUGGUGCAUACCAUGAUGUCUCUUAUCGAAUUACAACUAUCGUUUAUGGGUUAGGCAUUAGAGACAACCGCAUUCACUUUAAAUAGGGAACCACGCAAUUCCGUUGAGACGACACCGUAUGAACUAUGGUUUAGAGAAACCUAAGCUGUCGUUUCUUAAAAGUUUGGGGCUGCGACGCUUAUGUGAAAAAGUUUCAGGCUGAUAAGCUCGAACCCAAAGCGGAUAAAUGCAUCUUCAUAGAAUACCCAAAACAGUUGGGUAUACCUCCUAUUUCAGAUCUGGAAGCAAAAGUGAUUGUUUCUAGAAAUGGGUCCUUUCUCGAGGAAAAGUUUCUCUCGAAAGAAUUGAGUGGGAGGAUGGUGGAGACUUGAUGAGGUCAUUGAACCGUCACUUCAACUAAUGUGUAGCAGGGCACAGGAAGUUGUUCCUGUGGCACCUACACCAAUUGAAGUGGAAGCUUAUGAUAGUGAUCAUGAAACUUCAGAUCAACUCACUACCAAACCUCAUAGGACGACAAGGAUGCGUACUACUUCAGAGUGGUACGUAAUCCUGUCUUGGAAGUCAUGUUGCUAGACAACAAUGAACCUACGAGCUAUGGAGAAGCGAUGGUGGGCCCGGAUUCCGACGAAUGGCUCGAGGCCAUAAAAUCCGAGAGGAUCCAUGUAUGAAAACAAAGUAUAGACUUUGGAAGAACUACUUGAUGGUCGUAAGGCUGUUGGGUACAGAUGGAUUUUAAAGGGAAGACAAACAAUGAUGGUAAGUGUCACCAUUAAGAAAGCUCGACUUGUCGUUAAGAUGUUUUCCGGCAAGUUCAAGGAGUUGACUGCGAUGAGACUUUCUCACUCGUAGCGAUGCUAAGAGUCUGUUAGAAUUAUAUUAGCAGUUACUGCAUUAUUUAUGAAAUCUUGCAGAUAGGAUGUCAAAACAUUGUUUCCUCGACGAUUUUCUUGAGGAAAGGUUGUAUGUGAUACAACCAGAAGGUUUUGUCAAUCCUGAAAGAUGCUAACAAGUAUGCAAAGCUCCAGCAAUCCUUCUAAGGAUUGGAGUAAGCAUCUCGGAGUUGGAAUGAACGCUUUGAUGAGAUGAUCAAAGAUUUUGGGUUUAUACAAAGUUCAUGAGAAACUUGUAUUUCCAAAGAAGUCAGUGGGAGCACUAUAGAAUUUUUGAUGAGUAUAUGUUGUUAACAUAUUGUUGAUCAGAAAUGAUGUAGAAUUUCUGGAAAGCAUCCAGGGUUGUUUGAAAAGUGUUUUUAAUGGAAAACCUAGAUUAACCUACUUGAACAUUGAGCAUCAAGAUCUAUAAGGAUAGAUCAAAAAUGCUUAAUAGUACUUUCAAAUGAAUACAUACCGUGACAAGAUUUUGAAGGAGUUCAAAAUAGAUCAGCAAAGAAGGAGUUCUUGGCUGUGUUACAAGGUGUGAGUAUUGAGUAAGACUCAAGACCUGACCACGGCAGAAGAAAGAGAAAGGACGAAGGUCGUCCCCUAUGCUUUAGACGUAGGCUUUGCAAUAUGCUAUGCUGUGUACCGCACCUGAAGUGUGCCUUGCCAUGAGUUAGUCAAGGGGUACAAUAGUGAUCCAGCAACGAAUCACAUGACAGCGGUCGAACUUAUCCUUAGUAUCUAGUGGACUAAGGAAUUUUCUUGAUUAUGGAGGUGGAAAGGGGGUUCGUCGUAAAGGGUUAUGUCGAUACAAACUUUGACACUAAUCCGGAUGACUCUGAGUAGUGAACCAGAUUCGUAUAGUAGAGCAGUUAUUUGGAAUAGCUCCAAGUAGCGCGUGGUAGCUGCAUCUACAAGAUGACAUAGAGAUUUGUAAAGCACACACGGAUCUGAAUGUGGCAGACCCGUUGACUAAAACCUCUCUCGUAAGCAUAACAUGAUCAAACCCUAGAACUCAUUGACUGUUAAUCACAUGGUGAUGUGAACUAGAUUAUUGACUCUAGUAAACUCUUGGGUAUUAGUCACAUGGCGAUGUGAACUUUGAGUGUUAAUCACAUGGUGAUGUGAACUAGAUUAUUGACUCUAGUGCAAGUGGAAGACUGUUGGAAAUAUGCCCUAGAGGCAAUAAUAAAAUGGUUAUUAUUGUAUUCCCUUGUUCAUGCUAUAAUUGUAUUAACUGGAAACCGUAAUACAUGUGUGAAUACAUAGACCAGAACAUGUCCCUAGUAAGCCUCUAGUUGACUAGCUCGUUGAUCAAUAGAUGGUUAUGGUUUCCUGACCAUGGACAUUGGAUGUCAUUGAUAACGGGAUCACAUCAUUAGGAGAAUGAUGUGAUGGACAAGACCCAAUCCUAAGCAUAGCACAAGAUCGUGUAGUUCGUUUGCUAGAGCUUUUCUAAUGUCAAGUAUCAUUUCCUUAGACCAUGAGAUUGUGCAACUCCCGGAUACCGUAGGAAUGCUUUGGGUGUACCAAACGUCACAACGUAACUCGGUGGCUGUAAAGGUGCACUACAGGUAUCUCCGAAAGUGUCUGUUGGGUUGGCACGAAUCGAGACUGGGAUUUGUCACUCCGUAUGACGGAGAGGUAUCUCUGGGCCCACUCGAUAAUGCAUCAUCAUAAUGAGCUCAAUGUGACUAAGGAGUUAGCCACGGGAUCAUGCGUUACGGUACGAGUAAAGUGACUUGCCGGUAACGAGAUUGAACAAGGUAUUGGGAUACCGACGAUUGAAUCUCGGGCAAGUAACGUACCGAUUGACAAAGGGAAUUGUAUACGGGAUUGAUUGAAUCCUCGACAUCGUGGUUCAUCUGAUGAUAUCAUCGUGGAACAUGUGGGAGCCAACAUGGGUAUCCAGAUCCCGCUGUUGGUUAUUGACCGGAGAGUCGUCUCGGUCAUGUCUGCAUGUCUCCCGAACCCGUAGGGUCUACACACUUAAGGUUCGGUGACGCUAGGGUUGUAGAGAUAUUAGUAUGCCGAAAUCCGAAAGUCGUUCGAAGUCCCGGAUGAGAUCCCGGACGUCACGAGGAGUUCCGGAAUGGUCCGGAGGUAAAGAUUUAUAUAUGGGAAGUCCUAUUUUGGCCACCGGAAAAUGUUCGGGAAUUUUCGGUAUUGUACCGGGAAGGUUCUAGAAGGUUCCGAAGUGGGGCCCACCUGCAUGGGGGGACCCACAUGAACGUGGGUAGUGGGGGCAAGGCCCCACACCCCUGGUCAAGGCGCACCAAGAUCCCACCUUAGAAGGAAUAAGAUCAUAUCCCGAAGGGAUAAGAUCAAGAUCCCUUAAAAAGGGGGAUAACAAUCGGUGGGGAAGGGAAAUGAUGGGAUUUCUUUCCGCCACCUUUUCCAACGCCCCAAUGGACUUGGAGGGCAAGAAACCAGCCCCCUCCACCCCUAUAUAUAGUGGGGAGGCGCAUGGGAGCAGCACCCCAAGCCCUGGCGCCUCCCUCCCUCCCGUGACACCUCUUCCUCCCCGCUUGCGCUUGGCGAAGCCCUGCCGGGAUCCCGCUACUUCCACCACCACGCCGUCGUGCUGCUGGAUCUCCAUCAACUUCUCCUCCCCCCUUGCUGGAUCAAGAAGGAGGAGACGUCCCGCUCCGUACGUGUGUUGAACGCGGAGGUGCCGUCCGUUCGGCGCUAGGUUCAUCGGUGAUUUGGAUCACGACGAGUACGACUCCAUCAACCCCGUUCUCUUGAACGCUUCCGCUCGCGAUCUACAAGGGUAUGUAGAUGCACUCCUCCCCUCUCGUUGCUAGCAUCUCCUACAUUGAUCUUGGUGACACGUAGGAAGAUUUUGAAUUUCUGCUACGUUCCCCAACACUCACAUAUAACCACUAUGAUAUUGAAUUUGUACUGCCGGUUUACAUGACCUGUGCAAUAAGGGUGAUAACCCAAUCUUUAGAAAUCAAGACUUCCAAAUGUUUAUGAUUGUCAUAUGAUGGCGACUUAUCAACCAAAGUCAAGCCGGGUUAAUCGAAGCCACAUAUAUACUUCAGAUAUGAUCAAAAGAACUUCAAAUAAAAUACAAAAUUUUGUUUGCAAAAAGAGACUUCAAAAAUUUUGAGGCUUCUGAUUCGAAUACUAUCAGAAAACCGUCCCAAAGGGGUUAAGCUAAGAUUCGAAUACGAUCAUAUAGCCCCCAGUGGCUUUGGCGUUGCCGAUCAAGAGGGUACCGACAGCUAUGUUCUCUUUGGUUCGAAUACGACCUAUGUUUGAACAGGAAGCCCCCAAAUGACCUGGAGAGUUGUUUAACGACGCUGAUUCGAAUACGAUCCAUGUCGGUUCCCAAAAGGGGUUGAGCUAUGAUUCGAAUACGAUCAAGAAGCCCCCUAGUGAGCUCAGCAGUGUGCCGAUCAAGAGGGUACCGACAGCUAUGUUCUCUUUGGUUCGGAUACGACCUAUGUUUGAACAGGAAGCCCCCAAGUGAUCUUGAGAAUAUUUAACGACUCUCAUUCCAAUACGAUCAGGGUCACACCAAAAGGGUUAAGCUAAAUUUGAAUACGAUCAGCUCCCAACGGUCAUUAAAGCAGGUAGUUAUGUUUGAGUUGUGCUUUGUAACAGACUCUCCUUGGUCCCUUUAAUUUUUCUUGAAAACUUGAACUUUGCGAGAGAUAAAAUCUUUUUAAAACCGGAAGUUCUUAAACCGGAUAUUAAGAGUUUCAAAGCAUGGUGAUAGACAAAUUUACCUUGAACCGGGUUUUGAACCGGAUUUGAGAUCUUCAAAGCAUUGUGGCAGAUAAAUUUCAUUUGAACCGGAUUUUAAACCGGACAUUAAGAGCUUCAAUGCUUUGUGGGAGAUGUCAAGUCUCUUGAUAAGGAUCUAAACCGGAAUCCUUCUUUUUAAGCCAGAUAUUUUUCUGACGGUCUUUAAAUUUUUACCAAUAUGGCGGUAGCCUCCGGGACCGGGUUAUUUUUUUCCUCCAAUGACCCAGAGUUCUUGAAUGCAUUGAAACCGACCAAUGUUGCCGAGUCAUAUCAUUGUAACCCCUGAGUCUCAAAACGACUCAAGGAGUUGGCUUUGAGAUUCUCCAUAUUGACCAUAGCAUAAGGUGUAUAUCAUUGGUGUUGAUAGUGCGAUGUGAAUCCACAGAAGGUUGAGGUGACUGCGGCGGAUUAUAAAUGAUCAUGUAUGAGCCGUGUCAGCAACUCGGCCAAUGGUCCCUUCCAACUGGCUGUUUGAAGUUAACCAAACUAUAGUGGCGGCGACUUGUGCGCCUGCCCAUUUAAACCAUCCAGUGUAGACGGCGGCUGAUAAUACAUGAUAAUUUGCCUCCAAUUUUGUUGGAAGAAAAACCAGGCUUCCCAAGCAGUGACUUGCUCAUACUCGAUGAUCAGCUCACGCAGACAGGUGCGGCCCGGUAUGUUGAUAUAGACCAGGCCGCAAGAGACAGAUGGUAAAAACAACCGUGGCAUCAAAGGUGGUACAGACAGAUGAGUUGGUCACGACGUUGUAAACCGGUGUGGUCGGGCGAGUCAAUCGCCGGCGCGGUAAGCCGCGCGGAUGGGCGAGUCAACCACGUCGUGUUGAUGUAGUGAACAAUUGUCCUACAUCAAAAACAUCGCAAGCAAGAGUAAUUGCUCUUUUUUAAAGAAAACAAUAUAUAAUAUAUAAAAAUUUACUGGAUUGAUUUCACCUGAUAUGUUAGGCCAGAAAAUAUCCACCGCGGAGUUGAUCAUCACGACGGUGAAGCUGAAAUCAAUCACGGCCGAGUCGGCCGCGGGAACAGACAGACGGGUCGGCCGCGGCGUUGUAAGCCGGUGCGGUCGGGCGAGUCAAUCGCAUGAGCGAUAAGCCACGCGGACGCUGAGUCGGCCGCGGGGGCGGACAGGUAAGUUGUCCGUCACAUUGUAAGGCGGCGCGUUGAUGUAGACCGGACCACAGGGGCGGUGGCUUGCGCCCACCUGUUGACCAGUAAGCGGUCGCAGAUGCCGUUGCAUGAUGAUGCUACCGCACACUCCAUGGAUACGGCAUUACACCAUCUUUAUGAUGAAUCCUUGUCCUGCACAUAAAAGUGUACAUAGCAAAGCGAUUGUUUUUUGACAAAAAACAAUAUGCGCUUAAUAAAAUAAUCUUAGAUGGAUAUCACCUGAUUUGUUCGGAUGACCGAUGAUCCAUUCAAUGCAACAAAAAACGGCUCUGGUAGACCGGUAACCCAUGGCGAGUCAACACAGCAGAAGCGACUCAACGCAGCCCCGGCAGCUCGAGGCACGGCGGGUCUCAGCUCACGGCGGGUUGAGGUGUGGCGGUUCAAGGUCACAGCGGGGGGACUCGCAGGCUCAGGCGAGGCCGUUUUGAAGAUGGUUGGCAGCGGCGCGGUGACUCGCCACGGUGCGCCGAAAUAGCAGCAGCGUAGUGGGAGAAACAGCCGGUCUGUUGAUUUUGACCGUGAUGUGAAGCUCGCGGGGCAGCCACGAAGGCGCUGGGACGGAGUGGCUCCGAUGUGCGAGACGUGCCACCACAAGGACGCACGUAGGAGAAGACCAGAGGGGCAUCGAAGUCGGGUCCGCGGCGGCUCUGGAGAUGACAAGUGUGCGGGAGGCAAGGCCGUGCUGGCCAGCAGAAAACGGCGAGGUGCCGGCGACUUAGCGUAAAACCGCGGGUCAGAGGCGGCUCGGAGUUGAGUCCAUGUCCUGCUCUGGUCGUUGUUGGUUUGACAAUUCCCUUUAAGUGCUCCUUUAAAAUUUCCUUCAUCACACGUGGUGUCGUGCCAGGCAACAGCAUGGCCGGACUAAAAAUCCACUAGACCUUGAUUUUUAAUGCUCCUGUAGAUCUUGGGGACUGCGUGUGAGCUGACUAUUAAAACCUUCAAAUUCAUGCACGUACAGUGGCUGUACUAGUUGAUGCUACGUGCAGAAGGUAAGGUAAUCUAUCAGGCUUUGUUUUUCGCGUUGAUCAGCACUUGGACCCUUGAUCAACAGUUGGCUUGAUCCGGAGACUUCACAGGGCUGAAGCAAACUGUCUUGAUCGCCGCUGUACCAACAGAUGGCGCUCGUGACGCGUGUUUGGCUGUCUUUGAUCACCUCGGACUUGGACAGCUAUAUAUGGACCAGCAGAAGCGACCUGGCGAAUCGGACACGGCGGCUAGAUUUGACAGCGGCACAGUAGAAAUUCGAGUCGGCCUCGGUGUACUGCUGCAGCAGAAACUAACCCGGACUCGACGGAUCAUCUAAUUGUGGCGGCGCUCACCAUGCAACUCUAAUCUUUCUUGAAUUCAGACCUCGUACGAGUAUUAGAUCUGACUGCUCGCUUUGGAGACAAUGUAAAUCCUUCCGCGACGAUUCUUCUUUCAUCCGAAGAAAUUGUCAACUUCUCGACCCUUGAAAGAGAUCCCUCCAAGAACUCAUCACCACCGUGCGCAGCCCCACGGUGGGCGCCAACUGUCGUGGAAUUGUCACGGCAGAUGUCCUAGUGUGAGGACUUAGUCGUGAGGCCAACGCAUCUAUGCGGUAGCUUGAGAGGGGUUGAUUGGGAUGAGAGACGCAACACACAAGACAAGAAUUUAGACAGCUUCGGGCCCCGGGAAACAUCAUCCGGUAAUAGCCCUACAUGCUGUUUGUGGCUAGGUCUCAUUAUGAUCAUGAGAGAGUCGCCGGUAAGCCGGCUCUUUGUGUCUAGCCCUAGAGAUUGUUUCUUGUUUCUUGUCCCUCUUGGGGUGCCCUGCCCCUCCUUAUAUAAGUUAGAGGGGCGGGUUACAUACGGAGUCCUAGUAGGAUUAGGACUAGUCUAUCUUUCUUUACAAGUUGAAUACAAGUCCAGGUCUUGCUUCCUUAUGAAGGAAAUAAUCCUCACGCCUUUCAUCUUAAACCGGCCCACCAGAGUAUAAGCCAGCCUGCUGGGCCUUGGGCCUUGUCAUCCGUCUGAUCCGCCCGCCGGGUCUCCAGUGAAUUACAAUGUCUAGGCGGGUUACCCUGUGAACCGCCAUGUUCGGGCGGAUCGCCAGUGAGUCGCCAAGCUUGUCCGGCCGGGUCAUACCGCGGGGUAUAUCCCCGACAGGUGGUCUAAUACGGGUAAAGAAACGCAUUUUUCGCUUUGGAUCCUUUACAAUAAAAGAUGGGUCAAAAAUUCGAUUCUGGGAAGACAAGUGGCUAGAAAAUGCUUGGAUCCAAUAAAAAUAUCUAUCUUUGUACUGCAUCAUUCAUCACAAUAAUGAUACUCUUGUGCUAGUGCUUAUUUCUUUCAUGCCAGAUAUUUCUUUCAGGCGAGAUUUGAUUGGCCUAUGUCUUAUGUGAUGGUAAAAUCAUUAUCCUGAUUGGAUUUAAUUAACCUGACACAAGGGCGGGGAUGUGUUUCAUUGGAAUCUCUCUACAUAUGGGUCCUUCAAGUCAACUUUAUGUACCAUGCACUAACGCAUUCAGAGGUCCUAGUGGAUAAUAAAAUAAUAGAAGAAGAUAUGGGCCAUACUCCCUCCGUCCAGUGAAGAGUGAAAUCUAGAGAUUUUAGGACAAAUUAUGGAGUAAAAUAGAAAAUGCAUUGGAAAGGUGCAAGCCACCAUCUUUCUUCUCUUUAAUUAUCCAAUCCCUAAUGUGUUUAGUGCAUGUAAAAAUUAAGAAGACCAUGUGUAGAUUGUUAUUGGUCUUGGUUACCAUGUGAUGAGAGAGAAAUAUAUUUUUUUCUACUUUAAAGUGCAUUGAGAAGAUAGAAGUACACUCUUUUGUGGACAAAUUUUAAAGCCAAACGUACACUCUUCACCGGACGGAGGGAGUAUAUUAAUUCCUAGUGUGACUUAAUGUUGACAUGAAUUGAUACAGGUGGAUAUAGUUACUCUGCGUCCGUAAAUAAAGGUCAUCAUUUUUGUUGCUCUAGGGACCCAUAAAUGAUAGGGACUGUCCGCUACCAGCUACCCUGAUGACUCCAUUCGCUGCCCCUCAAACAUGGGUUCCCGACAUGUUCUCAGGGUCUGCCCGUGGUUCCAUGUUCUGGCCUUCGGGGUUGGUUUAACUAGUGGUAUGGGGGUUCUUGCAUCGCCCUGUACUCUCGAUCGGGACCCUUUAAUGCUAGCACUUCUGGUGACAUACAGUGCGUGUAUUUAAAGGCCAGGCAUGCAUCCUCCGUGCCAAAGAAAAUUCAUUCGGCGGCUACACGGGGAGAGUUGUGGCAGCAAAUCCGGGAUGCCAGCUUUUUGUUUUGGGUUUCGAUUGUCAAAGUUUUAGAUCUUAAAAAAACUAAAAUUAAGUGUUGUUUUCAUAUUCGUGUUUCUCGUGACCACUGUUUUGAAAUAAUAUCCGUUUUGAAUAUAUAUUUUGACGACUUUAAAAAAUAUUAAGUUUCAUAUGUUGAAACUUAGUACGGGCAACCAGUAAAAAUCAAUUAUUUUGUACCUACGCCUGACAGAAAAAUGCUUACAUUUAUAUCUCUGAAACUUGCUGAAACUUUGCAUUUUUCAUCAUUGAAACUUAAAACUUUUUGAGGGAUUUUCUUUUUUACUGUGCCCUCAUGUGGGAUUCAACUACUCUUUUCUCUUCCGCGAGAUCCACAUGAAAAAAAGCACAAAUUUAAGAUGAGUGCAGGGCUUGGCAGAUGAGUGCCCUGCACUUACAUGCCCCUGCGAAUUUCCGCAGCUACUAGAUAUUUUUGGCAAAUUUAUUGUUUGCUCUUUUACAGGUGUGCCACUUAAGUAUUUAAACCUAUAAGGAUUUCUGCACUGGUGCUAAACUCACUUAUGAGAGCAUACCGGAUUUUCUCAUAUGAGCUAACAAAGAAUCAAACAUAGUUAUAUCUUGUAUUAUUUUCUCAUUAAUUACUUACCCACUGGGCUGAAGCAGUUAUUGUAGCAUAUCAUGCAACACUCAUGGUUUUCCAACAUGUUUCCUUAAGGGGUCUUAAUCAAGAUGAUUUACAUUCAAAAACAAUCAUUGAGUAUGGAUCAUUAAGAAUAAUUUGAUCCUACUUAAUCCAUGCUUAGGAAAUAAGAAAAUGGUUACUCAAUGAGCAAACGCUGCCUGUUGCUGCCUCCUCACCAACAAACUUUGGUUCUUCACAUCCCUUACCGAAGAGGCACCUUUACAUUGCAUCCCUUGUAUACUACUAUAUAUAUGUGAUCUUCAUAAAGAGUUCAGCGAUUUCUCCAUUGUUGAGUUCCUUACACUCAAUAUUCAAUAAUAGUUAUUUCCAAAUUCACAUAAUCAGUUGGCAGGAUGGUCACCAAAGUACAUUCAUCCAUCGAAAGAAACACACAAAAGAAAACAGUAACAGCACCAAAAAAACUACACGUUGUCCAAUUAUGAAUAAUGUUUCGUCCGUGUAACAAGAGCUUCGACGGUCAUUUUCUUAAGCAUAAUUAAAUAAAAAACUAAUCAUAGACUCUGAUUGUAAAGCAUUCCAAAAGAAAUUCAUAUGUCAGUUCUUCAACGCUUAUUGUGUUGGAAGCCUGUCCUCAAAUAUUCUCUCCUUCGCCUUGUCGGCCUGCAAAUAAAUAUCAGUUAUUUUUUCUUACUAUCCUUGGUACCAGUGCUUAGGGUUUUGAUAGACAGGUCGCUAGUUAUUGAAAUGAAACAUUUAAGACAAGGAGAAGCAUGCAUUAGGGCAACUCCAACUAUGUGCAUCAAAUCGGACACAUCUAACAUUCAUGGGCACGUCCGGACGUGUCCACAAAGAGCAUAUAGGGGGCGGCCAUCCAAGCCUAUGCACCAAAUGUCCGCACCUUUUCAAAGAAAAUAAAAUAAAGCUAGACCAAAUGUUGGCUCACUUUAAAUCAUCGAUCGAUAGCAAUUCAAAAGUGUUGGAUGAAAGUACUUCUCGAAAGCAGCCUUCAUUACAUACUUUCUCUCCUCGAGUUUGCACUUCUUCAUUACAAAUGUUGUUCAUCCAGAUGUUGUGCCCUUUGAGCUUCAUCCAACAGUGCAUAAAUGCGAAGAACUUGCCCUCCGUCCUUUGGUAUAGCAUGGGCUGCGCGUCUGGGCUAUACAAUGACGUGAUCAUCAAGUGUAACAUUGAGCAAUUUGCCAUUUGUGCUUGCUUCAUGUUAAACAAGGAGAAAGUCAAAGAAAUUCUCAAUGGUAUUUGGCCGAACACUUGCCGGGGUUGGCCUCCAUUAUGGAGGGCAUCGGCAAGGGGGCGGCCAAUGCAUGGGCUGCCGCCGGAUACUGGGUGCAACCGCGGCGAAGUACAAUGCGCCUGGUGGAGCAAUGGAGGUCUAGCAAGGCCUAGGCGCGGGACGGAGUGGUAUAGCAGCGGCGGUCUUGGUGGGUGCGGAUACAGAUUAAGAGUGGGACNNNNNNNNNNNNNNNNNNNNNNNNNNNNNNNNNNNNNNNNNNNNNNNNNNNNNNNNNNNNNNNNNNNNNNNNNNNNNNNNNNNNNNNNNNNNNNNNNNNNNNNNNNNNNNNNNNNNNNNNNNNNNNNNNNNNNNNNNNNNNNNNNNNNNNNNNNNNNNNNNNNNNNNNNNNNNNNNNNNNNNNNNNNNNNNNNNNNNNNNNNNNNNNNNNNNNNNNNNNNNNNNNNNNNNNNNNNNNNNNNNNNNNNNNNNNNNNNNNNNNNNNNNNNNNNNNNNNNNNNNNNNNNNNNNNNNNNNNAUAGUCCGACCAGGCGGGCGUCCGGACUCCCAAACCUCCAAUGAGUUUGCUUCCGGUUUGGCUGAUGUUGGACGUCCGGAUUAGGCCGCGGGCAUUUGAUGCAUGGCAGUGGAUGGCAAAAAAUGUACAGGCAGCGCAGUCCGGACCUUGCGGGCAAUUUGAUGCAUGGCAUUGGAGUUGCCCUUAGCAAUACCUAAGGCAUGUUCUGAUCACGAAUCAUCAGGCAUAAAAACUGAGAAAGGACUUACCAUCUUGUUCCAGUUUGUGGUAGCCGUAAUAACAGACAGGAGAGUGACCUGUGUGGCUCCACCAGCCAGUAUGCCAAUCCAAAACCCCUUUGCUCUUAGUUGCAUUGCAAAACCAAAGUAGAGUGCAACGGGGAUACCAACAAGAUAGAAGGCACCCAGGUUAACAUAAGCCCCUAGAUGCUGCCAUCCACAGCCCCGAGACACACCUGAGUGGUGCAAUGGAAGCAUUCAGUCUAUUAGUUUAAUUUAGUUUAUGAUGCUAUAUGCCAAAAGAAAGACAUGUGGAUACCUUGAAGGACUGCCAUGAGGCUGUCUGUAAUUGCUGAAAUGGAAAGUAGGGGUACCAUUCUUGUGACAUAACGCCUGACCUCUUCCUCAUUGCUGAACGCAAUUCCAAUAAAGUGGCGCAGUAAUAGAAGAGUUGUGCUCACUAAGAAUGCUGAGCAGACCACAAUAGACAAGGCAACACACACCACCAAGCGGGGACCUUGUGUGUUGCCGGCGCCUAAUUCAUUUGAGACGCGCACACUGGCACACGGACAACAUAUAUACGUAGCAUGUUAAAUUCUGUAGAAACAGGUGAUACUGACGAUAUAUAGCAACAAAUGCACUAGCUAGUAGCUACCCACCUGGUAGCUAUUCCAAUGCCGUAAGGAAGGUUGGCCAACAGUAUCAUUGUAGAUACGCUGUUCCAAAAGGACAUCAGUAUGGUAAACUUCAUAGAAUAUGAUGGAUUCAAGUAUAAUCUUAUUUAGGGUUCUACUAAUGCAUACCAUAUAGAAAGCACAGAGGUUUCCAGUGCAGGAUUUGGUAACAUCCCGGAAAGCAGAACAAGCAGCUCGUAAGACCACCACUCCAGACUGUGGUCAAGGAAAGCUAGGUUAAUAUUCAGAGGUUUCCGGGAUGUUUUGAUGCUAGAGAAUACAUAAUUAGAAGCUAAACUUAAAGUAAUAUAUGUGCAGAAAUUAUCCAGUUCAUUUCAAGAGGAGAGGGAAGAAUAUAUCCAGUGGUAUUGCGAGCGGGUGGCAAAAAAACAAAAGGUAUCUGAUCAGGAUCUGCUCACAACAAAGGCGAAGACGAAGACGGACUUUCUUUUGUUGAAAGAUGUCUUCACAACAAAGACGAAGAGGAAAACAAACUUGAUUUGGACAAUCAAUCCGAGACGAGCCGACAUUUCAAAUUUUCAAAUGGUUUGUAAAAGACCAUCAUCCUUUUCUGACAGUAUUCUAACAGACCAAUCAAGUGUGCAAGGGUGCUGUGGCAAGAACAACAGAAAAAUAGUAUUUCCUCCAUCCGAAAAUAAGUGUCGCUCAAAUAGAUGUAUCUGGACGUAUUUUAGUGCUAGAUACAUCCGUUUGAGCGGUACUUAUUUCCAGACGGAGGGAGUAGGUAUGAACGAACAUAAGUAGAAAGAGAUAUAAAAAAUAGCAACAAUGCUUGGAUCUUAUGGGCUGCAAGUGCACCACUAUUAAAAAGGUUUUGCCACGUACUUGUUAUUAUUAAUAUAUUUUUUGAGAGGAACGUACUUGUUAUUUUCCAUGCUGACACCUUUAGAAACGUUGGCUACUGAUACACAAACUAUAUAGAUUUGUCACAUGAAGAUACCAUUAGUGUUAUGAAUGAUCACAUCAUUAUAAUUAUAAUCUUAAUUAUUUGCCAAAAGGUGCACGUUGGAAACUAUAUUAAUGUCCACAAGAACAAGUAAAAGUGAAUGAAGAGUGCAUAAGAGUUUGCUGUAUUGGACAAUAUUUUGCUUGCCAAAAUAUGAAAUACUAGAUAAAAUAGCAUAUGUUAUUUUUUGUGCUAGAGGUUAAAACAACAUCAUUAUAGAAACAUGGCAAAUAACAUUUACUUACCAAAUCAUAAGAGCCGAUGGUACAGCCAAACGCAUGAAACUGCCAAUCCCUCUAAAAGCUUCCCACGAUGGUGGAGCGCGUGUUUUCUCACAAGAGGGUGAGAACUUAAUGUAAAGGCCAAGAAAAGUCACUUCAACCCAAUCACAAAUGCUAACGGAUAAAGCAGCUCCAGCAUUACCCAUCCCAACUUUGUAAACCAUGAACCAGCAAAGAGGAAGAAAUACCGCAAUUGUAAUCAAGGAGCUAAGAACCAUUGGAAAUAUUAGGCUUUGACAUUGCAGAAACUUUGAAAAGCAUUGAGUAACACCGAAGGCAAAUAAACCAGGGAUAAGCCAUAAUGCAUAUUUGCCAGCCUCAUUUGCAAUUUGUGGUUCCUGGCCCAUGAGAGGAAGUACUUCCGGGAUGAAACACCAAACAAUGGAGAUGGGCACACUCACAACAAGAAGUGCAAUGAUGGACCUGUAGGUACAUAAAGAUAAUGUAUGAUAUUGUUCUGCUCCAUAGGCCUGCCCACAAAGAGUUUCCAAUCCGCCUGCCAGUCCAAUCUAAAAGGGAAACUGCAUCAGUAACAAAUUAUACAUAUUGUUGCUGAAUAAAUGGAAGUUAAACUAGGAUAAAGUGCAUCGACAUUACUGAAAGAAGAGUUUUGCUACACCUACACAUUAAUCUUAUGGAAUUAAAUUUACAGGAUGAGGUGGCAACAUCUGAUUGGAAGGGAGGAGACUCAUAGUAAAUUCGGGGAAGACGGGUUACUUGGAGGUUAGGGGGGAGGGGUGGCAGUCCAUACGGGUCGCUCAUAAGUUUGGAUUUUCGCUGAAAGAAUAUCAAGAAUAACAAACGUGGCUUGUGCAAGGUGGGCAACAGUUGCUAUGAAGAUUUUGUUUCAAUCAUCACUGCAAAGAAUGCGAACAUCACCCUGGCCGAAUUUUCUCAACACCCAACUCAGUCGGAUCAAGUGACUGAUUAUAUUUUUCGCGGGAAUAUAAUAGAUCGAUAUUGCCCACCGAAACUAGCUAUAUGUACAGCGGGGUGGGGUGAAUCAAGCACCACAGGUCCAUUGUAAAAAAGAUUAAUCGAACGACCUAGCUAGCCGCGUGCGGUCGGCGCUAAUCAGAAAGGUUGAGAAAUGGAACCAUCUGAUUUGAUUCAUUCCCAGUAGUCAUGAGAUGAUCAUUUUUUUUUAGAAAAGAGGGGAGAUCCUGAAUGAUCCACACAACCUUUUGUUUAUCAUAUCAAAGUACAUCAUCUGACCAUAACAAAGUUCAUCUUGCCAACGGAUGCUUCUAUUACACUCGUGGUCUCUAAAAGAUGAGAACCCACUAUGUAGCAUCCACAUCAAUAAUUCAAGCAUUUAUGUCCUUAGUACGAUUCUUUGUAGGAACUAUCCGUAAUAACAAAGAACAUCAGAAGUAGCAGAGAUCUCCGCACGAUGCAACUGGAUAAAUGGCGGUCGCAUGGAGGGAGAAGACACUGAGACAUCUGGACCGGUCGCCGAUCUUGUACACAUCCGGAUGGGAUUCAGGGGCUGCUCUAACGGAAUUGAAAGUACCAAUAGCUAAACAUAAACGAAAUAAAUUAAUGUGCGCUGCAUGCUUGCUCACAAGGACGCUGAAGCCGGAGACGUUGGUGAGGGAGUUGGCGAUGGCCGCACCGGCGAGCGCGACGUCGCCGAGGUGCCCCACCAUGACGGUGGAGAUGAACUGCAUCGUGACCUGCAGCAGCAUCACCACCACCAUCGGCGCCGCAAGCCCCGCCAGCUGCGCGGCUUCCCUACACCAGCGCCGGCUGGUACUGCCGGGCUCUUCCCACCUCGCGGCCAGCAGCGGCGCAUCGGAAGAAGAGUCCAUGGAUCCCCCCGACCAAAGCUCUGCCCAAGCAACGUGGGUGUGGUUAAUGAAAAUGGUAAAUGCGGGAGCUACCAUCCGUCUAGCUGUCUCCCUUUGCACAAUGCAUGGAGCUCGAACUAUAUAUAGAGUAUUACUCCAGUCGUAGUAGCUACGGAAACUAUUUCCUCUGUCCAGAUUUAUUAGUUUUGUCAGAGCAUCGGUAAUUGAGGAGCUAAUUUGAUUUCAUAUACAUCCACUGACCCGUCUUGGCGCUGUUCAGGCAUAUUCACUUAAGCCCACAUUUAUCUGUGCACGCAGUGGUAACCCCACUUUUCUCCCUAUUAUAUGCCCGAUUACAUGCAUAUGAAUGGUAGGGACAGAACCUCAAAAAAAAAAGAAUGGUAAGGACAAAAAAAGAAAAUAAAAGAAAAUAGUGAAGGUGAAAAAGUGGUCCGGACUCUGGAGUGUGCCAAAUUCGACGUGGCAGACUGCUCAGACAUACCACAACAUCUCAUACCCUUUCCACGUAUGGGCUCGGUAUAAGGGGUGCCAGAAAGCCCGCGCCCAUGUAUAUAGUUUUGAGUUAAUGAUACUCCCUUUCAUCCAUAUUACUUGUCACACGGACGUAUUUAGACGUUUUUCAGUGCUAGAUAAAUUCGUUUGAGCGACAAGUACACUAGUAGAAAAAGGACCUUACGUGAGACACAUUAGUCCCGGUUCAAUUUUGGCUCGGUACUAAUGGUAUUAGUCCCGGUUCAAACGGCUAUGCAUUAGUCCCGGUUCAUGUUGAACCUUUAGUACCGGUUCGUGCCACUAACCGCUACUAAAGGGGUGGUGGCAGGCUGGCGUCAGGCCGGGGCCCCACGAGCCCCUUUGACUAAAGGGGUUUAACCUUUAGUCCCGGUUGGAGACACAAACCGGGACUAAAGGGCAAUUAUCAAACUCUACCCCCCUCCCCUCUCCCUGUCUAUCGCCAUUUCAGUUUUGAAAAAAACAAAACAAAAUGAUAAAAACUUCAAAAAUUAAGAUCCUUCGAGAUGUAGUUAUGUUACUACAUCUACUAGUUAGGAAAAUUUAAAAACUUAAAUUUGGACAUGUUUUGCAAAAAAAUAUGAUGAAAAGGUAAAACAACUAUAUCUUUUGCAUCCGAUAUCGGAAAACAACGUAUAAUAUAUCAAAAUGUUCAGCACGAAAAUACGCAUCCGAUUUUGACGGCUGUAGGCCGUUUUGCAAAUUUUUAGAAUCCUCAAACUCUAAAAGGAAAAAAGUUAUGCUCACAUUUCAGUUUUUUUUUUGAAUUUUGGUCAAACUGUGGUCAAACUACUUAUUCAAGAAAUAUUAGUGUUACUAAAUAAUUAUUUCAGUUUUUUGAAUUUUGGUCAAAUCUGGUCAAACUAUGGUCAAACUACUUACUCAAGAAAUAUUAAUGUUACUAAAUAAUUAGUGUUUUUUAGAAUAAUAGUUUCAAACUCAAACGAUGAACGUGUGACUUCAUGCUCAAGCUAAACUCCUGAGGGUUAAUAGGAUUGACAGCUUAAUAUUGUUAGGAAACAACAAGUGCGGACUUGGAAACUAGGGGGAAUAGAACUCAGAAGUUAAGCGUGCUCAGGCUGGAGUAGUAAGACGAUGGGUGACCGGCCGGAAACUUAGGUGAUUUGGGAUGAGUGAUCCACACUUGAGCAGUUAUGAGUGGUGAUUAGAGACUAAAUCGUCAAAUAAUUAAGAAAAUUGAAAAUCGGGAAAAAAAUCAAAGUUUUUUCCAAAAAAUUCAAAAAAAAAACCUUUAGUCCAGGUUGGUGUUACCAGCCGGGACUAAAGGUCCCGCAUACCACGGCGCGGGCUCGUGCCACGUGGUGGGCCUUUACUGGCGGUUCGUGUUGAACCGGGACUAAAGGGGGGGCCUUUGGUCUCCAACCUUUAGUGCGGGUUCCGAACCGGCACUAAAGGCCCUUAAGAACCGGCAUGAAAGCUCCGUUUUCUACUAGUGGUAAUACAUAUCAGAUGGAGUAGUGGAUUUAACUAGACGGGGAAGCAACGGAUGGGCGGCGGCUUUCAGAUAUGACGAUGGUGGUCCUACCGGGGUGGCUUGUUCGGCGGAGCGGGUUGGGAUGGCACGGGCCAGAGGCUGCUUCGCUGCCUCCCAAAGGUGGUGGUGGGCUGCGGGUGUAUGCGACAACUCAGAUCCGUCGUGGAUCAUCUGGUUGAUGCGGGAUCGACUCUGGCCUACCUUGGCUUCUCUGACGCGGCUCUGGUGGGCGGAGGGCUAGGUCAUGGCAGGGAGCUCCCCCUGCCUUGGUCUUGUUCGGCCGUCAUGGCAGCGAGCUCCCCCUGCCUUGGUCUUGUUCGGCCGUCAUGGCAGGGAGCUCACCCUACGCGUUUUGGCUCACGGGCUCAGAUGAGUCCGGGAAUGAACAAAAAAUCAUUAAAAAUUACUAAAUAAAUUCAAAAAAAAUCUGAAUUUUUUUUGUGCAGAAAUAUAACUGAGUGUCUGAUGUUCGUACCGAAUUUCAGAACACUUGAAUGUUUGAGUAGCUCUCAGCAAAAAAGGACGAAUUUAAUGUAUGUGAAAAAGGUUACUAUUUGUGCAUUGUCUGGACCCUUUUUUUACUGAGAGCUAAUCCGAUGUCCAAAUGUUUUGAAAUUUGGCACGCACUUCACACACUAAAAUAUCUUCCAUUCAAAAAAAUAGAUUUUAAAAAAAAAAUCUAUUUUUGCUGAAUUUACUGUUCACCAGGUGGAGCAGCGUCGAAGACCACAGACAUGGUGUCGGGCGAGCGCGCUCGGAGACAGAUGUCUGUAGUUGUGUCUCCCCCGGUCCACCGGGACUGGCUGGAGAUGCAGGCGUGGGUGCCUCCUACCAUGGAGGCAUCGAUCCAGACUAUGUGGCUGAUGUAUGGCUAUGAUUGUAAGGGGACGCCAUUUGCUUCUCCUACCGUGGUGGGUGCACCGUGAUGUGGGCGGUUGGUGGUGUCUCUGAUAUGGAUGUCGAGGUGGCAACCCUGGAUGGCGGUCUGAUGGUUCGCUCUCUAGCGGGCCCCAUGGCAGCAGUGAUAGGUGGAGCGACGGGUGGCUCGGGUGUGCUCUUUGUCUCCGGCAGUGGUGACACCUAGAUCCAGAUCUGGAGGUCUGAACUCGUCGUGCUUACCCUGGAGACCUCGUGGUGUCAUGGGGGAGCUGUCGAGUAAAGCCCCAUGCUUUGCCGUCAACGAGGGUGAUGCUCGCGGGUGCCGCUUUGCUCUUAAAGAUAUCACCGUGGUGCUCUUCUUCUUGUCUGGGCUCGGAGUAAAAACCUUUGUUCGGUGUGGACUCAACAACGCUGACACUUAGGGCUAUUCGCUCUCCUAAGAGUGUUGUCGUUGAGCUUAGAUGUUAUAGGGCAUAGUGUGACGUUGCUAUCGGUUCUUCCUAUGCUCACUUUGGUAGUAUAGCUGCAUGCGUUCUGUGUGAUCCGGUUAUCCUGGGAUCUAUUAGAAUAAUCCGAGGCAUACCGUUGAUCAUCCGAGGACCAAGGAACCACACGAGCACGACACCGAGAUUUGUUAACGAGGUUCACCUUGGCUACAUCCCCGGGGCUUGACUAUGGGCGCUCCUCCCCAUGACAUCGCUACAAUACCGCACCCCGUCGCCCUGCACGCCGGCACAUGCCGCCGGCUUCCCUUGCGUUCCUAUGCUAUUAUGUUGGCAUGGGUUACAUCGUGUGUCUACCCCCAUUAUAUAUGAGAGGCCUAGGAUACAAGUGUCCUAUUAGGACACGACUCUAUAUCCUAUCUAAACACAAUACUACUCAAAGUCCAACUCUAACCUAUCUUAUACGCAAUAUUCGACACAACUCUAACAGGAUCUGCAUUGUAUGAGGACUACCUCAUCACCUUGUAUUGGUCAGCCAUGCACUUUGUUCGGUUGUUGCAUUAUACUCUCUCUGUUCAGAAUUAUUGGUCGCAGAAAUGGAUGUAUCUAGUUAUAUUUAUAUAGUUCUAUAUACAUCAAUUUCUAUUCAUUUUUGAGACAGGUAGUCCCGGACGGAAGGAAUAUAUAAAGCGGGGCGCCUGGUUCAAACUUUAAAGAGAGACAUAACCACAAAGGAGACGUAAGAAGGCAAAUAACUACAGCGCAAUUGAUGUCAUGUCAGCAAGAAAUGUUCUUAAGGGCCACUCCACAGCUUCCCACUACGAACCUAAAUCUUCAUGAAACUUGAGAAAAUCAUACUCGACGAAAAUCAUACGCUUGUUUUAGAUGCCUGUCGUCGUUGGUUGCUACAGAAGAUGGAUUUAAAUAAUUGAAAUUAAGUUUUUUUUUAGCACUCUCUCUGAGCCAAAUUAAUUAACAUAGCUCUAGUACAACUUUUUCUUUUUGAGUUUGGACUUGGUUUGGCUGUGUGCAUCUUUUUUUUUGAAAUGUUGGCUGUGUGCAUUUUAGUUAUGCAGAAGCCAGAUAAUACUUAAAAACUUUGUAAGCAAUAAAGCGCCCCUUAUCGAACAAUAGAAUUAUGCAGAGGACUAACACUUAACUCUCGAGUAGUAACUGGUUGAAACUUACCAGCUCUACGUGGUUGAUGUUGACAUCCAAUUUCGAAUACAGAACAUAUUUCCCAAACCAUUCAAAAACAUCACAUUGCCAUCUUGGUUAUUACCCUUUAACCUCCUCACAGCAGAUUCCAUCUGCAUACACUCAGUGUAAGAACGCAGCAGAUCCAUUAAAACAUGUAGUACGAAUUAUCACGUUAUACUAAAAUUUUAGAAUCAACAAGACAUUAGCUACAUAUUGACUUCUUUAAUUAUUUAUGAAGACUGCCUCUAGAGAAUUGUUGGCAUGUCUAUGACGGUAAAUUUGCAGCUCAGUUAAAGUGUGCUUGGUUGGUUAAACAAGGUAUACUAGAUGAUUUUCCCGCGCGUUGCUGCGGGAUUUUAAAGAUUAAUUUUGGAUAUAUUAUAUAAGAAUGAAAUGAUCUAAAUCAAAAGCUAUUAUUUUCAAAAGUAAUUAUAUGUGAACAAAGAGUAUGCAUGUACGUUGGACCAUUGGAGAUGGAACAAUUAAAUUGGAGUAUGCAUGUGCUACAAAAUAAUUCUAGUGGGUGAUGAUAUGUGGAGGGCUGCAUGUUGAGAUAAUUAGACUUAAUGGGAUCAACUAUAUAUUUAUUAUAGAUGGGAUAGGUUGUUUGCUUGGUUGGGUGGAUGGGAGUAUCAAAAAAGAUUAAUUAGCUAAAUGAUACCUCCUAACUUCUACAUUAACACCAUCAAGACCUAGUGAACCUACUUAAGUCAAACCAGAAAAACAUGUACCUGUUUCAGAUAAUCAUCCAUGAACAUGAUUGCAUGGUCAUCAUGCCCAGUACUGAGUUUGAAAACAUGAAGUACAUUGUCUUUCUUCAAUGACUGCAAAAAUGAUUUCUAUAUAUGUUCAGAUUUUCAUCAAAGCAAGGAAAAUUUUCUCUGGUGCAGUUGAAGAUUACUACACAUUGGUAAACAAUAAUCACCAACAGUUUAACACAAGAAUAGCUAGAAAAGAAUCCAAAGGUAAAACACAAACUCAUCAUUGCAUUACAACAGUUGUGUAUACAUAAAGAAUUAUUGCAUAAGUUCAAAACAAUACCUUGAAAUCUCUGGCAGCUUGUGUCCUGUCCUUCACGCUAUUAUAGUUUGGGACUGCAAAAUGAAUGGUUGUGUCACAGCCUACAAGUGAACACAAGAAAAAGGUGAAUUUCGGAUCUGAAUCACCAUUAAAAAAGGAAACAGUUAGAGAAGAAGCACACACUGAGUUUAUAUAACCAUCUUUAUUAUAUAACAACAUGUUACAUGGGAGUAUUGUUACAUCCCUCCAUUAAGAGGAGGAGCAAACAUAAGUACAAGAGUUUAAUAGUGGCCGUGUCCCCCAACCCACAAAUAACUUUGGCACAUGCACGCACAGACCAGAAUUUUGCAACAGAAAACAUCACUAACCUAUGCACACGGUGGCUCUCGCAGCCAGUGAUGGUAGGCCUGAAUCGUCGCUCCACCUCUGCCUUGAUGUUGUUGGCCAUUGUCUGAAGGUCCUGGUUCUCUCCCUCGAACACCAGGUAGCUAUGUUCUCUCCAAAAUCCCUACGGGCCAAAUUUGUACAAUCACUAUCGAGUCCAGGUCUUUUUGCCGAUCUUUUGGCAGUGCUUUUCACCUAGACAGCCACCAAAUUCACCUGAAGUGGCGAGCUGUUCAUUUUAAAAUGACUUGCCACAGUUAUGUCAACCAGGAUCAUUGCUCUCUUUCUCGGCCUCCCGCAGAACUUCACAAGUUAUGAGUUUGCUGUAUGAGUAUAUAACUGAAUGAAGUAGUCUUUGAACCUGCAAACAGAGCACUUAAUCUACUUCUCAACGCACUGGAAUUUUUUGCAAUGUCUCUCUGUACUAAUUGUCCACUGCUACCCUACCACGAAGAAGUAGCGAUUUCUCCACCAAUCCAGCUCGCAAUCGGAUUAAACACUAGGCAAAGAAAUUCCUCUCUGCAACUAUAUAUCCAUACAAAAGUACCAUUUACUCCUGGAUCGAGCACUAAGCCACUAACUGACGGACGGAGAAUGGAUGACUAACCUUCUAGUUGCAACCGCAUGACCUCUGACCUGCCCUGCCGGCGGCUCACAGCGAUGGAUAGCGGACUAGCCUGCCAUCUAGGGUAAUUGCAGACGGCCAGAGUUGCAACGGAGGCCUCAUCGUGAUACACGACGACCUCCGUAGCUGGGAUCAGAUGUAUUUUCUAAUUUGAAUUGAAUAUGUAGUGUCACCAUUCCAGAUUUUUGGUACAUAUGAACAAAAAUAAAUUUAUUCAUGGGCCAUUCAACACUUUUCAACUCAUCGGAUACUGGCUCAGAUCGAGUUCACAUAUCAUUAACAUAUUUCGAACCAAAUCCAUAAUCAUAAAAUCCUCUGGUUUUAUUCAAACAAGCGGUGGAGAUGCCCCAUCCCUCCUAGCAUUGUUUUUCCUUAUCAUUUAGGAUCUCUUCAUUCAGCCUUUAAUAGAUUAAUAACAAAAAAACAUAAGUAUGGCCUAGAUAUAUAAGAUGCUUCAGAAUAGCUGGGCACAAACAAGUUGGCAUGAAACGGUCUAGAACUUCUUUUGCGGGAAAAAAUCUAGACCUUCUCAAAAUCCAACAAAUAAAAUAUGCUCGUUGUCCAUGAUCUAGGAGGGUAUCUACGAAUAGGUACUUAAGGUUUGUUCAUGAAAAGUAUUAAAAUAUUUGGCAAUUUUCCUUUUGGGUAGACAAAGUACCUAGAAAUAUGUAAAUUCAUGCUUAUACACCUGAACAUGCACCAUAGUAGACCAAAUUAUGUUGCCAAAGUAUAACGAACAUAUUAUAUUUUUGAAUAGGUUAUCUGUGUAAAUGGUCUACACAAUUCAAAUAAGUAUCAACUUCAUGCCCAAAAGAUUUAGUAAAAGGUACCGGGUGGUCCCAAUGAAAUAUUUACAUAACAUUACAAACUUAGUCCACCAAAAGAAUGAUUUGAUCCAGAAAAAUCCUUCUUCACACAUAGAUCGAACUGAUGAUGACGUAUCUAGAGUUAGGACCGGAUAUAUGCUAGUAACUUGUAAGCAAUUACCAUCCUUUACAUGUAAGGGAAUUCUAUGAGUCAUGUCAUGAUCUAUACCUCUCAGUUCAUCUUAUCAUCUUAGAGAACAAUACAAAGUUAGUUUUAUAAAAAAGCAACCGAGUCUAGACGAACCCUCCACAUACAAGGCUUUAAUAAUCGAGCAUAUCUUAACAGUCCACACACGAUUGCAACUUAGUCCUACACAGGUUUUGCCUUUCUUGUUUAUGGUUGACAGCCUAUACAAGGUUCCAAACUCGGUUGCAAAAGUGAUACUAUCCUGAUAAAUGUGUGACAUGUAAAGUGAAUAAGGCGAGUCAUAUAUACCACACAUCAGGGUUUCUAUAAUUUGUGUGUGAUCAUAUGCACAACUAAAAAGCAACUUUGAUGAUCAAUCCAAAAGUACGCUUGUAGCUAGUGCAACCUAACACAAUGUACCAAAAAAUCAUUUCUGAUGCAUCCAAAUAGAAUUAUUUAAGUUGAUGCAAAGAAGGAAAGAGGUGGUGCCCGGACUACUAUAAAUAGGCAUGAAGUAUAAUGAUCAUCACAAGCACAAGCAUCAAAACCAAGCAAAAGUAGUUAGCACCAAUCCAUCAUGAAGACCUUCCUCGUCUUUGCCCUCAUCGCCGUUGUGGCGACAAGUGCCAUUGCACAGAUGGAGACUAGCUGCAUCUCUGGUUUGGAGAGACCAUGGCAGCAGCAACCAUUACCACCACAACAGUCAUUUUCACAACAACCACCAUUUUCACAACAACAACAACAACCAUUACCUCAACAACCAUCAUUUUCGCAGCAACAACCACCAUUUUCGCAGCAACAACCAAUUCUAUCGCAGCAACCACCAUUUUCACAGCAACAACAACCAGUUCUACCGCAACAAUCACCAUUUUCGCAGCAACAACAACUAGUUUUACCUCCACAACAACAACAACAACAACUUGUGCAACAGCAAAUCCCUAUUGUUCAGCCAUCCGUUUUGCAGCAGCUAAACCCAUGCAAAGUAUUCCUCCAGCAGCAGUGCAGCCCUGUAGCAAUGCCACAACGUCUUGCUAGGUCACAGAUGUGGCAGCAGAGCAGUUGCCAUGUGAUGCAACAACAAUGUUGC